rnacentral:lncRNA from 1 species
UCUACCAACCUUGACUGGUACAAGGGUCCCACUCUCCUUGAGGCUCUUGACCAGAUCAAUGAGCCCAAGAGGCCUUCAGACAAGCCACUUCGGCUCCCACUUCAGGAUGUCUACAAGAUUGGUGGCAUUGGAACUGUCCCUGUUGGUCGUGUUGAGACUGGUGUCCUUAAGCCUGGAAUGGUUGUGACCUUUGGCCCCUCUGGUCUGACCACUGAAGUUAAGUCUGUUGAGAUGCACCAUGAAGCCCUCUCUGAGGCUCUCCCCGGUGACAAUGUUGGAUUCAACGUCAAGAACGUUGCUGUUAAGGAUCUCAAGCGUGGUUUUGUUGCUUCAAACUCUAAGGAUGAUCCUGCAAAGGAGGCUGCCAGCUUCACUUCUCAGGUCAUCAUCAUGAACCACCCUGGGCAGAUUGGAAACGGAUAUGCCCCAGUCCUUGACUGCCAUACCUCCCACAUUGCUGUGAAGUUUUCUGAAUUGCUGACCAAGAUCGACAGGCGAUCUGGAAAGGAGCUUGAGAAGGAGCCCAAGUUCUUGAAGAAUGGUGAUGCAGGGAUGAUAAAGAUGGUUCCCACCAAGCCUAUGGUUGUGGAGACUUUCUCUGAGUACCCACCCCUUGGACGGUUUGCUGUCAGGGACAUGCGUCAGACUGUGGCUGUUGGUGUCAUCAAGAGCGUUGAGAAGAAGGAUCCAACCGGUGCUAAGGUCACCAAAUCUGCUGCCAAGAAGAAAUGAGAUUGCAUUUGAUAGUAUCAAAGCCUUUUGAUUUUGGUUUUCUAUGUAGUCUGGUACUUAACAGUUUUUUAGACCAAUUUUGAUAUGUGUUCAUUUGGUUGAGACUGGCAUCUGCCCACGGAUUGUGUGUUUGCUUUUUCCGUGUCAAUUGUAGUUGAAUUCCUUCAAAGAAUGCUAGUUUGAUAUUUCCUUGUUUUCUUAAUGUUAUGAUGGUCCUAAGCCUUCGAUUUUCAACUAAUUUCCUGGUCAAUUCAGGUUUUUAAUGAUAAAUUAGUGAAAUACUAUUUUGGUAAUUAUAAAAUCAUCUUUCAAUUAACGUAAAGAAAUGAAAUUUUUUAAUGAUGUGUGAUUUGUAUGUAGAAAGAUAUGGACGAAUAUCAUAUUAAAGUUCAUAAAUUAGAAUUUCUAAAUUCGUAAAAUACAAUAUUUUAACUGGAAGCCAAAAAUGGUCUUAAUUUAGAUCAUCGUUGGUUUGAAAAUUUUAAGAUUUGUUAUACUUAAAUUGUAAGAUUUGUUAUAUUUGUUUUUCAAUAUCAUGCUUUCAUUAAAGAAAGAGGAAGGUGCAUAGAAGGUCCACCAAUCCAAAAGCCAAAAAAUUUACAAAAGUUCAAAGCUCAAUUACCAGUCAAGAAAACUUAGCAACAAACAUCAAAGUUACCAGCAAAGACAGAUGUAUCUUUCAACGGCAUGUGAUGCCUUCAGAGGAAGGUCAUCAAGGACUUGCAUCAAUGAAACUUUUCGUACCUUUUUUACUAUCUUAUAUUAUAGGGUAUUUUAGGGGACUUCAUCAAGGACUUCCACCUUUUAAAGCUUUCUUUAUAUUGAAGAGAAAUUUCCAAUAUAUGUAUAUAUGUGUGCAGGGAGGGGUCCAUUUAUACUAGUGUAAAACUUAAGUGAUUUUGCUUUUUUGUAACUUUUUACAUUAGUAAUAUUUUAACAAUUCAACCAUCAUAUUUCAUGAUCCAUUCAUAUAGAUAAUGCAUGUUAAGUUUGGCAUAAAUUAAAAAUGAGAUGAGAAAUUACCCUUAUACUUUACCAAAUCUUCCAAUAUGGUACCGGCACUUUUAAUUUGUCCAAUCUGGUACAUGUACUUCAAUCUCCUUAAUCAUAGUGGUACUUGACCCUAACGCCAUUAAAAAUGAUGAAAUGAUAUGUUGACCAAUUAUGUGGUGCCACGUGGCUCAUGUUGAUUCAUUAACUAAUAGUUCAAGGGCUUCUUUGAAAUAAAUCCUAAAAUUAUUCUCUUUCCCAAAUUACAUUUUUCACAAUACUUUAUAUAUGUGCAUAUAUGUAUAUAUGUGUGUGGGGAGGGGUCCAUUUAUACUAGUGUAAAACUUAAGUGAUUUUGCUACCAGUCAAGAAAACCUAGCAACAAACAUCAAAGUCACUGUUGCUGGAGAAGAAUGCUUAGGAAGGUCGGAAGUCACCAGCAAAGACAGAUGUAUCUUUUAACGGCAUGUGACACCUCCAGAGGAAGGUCAUCAAGGACUUGCAUAAAUGAUUUUUUUUUACCUUUUUUACUAUAUUAUAUAAUAGGGUAUUCUAGGGGACUUGCAUUAAGGACUUCCUCUUUUUAAAGCUUUCUUUAUAUUGAAGAGAAGUUUCCAAUAUAUGUAUAUAAGUGUGUGGGGAGGGGUCUAUUUAUACUAAUGUAAAACUUGGGUGGUUUUUGUUUUCUUGUAACAUCCCUUCUGACGAAGCUCUAGUGUUCGAGUGUUGUUUAUAGAAGUAUGACAUAUAGAGGAAGUUUUGAGUGGGUAAGGUAUUAAGAUUGACUAAGUAUAUAAGUCUGUGGGUUCGCUUUCUGGUGAAGUCUAUUCUAGGCAAUUUUGCUAAGCCCUCAAUUUGUAUGAACUAUUUACUUUAUUAUUAUUUUAUUAUCCUGGUUGAACAAUCUGGUUAGACGAACGAAAAUUUGGUUAGUAUAGGACUAAGUUUCUGCAAUCGGUCAGAUCCACAUAUAUGAAGAGAGAGAAAGUGCUUAGUCACAAGGAAUGAGGGGUUUGGAGGGAAAUUAGACUUACCCACUAAGUUCUCCUUCCGUGUAUUUUGUAUAAAGCAAGCUUUGGCUUCUUGAGCAAGUUUUUUGCUUUCUUUGGCAACCAUAUUUUCUUCUUAAACUUUCUUUGUAUUUUUCUCUCGAAAAACCUAUACUUAAGACUUGCUUGAAGAUUUUGCGUUCAUUGUACUCAACCAACUCUAUCGUUGUUUAACACCUGGUAAAUAUCGAUGAAACUCAAGUUAUUUUCAUGAUUAUUUACGGGUCUUAGGGUUUCAUGCUUUAGGGCCAGUUUAAAGUGCGAGGAAUGAAAGUUUCAGACUCUGGGUUUUCUAUUAAUGUUCUUGUAAACUUGUUUAGUUUUUUGGUAUAAUGAACUGAUAAGUUUAUGUAACACCCUACACUGGAACUGAUCACUUGAUCCAUAGUAUAGAGUGAACAACCAUUAAACACAAAUACAUUUAAAUAGCAUUUUCAAUAAAAGAACAAUUAUAAAUAUAUAAUAUCAAAUACAUUCAAAUUCAUGUUAUUUUAGCUUAACUUGACCUAAAUCGGGUUUCAGAAAUGUUUAAAACAAAUAGGGAGUAAAUUUGGGUUAAAAUGAAUCAAUUACAAAAUUUUGAUAAAAAUUACAAAAUAGGGGUCACACGGCGGUGUAGCCAGACUGUGUAGCAUACUGACUUGGAAGACACGACCGUGUGGGGAGACCGUAUGCAACACAUAAUCGUGUGACAACUUGUGUCCCAGGCCGUGUGCCCCUAAAUGAACCUUCAAUUUCAAGUUUACCAAAACUAACUUACUUAGACUACAAGUAACUCAUACCAAUCAUUAAGCCUACUUAAAACACACCUAAAUGAGCCCGAAGCAUGUUAAAAACAUCCAACUUAAGUGCCUAACCAAUGUGCCUUCAUUGAUACCACAAAUAAAAUCAUUCAACAAAGUAACACAACUAAUAAAGAAGCUUCAUCAAUUGGCAUCUAUUCAUGCCUAAACCAUCAAUCUAAAUGGCCAAAUAUGAACAUACUCUACAAGCUACCAUUUCAAAGCACCAUCACCAAAUAAAUGACAUUAAGGAUCAACUUAACCACAACCAACACAAGUACACAUCCAAAACCAACCACAUUAACUAAAUAUACCAAAAUAACUUAACAUUUUACAUAUCAACAACAUAACACCUAUAUACAUGCCACAUUCCAAAAUGAUAAACAAAAGCUACCGAGAAGGCUAAAUAGUGUGAGCUCCAAAUUGAUCCGUUCGGUUAGUUUGCAAGAUGAUAACUACAAAAGAAACACAACUAUUUAAUUUAACUAAUUCAAAACAACAUCAAAUGAGAUAUAAAUGCAAAUUCAUUCAUUUAUCCUAUGAACUUACCUACUAUCCAAUGACACCCCAAACCUGACCGGGACGAACCAGCUCGAAUUCUAAGCAUUACAUUAGCCACCUAAGUGACUCUCCAACUAACGACUACCCAAGACACACCUCGACCUUAUAACACCUCAAUCUUAUCUAAUUAUUAGUUAUUUAUUAAUGCAGAAGCAAAUUAUUAACCAAUUUAAAACUUUUUCUAUGUAAUUUAACCUAAGGGCAUUUUUUUAUUUUACCACCUAUGGUAAAACUAACCCAAUUUUAGAUCUAAGUGUUUACUGACCUUCUUUUAGUUAAAUUAUGCAAGCCUAAAAAUUUUAGCUUAAUUUGAGUUUGUUUACUAUGUCUAAUUCAAGUUUUAUUAUUAAGGACUAAAUUGUAACUUAAAAAAAAUUAGAAUACCAAUUUAAAUAGAUAAAAUUUCAAACCCCAAAACCCACAUGACCGUGUCCCGCAGAUCGUGUGUCAUCAAACGAUCGUGUUCGCAUCGUGAAAAACUUUUAGACCGAUCGCACAUGCUCGUGUGUGAUAGCUCCAGUCUCCACACACCCAUGUGCAACCUAUCACACGCCCGUGUAAAAAACACUGCACCUAUUUUUGCAAAAAACUUAUUUUAAAACUGGAUUUUGCACAUUUUAAUGGCCAAUUAAACCCGAUUUAACUAUGAUUAAUUAACAUACCUAUACGUACACCUUCAAUUGAGUUUAUUGACAUCAAUUAAGCCUUAAUUAUAUAAAAUUAAGUAAUCAAUUUCAUGCAUAACAAACACUAAAUAAAUCAAACAAGUGGCGUACCUUUGUCAUUAGUAAACCACUCCAUGGAAACUUUAUUUAAACAAUCAUUAGUACAAAUUCAUGCCUCACACACCGUGUUAUCAGUCACCGUGUUAUCAAGCAACAUACACCGUAAAUCAUUCAAUAAUUAAACUUAAACAUGCCUCAAAAUUAUUAUAAAACCAUAUAAAAUAAAAUGUCCAAUGUCCAAAGUCCAAAGUCUAAUUACAACCAAAAUUAAACUAAUUCCCGAGAGUUUCACAAUGCCCGGUUCUAGUAUUUAAAAUGUGUAAUAAAGUCUCUACCAAGCUUAAAUCUCUUGAAACUCUCUUGCUUGGCUCCUCAGCUCCUCAAGCCUGACGAUUAUAUCCACAAAUUGUGAAGGUGUGAGCUUUAAAAAGCUCAGUGAAUGUUAAUAAAAACGACUAGUAAAUCAACAUCCAAAUCAUGCUUAAAUCACAUCUAAUCAAUCACCAAUUAUCAGCCUUAAUAAUGAAACAUGUCAAUUUAAUUUCCAUAUGCUUUAUCAAUAUCAAGAAUCAAUUAUUCUUGGUUUACAAACAUCGAAUGAUAUAACAAUAAUCACACAUAAAUAUAUUGGCAUACACUUCUCAUGGCUUAAUCAGGUGAUCAUACAUCGGAUAAACAGAUCUCCGAACUCCCACAAAUAUCAAAUACGAUCUAUCGAGUUGAGCGGGCCGAAGCACACGCUCCCUUAUAUAGCCUCAAAUAACCCAAUGAGUGGAGACUCAUGCUCAACACUCCCUUAUCUACUCCAAAAAAAUCAGUCCACCUAGAGCCAUAUGCUCACAAUAUCACAAAUAAAUGUGAGUACUCACAAAUCCUAUGGCAUGCCAACUAUAUCCAAUGGAUCCACCAUGCAUGUUGGCAAUAUAUUUAGUCAAAAAUAACAUAUAAAUCAGUCAUUAUUGUGCUCAAUUUAAUGUGACAAAAUGCUUAUGUGUAACAUGUAACAUAGUUAUUUAACAUCCAAUUAAAUCAAGCAUUUCAUUUACCAUUUUCCAAUGUUUAGUUACCAAUUGUAACACCAAUAUAUCAUGAUCAAAAACUCCAGUAACCAUGUCCUAAUCAUCAAUAUAAUUAGCCUAAUUAAAUUGCACAAACUUACCUAAAUGCUUACUUACCAUUAUUCAAUAAAAAUUUAACUCUUGUACAUAUAAUAUCAAUCUUGAAAAAAAUCAGCCAUUUAACCAUAAUUAAUCAAUUGAAAUCAUCAAUUAAGCUACUAAUUAAACAUAAAUGAGGGUCAAUUUACCAAAUUGCCCUUAGAAAACUCACCACAGAAUUUAUUCUACCACAAACAAGUGAUCAACCAAGCAAAUCCAAGCUUCAAUUUCGGUUAGCUUGGUCCUCUUCAAGAUUCAUAACUUUAACAGAGAUAAAGUAGACAUUUCCACCUUUCCAACACUAUAAUAGACACGAAUUUUAAUUAACUAUACUAAUCGAAAUCCUCUCACAAAGAUACCUUAUCAGAUUUGUAACAUCAAUUCAGAAACUCGAUUUCUCACAAAACCAAUCUCUCCAGCCCUCCUAAACACUUUCAAUCAUUAAUACUAGACCAAAUACACUUAUACUAAGCAUCAAUAUCAUCUUUAAAUCAAUUUCACAAAAAUUCAAAAAAUCGGUUCAUGAAGAUGAUGAAAUUCAGAAUUCUUUAAAUUACCUCACAAAUCAUUUUUAAUCUUGAUAAAUAAGAUCAAAAACCUUUUAAUAGAUCCAUUUUGAGUUGGAACAUCUAUUGAUUUGUGGAUUUCCUCUCAAAAUUCAGGAUCCACUAUUAAAGAAACAUGUGUUCUUGGAAAAAGAUAACAUUGAUAAAAAAUCCUUUAAUUGACUCUCAAAUCAUGUAAAAAUGUUUCUAAUCAUCAUAAAAACAAGUUUAGGAUUAAAUAUUACCUUUGAUUCGCUCUAAAUUCGUUGAUUGAAAAUCUUGAUUCAAGAAACUUGAGAAAUUUCAGAAUAUUUUUGGCGACUUUUGCAAAUAAUUUUGGGUGAAUUGAGAGAGUAUUUUGAGAAGGAAAUUUGCUGGAUCUAUUCUUUAAUGACAGAUCUUUAAAAUCAUGCAAAAAAAAAUCAAUUUUAAAGCUCUCUGAUCUAAUGUAAAAUGUGUGAAAACUGGGCUAGAUACAUUAGUUUUAAAAUUGGAACCACCCACUAGAAAUUUAAAAAUUGGGAAAUAUGCCUAAUGGCCACUGCCACAUUUCCUUUACUUUACCAAUUAAUCUUUUCCCUCGAAAAUUCUGAAUUUUAAAGUUUAUUUGUCAUAUAAAUACUUUAAAAUUUCCUUUGUUUUACAAUUAAAUCCUAUUUAAUUAAUAUUUAAAUUUUACUCAAAUUACACCCAAUAAAAAUUAUUUUAAAAUUCUUUUUCAACCCAAAUUAAUUAUUUUCACUAAUAAUUAUUUAAAAUCUUUAAAAUUAAUUUUUUGAAAUAUUUUUAUAUAUUGUUUUUAAUUUUCUAUAUUAUUGUUUAAUAAAUUUUAGAUGAAAUUAACCUCUUAAAUUAAAUUAAAAAUUACUAGAAACCUUAUAAAUUCUUAGUUUCACACUCGGAACCCGAAAAAUAUACCCGAAACUACUAGACCUAGUUUAGGGAUAUUACAACUUCCCACCUCUAAAAAGAAAUUUUGUCCUCAAAAUUUACCUGAAUCAAACAGAUAAGGACAUUGACGUUUCAUCACAUAUUUCGACUUCCAGGUGGCUUCCUUAGUCUUGUGGUUGCACCACAAAACUUUUAGCAACGGAACCAUAUUAUUGUAUAUAGCACCUUGACCUCUCAAUCUAGGAUUGCAACCGGUUCCUCUUCAUACGAAAGAUCAGAUCGAACCUUAGUCUCCUCAACAGGAACAACAUGAGAAGGAUCAGAUUUGUACUUCCGUAACAUGAAGAUAUGGAAGACGUCAUGAUUACACUUUAGCUCUGGCGACAACAACAAACGAUAGGCAACUGGUCCAAUCCAUUUGGCAACUUCAUAAGGGCCAAUGAACCUCGGACUGAGGUUACCCUUCCGUUCGAACCUUAGAACUUUCUUCCACGGUAAAAUCUUUGGAAAUACCUUAUCACCAACCUGAUACUCGAUGUCUCGAUGUCUUGAUGUCUUAGGCCAGCGUAAGACUUUUGUCAAUUAGAAGUAGCCUUCAACCACUCGCAAACAAGUCUCGCCUUAUCCUCAACCUCUUGAACCAACUCUAGACCCAAGUUCCUCUUCUCCUCCAUAUCCAACCAACAUAGAGGAGUCCUACACCUCUGACAUAUAAAGCCUUGAAUGGUGCCAUCUGAAUACUCUUCUGAUAGCUAUUAUUAUACGCAAAAUCGGCUAAUGACAAGUGACGAUCCUAGUUACCUUCGAAGUUAAUAACACAACUAUGAAGCAUGUCAUCAAGAAUCUGGAUCACCCUUUCUGAUUGACCAUCGGACUGCGGAUGAUAAGCUGAAAUGAAAUGAAGCUUCAAACCCAAGGCCUUAUGCAACACCUUUAGAAUCUCAAAGUAAACCACGGAUCUCGGUUUGUUAUGAUCGAAACAGGAACUCCAUAAAGACAAAAAAUCUCUCAGAUAUAGAGCUCAGCUAACUGAUGAGACUAAAAGUUGUACAGAUUGGCAGAAAAUGUGUAGAUUUCGUAAAUCUAUCCACAAUCACUCAGAUCGAGAGUCAAAGGCAAAAUCGAAACGAAGUCCAUCAUAAUACGCUCCCAUUUCCACUCCGAAAUCUAAAUAGGCUGAAGCAAACCUGAUGGAUGCUGAUUUUUGAUUUUCACCUCUAACAAACCAAACAUUAAAGUUUUACAUCUCUUAUGAUUUAAUCAUUUUUAAUUAAGUAACUAACCAAACAUUAAAAUUUCUUAACCAAAAUUUAACACGACUUUAAUAUAACUCUAUAAACACUAAUUAAAUAAUAAAAUACGAACUCACUUGUCAAAAUUAUGGUCCCGAAACCACCGUUUUUAACCCCACUAAAAAAUGGGAUAUUACAACUUUCCUCUUUAAAGAAAUUUUUGUCCUAAAAAAUCUUACCAGAGAAAAGGUUUGAAUAUUGGGAUUUCAUGGUUUCUUCCAUUUCCCACAUAGCUUUUUCUACCUGUGUCGAAGCCAUAAGACUUUAACUAAUGGUACAGAUUUAUUUCUCAACUCUUUACUUCUCGAGCUAAGAUCUUUAUAGGCUCUUAUUCAUAAGUCAGAUCAGUUUUAUUUCAAUUUAAUCUAUAGUCAAAGUUUUAGAGGUAUUGCUAAACGAUAAGUCACCGAUCCAAUUCUUUCUAAUACUUUGUAUGGUCCAAUGAACCUGGGACUAAGUUUCCCUUUCCUGUCAAAUUUUAACACUUUCCUCCAUGCCAAGACUUUCAAUAAUACUUUUUCACCAACGAAAAACUCAAUAUCUUUGCGUUUUAAAUCAACAUAGGAUUUCUGACGAUCAGAUGCAACUUUCAAAUUGUCAUGAAUGAUUCUAACUUUAUCUUCAGCUUCUCAAAUCAAAUAAACCCCAACUAGCUUCCUUUCAUUUAAUUCAGACUAGAACAACAAACUUUUGCAUUUCCGACCAUAUAAAUCCUUAUACGAUUCCAUUUUUAUGCUUGAUUGACAACUAUUAUUAUAGGAAAAUACAACUAACGAAAAAUACGGCUCCCAACUACCUUUGAAUUCAAUAAUACAACACCGUAACAAACCUUCUAAAAUCUAUCUUACUCAGUUAGUCUGACCAUUUGUUUGCGGAUAAAAAGUGGUACUGUAAUUCAAAUUGGAACCCAAAGUUUCGUACAAAUUACCCUAAAAUCUAGAAGUAUAAUCUCGAAUCACGAUAUGAUAUUAUCGAAAAAGGAAGUCCAUGCAAUCUUACAGUUUCUGCAACAUAUAACUUUGCCAACUUCUCAAGUGAGUAUUCAGAUCCAACGGGUACAAAAUAAGUUGAUUUUGUCAACCUGUCAUUUAUAACCUAAAUUGUUUCUUUUCUGCUCGGAGUCAAUGGCAAUCCUGAAACGAAAUUUAUAGUGAUCCGCUCCUAUUUCCACUCGGGAAUCAUGAUAGGUUGUAACAAACCUAGAAAAACUUGAUGUUCUACUUUCACCUACUGACAAAUCAAAACAUCUAGCUACAAACUCUAAAAUCUCGCGUUUCAUAUCAGACCACCAAUAACGUUGCUUUAGAUUAUUAUACAUUUUGUUACUCCCAAGAUGUAUCGAAUAAACACUACUGUAAGCUUCAUUCAAUGAUCUGCCGUAAUUUGGUGUAGCAGAUUAAACUAGUUUUCGCACUUUAGGAGUUUGAAAUUAAGUAUUAUUAUUAGGGUUUAAUUAUUAUUAGGACUUUAGCUUUAACUUGUUUAUUUAUACACACAAAAAAAGAAACUGAAAUAACAAUUGCAAUGCCUUAUAUUAACAAAUAAGGUAAAAUAAGUAUGUGAUUACAAUAAUCUUAUGAUUGGUUUUUAGGCACACUCUAACAGUUUUCCACUAACACUAAGACUAAUCAAUCAUAUAUCUAAUACCAAGUGACUUAGUGUGACGAUCAUGCUUCUACUAUGCUAGACGCUUUAUUAGUGGAUCAACGAUGUUGUCAUCUAUUGGUACUCUACAUAUUUUCACAUCUCCUUGAUCAAAGAUUUCUCAAAUGAGAUGAAAGCACCUAUGUAUAUGUUUGGAUUAUUGGUGAGAUCUGGGUUCCUUUGCCUAUGCAGUAGCUUCGUUGUUGUCACAACAAAGUUCCAUGGCAUCUGAUAUGCUAGACAUAACCCCUAGUUCAAAUAUGAACUUCUUAAUCCAAACAACCUCUUUUGUAGCCUCAUUAGCUGCAAUUUACUCAGUUGUAGUUGUAGAAUCAGCUACUGUAUAUGGCUUUGAACUUUUCCAGGCCACAGCUCCAGCAUUAAGGCAAAACACAAAACCUGAUUAUGAUCGUGAAUCAUCCUUGUCAAUUUGGAAGCUAGCAUUAGUGUAACCUUUUACACUCAGCUCUUCCUCACCUCUCUAUAUAUGGAAUGUAUCCUUACACAAAACCCAGAUGUAGCAUCAAAGAAUAAGAUACAUCUAGGAGAGUACAUAGCAUGGCAUACAUGAUAAAUCUAAUAGGUGAAGCAUAUGGAAUCUUACUUAUACGUUCUCUCUCUUGUGAAGUUGAAGGACACAUUUCCUUCGAAAGUGAAAUACCAUGUCUUAUAGGUAGGAAUCCUCUCUUAGAUUCUUCCAUGAUGAGCCUUUUCAAUACUUUAUCUAUGUAUGUAGUUUGGUUUAGACCCAGGAGUCAUCUUGAUCUAUCUUUAUAGAUUUUGACUCCUAAUAUAUAUGUAGCCUCGCCCAAGUCCUUCAUAGAAAAACAACUUCCUAUCCAAGUCUUAACAGACUGUAGGGUAGGUAUGUCAUUUCCUAUGAUAAGUAUGUCAUCUACAAACAAUACUAAGAAUACAAUAGUGCUCCUACUAAUUUUCUUGUAAACACAAGGCUUAUCUUCAUUUUUGAUAAAACCAAACUUUUCGAUUGCAUAGUUAAAACGAAGAUUCCAACUUCAAGAAGCUUGCUUCAAUCCAUAUAUAACACCCUAACUAGUCUCCGUCGCUGGAUCAAGGGUACAGAGUGUUAUGUCACGUAUAAAAAUAAUCAGCAUCAAUAAAUCAUUCAAAUCUGAAAUUCAAUCGUAGCAUAAAAACAUUUAUGAGGCUUAAAUCAAGCUCGCAAGGUAUUAAAAAUAGUUUGGACUCAAUCAAAGACUUAUUUAAAACAAAUAAUUUUUUUUUUAGGAAAAACUAAAAAUUUUGAAUACAGAGGUCACACAGCUGUGUUCUAGGCCGUGUCAAACCUGCUCCUAAAAUCAAAAUGACACACGACCAUGUGGUGUGACCGUGUUAGGCACACGGUCGUGUGACAACCCGUGUCUCAUGCCGUGUGCACCUAAAAUGACUUCCAAAACAAGAUCCAUUUCUUAGGUGCCAAUCCAAACCAAUUUCAACCAUUUAUAUACCUUCAAACACAUUCAAAUAAACUUAAAACAUACCAAAACAUUCAACCUAAUUGCCUAACCAAUGUACCCUCAUAGGUACUACAAAUUAAUCAUCCAACAAGUCACACACAUAUUAACCAUCAAGUUAAUACCUUAAAGAUAUACAUCACAUACCAAAUCAUUCAUUUUAUUACAUCCAUUUUACCAUAUUUCAAGUUAAUUUCAUAAGUCCUAAACCAAAUGACCAAAAGCAUUUAUAAUCACAACUUUAAGCCAAUGAUAUCAAAUAUAUUUAUAAAACCACAAAGACUUCCUAAAACCAAAAUCCAAACAUUGUCAACAUGGCCAAAAUAACCAAAAGACUUUUAGUACAUGCCAUUAAUAACCCAACUUCAAGUUGAUCAAAACUUCUACCGAUUUGGGAAUGGAUAGUGUGUGUGCUCCAACUUGAAAUUCCAACCGGUCGAGAUUUCUGAUGAUCUACAAAGAAAGAAAACAAUGGAAGUAAGCAAAUCAAUGCUUAGUAAGCUCGUAUAUGAUGAAAAUUAAACUCAUCGAAUUUGAAUCAUUUUGUACAUUUCAUGCAUAAUUUUAUUAACAAGCUUAUGAAUUCAUUCAAUUCCUAUACCCACAACAAAUCUCACAAGUUAGUGAGUUCACAUAUAUACAUAAAACUUGAGCAUACUAUAGCAAAACAUUCAAAUAACAUAUUUACCAAUCACUUCAUCCAACUUAAUCUAUAAUAUGUGACACAUUCUGUGACACCCCUAAUUUGACCCUAGUCGAAAAGUGGUUUCGGGACCACAAAACCGAGUCAUAAAAAUAAUUAGCUGUCAUAUUUGAUUCUUAUUAUAUGUACAUAUGCAUGUGCGAAAAUUUCAUGUUUGAAUUUUGUUAAUUGUAAGUGAAUUUUAUUAAAUAGGACUUAUGUGAGAAAAUUUAGAAAUGUGCUAGGCAAAUGUAAGUGGCCUAUUUAUGCAUGUUGCAAAAUAAUUGUAUUUGCAUGUCAAAUUAACCAAAGAACAAGAAGGUGGCCGGCCAUGCUAUAAGUUAAAGCCUAUUAAAAACGUUUGGUGUUAGUGUUUUAUGGGAGAAAGAAUAAAAUAAAAGGUUAGUAAUAAAGAAAUGAAAAGGGAGGGGUGAUGAAAACAAAGUUGUCUCAUCCAUGUUCCCCCCCUCCAUUACCGUGAGUUGAAGAAAGAUAAAAAAAGAAAAAAAAAAUUUACAUGCUCAUCUUUCUUCUUGGUGGCCGAAUUUGGGAAAGGGAAGAUUGAAGAGGAAAAACUAAGGUAUUCGGCCAUGGCUAUCCUAGUUUAAGGUAUGCAUUGUGAUUUUCUUUUUAAUUGACUAUGAGAUUAGAUUGAUAAGUGCAUAGCUUAUUUAACCCAUGGUUUAAUUUCAUGCAUCAAUAGACAAAUGUUCAUUCGGUCAAAUGGGGGAAUGACUAGAAUGGGGUAAAGAUUUUUGGAUGAGUGGCUUAGAGGCACCUUGUACAUUCGGUCAAAGAUUGAGUCUAUUUAGAAUGUUAAUUUCUUCCUCUAUGAUUAUUUUCCUUGCAUGUUAAAUGGUUCUUGAUAAGGCCAAAUGAGUUAUGAAAGUUUUUAUAAAUGUAUGAAAGUCUUCAUGCUAUGAAAAAUUCGGUUGAAAUAUGGAGAAUGAGAGCUGUCAUUUAGGUUAAGACCAAAGGAAUGAUCAAUAGGCAUUAAAGGGUUAAAUGUGUGAAUUUAAGGUAUAAGAACCUAUAGGUAUUUACAUGGGUAAUGUUAAAAAUUAAUGUGGUAUAUUCGGCUAAAUGGGUGAUAAUGGUUUAUAAUGUUGAAUUGAAUUAUGAUUAUGUACAUUAGAAUUAGAUAUAACAAAAAAAAACUAUGUGAAUUUGGAUGCAAUAUUACAUUCGGCCUAGAGGCAUUAGAUGAACAUUUGUGGAAAUCUCAAAGUCUUGAAUAAUGGUGAUUGUAAGAUGAUGUAAAAAUCAUUGAAUUAUAUGCAUAAGUAGUUAGCAAAGUGAUUAAGCUACCGAAUUUAAUUAUUAAAUGAGUUCUAAGCUUGCUGAAUUUUGAGAUGUGAUUGGGAGUAAAUUUGACAUGAGCAUAUUUUGUUAAUGAUAUAUUGAUAAAUGUUGAGUUAUGAUACCAUGAUAUGAACUUAAUUAUCAAAUUGCCGAAUGCGUUUAUAAUUAAGUAAGGUUAAUAAUAGGGCAAUGAGUGGCUAGUAGAAUCCAGUAGUCUUCUUGUUAUAUUCGGCCAUGAGUUUGUAUAAUUGGUUUGUAAUAGAUUAAAUUUGUUUAUCCAAGCUCAAGAGCUUAGGGAGUCUAAUUCGGAAAAGAGAAAAAGCUACCUAACCGAAUAGUCGAUCUGUAAUCGUUCGGCAAUUUCCGAGGUAAGUUCUUAAGUAUUUGAGUUUGAUUCCUCUGUAAGUUUUUAGUGAUUAAACGUUGAGUAAAUUCAAUCAUAAUAGGACAUAAUGAGUUGAUUUAAUAAGAUAUGAUGUGGUCAUGAUAUGUCUUAAACUCAAAUGGUAAGUUCAUAAGUGUUUGGACUUGGAAAUUUAAGAGCAAAUUGUAAUAAUUUGCUUUGGACAGCAGCAGUAACGUGAUUUUAGAAAAUCACUAUAAAUUGUUGGUGUGGAAUUAUAGGCUGAAUAAAAUGUGUAAUCAAAGCUUAGUUAGUCUAAUUUCUUAUAAAAGAGACCGUGUAAGCAAAGAAAUUCCCUAUAAAGAGAUAUUAAAAGUUGUGUGGGACAGUGUCAGAAUGACUCCGAAAUCCCCUGUUCUGUUUUUGGAAAAUCAUUAUAAUUUGUACAAAAAUGGUUAUAAGAUAAGAUUUAUAUUCUUAGACUCCUUAAUGAGUCUAGUUUCAAAUGAAAUCAAAUAGAAUACAUUAUGAAUUCUGUACAAUGAAAAAUUUGAUUCGUAGUGAAGAGUGGUCAGAUUAGUCAAACAGUGAAACAUGGGAAACUUUAAGAAAAAUCUGAUACUGAUUGGCCAAACCUAAAAUUCUGGAAAUUUUAUGGAUGGAAGAUAUACGAGUCUAUAUUCAGGGAAAAUUAACGGCAAGUGAUUUGGAGUUUUUUAGCUCCAGUUAUAAAUAAUUUAGUGACUAUUUCUCAGGAAAACAGCUCGUAGUGAAUAUGUGAUUUUGUUAUAAAUAUGGAUAAAACUUGUUUUAGUUGCUCACAAGCUAUUGAUUAAACCCAUACGUGAAUUCUAAAUCGUGAUAUUGUAAAACGAUAUAUGAGUGCUAGACGGAUCUUCGAUAUUAAAAUUUGUGAAAUUGUAAGUUUAUGAGUAUUCGAAUAUGAAAUGAUAGUAUGGCGUGAAAUUGAAUUAUUCAUUGGAAAAUGAUUGGUGUAGAUUCGGCCAAGACAAAGUGUAUACAUGAUAGUAUAUGUGGUAUGUGAAGUAUAUUUGGAUAAUUGUGAUGUGAAUUCAGGAAAAUUUAUAUUUUGAUUUAGGAUUUUAUGUGAUGAAUGUGAACAUGCAUAUAUGUGAUAAGGCCGAAUGGCCAAUGUGAUGAAUGUGAGCAUGCAUAUGUGUGAUAAGGUCGAAUGGCCAAUGUGGUGAAUGUGACAGCCCAAAGUUGACCCUAGUCGGGAAGUGGUUUCGGGACCGCUAAACCGAGUCACCGAAAUGUUUGAAUGUGAUACUUAUUGUCUAGAAUAUGUAAUUAUGAAGGUGUGAAAAUUUCAAGCUUCAAUUUGGUUGAUUUCAUGAGAAUUUAGUCAAUAGGACUUAUGUGAGAAAAUUCUAAAAUGUGAUAGGUCAAUGUGUGAGGACCUAUUAGUGCAUGUGGACAAAGGGGGGACUUGCAUGUCAAAUUUCCCCCUACUAGUAGUGGCCGGCCAUGACAAGCAUGGUAGACCAAGUUUGAUGGCCAAGACAUGUCAUAGACAUGUUUUGUUGGUGCAUCAUGGGUGGAAAAAAAUAAAAUAAUAGGCAUGGAAAUUAAAUAAUGAAAAGGAGCAUGAUGAAUACACAAAAAAAAAAAAGUGUGUAGUUGAUUCUUUCCCCCCCCCCCAUUGCCGUGAGCUAAAGAAAAGAAAGGAGAGAAUUUUUGUUCAUCCUUUUCUCAUCCUUUGGUUCAUCCUUGGCCAAAAAUUUUAAGGAGGAAAGAAGAAGAAAGGUGAAGAUAUUCGGCCAUGCAUGUAGCUAGGCUAAGGUAUGUUUGAUGAUGUUCCAUGAGAUGCAUGCAUGUUUUAGUUGUUAGCUUGAGUUCUACCUAGCCCAUGGUCUAAAUCUUGCUAUGUGAUGGAAAUGGCACUUGACCAUGGAUGCAUCAUUCUUGGUUGAUGUUUGAUGUUGUUGUGAUGAGGCAUGAGGAUGAGUUAAGAUUCGGCCUAAGUGGAGGUCGUGUUAAUGCCAUUGCAUGCAAAAUAUGAAGCUUGUUAAUGAUGCAUGUGAUGAUGGCUUGAUGAUUUUUGAACCUCCUUUUUAGCAUUUUUGUGUGAGCACAUAUGUGCAUUGAUUGCUAAAUGGAGAAGAAUCGGCUAGCAAGAUGUGUGCUAAGGCCGAAUGUAACUUUGCAUGUUAAUGAGCAAUGCAUGUGUUAAAUUGAGGAAAAGGGGGAGGAUGCUUUACUAGUGUGUAUAUGUGUGUAUUAAGUGUUGAAAUCGACCCCAAAAAUAGACAUGCAUAUUCGGCCAAGGGGAAAGAAAUUAGCUAAUAUGUUGUGUUGAUGCAUGAUUUUUGCAUGUACGAGACUUUAAUGUCUAAUGUAUAAAUAUGGGCUAAGUGCCUUGUGUUCAUCUUUUUGAUGCCUAAAUGAUGAAAUCAAUUUAUUUGUUUAAUUAAGCUCAAGAGCAAAGGGAAAAUAAAUCCGAUAAAGGGAAGGAAAAAGUGGUCGAAUAGUUAGCGGAAUCGUUCGACAACACCCGAGGUAAGUUCUUGAGUAAGAGAGCUUAAAUUACGAUGUGACUAAAUCAUGCUCUAUGUGUGGCUAUUAAGCCGAAUGUGCAAGGACGAUAUGUGCCUUGUGUUUGAGUUUCGCAAAUGAAAAUGAAAUAUGAAUGUGCCAUGAAUUAUUGUUAGAUGUGCAUGAUUAAUUGAAUACUGUCCGGGCUAAGUCCCGAAGGCUUUGUGCUAAGUGACUAUAUCCGGACUAAGAUCCGAAGGUAUUUGUGCGAGUUAUUAAUUCCGGGUUAAGUCCCGAAGGCCUUUGUGCGAGAUACUAAAUCCGGGUUAAGUCCCGAAGGCAUUCGUGCGAGUUAUUAAAUCCGGGUUAAGUCCCGAAGGCAUUGUGUGAGUUACUAAAACCGGGCUAUGUCCCGAAGGCAUUUGAACGAGGAGCUAUAUCCGGUUAAAUCCCGAAGGUACGUGAUUUGGUAAUGAAUGAGCUUGCUGUAAAAUUCCAGCGAAUACACGAAAAACAUCCCAAUAUGGGGAUAUGUUACGUAUGUGUUGAAUUUAAUCGAGCCCUUACAAAUAAAUGUUCGCUCAGUUGAUAAACGAGCUACCGGCCUUCGGCUAAGUUAGUCUAUUGUGUAUGUACAUAAUGGUUGUUAAUGUUGUGAAGCAAGUUUGAUAUCGGUAAAUUGCGUAUUAUGAAAUAUUCCGUUUAGCUAAACGUGUGUUAUUCUUUGUUUAUGCUGGAAUUCCUUGCUCAAAACUUACUAAGCAUAAAUUGCUUACUCGUUACACUGCUCCUCUGUUUUAUAGAUUUUUGGUUCUCCAGCUAUCGGACUCGGGAUCUUGAAGUCGAAGUCGCCCACACUAUCAAAGGCUCUUUUGGGUACUAUUUUGGUUGAAUUUUGAUAUGGCAUGUAUAGGACUACCCAUUGUUGUUUUUCGAGUACUUUAUGAAAUGUAUAAGUGUACAGCCAUGCGAAAAUGGCUUGUAGAAGUGGAGUAUGGCAUUAGACCAUUCGUGUUUAUGAAUGUAUAGAUGGUUUCAUGAUGUAACGAUAGUUGGAAUGGAAGUGUUGAGCAAAUGAUCAGCCAUUGGAAUGGCUAAGUAUGAUCAUAUGUGGGCAUAUGUAUGACAAGGCCCUAGUUGGUCCAUGAAACCCCGAAAAUAGGUAAGGUUUACUCUGAAAACAGAGGCUGACAGCAGCAGUGGUGUGGAUUGGAAAAAUCACAAGAAUUCGUAGGAGUGGAAUUAAAUAGUGAAUAAAUUAUGUAAUCUAACCUUGAUGAAUCUACUUUCAUAUGAAAGUAACGAAACAAUCAUAUGAACAGUACAGUAAGAGAUAUUCAGGUUCUUGUGGGACAGGGCCAGAACAGUUUUUGGAUUUCCUGUUCCGACUUUGGAAAUUCACUAUAAAUUUACCAGAGAUAAUUAGGAGUCAUACCAUAUAUGUAUGGAUUCCUCUCUGAGUCUAGUUUCCAUAGAAACAAACGGCAUCAGUAUUGAAGCUCUGUGCAGAGAGAUAUCCAAGUCGUAAUGCGCAAAGGUCAGGGUAGUCGAUCCCUGUAACAUGGGAGACUUUGACUAAUAAACUGUACUAAUUGGCCCGACCAAAAAUUCUAGAAAAAAAUAUGUAGAUGGGCAUAUGAGUCUAGUUUCAGGGAAAAAUCACAAAACUGAUUUUCGAGUUGUGAAACUCAAGAUAUGAUUUUUUUAAAGCGACUAGUACACAGAUUGGGCAGUGUCUGGAAAUUUUUCAAAGUUUGUUAACACCUCGUGUUCGACUCCGGUGUCGGACUCGGGUUCGGGGUGUUACAGUGAAUAUGAACAUGCAUAUAUGUGAUAAGGCUGAAUGGCCUAUGUGAUGAAUGUGAACAUGCAUAUAUGUGAUGAAGCCGAAUGGCCAAUGUGAUGAAUGUGAGCAUGCAUAUGUGUGAUAAGGCCGAAUGGCCAAUGUGGUGAAUGUGAACAUGCCUAUAUGUGAUGAGGCCGAAUGGCCAAUGUGAUAAAUGUGAGCAUGCAUAUAUGUGAUAAGGCCGAAUGGCCAAUGUGAUGAAUGUGAGCAUGCAUAUGUGUGAUAAGGCCGAAUGGCCAAUGUGGUGAAUAUGAAAAUGCAUAUAUGCGGUAAAGCCGAAUGGCUAGUGUGAAAUAUGUAGGUGAUGUGCGUAUAUUGUGGCCGAACGACCAAAUGUGAAAGGUGUGUAUUAUUAGAUAUUUGAUGAGGCAAAUGAAUUACAAAUAUGACAGUCGAUGUGAAUGUUGUAACAUGUGAUUAAAUGUACAUGAAACUUGGAAAUAUAUUCCGGGUGAGACCCGAUGACUACGUGUGGAGAUUAUGUCCGGGUAAGACCCGAUGACUACGUGUGGAGAUUUUGUCCGGGUAAGACCCGAUAACUUCGUGUGGAGAUUACUUCCGAGCUAAAGGUCUCGCCGAUAAUCCGAGUAGAGGUUAAAGCUAUAAGACUUCGUAAUAAGAAUUGCUUAUAAAUAUAUUCAAUGCGAAAGGUUAAACAGGUAUGUACUCCAAGUUUAUAUGUGAGCUUGAUUUGCACUAAAUCAUAAGGUAGUUAUGUGAUGCAUACGAGAGCAAUCUAUGAGACUAUUCCUAUGAUUAUGUGACAUCGGAUCAGUGUGAGAGGUUAUGUGAAAUCAUACGAUAUAUCUAUGUCACAUGAGCUCACUUUUAUGUGAAAGUUUAUCUGCCUAUUGUAUAUGAUGAGAUGUGCAUAUUCGGUAAAGGGAUGGUAUGCCCGAAGGAAGAGUGAAAUAAAAAUACGAACAACUAUGUUAUAAUUUGAUUGUUAUCUGUUGACACUGCUUAAAACUUACUAAGCAUUGUAAUGCUUACUCCGUUUACUCUGUUUCCUCUGUUUUAUAGAUCUCAUUGUGAAGCUACAGGCUCAGGGAUCGUCAGCAACUAGUCACACUAUCACUAUCCACUGCUUGUUACUGUUAUGUUUAGAACUAUUUUAUGGCAUGUAUAGAAUAGACUAGUGGCGGAAGAAUAUUUUUGGUUAAUGUAUAUAAGCCAUGCGAAAAUGGCAUCUUUUGAAUGUUUACUUAGUGAAGUUUAAAUUUUUAUCUCUGGCUGUGCUUAGUACUUAUUUAAAUGAAUGAUCUUUAUUUUAAGAAAAAGUUUAAAAUUUUACUGUUCUAACAUGAGUUACAAGUCCUGUAAUGCCCCUUACCUAUUCUGGCGACGGUUACGGGAUAGGGGUGUUACAUUUUAUUGGUAUCAGAGCUACGGUUUAGUCGAUUCUAGGACUAACGUAGCACGCGUGAGUCUAUUUAUACGUGCCAUAAAGUGAUAAAAUGAUAGUGUGAUGAUUUUUGACUAUUAAAAUGUGUUUGCUGUAUUGUAAUGAAUCUUGAUCCCGAUCGAGCUGUAGCAAGCUUCUGACUAUGAGAAUCUGCGAUAUAACUUCACUUAGAUAUGCCUAAAUUAUUAAGUUGAUCAGGUACGUAUCAUGUACUCGUAUUUGAAUUUCGAUUUGGAUUGAAUUAUAAGGGUAUAAGUGAUGCAAUUUUGAAAGAGUGUUCUGACUAUAAAUGUGAUUUUUGUAUGUGGCUAUGGAACUGGAAGUUGAAUGGUCGAUAAGCAUGUUGUGUUUGUAUUCAAGUAAUGUAAAUGAUAUACUAAUGUGUAUUGCUAUAUGUGUAUAUGUACAUGAGAAUUGAGAGUGAAAUGUCCGGGCUAAAUCUCGAAGAGCAUUCGUGCUAGUGAUGUAUCCGGACUAAGUUUCGAAGAGCAUUCGUGCUAGUGAUGUAUCCGGACUAAGUUCUGAAGAGCAUUCGUGCUAAUGAUAUAUCCGGGCUAAAUCCCGAAGAGCAUUCGUGCUAGUGAUGUAUCCGGACUAAGUUCCGAAGAGCAUUCGUGCUAGUGAUAUAUCCGGGCUAAAUCCCGAAGAGCAUUCGUGCUAGUGAUGUAUCCGGACUAAGUUCCGAAGAGCAUUCGUGCUAGUGAUAUAUCCGUGCUAAACCCCGAAGAGCAUUUGUGCUGGUGUUAUAUCCGGGCUAGGUCCCGAAGAGCAAUCAUGCUGGUGACGUGUAUUCGGGCCUUCGUGCCUAGUAGGCUUCGUGCCGGUAAUUUGAGCAAAGUUUAAGUGUUCAUUACUAUACGAAUUCAAAUUUAAAUGAGAUGAUAUGUUUACAAGUGUACAUACAUGAUGUUUAUAGACUUGGUUAAGUCAUUUCAAUGUGUAAUAACGAAUGAAUAAGAGCACUAUGUGUGUGAAUGAUUAGAGGCACUGUGUGUGUGCGAAUUCCUUUAACUGAGCACUAUGAGUGCGAGAUCGAUCAGUGGGCACUAAGUGUGUGAAGUGGAAUUCAUGUAAGACCUCGUCUGGGACGAAGGCAUUGAUUUGAGAUAGUGUGUAAGACCAUGUCUGGGACAUGGCAUCGGCUCGAUAUGUGAGAAUAUGUAAGACCAUAUCUAGGAUAUGGCAUUGUAAGAGCUAUAUGUGCUUAAUGAGUAUCCGUAAUGAUUUCGAAUGAUUCAACAGGUAUAUUUAAGAUGAUAAAUUAAGUAAGAUCAGAAUAAGUGAUACAGGUAUGUACGGAAGGUAUGAGAAAAUCAGAUGAAAGUAAAAAGAUGGUGGAUAUGUUGUUAAGAAAUGAAUUUAUGUUAUAAAUGUGUUACGAAUUUAGUCUAUGGAAUGCUUGGUAUAUGAAGUCAUAUGUGCUAUUGCUAAAUGACCCCUAUUUUUUUUGUUAAUCAUAUUCAAGAAAUUAUUUCGAUUAAGUUCGACAUUUGAAAGUCUGUAAGAAUUUGUGAUGAAUGCUGAUAAUUUUGGAUAUAUGGGUUAUGUGCUAAAAUAAAUCCCAUGCCGGUAUACAAUAUGAGGCUUGAUGCCAAAUCGAUUGUAUACGGGUAUCGUUAACGGUGAUUGAAUGUGCUAAAUGAACUCAAUGUUCAGGUAUGUGGAAGUUGAUUUUCUGUUGGAAAUAGGUUAAGUUGAAUAGUGAGAUAUGAUGGAGUGAUAAAGGAUAUUUAUUGGGAUGUUUGAGUAUAUGUGUACUUUCGGUCAGGUUACAGCUUAUACAUGAAUGAAAAUGUGGGUUACAAAUAUGUGGGUUGAUGAUGUGAAUUAUACAUAUUAAUAUGUGCUUAAUAUGUGUUUGAAAUGCAUUUGUGAAUUAAAUUAAGUGAUUAUUCGCCCUUUGUAUGUUUGUACAUUAUUAUCCAUGUCAAUUUUCUUUUUGAAAACCCACUUGCACCUUAUGGGUUUAACCCCUUCAAGUGGGUCAACCAAGAUUCAUACUUGAUAUUCUGACAUGGAAUCCAUCUUAGACUUUAUGGCCUCAAGCCAUUUCUCAGAAUUUGGGCUCGCCACCACUUUUUGAUAAGUCUUAGGCUCAUAUUGAUCCAUAAGUAGAAUAUCUCCAUUUGUUAUAAUGAGAAAUCCAUAUCUCUUAGGUACAUGGCAUCCUCUUAAUGAUCUUCGUGGUAAUUGUGUUUCUAAAAUAGUUGAUUGUUCCGCAACAAAUUGUGGAUAUUGUUGUUGUUCAAUCUCUAGUUCAUUGAUCUGUUGUUGUUCUCAAAUUUUUCUGAGUUUAAUUCUUCUACCAAUUCCUUUUCUAGAGAUAAACUUUCUUUCAAGGAAGGCUCCUGUCCGAGCAACAAACACUUUGUUCUCGGUAGGAUUGAAGAAAUAAUAUCCUUUAGUUCCCUUAGGAUAUCCAACAAAGAUACACUUUUGAUAUUUGGGUUCGAGCUUACUAGACGUCUAACGUUUAACAUAUGCUUCACAACCCCAAGUCUUCAUGAAAGACAUACUAGGACGCUUCCCAAUCCACAUUUCAUAUGGUGUCUUUUAAACCAAUUUAGAUGAAACAUAAUUUAGUGUGAAAGCAACUGUUUCAAGUGCAUAUCCCCAAAAAGAAGUGGGAAGAUCAAAAUGACUCAUCAUUGACCGAACCAUGUCUAACAAUAUUUGAUUUCUUCUUUCAGAAACUCCAUUCCAUUGUGGAGUACCAGAAGAUGUAAGUUGUGAAACAAUCCUACACUCCUUCAAAAACUCAUCAAACUUUAAGCUUAAGUAUUCUUCUCCUUGAUCUUAUCGAAGUGCCUUAAUACUUUCACCUAGUUGGUUUUGUACUUCAUUUUUAAAUUCAUUGAAAUUUUCAAGGGCUUCAGAUUUAUGACGCAUAAGAUAAAUAUACACAUAUCUACUAAAGUCAUCAGUGAAAGUAAUGAAGUAUUCAAAACCUCCUCUGGCUUAUAUGUUCAUUGGUCCACAUACAUCACUAUGUAUUAAGCCAAAUAAAUCACAAGCUCGCUCACUUUUACUAUUAAAAGGAGUUUUAGUCAUAUUAUCCAACAAGCAAGACUCACAUAUAUCAAAUUGUUCAAAAAUAAAAGAAUCCAAAAUUCCAUAUUUAUGGAGCUUUGAUAUGCACUUCUGAGCUAUAUGGCCCAAUUGACAAUGCCAAAGAUAAGUUUGAUUAGAGUAAUUUAUUUUUGACCUUUAGUAUUUAUGUUAUAAAUGGGUCUAUCUUGAGCAGCCCAUUUACUAAUUGUGUCAAACCAUAGAAAACAUUAUUGAGAUAAAAUAACCAACAAUUAUUCUUAAUAAUUAUCUUAAAACCAUUUUUGUCUAAACAAGAAAUUGAAAUAAUGUUUCUAGUCAAACUUGGCACAAAAUAACAAUCCUCCAAAAUUAAAUAAAGUUCAUAGGCAAUGAUUAAAUAUGUGUUCCUACAGCUAAUGCAACAACUCUUGCUCCAUUUUCAACUCUCAGGUCUACAUAUCCUUUAGCCAAAUUCCUACUACUUUACAUACCCUGUACAAAGGUACAAAUAUGAGAACCACAAUUGGUAUCUAAUACCUAAGAAGUAGAUGUUGAUAAAUUAAUAUCAAUAACAUAAAUACCUAAAGUGGACGCUCCGUUUUCCUUUACCUUCUUGACCUUUUCAAGAUAGGCAGGACAGUUCUUCUUCCAGUGUCCUAUCUUACCACAAUGGAAAUAUUUUCCUUCCUUAGUAAUUCCUCCUUUAUGUUUCAAUGUAAUCUUUCCUUUGUUAGGUUUGACCUUGCCAUUAUCCUUAGGCUUUGUCUUAUCAUUAAGCUUUCCUUUGACCUUGUCUUUGCGGACCAUCAUAAUGAGCCUAGGUCUAACCUUUUUCAUGUUACUUUCAGCAGUUUGUAACAUGCUAAGUAACUGUGGCAAAGUCUUAUUAAUCUAAUUCAUGUUGAAAUUAAGGACAAAUUGGCUAAAACUAUCCAAAAACAAUUGCAAGAUGACAUUGCUGGCCAACUCCACACCUAGUUUUUUAAGGCUUUCAAUAUAGCUUAUCAACUUGAGAGCGUGAGUUCCCAUAGGGGGUCUCUUCACCAUUUUGCAUCAAAAUAGAGCUUUAGAGGUUUCGUACCUCUCUUGACAUGCUUGCCCCUCAUAUAAUUCCUUGAGGUGUUGGAUCAUGUCAUAGUCAACCAUAUCCUCAUGUUUUUUUUGAAGCUCAAGAAUAAUGGUGGCAAGCAUUAGACAUCCUAUGUCUAACAUGUCUUCAAGAUGCUUCUUAUAUGCAUUCUCUUCAGCUUUAGAGGCACUACCUACUGGUUCAUUAGGAACGAGUUCUUCAAUGACAUAUAAUUUCUGUUCUUGUUUGAGGACAAUCUUCAAGUUAUGGAACCAAUCAAGAAGGUUCAAGCCAUUCAACUUUCCUUCUUGAUAACUCUUUAAAAGAGUUAUAAUUCAUAAUUUUUGACUUAGUUAACUGCUUGUACUUAGUAAAAUUAGUUCUAUUUUAGGUAAUUGCAUGAUUAUUUUUAGUCAAUCGAGCAUUUCAUGGAAAAAUUGGGAUGGUGAUUACUUUAGUGCAUCUAUACUUUUAAUUGUUAGUGGAAAGGCUUUGUAGUGGUUGAUUGAUAGGUUUGAGGAAGAAAGAUAUCAAAGGAUGGAGAUUUUCUGAGGCAUUAUGAGAGAUUGUCAUGGCAAUGUUGAGGAAGAAAAUGAUAAUACCCAGUAUCAAUUAGAGCAUUCAAUAGUUGGCUCCCUCAUAUGCAUGUGUAAUGAAAAAUAUCUACCUCAAAAUUAAGGAAAAAAACAAUCAUUGACUGACAAUUUUUACCCUAGAGGAUCACCUAAGUAUAAAAGAAAAAGGGGGGAUUAAAGACCAAAAAGAGAGGUCUGCCAUUAAUGAGAGCUAAAGGUACGACUGAUUGUAAAGACGAAGCUUCGAUAAAGGUCUUUUUGUGAUGAAAAGAGUAAUUUAAGCUACUGUGAGCUUGGGUGAAUACGUGCACCAAACGCUAAGUUAGGGGAAUUCAUGUUAUGAACCUAGAUUUCUUCCUCUGCUAUUUGUUCUAAAUCUGCUAAUUUAAAUUGUUAUUUUAAGAUGUUGAUGACAUUAAAAUACUUGAAUUUGCAUAGACCAGUCAUGAACUAACUUAGCACAGCUAUAGAUUACUUUUUAUGAUGUUUCAAUUCUGAUGAAUGUUUAUGGAUGAACAUGAUUCAGUUUAUUACUUUAUUCAAUGUUUAUUUUUGUUUAUAUGCUUAUUAGGGCAUUGAUAAAUGCUUGAUAAGUCUGAAAGGAGCUUAAUAUCGACAGAGUUAUGUUGCUUGGACCAAAAUUGGGUAAUAUAAAGAACAUUGAAUGAAAUGCUCGUGUAAACUCUAAACAUAGAGCUUUACCUUAUAUGAUUUAGAGAAUUGUGCUUUAGUCAUGGUUGCUAAUUCUUAGCCUAUAGAUGUAUAGUGUCUUAGGAAUGAGUAGCUUUAAGUAUUGCUUUCAACAGAGAUGGACCACGUUAGUACCCAAUCGAGCAGUAGGUUACCAUAUUUUUUCCAUGGCAUUGUUCUCGGGUUAUAAAUAAUUCAGUAGUAAUCCCAGACUUUUCAAUCAAUAUUCCAAUCUUGCUAGAAUCCUUAGUGCUUUUAUUCGAUUUGUUGCAAUUGCAAUCUACGAUAGCAUAUUUUAUUUCUUUCAUUUUUAGUGUAUUAAUUGCAUUGUUAUUUCUUAAAAUAUUAUUCGAUUUAUUUAUCUUUUCUACUCAAUUGUGAUAAUUUAGACAAAGAAGACUAAUCCAAUCCUCAUGGGAAUGAUACUCACUCAUCACUUUGUUACUUGAUUCGAUGUGUAUACUUGCAAAAUUCACACAUCAUAUUAACAUGCGACAAGUUUUUGGUGCCAUUACUGAGGAUUAGUGAUUAGCUACUUUAGUUUUUGUUAUUGCAAUUUUUAUAUUUUUAGCUGUUAAUUUGUUUAAUUGUUAUCAAAAUAGGUUUGCUACUAGUUGUAUGCAUAAAGGCCUUCCUAUUGAAGAACUUUAUCCUUUAGAUCUAGAAAUUGAAAGGACCUUGCAAAGAAGGAGAAGAUAUCAAAGAAAAAUGAAUCAAAGUGGUAACAAUCAGCCUGAUUUGAAUGAGCUACUUAAUCCGGGAGAUGGCAAUGGUUUUCCUUAGAUUCCUUAGAUGUUUGAUGAUCGUGAUAGGCCAAUUUAAGACUAGCAAUCACUCUUAAAAGUGGCAUAGAACUAGAUAGAGUUGACAAGAGUGUUGUUGCUAAAACAACAAAUUCAAAAUAUGAUCAAAGAAAAACUCUUAAAUAACACAAGAAGAGCACCACAAAAGAGAAAACUGGACCAAGCAAUGCUAAAGCAAAUUCAAAUAGUACUACUGAACACAAUGCUCAGGCAAAACAAUCACUACGACCUAAAGUUCGCCCACCCCCACCAUUUCCCUAAUGAUUUCAAAAUCACAGACAAGACUAACAAUUCAAAUGAUUCUUGGAUGUCCUUAAAAAACUUCACAUCAUUAUACAUUUAGUGGAAGCUUUGGAGAAAAUGCCCAACUAUUUCAAGUUAUGAAAGACAUACUUUCAAGGAAGAGACAAUUGGGAGAAUUUGAAACAUUCGCACUUACUGAAGGGUGCACUACUAUGCUGACAAAUAAAUUGCCUCCAAUAUUAAAAGACCCAGGAAGCUUCACAAUACCUUGCUCAAUUGAUAACCAAUAUUUUGGGAAGGCCUUUUGUAAUUUAGGUGCGAGCAUAAACCUUAUACCCAUGUUUGUGUUUAAAAAGCUGGGAAUUAGUGAAGCAAGACCUACCACUGUGACCUUGCAAUUGGCAGAUCGAUCAUAUGCACACCUAGAAGGUAAAAUUGAAUAUGUCCUGGUAAGGGAAGAUAAAUUCAAUUUCCCUACUAAUUUCAUUAUAUUAGACUAUGAAGCUGACAAAGAUGUGCCUAUUAUUCUAGGUAGACCUUUUCUUGCAACAGGUAGGACUGUGAUUGACGUUCAAAAGGGUGAAGUAAUUAUGAGGGUGAAUGAUCAACAAAUCACUUUUAAUGUUUUCCAAUCUUUGAAAUGUGCUGAUGAUAUAAAAGAGUGUCAUGCUGUCAGUUCGUUAGACUCUGUUGUGGAAGAGAAGUUAAAAAAAAACCAUGACAAAGAGCUUAAUGAAUUGGAUUCAGUUGACAUUGAUGAUGAAGGGCCAUUAGGACACCACAAGUAGUUGCUGACAUCCAAAUUAAUUGUCGGUAGACCUGGAAAUAGGUUUGACACAUUAUAGUUAUCUACUCAAAUUUUCAGCCCUGCUAAACUUCCCAUAGAAGAACCACCCAUGUUAGAGUUGAAACCUCUACCUGCGUAGUUAAAGUACGCUUAUUUGGAGAAGGAUAACACACUACAUGUGGUUGAAUCUAUUGAGCUAAAUUAUGAGCAAGAGAUUCAAUUUUUAGUUGUACUUAGGAAAUUCAAAAAAAAAUUAGGAUGGGCAAUCGUAGAUAUUAAAGGAAUCAAACCACAAUUUGCAUGCACAAAAUUUUGUUGGAAAAUUGCCAUGACAGUUCUAUUGAGCAACAAAUGAGGUUGAACCCUAUUAUGAAAAACAUGGUGAAAAAGGAGAUAAUCAAAUGGUUGGAUGUUGGCAUUAUCUACCCUAUCUCAAAUAGCUCUUGGGUGAGUCCAAUCCAAUGUGUGCCAAAGAAGGGAGGUGUCACCGUGGUUAGUAACGAUAAUAAUUAGCUUAUACCUACACGAUUUGUCACGGGAUGGCGAGUCUGUGUGGACUAUUAGAAGCUCAACAAAGCUACAAGGAAAGACCAUUUUCCACCGCCUUUCAUUUAACAAAUAUUAGACUGAUUAGCUGGUAAGGAUUUCUACUACUUCUUAGAUGGAUAUUAUGGGUACAAUCAGAUUGCAAUCACCCAAUAGGAUCAAGAAAAAACAACAUUCACCUAUCCAUAUGGUACAUUUGCCUUCAGAAGAAUGCCUAUUGGUUUGUGUAAUGCACCGACAAAAUUUUAACUGUUCAUGAUGUCAAUAUUCUUAGAUAUGGUUGAGAAGUUCCUUGAAGUGUUUAUGGAUGAUUUCUCUGUCUUUGGGAAUGAUUUCGAAGGUUGUUUGCACAACUUAGAGCUGGUACUUCAAGGUAGUGAGGAGUCUAACCUUAUUUUAAACUGGGAGAAGCGUCAUUUCAUGGUACAAGAAGGCAUUGUCCUAGGGCAUAAGGUCUCUCAUAAAGGAAUUAAAGUUGACAAGGAGAAAAUAGAAGUGAUUUAGAAGUUGCUACCUCUAACGAGUGUUAAGGGAAUUAGGAGUUUCUUAGGGCAUGCUAGAUUCUAUAGGAGAUUUAUCAAAGACUUCCCUAAGAUCUUUAAGCCGUUGUGUACCUUGUUGGAAUAAAAUAAACCUUUCCUUUUUGAUGAUGCUUUUCUAUCUACUUUUGAGGAGCUGAAGAAGUGGCUAAUGGUUUCUCCAAUAGUACUGGCCCUAGAUUGGUCACUGCCAUUUGAGCUCAUGUGCGAUGCGAGUGGUUUUGCUAUUAGAGUCGUGCUUGGCAACAGAUAGGUAAAAUUUUUCACACUAUUGACUAUACCAGCUGUACUUUAAUAGAAGCACAACUAAAUUACACUACCACUGAGAAGGAAUUAUUAGAUGUUGUGUUUGCAUUUGAUAAGUUUAGAUCAUAUCUAGUAGGCACUAGGUUCAUUGUGUAUAUCGAACACUCUACAAUUAAAUACUUAGUAGCCAAGAAAGAAACAAAGCCGAGACUGAUCAGGUGGAGUCUUUUGCUACAAGAAUUCAAUCUAGAAAUUUGACAUAAAAAAGGAACAGAGAAUCAAGUAGCAGACCAUCUAUCCAGGUUAGAAGUUGGGAAUGAGGAUGGCAAUGUCAAGCUUAUUAAGGAAGACUUCUUAGACUAGCAACUGUUGGCUACGAUGACAUUUUCUUGGUAUGCCGAUAUAGUGGACUUCUUAGUAAGCGGUCUACUGCCACCUGAUCUUAACAGCCAAACUAAAAAGAAAUUCCUUCAUGAUGUAAGAUGUUAUUACUGGGAUGAACCUUUCCUAUUCAAGUAGUGUGCUGAUAAGAUAAUUAGGAAGUGUGUCCCUGAUGAUGAAAUACACAACAUUUUGCAACAUUGCUAUUCAACCUCUUAUAGAGGAUACUUUGGAGGAAUGAGAACUGCUACCAAAGUAUUUCAAUCAGGAUUUUAUUAGCCAAGUCUAUUCAAAGAUGCCUAUAGCUUUUAUAAAGCAUAUGAUCGAUGUCAAAGAAAUGAUAAUGUUUCAAGAAGACAUGAAAUGUCAUUGUAAAACAUUCUAGAGGUUGAGUUGUUUGAUCUAUUGGGAAUAGAAUUUAAGGGUCCAUUUCCACCAUUAUUUGUCAACCUAUACAUACUAAUGGCAGUCAAUUAGAUCUCCAAAUGGGUAGAAGCUGUAAGCCUUCCUGCCAAUGAUUCCAAGUCGGUGAUGAAGUUCUUGCACAAGAACAUAAUCACGAGAUUUGGAAUGCCUCGAGCCAUCAUCAGUGAUGAGGGCUCUCAUUUUGAUUGUAUACUCAUUAAUAAUGCUUUGCAUAGGUAUGGGGUGAAGCACAAACUUGCCAUAGCAUAUUGGCACGUGAUAUUCGUGACAGGUUUUAAAGAUUUAUAAUUAGUCGUUCUUGAAACUAACUAUUAUCCCGAUGAAGGCAAGUGUACCUAUUGAACAGUAGUAUAGCUUUAGCAAGACCGAAUUGUCGAACCCAAAGGAACCAAGAGUACUAGUAAUUACUCUCCUUUUAUUAUCUAACCUAAAAAUUAAGGGAUUUGUUUAUCUAGAAUAAUUAACUAAACUAAGGGUGCAUAGAGUGAAAAUUGGGAAAAAGCUUUUGGGAAAACUGGAUUGACUAAGACAAUACCCAAGGAAAAAUCCACCUAGACUUCACUUGUUAUUUGACUCUGAAUCAGACGAUUUAUUCAUUUGACUUGAUCCGUAAAAAUCCCUAAGUUAUAUUAAUUGAAAUCUCUUUUUAAUUAACGCCCUAGUGUUGCAUUAACUUGAUCUAUGGAUCCCCUUAUUAGGUUUCACCCUAAUUUGGUAAAAUCUUAUCACCCUAUCUCUAGGCGUGCAAUUGAAUCCGCUUUAUUAUGAUAAAUUUACUCUUAGACAGGGUCUAUUUCUCCUCUAAAUAAGAGCAUUAACUUGAAUCAAUAUCCUGAAAUAUUAAAACAAGAAUUAAGAACACAUAAUUAAGGACAAGUUAAAUAUUUAUCAUACAAUUUAGAUAAUAAUAACAAGAUCCGUUAUUAGGUUUCAUUCCCCUUAGGUAUUUAGGGAGUUUAGUUCAUAAUUAUAAAAGAAAAUAUCUCAGAAGAAUAAUGAAUACAAAACAUAAAGAAAACCCAAAACCCCUGAAUGGAAAUUGAAGGGAGAUCUUCAGUCUUGACGAUGAAUUCGGCUUCUGAGAUGGAUCAAUCAGCUUCCCUUGAGCAAUUCCUUGCCUCCUACUCUGUGUGUCCCUUCUAAGUGCCUCCUCAGGUGUUUAAAUAGGCUUUAGAAUGCCUAAGACCCUAAAAGUGGCCUUUUCUGAAUAGGACUAUACUUGGGCUCGGCAGGGACAUGAUCGUGUGACAUGCCCGUGUGCGAUUACUCCAGCCCGUGGUCAAGGCUGUUGAAUAGGCACGGGCGUGUAGUCUACCCGUGUAAAUUGUGCUUCGAUCCUGCCAAAUGGACACGGCCGUGUGCCACGCCCGUGUGAGGAAGUCCAGGCCGUGUUGAUUUCCCAUGUGGGUCCAUUUUCUCCGUUUUCGGCCCGUUUCUUGCUCUUUUUUCUCUCCUAUGCUCACCUAAGUAUAAAACAUGAAAUUAAAGAAUUAGGAGCAUUGAAUUCACCAAAUCUAAGGAGAAUUCAUCCAUAAAUGUGCUAAGCAUGGGAUAAAAAUAUGUAUAAAUUACGGUUUAUCAAAUACCCCCACACUUAAGUGUUUGCUUGUCCUCAAGCAAAAUCCUCAUCUCACAAUCAAAAUAAAUUCUUCUCAAUUUAUAAUCCCUAUCAAUAAUAUCUCAAAAUAAUCCAUAAGUAACCAUACAUUGAAAAUUCAACUAAAAGUACAUCAAAGUUUCAAACAUUCCAAGUUGAGCAUUUUAUCAUGAAAACAUAGGUGUCCCCCAUUAUCUAAGUAAUCACCUUUUAUCAAAAUAUCACAGAGUUUAACAUCCUCACUAAAGAUUCACUCAAAUCACUCGAGGGGUUUAAGGACAUCAAAUAAAGCACUCAUUAGUCAAUAUGAAAAGUUAUUACCAUAGGCUUGCAUGAAAAUCAAAUGUCCACCACUAGAAAUUGAGAUGAUACAUCAAUUAAAAAGGUCUUUAGAGGGUUAUAAUGUGGCUUUGGUUAGGGGGUGUGGUCACAAGCUGAAAGAAAAGGUUAGAAUCGAGAUUGAUUUGAAGAAAUCACCUAACUAGAAAAAUAACUAAUUAUCAGAUGAAUACAAGUAAGCUUCUUCUCAGAAUAUGGAAUUAACACUCAAGCUCAAAAAUGACGAAUUACUACUAAUAUGUAUGUAAGUAUAUAUAUAUUAAGAACAAGUCAAAUACUAUAGAACUUUGAAGAAUAAAACAUAGUUAAGCAAUUGAUUCAAAUCAAAUCUCGAAAAAAAUAGGGAUCAAAUUAGGGGAUUUCAACAAUAAUGGGUUAUGGGUUAAUAUUAAAGGUAAAUCAAUUAGUGGCUUGUUAGGCUCAAAGGGGUUCAUUAAGGGUUAAUUAUAAAGGUAGGCUUGUGUGGAGUGAGUGGGUUAAACCUAAAUGCCUUUAUCAUUUUGACAUAUCAAAUCAAAUGGUGUGGUUUUGACAUGCAUAAUCAAGCAAGUUCUAGAAUAACGAUUCAAUAUUGACGCACUCAUAGCAAUAAUAGAAGUGAGCAUGAAAGAAAUAAUUGAUGCUCUAAAGGCUCAAGAUAUCACAAAAAAUUAUGGUUUUUUGAUGUUUAAACCUAUGAUUUCGACUUAAGAUAAUACCUAAACUUGGGGAAAACAACCUAGAACAUUUAAUUCUCAAAAAUCAACUUAGCAUGCUUGAUUCUCUAAUGUCUUAAAGUUUAAACAAUCAAUGCAUGAAUGCCUAUGUUUUAAUUCAAGACAUAUCAAUAAAAUAUAUAAAUUAAUCAAAAUUUGUUCUAAUCAUGACAUGAGAAGAUCACAUGAGAAUAAGACAAAAUCAGGAAUUUUUCAGAUAAUGAAAUAAAUAACCCCCUACACUUAAGAUGUACAUUGUUCUCAAUGUACAAAGAUAUAUAUACUGGAAAAUAUAAAUAUAAGAUCAUAAGAUAGGGAGAGAAGUGAAACUUCUUGAGUUAUGAAUGGACUCCUUGAAUUGGAGUUAUGGAAAGUAAUUGGCUAAGGUACUAAUGAGGGUGGAGGAGGAUACUCCGGUGGUGGUAGAGGUUGGGUUCCACAAGUGCUGCGCCAAAAGAAUAUUACAUCUCUUGUAGCUAUGGUCGUGGUUAAGCAGGGCAUGGCAGUCGUGGAGAACCUUUUCCAGUGGAGUUUCAAGUUCCUAAGUAAUAGUGAGCUUUGGAGUUCUUUAUAAAUCUUCAUCUCUAGAUGGUUCGCGAGGUGGGGAUGGCGAUGAGAUGUGGAAGUGUUGACAAAUCUGAUGUAGUGUCGCAUCAAUGUGAUCAAAGAGUUGAAAACAUUGCUGCUCAAAUCGUGUAAUGCACUCAGAUAUGUCAGACAGUGAAGCUGUCGCAUAAGUUGGAUGAGUGGGUGAUGGCUGAGACCUUGGGUCAUCGUGACAUGGAGAGACAUCAUCAGUAAUGUCCUCUGGGUCUUCCUUCUUAGUAGACUGGAUAAGGCGGUACUGAGGAGGGUAGGUGCCACAUCGUUUCUCGAUCAUCCUCAUAUGUAGCAUGCUCGAGAUGCCCUGUGGGGACAUUUGGCAGAUGAGAGUGAGGGAGGACGAUUGUCCCACUGUGUUGAGGAGCCCAAAGUGUCGAGCCAAUUGAGUCAUAUAGGGCUCGAUCGAGAUGACUCCUCUCCUAUGUCGCUCCAUCUGAUGGCGGAUGGUGAGGGCGAUAAAGCAGGAGAGGUCGAUAAUGUGCCCAUUCGUCAUGCACCAUAGAAAGUAAGCAUCGUGAGUGUUGACGACGCCGGUGCUCUCUCGUCUCCCUGUCAGAGUGUGAGCCAAGAUGGCGUGUAAGUACCUUAAGGAGGGAGGGAGAGCCGAUGCCUUGGAGCAGCUAGGAUCGUAGGUGGUCGAGGCUGGGACGAAGGCGUUCCAGCACUUCGAGGGAGAGUAGUGGAUAUGGCAGCGACAGAGGCUGUCAAAGUUUUCCUUAUCCAUGAACUCCUCCGUGUAUAGGCCCAAUGCGAUAUCAAACUCUGGGACGCUCAACUUGCAGACUAGACCACCGAGACGGAAGUGGACCGUUCCAGGAUCAUCGAAGUUGGUCAUGACGGUAUGAAGAUGGAACGUUGCGUAGAGUUCCAAUGUGAACUCGAGAUACGUCGGCUCGACGAUCUCAAAGAAGAGCCCCCACGGAUCAGUCGUCAGGAGGGCUCAGACCGCGUCAGUCAAUUGAAUCAGUUCAAGUGCGGCCUAGUGAAUACAUCGGCCCACACCUAGGGGUCGGGCCUGUAAUAUCUGAUAUAAUUCCUCCUGGGGUCCCAAGGGAACCUAGAGGAAUGGGUGCCUAAUCUCCGUCUAAGGACCCGAGGAUGAUGCUGCUCCUUUCCUCUUCUUUGAGAUGGGGACGACGAUUUUCUUCCCUCGUGAAGAUGACAUGGUAUGUUUGCAGUGAAAAAAAUUGAAAUUGAACCAAUACGCCCCAAAAAUAGCAUGAAAAAGAAAAAACAAAACUAAAUAGGAAUAUUUUAUGAGACUCACUAACUAGAUGAAGAAGAUAAAACUAAAAAAUAACUAAAGCAAAUAUAUCAAGUUAUUAAAAUAGGACUAUGAGAAUAUCUAAUGCAUGAAUGCAUGUGGGUAAGCAUAAAAUCCAUGGAAGCACGAAAAAUGGAGGAAUGUAGUAUGAAAACUGGAAAUAUUCUUUAAUGAUAAGCAUGAGUAUUUCUAUUAUUCUACUAUGAAUAUUCACUUAAGAUAGUCAAAUGGAUCAGAGAAAUCAUGAAAUAGGAAAAAUAUUUAAAGAAAAUAGAGAGAAAAGAGAAAACAAACGCAAAAGGGAGAAGCUUGGGUCGUCGAAAACCGUGUUAUAGGUGGCGCACGGGCGUGGCAGGUAGGGCGUGUGGAGUUGCAGCGGCUAGGGUUAGGGAUUUUUGGGGAGGGGGAUGAUGAAUAGUGAGGGGUUUAUAUAGAUUUUGGGGCACACGGUUGUGGGGCACGCCUGUGUACCCUUAUUUUUGCCCGUGUGUUUUACGAUUUUUAAAUUUAGGCGCGUCUGACAUUCCACCCACGCUCGUGUUCUUUGGGUGUAUUGGUGCACACUGCCGUAUCACAUGGCCGUGUCUUGCUUCAUUCACUUCUUUCAUGCCCGUGUAUAUAGGUCCACACUCGUGUUAGUUUGACAGUGUUGACUAUGGGUGAAUGGUACGGGCGUGUCACACGCCCGUGUUAAAUUCUCAGUUUCAACCAUGGUUUCAAGGCAUGGGCGUGUCUCAUGCCCGUGCUAUUUUGGUAGUUUCGCCCACGACCCUGUCACAAGGCCGUGGCAAUUUAUCACAUCCCGUGUUAGGGAAAUUUUUUUUCUUUUUUUCACACAGCUGUAUCGCACGGCCGUGUCUCUUCCUGUAGUGUGAACAUGACCUAAGGCACGCCCGUGUGCCUGGCUAUGUGGAUGGGAAAACCCUGUGUUCCGAGACUCAGUUAGUAGGUUAGACGUGAAAAACUAGAAUUUAAAGAAAUCAAUAUUGUUAGUGCUUGGGUUGCCUCUCGAGAAGCGCUUAUUUAUAGUCUAAGCUUGACUUACCUCUCUGGUGUGUGAUCAUGGUGGCUCAAUGAGUUUACACUCCUCAUCCCUGCUAUCAACUUUAUCAGUAUAAGGUUUAAGACGAGUAUUGUUUACCUUAAAAGUGCUGAAUUUGGGAUGAAUUACCUCGACUGUACCAGAUGGGAAAAUACUGAGUACCGUGAGAGGAAUUUCUUCAUUAGGUUCAGAAGUGGCACUACGAGGAUCUGCUGCAUCUAGUAGUACUUUGUCUCCAACCUUAAGUUGAUUUGGUGAGGUAUUGAGCUCGUUCUGGCUCAAUUUUGAUUUAUCGAGUAUUCUCGAUUUUUGUGUCCACCAUUCAUCUAGCUCAUUGAUUUGCAUCCUUCGUUCUUCAUAGAUAGGUCCUUUGAUGUUGCUUGAACAUGGCUCAUAUAUGUUCUUCGAACCUGUUUCCUGUAAGGUAGGUUGCACCACAUGGUCAGUUUUAAUAGUAUGAUUUAUACAACCACCUUCAAUUUUCGAUGUGUUAUUCGAAUUACGAGUUUGAAGGGUGAUUGUUUCGUCUCCCACACGAAGUGUGAGUUCACCUGUGCCAACUUCAAUAAUUGUUUUAGCGGUUGCUAAAAAGGGCCUCCCUAAAAUUAAAGGAACGUUACUGUCCUCCUCUAUGUCUAGAACAACGAAAUCAACUGGGAAUCUAAAUUUUUCAAUUUUAACGAGUUCAUCUUCAAUAAUCCCCCUAGGAAAUCUGAUUAUUUUAUCAACUAAUUGAAUACUCAUCCUAGUUUGUUUGGGUUUCCCAAGACCUAUUUGCUUAAACAUUUUGUAAGGCAUAACAUUGAUACUAGCCCCUAAAUCAGCCAAAGCAUUAUUAGCAUCUAGGCUACCAAUUAAACAGGGAAUCGUAAAACUCCCUGCAUCUUUUAAUUUUGUGGCCAGCUUAUUCUAUAGUAUGGCUCAGCAAACUGCAUUUAGCUCCACAUGCGACGCCUCAUCCAACUUCCGCUUGUUUGUUAAAAGCUUAUUUAAGAAUUUGACCGCGUUUGGAAUCUGUGAAAGAGCUUCAAUAAAUGGUAAGUUAAUAUGUAACUUCUUUAAUAAUUUAAGGAAUUUACCGAAUUAUUCUUCUGUACGAUCUUUCCUUAUCGCGUUUGGGUAUGGCACACAAGGUUUGUAUUCUGUUCUUAUCGGUUUCUGGUCAUUGUGGUCCACCUCACCUUUACCUUUACGUAGCACAGUUUGUUGCCUUGGUUCUAGUUCAGGUGAAACUAACCAUUCCUCAUCUUGAACGGUAAUUGCAUUGAUUUGCUCCCUUGGGUUAGGUUCAGUGAUACUCGGCAGGCUACCUUGUGGUCGUUCAGAUAUCAAUUUAGCGAGCUGACCUAUCUGAGUUUCGAACCCUUGGAUCGACGCUUGUUGAUUUUUAAGUACUGUCUCAGUAUUCUAAAAAUGAGUUUCUGACACCGAGAUGAAUUUUGUUAGCAUCUCUUUACGGUUCGGUUUUUUCUCUUGUUGGUAAGGUGGUUGUUGGAAACCUGGAGGUGGUGGUGGUUUCUGAUUUCCUUGGCCUCCCCAUGAAAAAUUUGGGUGGUUCCUCCAACCUGCAUUGUAAGUGUUACUAUAAGGAUUAUUUUGAGAUCGAGGAUUAUUACCCAUGUAACUUCUCGUUCUCCAUGUUGUGGCCAUAGGAUGGGUAUUUUGAAUUGCUUGAUCCACCUCCACUUGCUUCGCAUUGCAUUACUGGGUGAACAUGUGAAGAACUGAGAAAUCGUCAACUUUUUUGUUCAAAAGUUCUACCUAAUUAGAGAGCAUGGUGACCGUAUCGACGUUAAAUACGUCGGCUGUUUUCAUUGGUUUUGUCCUUAUGACUUGCCACUGAUAAUUAUUUAGUGACAUCUCUUCUAUAAAUUCAUAUGCAUCCUCAGGUGUCUUAUUAUUGAUAGUUUCACCAGUGGCUACGUCAAUCAUUUGUCGAGUCAAAGGAUUCAGGCCAUUAUGAAACGUUUGAACCUAUAGCCAGAGUGGUAACCCAUGGUGAGGGAACCUUCUCAAAAGGUCCUUGUAUCUCUCCCAUGCAUCGUAGAGUGUUUCUAAAUCUAUCUGCAUAAAAGAAGAGAUAUCAUUAUGUAAUUUGGCUAUUUUAGCUGGCGAAAAAUAUUUUAAUAAAAACUUUUCGGUCAUUUGUUCCCAGGUAGUGAUUGACCCUCGUGGUAAUGAGUUCAACCAUCGUUUAGCCUUAUUUCUCAAUUAAAAGGGAAACAAUUGAAGGUGAAUGGCAUCAUAAGAAACGCCAUUGAUUUUAAAAGUGUCGCAAAACUCUAAGAAAGUCGCCAAGUGAGCGUUGGGAUCCUUUUCCUACAAACCAUCAAACUGAACAAACUGUUGGAUCAUUUGAAUGGUGUUAGGUUUCAGUUCAAAAUUAUUUGCAGCAACAACAGACCUAACUAUGCUCGAUUCAGUUCCUGUUAAAGAAGGUUUAGCAUAAUCAUACAUGGUACGUGGAGCAGGAUUCUGAUUAGCAGCAAUUGCAGGAGGUAGCGGAUUUUCUUGGUUUUCAGCCAUCUCCUCAGUUGUGGUUGAAGUAUCAUCCUCUUUCUCUUCCUCUGUGUAUCGUAAGCUUCGCCUUAUUUCUCUUCGGUUUCUGUGAACUGUGCGAUCGAUCUCACUAUCAAAAAGUAAUGGUCCCGACGGGUUUCUUCUAGUCAAACACUAUAAAAACCUGCUCGGAACGAAUAAAAGAAAAAUUAGAAAGGAAAAUAGAAAUUUAAAUAAAUAAGGUAAAAUGACUAAAGUAAUAAAAAUCGAGUGUUCCUAAUAUCUUAGUUCCCCAGCAACGGCGCCAAAAACUUGGUACAUGAUAUUCGCGAUAGGUUUUAAAGAUUUAUAAUUAAUCGUUCUUGAAACUAACUAUUAUCACGAUGAAGGCAAGUGUACCUAUCGAACAGUAGUAUAGCUUUAGCAAGACCGAUUGUCGAACCCAAAGUAACCAAGCGUACUAGUAAUUACUUUCUUUUUAUUUUCUAACCUAAAAAUUAAGGGAUUUGUUUAUCUAGACUAAUUAACUAAACUAAGGGUGCACAGAGUGAAAAUUGGGAAAAAGCUUUUGGGAAAACUGGAUUGACUAAGACAAUACCCAAGGAAAAAUCCACCUAGACUUCACUUGUUAUUUGACUCUGAAUCAGACGAUUUAUUCAUUUGACUUGAUCCGUAAAAAUCCCUAAGUUAUAUUAUUUUCUCUCUCGAGACUAAUAACGUCUAAACCUAGGUUGAUUAAUUGAAAUCUCUUUUUAAUUAACGCCCUAGUGUUGCAUUAACUCGAUCUAUGGAUCCGCUUAUUAGGUUUUACCCGAAUCCGGCAAAAUCUUAUCACCCUAUCCCUAGGCGAGCAAUCGAAUCCGCUUAAUUGUGACAAAUUUACUCUUAGACAGGGUCUUUUCAUCCUCUGAAUAAGAGCAUUAACUUGAAUCAAUAUCCUGAAAUAUUAAAACAAGAAUUAAGAACACAUAAUUAAGAACAAGUCAAAUAUUUAUCAUACAAUUCAGAUAAUAAUAACAAGAUUCGUUCUUAGGUUUCAUUCCCUUUAGGUAUUUUGGGAGUUUAGUUCAUAAUUAUAAAAGAAAACAUCUCAAAAGAAUAAUGAAUACAAAACAUAAAGAAAACCCAAAACCCCUAAAUGGAAAUUGAAGGGAGAUCUUUAGUCUUGAUGAUGAAUCCGGCUUCUGAGAUGGAUCAAUCGGCUUCCCUUGAGCAAUUCCUUGCCUCCUACUCUGUGUGUACCUUCUAAAUGCCUCCUCAGGUGUUUAAAUAGGCUUUAGAAUGCCUAAGAGCCCUCAAAAGUGGCCUUUUCUGAAUAGGACUAUACUUGGGCUCGGCAGGGACACGCUCGUGUGACACGCCCGUGUGCGAUUACUCUAGCCCGUGGUCAAGGCUGUUGAAUAGGCACGGGCGUGUAGUCUACCCGUGUAAAUUGUGCUUCGAUCCUGCCAGAUGGACACAGCCGUGUGCCACGCCCGUGUGAGGAAGUCUAGGCCGUGUUGAUUUCCCACGUGGGUCCAUUUUCUCCGUUUUCGGCCUGUUUCUCACUCUUUUUACUCUCCUAUGCUCACCUAAGUAUAAAAUAUGAAAUUGAAGAAUUAGGAGCAUCAAAUUCACCAAAUAUAAGGAGAAUUCAUCCAUAAAUAUACUAAGCAUGGGAUAAAAAUAUGUAUAAAUUACGAUUUAUUACAUAUCACCCACAAGCAAAUGGACAAGCUGAGAUUUCUAAUAGGGAGAUUAAGUAGAUUCUGGAAAAGAUGGUGAAACCAACUCGAAAGGAUUGGUCCUUAAGAUUGGAUGAAGCCUUGUGGGCUUAUCGUACUACCUUUAAAACACCAUUUGGAAUGUCAUCUUUUAAGCUUGUUUAUGGUAAGCCAUGUCACCUUCUUGUUGAGUCAGAGCAUAAGGCAUUUUGUGCCUUUAAAAAGCUGAAUAUGGAUUGGAUAACCACCAGACAAAAAAGACUAUUUGAGUUGAAUGAAAUGAAAGAAUUUAGACCCCAAGCUUAUGAUAACGUUAAGCUCUAUAAGGAAAAGACCAAGCGAUGGCACGACAAGAGGAUCAUGCCAAGGAAAUUUGAACAGGGGUAACAUGUUUUGCUAUUUAACUCAAGAUUGAAAUUGUUCCCUGAUAUGUUGCAAUCGCAAUGGUCAGGGCCUUUUGAUGUGGUCAAGGCCUAUCCUCAUGGUGUAGUGGACAUCAAAGAUACCAGGACUGGGGUAAAUUUUGAAGUUAAUGGUCAACAUUUAAAGCACUACUGGGGUGCUCAUGUGGAUCGGGAGAAACAAUCCAAUGACCUUCGAGAUGUUUGAGCUCAAAAUCUUUUCUAUCUUUAUUUUCUUUAGUUGCUUUACUUUAAUUUCAUUUUCUACAGUUUUUAUUUUUAAUUAAUUAAAGUUAUUUUCAUUUCUGGUUAUAUUUUUUUUAUUAAUGUACAACUUUAGCAAGAAUUGCAGGGAAAUAAUAAAGGUGUAAGCUUGUUAGAUGUAGUACCAAGGGGUGUUUGCCCUAACAUUUUGAAAGAGAAUUAUGCCACGACAUAUUGGGUUAUUGGAUAUUGAAGGAAGAGAAAAUGAGGGUUGACAAGGAAGAAUUGUUCAAGAAAGAGAUUUUUGACAAUUGGGCCCAUUCUGUUAAUUAGGUAGCCUAUGAUGAAACUGCCAAACGUGUUGCUUUAGGGUUAGGUUAUUAUAAGGUUCCCUCCAAAAUAAUUAACACCAUUUCCCCCAUUUACUUCUCUUUAAUUGUCCAAACCUCUUUCAUUUUCCACAAUUCCUUCGUGUUUACCAUUUCUUUUUUCCUGAACCUCCCUGGCCUCUCCUAUUGCAUUUUCAAGUUCCUUUAAGUUUUCUUGAUAGUUUCAUUUUCCCUUCUAACCUAGACCACAUUCUCAAAUAUUUGUCAAUAUUCUUCAAUGGCAAAAGUAGAAACCCCUUCUGAACGUGCUAAAUUUUCACAAGUUGGUGCUACCCAACCUAAAACCUUCUUCAAUAGUGUUGUUGUUGUGAAGUACAACAACAUCUUCAAGUAAACAUUUUACUUCGAACAAGGUUUUUUGUUUAAAGAUGAGCCUUAUAUGGGAUAUGAUGAAUUAGUUUCCUCCAUUGUUGAGAAGCAUGGAUGGAAAAUUUUUUGCUUAGAUCCAGAUGAUGUUUUAGGGAAAGUCGUUCGCGAGUUCUAUGCACACAUCAAUUCUCCUGACAAUCCUUUUAUCUAUGUUUGUGGAACCUCAGUCCCACUUGAUGUAGACCACAUUAAUGCCUAAUUUGGGUUAACUGAUGUUCAAUAUGAACAUACUCCAUUCACCUAAACCAUCACCGCUGACGGCUGAAAUUAGGUGUUAAACAAUUUGUGUAUUGUAGGCACUCGAUGGACUGUCUCUAGCCAGGAAUGCCAUACAAUUGGGAAGGCUUCCCUAAAGCCCAUUGGUAAAGUUUGUUACCACUUCCACCCAUAACACCACAGUAUGAAAGGAAUGAAUGCUAUUGUUACAUUCAAUCAUUGUGGGUCAAAAAAUCAACAUUGGCCCUGUCAUUUUUCAUGAAGUGCAUCGAUGUGUAAAGAAGAAUGCCAACAGCCUCAAUUUCCCUUCCUUCAUCACUGCUCUUUGUAGAACACCUCAAUUACCUUUAAAUACUAAUGAGGACGUCAGACCAAACAAGGGAGGAAUGUCCAGGGCUAUAUUUUCCAAGAUCCAAGGAGUGGACAUAUCAAAACAACGUUAGAACAGUAAGGCACCCACCUCCUCUGCGAAACACUUUCCCAUAGUAGAAGCCUGACCAUCUCAGAGCUCAUUUGAAAAAAAAGUGUCACAAUCAUUAGAGCAAUUGGAGCAGAGAAUGUCGUUGUUUGAGAUUUAGUAAUUUCAACUUGCUGAAGAGAUAACAAAGGCCCAGGAAUAGAAGGUAUGCUACUAGUCCUAUUUGAGGGACAGAUAUGUGGCUCUGAAAUGGCCUUUGCAGAAGAACUUCACCAAGCCUAUGCCUGGCUUCCUUGAUUUCCCUAAAAAUUUGCUACGAUUUUCCAAGGCUGAGGAGGAACCAAUUGAAAUCCACCCUGACAAGGCUGAAUCUGCGAACGUGAGUUACUUCUUAUACAAUGAAAGUAACUAAUAAGAAGCCUGAGAAAAAAAAUCUUUGAAUGUUGAGGGUGAUGAAGAUGAGAAAAAUGAACCCACACCCACCAUUAAAGCCAUCGAGAAGGGCAAAGAAACUGUUCCACCUACACCACCUAAAGCCAUGACUGCCCAAGACCGUGAAAUUGAUCACAUUAUUAAUAAGAUCACUGAGUUUGAUAAAGAAGGGAAGGAUGUGCCACUUCAUUCAAUGAAAAUAAAACUGCAUUAUAAGUACAAUGCAUGCAAAUCCACCCGCCGGCAAUGAAAAAACAAUCACCAACUUCCAAGUCAAGGGAGUUCUCUUCCCCUUAUAUAUUCAUGCAUUCAUAUUUUUUUUACUAUGACAUUUUUUGUAUAGAUAUAUAUUCUUGCAUUCAUGUUACAUAGAUGUUAUGCAUUGAGGACAAUGCAUCCCUUAGGUUUGGGGGUGUAUCGAGCAUUUAGGAUGCAUCAUGUAUUUAGUAAGCAUGCUCAUUUUAGCAUAGGCAUUCUAGUAUAGCCAAAUUUGUUUUACCACGAAUUUUCCAAUAACUGGUUAGACUAUGAUGAGUAUAAUUUUUACUUGUGAUGUUCGAUGAUGAGCUUAAUUUUUCAAUAAACCUAGAACAUGUGAUAGUGGAUUAGGUGGGUUUAGUUUAGGUUAGGUUACUUGAGAAUUGAAUCCUAAAAAUGAGAUAUCCUAACCUCAAUUACAAUUGGACUAUAGCGAGUUUCUUUUAAAUAAUUUAGAGAUUCUUGAAGCUAAACUCAGUAAAACUGCUAAUGCAUUACUGAAAGAACUACCAGUAGUGAUAAACCAUAAUUUAUACAUAUUUUUACCCCAUGUUUAACGCAUUUUAUGGAUGAUUUCCUAUUAGAAUUGGUGAAUUCGAUGCUCCUAAUGCUUUAAUUUCAUAUUUUAUACUUAGGAGAGCAUAGGAGAGUGAAAGAAACGAGAAACGGGCCAAAACCAGAGAAAAUGGGCAAAGUACGAAAUCAACACGACCUGACCUCCUCACACGGGCAGACCACAUGGCCGUGUCAGUUUGGCAGGCUUGAGCACGGCCUGAAGUAAUCGCACAAGGGCGUGUCCCUGCCGAGCCCAAGUUGAGUCCAAUUCGGAAAAAGGCUAAUUUGAGGGCUCUGAGGCAUUCCAAAGCCUAUAAAUACACCUAAGAGGGGGAAGAAAAGAGAGGCACAAAAUAAGGAGUACGGAAUUACUCCAAGGAAGCCGAUUGAUCCAUCUCAGAAGCUGGAUUCACCAUCAAUGUAACACCCCUUACCCGUAUUCCUUACCGGAACAGAGUAUGAGGUAUUACUAAAUUUUUAAAAAUUUUCGACAGCAUUCCUACUUAUUUUUGCUUAAACCUCCUGCAAAUUUAGAACACAUUCCAAUAUACCAACCAAUUUCAUUUGUAUAAACACACAUAUAGUUUAACUAUUAAUAAAAACUACAUUUAAAAGGGAACCAUAACAUAUAUUUACAUGAUGAUCCCACAUUACAUAAAGUGUCUAUACAUGCCAUAAAAUUUCGGAACACUAGUAGUAAAAUACCCCAAAUGUGAAGGAUAGUGUAGAUAAUUGUCUGACUUCGUUCCAAUUUCCGAGUUGUUGGAAGUCACUAUAACCAAGAGAAAAAUAAAAUCGAGUAAGCAUAUAGCUUAGUAAGUAAACACAUGAUAAAUAAGUAAUUACUCCCAUAACUACACCAAAAUAUAAACUUAUUCAUGAAUAACUUUAUUGUUUAGGCAAUUUCCAGCAAGCUGUUUUUCUGCGUCAUAGUCGCUAAUUUAUUUUUAUCUGGAGCUACAGGGCUCCAAAUUGAGUUCCGUAAAUUUUCCCUGAAACUAGACUCAUAUACCAUUUCACCAUAAAAAUUUCAGAAUUUUUAACCCAGCCAAUUAGUACAGUUUAUUAAUUAAACCUUCCCCUGUUUCACUGCCCAACGGUUCUGACCCUUCCUCACUAAAAUUUACUUAACUCUCUGUAAAAAAUUUGAAAAAUGAGUUUUCUUGUUUCUAAUAAAAAUAGACUCAAUAAGGAUUCCAGGGAUAUAAAUUUCAUGCCAUAAUUAUUUUUUUACAAUUUUUGGUAAUUUUCCAAAGUUAGAACAGGGGAUCUCGAAAUCAAUCCAGCCCUGUUUUAGUAAAAUUCAGAUAUCUCCAAAAAUACAACUCUUUUGCUUAUUCUAUUUCUUUCAUAUGAAAACAGACACAUCCAGCUUCAAUUUCAUAUAUUAUUCAGCUUCCCAUUCAUUUUUCACCAUUUAUGGUGAUUUUUCAAAGUUACCCAACUGCUGUUGUUCAACACAGUUUAUAAUUAAAUCGUUCCUUUUUCGUUUUUGAUAUUUUCUCCCAUCUCAUACAUGGAUCGAUUUAGUGUCCAACUCAAUAUUUACCCCAUAAAAUUUUCCACCAUAUGGCAAUAUUCACCUUCCACACUUUUUCGUUGAACACUCGGAAUGUUAACCGUUAUUGGUGGAUCUCGCACUUAGCACCACCACUGAAUCGGGGAAUCAUCACUUAGCAACUCCUCGGGGGAAUCAGCACAUAGCAACCCCCUUUUCAUUUCAAAUAUACAAUGGAUAUCGCACUUAGCAACCCCUCGCGGGAAUCAGCACAUAGCAACCCCCUUUCACAUUUCAAAGAUAUGGUGGAUAUCGCACUUAGCACCACCAAUGAACCGGGGAAUCAGCACUUAGCAACCCCUCGGGGGAAUCAGCACAUAGCAACCCCCUUUCACAUUUCAAAGAUAUGGUGGAUCACGCACAUAGCACCACCCAUAAAUCGGGGAAUCAGCACACAGCAACCCCUUUUAUAUACAACAUACUACGGCUUAUUCCGAGUGUUCAACCCAUAACCCAUAUAUUGCACCCUUUAUCACCUUUCCCGAUUUAACAACAUUUUUAGGAUAUUGCCAAACAUUUAUUUUAAUUCCAAAUAAAUCUCAACAUAUAUCAAAUAAUAUCAAAAUAAUACAUUUAGUCACGUGUUUACUUACCUCGGUGCAAAAUAUCGUAAUUUUGACACUUUACUCCACUAUCUUUUCUUUUCCUCGUUUGAUAUACUCUUCACGUCUUUCUUGAUCUAUAAUAGCAAAUUUAACUCGUUUAAAGUCCACAUUUAUUAAAAUAAUCCACCACCCAACUUUUUGAAAAUUACAAUUUUGCCCCCAAACUUUUGCAUAAUUACACUUUUGUCCCCAAGCUCGGAAAUUAAACUUCAUCACUUAUUCUUAAGUUUUAUAACAUGCUGAACAUUUUUCCCUUCUAUGGAAACAUCAAAUUCCCACUCCAACACAUACUUUUGAAUAUUAAUUAUUUUUACCGAUUAUGUCUAUUUACCCGUUUUCGCUUAAAAUUGCUUAGCAAAAGUUGUUUAACAUAAUCUCUAGCUUCAUAUUCCACCAUAAAACAGCAAAAUAAACACAUUUCACCUAUGGAUAUUUUUCCAAAUAUGAACCCUAACAUGAAUUAAUGGUAGAAUAAGCUAAACCAAGUUACCGGGACUCCAAAAAUACGAAGAACAUUAAAAACGGGGCUUAGAAUCACUUACUAUGGAGCUUGAAAGCUUAAAAACCCUAAAUAUGGCUUCCCCCUUGCUGAUUUCGUUCACCAUGAAGAAGAUGAGCAUAUUUUGCCAUCUUUUUCCCAUUUAAUUCUAUUUAAUAACCAAAUGACUAAAAUGCCCCCAUUUAAAAAAAAUCUAUUUCACCCAUUUCUUAUGUCUAUUUUUGUCCAUCAACUAACUAAUGGUCUAAUUACCACAUAAAGACCUCCAAUUUAAAAUUUCAUAACAAUUAGACACCUCUAAGAUGUAGAACUCAACUUUUGCACUAUUUACAAUUUAGUCCUUUUGACUAAAUUGAGUGCCUAAACGUCGAAAUUUUCGAACGAAAUUUUUACGAAAAUUUUCCGUGAAAUUGUAGAUCAUAAAAAUAUAAUAAUAACCAUAUUUUCCCUCGUCGGAUUUGUGGUCCCGAAACCACUAUUCCGACUAGGCCCAGAAUCGGGCUGUUACAACUCUCCCCCCUUAGGGAUUUUCGUCCCCGAAAAUCUUACCGGAAAAGAGGUUUGGGUACUGUUUCCUCAUAAUUUCCUCCGGUUCCCACGUAGCCUCUUCCAUUCCAUGUUUUUGCCACAACACUUUCACUAAGGCUACACUUUUAUUUCUUAACUGUUUGACCUCCCGAGCCAAAAUCUUUAUGGGUUCUUCUUCAUAAGUCAUAUCUGGUCGAACCUCAAUCUCUGUAGGAGAAACUAUAUGUGAAGGAUCCGAACGAUAACGUCGCAACAUCGACACAUGAAAUACAUUAUGUAUCUUUUCCAACUCUGGCGGUAAAGCUAACCGAUAUGCUACAGGGCCAACUCUCUCGGUAACUUCAUAUGGUCCAAUAAAACGUGGACUUAGUUUGCCUUUACGACCAAAUCUCAGAAUCUUCUUCCAUGGGGAUACUUUCAAGAACACUUUAUCACCCACUUGAAACUCAAUUUCUUUUCUCUUUAAAUCCGCAUACGACUUUUGCCGAUCUGAGGCAGCUUUUAGGCAAUCACGGAUUAUUUUCACCUUUUCUUUAGUUUCUUUCACCAGGUCGACUCCAUGAAUCCGAUUCUCACCGAGUUCAGUCCAAUAUAAAGGGGUUCUACAUUUACGCCCAUAUAAUGCUUCAUACGGUGCCAUUUGUAUACUUGACUGAUAACUAUUAUUAUAAGCAAAUUCAACCAGUGGUAGAUAUUUCUCCCAACUGUCCUUCAUUUCUAAAAUACAACACCGGAGCAUGUCUUCAAGAACUUGAAUCACCCUUUCUGAUUGUCCGUCAGUUUGCGGAUGAAAUGCAGUACUGAAAUUCAAUUUCGUACCCAAAGCUUCCUGUAACUUUAUCCAAAACCUCGAAGUAAAUCUCGGAUCUCUAUCCGAUAUAAUAGAUUUAGGCACCCCAUGUAGUCUCACUAUUUCAGCAACAUAUAAUUCAGCCAACCUGUCAAGUGAAUAAUCAAUGCGUAUCGGAAUAAAAUGGGCUGACUUUGUCAAUCUAUCCACAAUUACCCAAAUAGCAUCUUUCUUCUUUGGAGUUAAAGGCAAUCCUGUCACGAAAUCCAUCGUGAUACUGUCCCACUUCCAUUCUGGAAUCGUUAUCGGUUGAAGUAAACCCGAUGGCACUUGAUGCUCAGCCUUCACUUGUUGACAGAUUAAACAUUUUGUUACAAAUUCCGAGAUAUCCUUUUUCAUGCCCGGCCACCAAUACAACUUCCUCAAAUCAUUGUACAUUUUCACACUACCCGGAUGGACUGAUAAAUCACCACUGUGUGCCUCACCUAAAAUAGUCCGAAUUAGCUCAUCAUUUCUCGGUACACAUAUUCUGUCCCUGAACAUCAGGCAAUCAUCUGAACCAAUUUGAAAAUCUGAGUCAACACCUGCUUCACACUGAGCUCUCUUGGCUUGGAAUUUACUGUCAUUCUUUUGAGAUUCCCGAAUUUGCUGAAGAAAUAACGGUCUAGCUCUCAAUUCAACCAACAUUGAGCCAUCAUCAGAUAAAGUUAACAUCGUACCCAAAGCUCUCAAAGCAAAUAAAGAUUUUCUGCUCAAGGCAUCAGCAACCACAUUAGCUUUCCCGGGGUGAUAAUCAAUCACUAGCUCAUAGUCUUUGAUUAGCUCGAGCCAUCUUCGUUGCCGCAAAUUCAAGUCUUUUUGACUCAUCAAAUAUUUCAAACUCUUAUGAUCAGUGAAGAUUCGGCACUUUUCACCAUACAAAUAAUGACGCCAAAUUUUUAAAGCAAAAACAAUGGCAGCCAAUUCUAAAUCAUGCGUCGGAUAAUUCUUCUCAUGCGGUUUCAACUGUCUCGAAGCAUAAGCUAUUACUUUGCCCUCUUGCAUUAACACACACCCAAGGCCAUUCAACGAUGCAUCACUGUAAAUUACAAACUCCUUCCCGGACUCAGGUUGCACCAACACUGGCGCCUCAGUCAAUAAUGCCUUCAACUUUUCAAAACUCUGUUGACAUUUAUCGGUCCAUUCAAACUUGACAUUCUUCUGCAGUAACUUAGUCAUAGGAGAAGCAAUCAUCGAGAAUCCCUUGACAAACCGUCUGUAAUACCCAGCUAAGCCCAGGAAGCUUCUAACUUCAGUCACAUUCUUUGGUGGCUCCCAAUCAACAAUUGCUGAAAUUUUGCUUGGAUCAACCCGAAUACCUUCACUUGAAACUAUAUGUCCCAAGAAUCCAACCUCACGAAGCCAAAACUCACUUUUGCUGAAUUUAGCAUACAAUUUCUUUUCUCUCAGAAUCUGCAACACAGUUCUCAAAUGUUCUGCAUGUUCCGAUUCAUCCCGAGAAUAGAUUAAAAUAUCAUCUAUGAACACCACCACGAACUUGUCUAAGUACAGCCGAAAAAUUCGGUUCAUCAAGUCCAUAAAAAUAGCUGGAGCAUUAGUCAACCCAAAAGGCAUUACCAGAAAUUCAUAGUGUCCAUACCUCGUUCUGAAGGCGGUUUUCGGCACAUCAGACUCUUUAACUCUCAACUGAUAGUAACCAGACCUCAGAUCGAUCUUGGAGAACACUGUUGCCCCUUUUAAUUGAUCAAACAAAUCAUCAAUUCUCGGCAAAGGAUACUUGUUCUUUAUGGUCACCUUAUUGAGCUGACGAUAGUCAAUACAAAGUCUCAUAGAGCCGUCCUUCUUUUUCACAAAUAACACAGGAGCACCCCAAGGAGAAAAACUCGGUCUCACAAAUCCUUUAUCUGUCAACUCUUGUAACUGAGCUUUUAAUUCCUUCAACUCAGUCGGAGCCAUUCGAUACGGUGCAAUAGAAAUCGGUGCAGUACCAGGUAACAGAUCAAUAGAAAACUCAACUUCUCUAAUCGGAGGUAACCCAGGCAAUUCCUCUGGAAAUACAUCUGGAAAUUCACAGACUACCGGCACUGAUUCAAGCUUCGACCCAGUUAUAUCAGUAUUCAACACAUAAGCAAGAUAAACUUCACAUCCCUUUCUCAAGUAUUUCUGAGCAGACAUGUGCGAAAUCACCAUAGGCAACUUAUUCGGCUCCUCUGUUUCAAUCCGGAGAAUUUCACCAUUUUCACACUUUAAUUCAAGAAUUUUCUAUCUACAAUUCACCUUGGCAUCAUGCAAUAUCAACCAAUCCAUCCCCAAAAUAACAUCGAACUCAUCAAAUGGUAACAACAUCAAAUUAGCCAGGAAACAGUGACCUUGAAUCAUCAGGGGGCAAUUCUUGCAAAUCUUAUCAACUAAGACAUACUUGCCUAAUGGAUUUGAUACUUUAACUACAUAUUCAGUGUUUUCAACAGGCAAUUUCUUACUAGAUACCAAUUUCAUGCAUACAUAUGAAUGAGUAGAGCCGGGAUCAAUCAAAGCAAUAACAUCUAUAUCAUGAAGAGAAAAUGUACCAGUAAUCACAUCGGGAGAUGAGGCAUCCUCUCGAGCACGUAUGGCAUAAGUCCUGGCAGGCGCUCUAAUUUCUGAUCCUCCAGCUGCAUCUUUCAUCACACUUUUACCACUGACUUUGCUUCCCACAUUUCUCGGCGGUCUCCCUCUACUAACAAUAUCACCCGAUCCAGCUCUUGGCAAAUUUUCUUCCUCUCUUCUCUCAGGGCAAUCUCUUACAUAAUGCUCUUGGGAACCACACCUGAAACAAGCUCGUUUAAAUCCCCAACACUCACCAAUAUGUCGCCUGCCACACUGUUGACAUUCAGGCCGGGUGUUUCCUACAUUGCCCACACUUGCUACAGAGGUAGCUCGAGUUGUAGCUCCAGAAUACGACCUCCCUCGGUCUCUGCGUGAAUACCCAACUGAACCAGUUGGUCGUGGAUCCAUCCCUUUAAACUUCUUCGAAUGAGAUUGAAAUGUUCUGCCCAUUGUCCUCUUCCUUACAUCUCGAGAUUCCAUCUCUGCCCUUCUCUUUUCUCUACUCAGUUCUUCAGCUUUACAGGCCCGAUCAACUAACACCACAAAUUCUUUUAACUCUAAAAUCCAAACAUGCAAUCUGAUGUCUUCAUUUAGCCCCUCUUCAAAUCUUUUACACAUAAUAGCCUCCGUAGGCACACAUUCCUGGGCAUAUUUACUAAGCCGAACAAACUCCCGUUCAUAUUCUGCUACGGACAUUCGGCCCUGUUUCAACCCGAGAAACUCUUUGCGUUUUUGAUUAAUAAAUCGUUGGCUUACAUAUUUCUUUCUAAAUUCUUCCUGAAAGAAGUCCCAAGUAACUCUUUCUUUUGGAACCACCGAUAUCAAUGUUUUCCACCAACGAUAUGCCGAAUCCUUCAAUAAAGACACAGCACAUUUCAAACAUUCUUCAGGGGUGCAAGAUAAUUCAUCAAAUACCCGAAUAGUAUUUUCAAGCCAAAACUCGGCUUUUUCCGGAUCAUCAUCAACAUUGGCCCUAAAAUCUUCAGCCCCAUGCUUUCGAAUUCUAUCAACAGGUGGCUUACUUGAUCUCACCAAUUCGGCACUCCGUGGAGCUACGGGGACCAGUUGAGGAAUAGGAGGGGGUGGAGGAGGAGGAACAUUCGGAUUUACACGGACAUAUUUUAUAUACCAAUCACUCAUCAUUCGGAGGAAGGCUUCCCGAGCCUCAUCCUGUCCAUGUGUCUCAUGUCUACUCUCUUCCUGCGCGGUCCCUUGCGCGAGAGCCGGCGCGUUACUUUCAACAUCAUCUGCCACACUUCGAUCAGGAUCCAUUUACUAUAUAAAACAAAAUUUUAAAUUGUCAGAAAUCAUCACACUAUCACAAUAAUUUUAUGGCAUGUAUAGACUGACUUCCACACGUAUUUUAUUGGUCCGAGAACCGACUAAACCGUAGCUCUGAUACCACUAAAAUGUAACACCCCUUACCCGUAUUCCUUACCGGAACAGAGUAUGAGGUAUUACUAAAUUUUUAAAAAUUUUCGACAGCAUUCCUACUUAUUUUUGCUUAAACCUCCUGCAAAUUUAGAACACAUUCCAAUAUACCAACCAAUUUCAUUUGUAUAAACACACAUAUAGUUUAACUAUUAAUAAAAACUACAUUUAAAAGGGAACCAUAACAUAUAUUUACAUGAUGAUCCCACAUUACAUAAAGUGUCUAUACAUGCCAUAAAAUUUCGGAACACUAGUAGUAAAAUACCCCAAAUGUGAAGGAUAGUGUAGAUAAUUGUCUGACUUCGUUCCAAUUUCCGAGUUGUUGGAAGUCACUAUAACCAAGAGAAAAAUAAAAUCGAGUAAGCAUAUAGCUUAGUAAGUAAACACAUGAUAAAUAAGUAAUUACUCCCAUAACUACACCAAAAUAUAAACUUAUUCAUGAAUAACUUUAUUGUUUAGGCAAUUUCCAGCAAGCUGUUUUUCUGCGUCAUAGUCGCUAAUUUAUUUUUAUCUGGAGCUACAGGGCUCAAAAUUGAGUUCCGUAAAUUUUCCCUCAAACUAGACUCAUAUACCAUUUCACCAUAAAAAUUUCAGAAUUUUUAACCCAGCCAAUUAGUACAGUUUAUUCAUUAAACCUUCCCCUGUUUCACUGCCCAACGGUUCUGACCCUUCCUCACUAAAAUUUACUUAACUCUCUGUAAAAAAUUUGAAAAAUGAGUUUUCUUGUUUCUAAUAAAAAUAGACUCAAUAAGGAUUCCAGGGAUAUAAAUUUCAUGCCAUAAUUAUUUUUUUACAAUUUUUGGUAAUUUUCCAAAGUUAGAACAGGGGAUCUCGAAAUCAAUCCAGCCCUGUUUUAGUAAAAUUCAGAUAUCUCCAAAAAUACAACUCUUUUGCUUAUUCUAUUUCUUUCAUAUGAAAACAGACACAUCCAGCUUCAAUUUCAUAUAUUAUUCAGCUUCCAAUUCAUUUUCCACCAUUUAUGGUGAUUUUUCAAAGUUACCCAACUGCUGUUGUUCAACACAGUUUAUAAUUAAAUCGUUCCUUUUUCGUUUUUGAUAUUUUCUCCCAUCUCAUACAUGGAUCGAUUUAGUGUCCAACUCAAUAUUUACCCCAUAAAAUUUUCCACCAUAUGGCAAUAUUCACCUUCCACACUUUUUCGUUGAACACUCGGAAUGUUAACCGUUAUUGGUGGAUCUCGCACUUAGCACCACCACUGAAUCGGGGAAUCAUCACUUAGCAACCCCUCGGGGGAAUCAGCACAUAGCAACCCCCUUUUCAUUUCAAAUAUACAAUGGAUAUCGCACUUAGCAACCCCUCGCGGGAAUCAGCACAUAGCAACCCCCUUUCACAUUUCAAAGAUAUGGUGGAUAUCGCACUUAGCACCACCAAUGAACCGGGGAAUCAGCACUUAGCAACCCCUCGGGGGAAUCAGCACAUAGCAACCCCCUUUCACAUUUCAAAGAUAUGGUGGAUCACGCACAUAGCACCACCCAUAAAUCGGGGAAUCAGCACACAGCAACCCCUUUUAUAUACAACAUACUACGGCUUAUUCCGAGUGUUCAACCCAUAACCCAUAUAUUGCACCCUUUAUCACCUUUCCCGAUUUAACAACAUUUUUAGGAUAUUGCCAAACAUUUAUUUUAAUUCCAAAUAAAUCUCAACAUAUAUCAAAUAAUAUCAAAAUAAUACAUUUAGUCACGUGUUUACUUACCUCGGUGCAAAAUAUCGUAAUUUUGCACUUUACUCCACUAUCUUUUCUUUUCCUCGUUUGAUAUACUCUUCACGUCUUUCUUGAUCUAUAAUAGCAAAUUUAACUCGUUUAAAGUCCACAUUUAUUAAAAUAAUCCACCACCCAACUUUUUGAAAAUUACAAUUUUGCCCCCAAACUUUUGCAUAAUUACACUUUUGUCCCCAAGCUCGGAAAUUAAACUUCAUCACUUAUUCUUAAGUUUUAUAACAUGCUGAACAUUUUUCCCUUCUAUGGAAACAUCAAAUUCCCACUCCAACACAUACUUUUGAAUAUUAAUUAUUUUUACCGAUUAUGUCUAUUUACCCGUUUUCGCUUAAAAUUGCUUAGCAAAAGUUGUUUAACAUAAUCUCUAGCUUCAUAUUCCACCAUAAAACAGCAAAAUAAACACAUUUCACCUAUGGAUAUUUUUCCAAAUAUGAACCCUAACAUGAAUUAAUGGUAGAAUAAGCUAAACCAAGUUACCGGGACUCCAAAAAUACGAAGAACAUUAAAAACGGGGCUUAGAAUCACUUACUAUGGAGCUUGAAAGCUUAAAAACCCUAAAUAUGGCUUCCCCCUUGCUGAUUUCGUUCACCAUGAAGAAGAUGAGCAUAUUUUGCCAUCUUUUUCCCAUUUAAUUCUAUUUAAUAACCAAAUGACUAAAAUGCCCCCAUUUAAAAAAAAUCUAUUUCACCCAUUUCUUAUGUCUAUUUUUGUCCAUCAACUAACUAAUGGUCUAAUUACCACAUAAAGACCUCCAAUUUAAAAUUUCAUAACAAUUAGACACCUCUAAGAUGUAGAACUCAACUUUUGCACUAUUUACAAUUUAGUCCUUUUGACUAAAUUGAGUGCCCAAACGUCGAAAUUUUCGAACGAAAUUUUUACGAAAAUUUUCCGUGAAAUUGUAGAUCAUAAAAAUAUAAUAAUAACCAUAUUUUCCCUCGUCGGAUUUGUGGUCCCGAAACCACUAUUCCGACUAGGCCCAGAAUCGGGCUGUUACAAUCAAGACUGAAGAUCUCUCCUCAAUUUCCCCUUCUGGAGUUUUGGGUUUUCUUUAUGUUUUGUAUUCUUUAUUAUUUUGAGAUGUUUUCCUUUUUAAUUAUGAACUAAAUCCCCUAAAUACCUAAUGGGAAUGAAACCUAAGACGAAUCUUGUUAUUAUUUUUUGAAUUGUAUGAUAAAUAUUAAACUUGUUCUUAAUUAUGUGUUCUUAAUUCUUGUUUUGAUAUCUCAAGAUACUGAUUCAAGAUAAGCUCUUAUUUAGAGGAGGAAUAGACCCUGUCUAAGAGUACAUUUGUCAUAAUUAAGCGGAGUUGAUUGCGCGCCCAGACAUAGGGUGACAAGAUUUUGCCGGAUUAGGGUAAAACCUAAUAUGGGGAUCCAUAGAUCGAGUUAAUACAACCCUAGGGUGUUAACUAGGGAAAGGUCUCAAUUAUUCAAUCUAGGGAUUAGACGUUAUUAGUCUUGAAUAGGGAUAAUAACAUAACUUAGGGAUCUCUACGGAACAAGUUAAAUGAAUAAAUCGUCCGAUUUGGAGCCAGAAUAAUAAGUACAAUCUAGGUGGAUUUUUCCUUAGGUAUUGUCUUAAUUCAAUCGAUUUUCCCAAAAGCAAUUCCCCAAUUCCAUUCUCUGUGAAUUGUUAGUUUAGAUAAUUAGUUAGUUACAACAAAAACCUCUUUAUUCUUAGGCUAGAAAUAAAAAGACAGUCAUUACUAGUACUUUUAGCUCCUUUGGGUUCAACAAUCUAGUCUUGCUAAAACAAUACUACUGUUCGAUAGGUACACUUGCCUACAUCGCGAUAAUAGUUAGUUUCAAGGAUGAUUUAUUAUAAAUAUUUAAAACCUAUCACGAAAUAACGCGAUUAAGUUUUUAGCGCCGUUGCUGGGGAACUAAAAUAUCAAGAACACUCAAUUUUUAUUACUUUAGCCAUUUAUUUUUCUCGCAAUCUAAUUUUAUUUUUAACUUUAUUCUAAUUUACUAAUUUUCUUUUUCUUUCUUCUGACAGGUUUUUUUUUUUAGUUUAUGACUAGAAGAAACCCGUCAGGACCUCUACUUUUUGACAAAGAAAUCGAUCGCACAGUCCGUAGAAAACAAAGAGAAAUAAGGCGAAGCCUAAGAUACACAGAGAACGAGCAAGAAGACGAUACUCAACCACCAACCGAAGAGAUGGCUGAAAACCAAGACAAUCAGCUACCUCCUGCAAUUGCGGUUAAUUAAAAUCCUGCUCCAUGCACUAUGUAUGAUUAUGUUAAACCUUCUUUAACAGGAACUGAAUCGAGCAUAGUUAGACCUGCUGUAGAUGCUAAUACUUUUGAACUAAAACCUAACACUAUUCAAACGAUAUAGCAAUUUGUUCAGUUUGAUGGUUUGCAGGAUGAAGAUCCCAACGCUCAUUUAGCAAACUUUUUGGAACUAUGCGGUACAUUUAAAAUUAAUGGCGUUUCUGAUGAUGCCAUUUGUCUUCGGUUAUUCCCUCUCUCAUUGAGGAACAAAGCUAAACAGUGGUUGAACUUGUUACCACGAGGGUCAAUUACUACUUGGGAACAAAUGACCGAAAAAUUUUUACUAAAAUAUUUUUCGCCGGCUAAAACGGCUAAAUUACGUAAUGAGAUCUCUUCUUUUGCGCAGAUGGAUUUAGAAAUACUCUACGAUGCAUGGGAGAGAUACAAGGACCUUUUGAGAAGGUGCCCUCACCAUGGGUUACCGCUUUGGCUUCAGGUUCAAACAUUCCAUAAUGGUCUGAAUCCUUCGACUCGGCAAAUGGUUGACGCAGCUGCUGGAGGAACCAUUAAUAAUAAAACACCUGAAGAUGCGUAUGUGUUCACAGAGGAGAUGUCAUUGAAUAACUAUGAGUGGCAAGUCAUGAGGACAAAGCCAACAAAAAUAGUCAGUGUUUAUAACGUCGAUUCGGUCACCAUGCUCUCUAACCAGGUAGAACUCUUGAAUAAGAAAAUUGAUGGUUUUCUUAGUUCUUCACAGGUUCACCCAGUAAUGCAGUGCGAAGCAAGUGGAGGUGGAACAAGCCAUUCGGAAUACCAACCUUAUGGCCACAACAUGGAUAACGAGCAAUUAAAUUACAUGGGUAAUAAUCCUCGACCUCAAAACAAUCCAUAUAGUAACACUUAUAAUGCAGGUUGGAGGAACCACCCAAAUUUCUCAUAGAGAGGCCAAGAAAAUCAGCGACCACCUCUGGGCUACCAACAGCCACCCUAUCAAUAGGAAAAGAAGAUGAACCUUGAAGAGAUGCUCACAAAGUUUAUCUUAGUGUCAAAAACCCGUUUCCAGAACACCGAGACAACACUUAAAAAUCAACAAGCUUUGAUCCAAGGGCUCAAAACUUAGAUAGGCCGGCUUUCCAAACUAAUUUCCGAACGACCACAAGGGAGCUUGCCAAGUAAUACUGAACCUAACCCAAUGGAACAGCUCAACGUGAUUAACGUUCAAGAUGAAGAAGGAUUUGUUGAGCCUGAGCCAGAACCGAGGCAAGAAACUGUGGUAAGCAACGGUCAAGGUGAGGUAGAUCACAAUAAAAACAAAUCGGUGAAUGUCGAAUAUAAACCUUGUGUGCCAUACACCAACGCGACAAGGAAAAAUCGCUCAGAUGAACAAUUUGGUAAAUUCCUUAAACUCUUAAAAAAAUUACAUAUUAACUUGCCAUUUAUUGAAGCUCUAUCACAGAUUCCAAAUGCAAUGAAAUUUUUAAAGGAGCUUUUAGAAAAUAAGCGGAAGAUAGACGAGGCAUCGCAUGUGGAGCUGAACGUAGUUUACUCAGCUAUUCUCCAGAAUAAACUACCCAACAAACUUAAAGAUCCAGGGAGUUUUACAAUUCCUUGCUUAACUAGUAGUUUAGAUGUUAAUAAUGCAUUAGCUGAUUUGGGGGCUAGUAUUAAUGUAAUGCCCCUUAACUGUGUUCAACAUCGAAAUAGGGUACGAGGUAUUACCAGAACAUAACACAUACCAAAACAAAACCGACAUAGAAAUAUGUCAUCCAAUUAGAUAAUGUAUCAUUAUAACAUAUGUCUUGAACAAUAUUAGCCAAUUUCAAUGGCUUUGUACAAAAUAAUUGGUCAAAUACUGUAACCAAUAUUUUAAACCUAGGCAAUUAUGACACGUAACAAAAUAACGAAGCGUACUAUACAUGCCAUAAUUCAAAAUGUUUAGUUCAAAUACCCAAAAGUAUUGAUAGUGCGGGCAGAUCUUCAACGAUCCUUAACUCCUGUGCAAGCUGGACGACACUAUAAGACAAAAGAGAGAAAAGAAAGUAAGCUUAUAGCUUAGUAAGUAAGUAUAUAAAUAAUAAUUAAAGAAUCUAAUAUGUUAACACAAUAACUUAAGUGUAUCUACUUUUAAUUUCACUAUUUACUCCACUUUGAUCAAGUUGUCUCUCCUGCGUCAUUUUCAUUAAAUAAAUCAUAACCCAUGUUAAAAAACUCAAAAUUAAAAUCCAUAAAAGUUUCCUAUAACUAGACUCAUAUUACUUCUUACUAAAAUUUUUCUAGAAUUUUUGGUCUAGCCAAUUAGUACAGUUUAUUAAUUAAAGUUUCCCCUAUUAUACAGCUCGAUGGAUCUAACCUCUGUUCACUACGAAUUGAUUUUAUCCUAGUAAAAAAGUCAAAUAGCCAUGAAAUUUGUUUCAUUUAAAACUAGAAUCAAUAAGGAAUCUAGGAAUAUAAACUAUAUUUCUUAAUUAUUUUUGUACAAUUUUUAAUGAUUUAUCAAAGUCAGAACAAGGGGAUCACAUAGUCAUUCUGAACAAGUCACACACAAAUAUAAAUAUCUCAAAAUAUAUAAUUCCUUUACUUUCUCCGUUUCUCUUACAUGAGAAUAGACUCAUUAAGAUUUAAUUUAAUAUCUCAUUCAGCCUCUAAUUAAAUUCCUACUAUUUUUGGUGAUUUUUCAAAUUCACGUCACUGUGACUGUCCAAAACAGUAUUAUUGUAAAUUUACUCUUUCACACUUUCUUUGUAUUAACCUCAUUUUGCAUACAUAUCACAAUUCAUUUUCACCACAUUUCAUACAUCACAAGUAUUGGUCCAUGAUUACAAUGUCACCGUAAAAUCAUCCCGUUGAACAGUUCGGAUCAAUUCUCGAAACUUGGUGGUUUCAGCACACAGCUCCACCCAUCAUAUUUCAUAUAAUUUGACUCUCUUGUACACAUGGUGAACACUUAGUACCACCCAUGUGACCUAGCCAAUUUAUCUCGUAGCUCUCUUGUCUACAUGGUGUCCGUCACUUGGGAUCACACAUGCAACCUAGCUACAUUUAUCUCUCCUGUAGCUCUCUUGUCUACAUGGGAUACAUCCCGUAUCACACAUGUGACCUAGCUACUACAUAGUAUCUCGUAGCUCUCUUGUACACAUGAUGUGCACUCAGCACCAUACAUGUGACCUAGCUACAUUCCAUCUAUAUUAUUCAAUCUUUUCGAAUGUUCAACCAGAUUUCUCUCUCUAUUACUUAUUUCCAUUCUUUCAAUAAUCGAUUUAUGCUUCAAAAUCAGCUAAAAUAUAUAUAAUAGGCUGAAAUAUAAGAAUAUAAAUGAAUUUAAAGUAUUAUUUACAUACAAACUUACCUUGGUGCAAAAUAUGGGAAUUUUGCAAUUUAGUCCAAAAUCUUUUCUUUCCCCUGUUCGAGGUCGAUUCCACACCUUUCUUGAUCUAUAACAACACACUUAGCUCAUUUAACACUCAUACUAUUUAUUUCAAUCCAAAAAUCACAUUAUGGAAAAAUUACAUUUUUGCCCCCUAACUUUUACAAAAUUACAAUUUUGCCCCUAGGCUCAAAAAUUUAAUUUCAGUCCUUAUUCUUAUGUUUUAUGACACGUUGAACAUUUUUCUCUUCUAUGACAACAUCAAAUUCUCACUCUAACACAUAGUUAUGAACAAUAGGUAUUGUUACCGAUUAUGCCGUUUUUCUCGUUUUUGCUAAAAAUUGCUUAGAAAAGAUCGUUCUCCUAACUUCAAACAUUAAUAUGCUACCAUAAAACAUCAAAAUACAUGCAUAUCAUUCAUGGGUAAAUUUUUAAACAUAAACCCUAACUCGAAAUAAUGGUAGAAAUAGGUAGACCGAGCUACGAGGAUUUCAAAAAUGUAACAAACAUUAAAAACGGGGCUUGAAUGCACUUACUAUUGAGCUUGAAAGCUUGGAAAAAACCCUAGCUAUGGAGAACAUGUAAGUUUCGGCCAAGCUUAAAUGAAGAUGAACACAUUUUUGUGUUAUUUUUCCCAUUUUAUUUCAUUUAAUAUACAAAUGACCAAAAUGCCCUUACUACUAAACUUUCUAAAAAUUCCAUCCAUGUCCAAAUUUUUGUCCAUAUAAAGUAUAAUGAUCUAAUUGCCAUUUAAGGACCUCUACUUAAAACCCCCAUUUCAAUCAAGUACUUUAUGAACUAGAACACACACAUUUUUCACCUAUUUCAGUUUAGUCCUAAACGUCAAAUUAAACACCCAAUCGAUAAAAUUUCGCAACGAAAUUUUCAAACAAUUAUGCAAUCAUAAUAUAAACACUAAAACUAAAUCAAAAUAAUUUUUAAUUUUUUUAACCUCGGAUUCGUGGUUUUAAAACCACUAUUCCAUUUUGGCCCUAAAUCGGGCUGUUACAAUUAACGUCAUGCCUUACAAAAUGUUCAAACAAUUAGGUCUCGGGAAACCCAAAUAGACUAGGAUGAGCAUUCAAUUAGCAGAUAAAACUAUAAGAUUUCCUAGGGGUAUUAUUGAAGAUGUGCUAGUUAAAAUCGAUAAAUUUAUAUUUCCCGUUGACUUCAUUGUUCUAGACAUAGAGGAGGAUAGCAACACUCCUUUAAUUCUAGGAAGGCCCGUUUUAGCAACUGCUAAAACAAUUAUUGAUGUUGGUCCAAGUGAACUCACACUUCGUGUGGGAGACGAAACAAUCACUCUUCAAGCUCGCAAUUCUGGCAACACAUCGGAAAUUAAAGGUGAUCGUUUAACCCAUUCUACUAAAAAUGACAAUGUGGUACAACCUACUUUAUAGGAAAUGAGUCUGAAGGAAGCACAUGAGUCAUUCGCAAACAAUAGUAGAGGACCCAUUCAUGAAGAUCGAAGGCCACAAAUCGAGGAGCUAGAUGAAUAGUGGACACAUAAACCAGAACACCUGACNNNNNNNNNNNNNNNNNNNNNNNNNNNNNNNNNNNNNNNNNNNNNNNNNNNNNNNNNNNNNNNNNNNNNNNNNNNNNNNNNNNNNNNNNNNNNNNNNNNNNNNNNNNNNNNNNNNNNNNNNNNNNNNNNNNNNNNNNNNNNNNNNNNNNNNNNNNNNNNNNNNNNNNNNNNNNNNNNNNNNNNNNNNNNNNNNNNNNNNNNNNNNNNNNNNNNNNNNNNNNNNNNNNNNNNNNNNNNNNNNNNNNNNNNNNNNNNNNNNNNNNNNNNNNNNNNNNNNNNNNNNNNNNNNNNNNNNNNNNNNNNNNNNNNNNNNNNNNNNNNNNNNNNNNNNNNNNNNNNNNNNNNNNNNNNNNNNNNNNNNNNNNNNNNNNNNNNNNNNNNNNNNNNNNNNNNNNNNNNNNNNNNNNNNNNNNNNNNNNNNNNNNNNNNNNNNNNNNNNNNNNNNNNNNNNNNNNNNNNNNNNNNNNNNNNNNNNNNNNNNNNNNNNNNNNNNNNNNNNNGAACCAUGUGACCUAGCCAAUUUAUCUCGUAGCUCUCUUGUCUACAUGGUGUCCGUCACUUGGGAUCACACAUGCAACCUAGCUACAUUUAUCUCUCCUGUAGCUCUCUUGUCUACAUGGGAUACAUCCCGUAUCACACAUGUGACCUAGCUACUACAUAGUAUCUCGUAGCUCUCUUGUACACAUGAUGUGCACUCAGCACCAUACAUGUGACCUAGCUACAUUCCAUCUAUAUUAUUCAAUCUUUUCGAAUGUUCAACCAGAUUUCUCUCUCUAUUACUUAUUUCCAUUCUUUCAAUAAUCGAUUUAUGCUUCAAAAUCAGCUAAAAUAUAUAUAAUAGGCUGAAAUAUAAGAAUAUAAAUGAAUUUAAAGUAUUAUUUACAUACAAACUUACCUUGGUGCAAAAUAUGGGAAUUUUGCAAUUUAGUCCAAAAUCUUUUCUUUCCCCUGUUCGAGGUCGAUUCCACACCUUUCUUGAUCUAUAACAACACACUUAGCUCAUUUAACACUCAUACUAUUUAUUUCAAUCCAAAAAUCACAUUAUGGAAAAAUUACAUUUUUGCCCCCUAACUUUUACAAAAUUACAAUUUUGCCCCUAGGCUCAAAAAUUUAAUUUCAGUCCUUAUUCUUAUGUUUUAUGACACGUUGAACAUUUUUCUCUUCUAUGACAACAUCAAAUUCUCACUCUAACACAUAGUUAUGAACAAUAGGUAUUGUUACCGAUUAUGCCGUUUUUCUCGUUUUUGCUAAAAAUUGCUUAGAAAAGAUCGUUCUCCUAACUUCAAACAUUAAUAUGCUACCAUAAAACAUCAAAAUACAUGCAUAUCAUUCAUGGGUAAAUUUUUAAACAUAAACCCUAACUCGAAAUAAUGGUAGAAAUAGGUAGACCGAGCUACGAGGAUUUCAAAAAUGUAACAAACAUUAAAAACGGGGCUUGAAUGCACUUACUAUUGAGCUUGAAAGCUUGGAAAAAACCCUAGCUAUGGAGAACAUGUAAGUUUCGGCCAAGCUUAAAUGAAGAUGAACACAUUUUUGUGUUAUUUUUCCCAUUUUAUUUCAUUUAAUAUACAAAUGACCAAAAUGCCCUUACUACUAAACUUUCUAAAAAUUCCAUCCAUGUCCAAAUUUUUGUCCAUAUAAAGUAUAAUGAUCUAAUUGCCAUUUAAGGACCUCUACUUAAAACCCCCAUUUCAAUCAAGUACUUUAUGAACUAGAACACACACAUUUUUCACCUAUUUCAGUUUAGUCCUAAACGUCAAAUUAAACACCCAAUCGAUAAAAUUUCGCAACGAAAUUUUCAAACAAUUAUGCAAUCAUAAUAUAAACACUAAAACUAAAUCAAAAUAAUUUUUAAUUUUUUUAACCUCGGAUUCGUGGUUUUAAAACCACUAUUCCAUUUUGGCCCUAAAUCGGGCUGUUACAAUUAACGUCAUGCCUUACAAAAUGUUCAAACAAUUAGGUCUCGGGAAACCCAAAUAGACUAGGAUGAGCAUUCAAUUAGCAGAUAAAACUAUAAGAUUUCCUAGGGGUAUUAUUGAAGAUGUGCUAGUUAAAAUCGAUAAAUUUAUAUUUCCCGUUGACUUCAUUGUUCUAGACAUAGAGGAGGAUAGCAACACUCCUUUAAUUCUAGGAAGGCCCGUUUUAGCAACUGCUAAAACAAUUAUUGAUGUUGGUCCAAGUGAACUCACACUUCGUGUGGGAGACGAAACAAUCACUCUUCAAGCUCGCAAUUCUGGCAACACAUCGGAAAUUAAAGGUGAUCGUUUAACCCAUUCUACUAAAAAUGACAAUGUGGUACAACCUACUUUAUAGGAAAUGAGUCUGAAGGAAGCACAUGAGUCAUUCGCAAACAAUAGUAGAGGACCCAUUCAUGAAGAUCGAAGGCCACAAAUCGAGGAGCUAGAUGAAUAGUGGACACAUAAACCAAGAACACCUGACAAACUGAAUCUAUGACAGAACUAGCUCAAUCCCUUUCCAAAUCAACUUAAGGUUGGAGAUAGAGUCUUAUUAGAUGCCACAGAUCCCCACAUUGUCACUACCACAUCGAAUGAAGAAAUCCCUCUUACGGUACUCAGCAUUUUCCCAUUCGGUACGGUCGAGGUAAGUCAUCCCAAUUUCGGCACUUUUAAGGUAAACAACACCCGUUUAAAACCUUAUUUUGAUGGGAUUAAUAGCAGGAAUGAGGAGUAUAAACUCCUCAAACCACCAUGAUCAUUCAACGGAGAGGUCAGUCGAGCUUAGACUAUAAAUAAGCGCUUCUCGGGAGGCAACCCGAGCACUAACUGUAUUAACUUCUUUAGAAUUUAGUCUUCAACAUCUAAUUUACUAAUAGAGCGCUUGAAUGCAGGUUUUCCACAGGGACACGGCCAAGAGCACAGGCGUGCUUAGGGCCGUGUGAAAAUAGGACAACAAUUUUUCCCAAACACGGGCUACAAUAAAACGCCACAACUGUGCGACAUGGCCAUGGUAGAACCUUCCAAAACAACACGGGGGUAAGACACACCCGUGUGGAAGAACCGUGGGUGAACCUGUUAAAACAACACGGGUGUGCGACACGCCCGUGUCUAUCACCCGUGUUUGAACCUGUUAAAUUGACACGGGCGUGGGUUUGAAUACAUGGGCAUGGGAGAAGUGAACAACGUUAGACACGACCGUUCGACAUGGCCGUGUGCACCCACACGCCCAAGGAACACGGGCGUGUACUAAAUGUCAGACGCGCCCAAAUUCAAAAUUCGCGAACCACACGGGCUAAAAUUAGGGAACACGGGCGUGUUACUUGGCCGUGUGCCCCAAAAUCUAUAAAUACCCUGCACUAUUCAUUGUCUUCCCCACUCAAAACCCUAACCCUAGCCACUGCAAUUCCACACGGCCUCCUUGCCACGCCCGUACGUCGCUUCCAACUCCGUUUUUUACACCCAUUCUCCUCUUUCUAGUGUUUGUUCACUCUUUUCUCAUUUAUUCUUACUAAUUUCUAGGGCUAUUUAUCAUAAUAAUAUGAAAUUUUUCAUGUUCCUUUCUUAUUUUUAUCAUACAAAUGUUAUAUCUAGAAUAGUUAUUAUCUUUCUCAUGUUAAUAUUCUUACUCAUUAUAUGAUUUCUCUACUUUAUUUGAUUAGUUAGAAGUAAAUAUUCAUGAUUAGAAUAAUAUAUAUACUCAUGCCUUUAGUGUUAACAUUUUUCAUCCGUCACACAUAUUGCAUUCCAUGAAAUCCAUUGCCAUUUUUUAUGCCAUACAAUUGAUUGCUUUGAUUAACUUAUUGGUCUUAGCAGUUGUUGAAAUUAUGAUUGUUAUCUACAAAUUAUCUUCAUUUUAAUUUGAUCAUUCCUCAAAAUGAAUUGAUGUUUUUUGAUCGCAAGUACCAUGUCAUCUUCACGAGGAAAGAAAAUCACCGUACUUGCUUCGAAGAAGAGGAAGGGAGCGUCAUCUUUCGCGGGUCCAACCACGAAAAUUCGUCACCCUUUCCUGCAGUUCCCCCGAGGGCCGCAAGAAGAGCUUUUCCAAAUACUUCGGGUCCGGCCUUUAAUUGCAGGCCGCUGCAUCGACUAGGCUACCAUAGAACAAGUUCAGUUGGUUGAGGCGAUUCGGUCCCUCCUAACCACCGACCCUUUGGAGCUGUUCUUUGGGAUCAUCGAACCAACAUACCUCGAGCUCACGAUGGAACUAUGCUCAACGUUCCAUCUUCAGACCGUAAUGAAGAAUUAUGAUGAUCCCGGCUCGGUCCAGUUUCACCUAGGAGGGUUAGUCCGCCAGCUAAGCAUCCCAGAGUUCGGUACUGUACUAGGAUUAUAUACGGAGGAGUUCAAGGAGGAAAAUGAACUACAUGCUCUCACUUGCCACAUACAUUUCUCUCCCUCAAAGUGCUGGCACACUUUGGCCCCUAGCGUAGCCUCCUACAAUCCUAGCAACUCUAAGGCAUCAGUUCUCCCACCAUCCGUGAGGUACCUACAUGCCAUUUUGGCUCACACGAUUAUAGGGAGGCGAGAGAGCACUGGCGUCGUCAACACUCACGACGCCUACUUCUUAUGGUGUAUGUAGCACGGGCACGUCAUCGACCUUGCCUAUUUCAUCGCCCUCGCGAUUCAGCACCAGACGAAACGGCAUAGGAAGGGGGUCAUCUCCAUUGGCCCCUAUGUUACUUGGUUGGCUCGAAACUUCGGGCUCUUCAGCACCGCGGCCCAAGAAUCAUCCCUUACCCUUAUCGGCUAGAUGUCUCCACAAGGCAUCUUGAGCAUGCUUAGUAUGAGGAUGACCGAGAGACACCGAGGAACCUACCCUCCCCAAUAUUGUCUCGCCCAAUCUACCGAGGAGGAAGCCGAAGAGGACAUUCCUGAUGAUGUCCCUCCACAGCACGAGGACCCACUGACUCAGCCACCACCACCCUCUCGUCCAGUUCAUGCGGCGGCUUCAUAUGCUGACAUCUUUGAGCGCCUCACUAGAUUUGAGUAGCAGUGUUUUCAACGAUUUGACAAUAUUGAUGCUACUCUACAACAGAUUUGUCAGCACCUUCACAUCUCAUCGCCAGACCCACCUCGCGAACCAUCCAGCGUUGAAGAUGUUUAAAAACAUUUAUUUAUUAUUUUAUGUUUUUAAUUUUUAUUAAAACUACUUUUUAUUUUUAUUAUUAGAUUUUAGAAUUUUAUUUUUAAUUAUCAAUUUCGAUUAUUUCUUUAUGAGUAAUUAUUCUUCCUAAUAUCCCCUAAAAAGUUCCUGAUUUUAUCACAGUUAUUUAGAGCUCUUAAGCUCAUUAUCGCAUAGGAACUAACAACUCCACUGAGAAAGGUUCUUCACGACUGCCAUGUCCUAAUCGACCACGACCAUAGCUACCACUAGAUAUAAUAUUCUUUUGGCACAAGACUUAUGGACUAAUGAACCUUUACGACCGCCAGAGUAUCCUCCUCCACUCUCGAACCGAUCACUCUCUAAAACUCCAGUUCGAGGAAUUCAUCAUACAGGAAGUUUCACUUCUCUCUCGAUCUUAUUUUUAUACUCUAAUAUCUAUCUUUGUACAUUGGGGGCAAUGUACAUCUUAAGUGUGGGGGGUAUUUAUUUCAUUAUCAGAAAAAUCCCUAAAUGACUACCUUGUUCUCUUGAAAAGCUCUCAUAUCAUAUUCAGGAAAAAUUUUGAUUGAUUUUUUAUUUUUGUUGAUAUAUCUUGAAUUAAAACAUAGACAUUUAUGCAUUGAUUGUUUAAACUUUAAGACAUUAGAGAAUCAAGCAUGAUAAGUUGAUUUUUAAGUAUUUAAAAUCUUAGGUUGUUUCCCCAAAGUUUAGGUAUUACUUUGAGUUGGAAUUCAAAAGUUUUAAACAUCAAAAAACCAUAAUUUUUGUGAGACUUUUGAGCCUUUUGAGUAUCUAUUAAUUCUUUCAUGCUCACUUUUAUUAGUGCUUUGAGUGCGUCAGUAUUGAACUGUUAUUCUAGAACUUGCUUGAUUAUGCAUGUCGAGACCACGCCAUUUGAUUUGAUAUGUCAAAAUGAUUAAGGCACUUAGGAUUAACCCACUCAUGCCAUGAAAAGCCUACCUCCACGAUUAGCCCCUAGUAAACCCCCUUGAGCCUAACAAGCCAUUUCUUAUAUUACCCUUAAUAUUAACCCUUAACCCAUUAUUGUUGAAAUCCCCUAAAUUAAUUUGAUCCCUAUUUUUGUCGAGAUUUGAGUUGAAUAAAUUGCUUAGCUGUGUUUUGUUCUUAAUAGUUAGUCUAUGUUAUAUAAAUUGUUUUUAAAUAAAAAAAAACAUGAUAUUAGUAGUGAUAUUUUGUUUGUAAGCUUUAGUAUUCAAAUUCCAUAGUCAGAAAAGGAAUUAUGUUGUACGUAAGUGAUGAUUAACUCUUUUUCUAGUUAGGCAAAAUUUUCAAUUCAAUCUCGAUUCUAACCCUUUCUUUCAACUUAUGACCACAUCCACUAACCAAGCCUCAUUACAACCCUCUAAAGACCUUUUGAUUGAUGUUUCAUCUCAAUUUAUCAGUGGUGGAGAUUUGAUUUUCAUGCAAGCCUAUGGUAAUGACUUUUCAUUAUUGACUAUUGAGUGCUUCAUUUAUUGUCCUUAAAAUACCUCGAGUGAUUUGAGUUAAUCUUUAGUGAGGAUGUGAAACUCUAUGAUAUUCCGAAUUAAAGGCAAUUACUUAAAUGAGGAGAGACACCUAUGUUUUCGGGAGAAAAUGCUUAACUUGGAAUGUUUGAAACUUUUAUGUUUUCUUUUAGUUGAAUUCUCAAUAUAUGAUUACCUAUGAAUGAUUUUGAGAUAUUAUCGAUAGAAAUCAUAAGUUUAGAAGAAUUUAUUUUGAUUAUGAGUUGAGAAUUUUGCUUGAGGAAAAGCAAAUACUUAAGUGUGGGGGUAUUUGAUAAACCAUAAUUUAUACAUAUUUUUACCCCAUGUUUAACACAUUUUAUGGAUGAUUUCUUAUUAGAAAUGGUGAAUUUGAUGAUCCUAAUGCUUUAAUUUCAUGUUUUAUACUUAGGAGAGCAUAGAAGAGUGAAAGGAACGAGAAACGGGCCAAAAUCGGAGAAAAUAGGCCAAAGUAUGAAAUCAACACGGCCUGGACCUCUUCACAUGGGCAGACCACACGACCGUGUCAAUUUGGCAGGCUCGAGCAUGGCCUGAAGUAAUCGCACACGGGCGUGUCCCUGCCGAGCCCAAGUUGAGUCUAAUUUGGAAAAGGCUAAUUUUGAGGGCUCUUAGGAAUUCCAAACCCUAUAAAUACACCCUAGAGGGGGAAAAAAGGGAGGCACGGAAUAGGGAGUAAGGAAUUACUCCAAGGAAGCCGAUUAAUCUAUCUCAGAAGCUAGAUUCACCAUCAAGACUGAAGAUCUCUCCUCAAUUUCCCCUUCAGGAGUUUUGGGUUUUCUUUAUGUUUUGUAUUUGUUAUUAUUUUGAGAUGUUUUCCUUUUUAGUUAUGAACUAAUUCCCCUAAUUACCUAAGGGGAAUGAAACCUAAGACGAAUCUUGUUAUUAUUUUCUAAAUUGUAUGAUAAAUAUUUAACUUGUUCUUAAUUAUGUGUUCUUAAUUCUUGUUUUGAUAUCCCAGGAUACUGAUUCAAGAUAAGCUCUUAUUCAGAGGAUGAAUAGACCCUGUCUAAGAGUACAUUUUUCAUAAUUAAGCGGAGUUGAUUGCGCGCCUAAACAUAGGGUGACAAGAUUUUGCCUGAUUAGGGUGAAACCUAAUAUGGGGAUCCAUAGAUCGAGCUAAUACAACCCUAAGGUGUUAAUUAAAGAAAGGUCUCAAUUAUUCAAUCUAGGGAUUAGAUGUUAUUAGUCUUGAAUAGGGAUAAUAACAUAACUUAGGGAUCUCUACGGAACAAAUUAAAUGAAUAAAUCGUCCGAUUCGGAGCUAGAAUAACAAGUACAAUCUAGGUGGAUUUUUCCUUAGGUAUUGUCUUAAUUCAAUCGAUUUUCCCAAAAGUAAUUCCCUAAUUCCAUUCUCUGUGAAUUCUUAGUUUAGAUAAUUAGUUAGUUAAAACAAAAAUCUCUUUAUUCUUAAGCUAGAUAAUAAAAAGACAGUUAUUACUAGUACUUUUAGUUCCUUUGGGUUCGACAAUCCGGUCUUGCUAAAACAAUACUAUUGUUCAAUAGGUACGCUUGCCUACAUCGUGAUAAUAGUUAGUUUCAAGAAUGAUGAAUUAUAAAUAUUUAAAACCUAUCAUGAAAUAACGCGAUCAAGUAGACACUCUAAUGUUUAGAAUUGCCAAAUAAGUCAGCAACACUUUGUUUGCUCUAUCGUUCUAUUGGCUAGAAAAACAUCUUAAGCAAGAGUGUGUAAUAAAGAAAAAGGACAAUUAAGGGCACUCCACUAUAGUAAUAGGCUGAAUAGGUAAGGAGAUAGUUAUUUGCUCCAUCUAUCUUCUAAGUUCAAAACCUUAGCUUCAUGAGUGAAUUCCAUUCAAAUCGUGACAUGAUUGAGUACCCGGUAAUUCAAGGUAUGCUCCAUUGUGAUUGUCUAAUCAAAGAAUUAUGUAACGAUCUGAGCUCUUAUUACUACUCUAAAAGAAAUUAGUUUAGAUAAAAGACAAGCUAAGUAAAUUAGGAGAUACUAGAUAUAGCCAAAAUAUACACAUGAGUGCUUAGCAAUUUUGUUUUUAGGGUGAGAUUUUCUACACUACCUUUGCUAAGCAAACCUUGGAAGCUUGAACAAAGUUUUCAAACACAGAAGAUUGUUGAGAACUGAUGUAUAAAUUGUUCUUUGAAUGGACUAACAAUACAAGAUGGUUAUGUGCAAUGGUAAUUUUUGCAUUCAUGCAUAUUUGCUUAAGGGCAAGCAAUGAUUUAGGUUUAGGGGUGUGAUAACUCUUGAAAAGAGUUAUAAUUCAUACUUUUAAACUUAGUUAACUUCUUGUACUUAAGUAAAAUUAGUUCCAUUUUAGGUAAUAGCAUGAUUAUUUUUAGUUAAUCGAGCAUUGCAUGCAAGGAGUAGAGAUGGUGAUUAAUUUAGUGAAUUUGUACUUUUAAUUGUUGGUGAAAAGGCUUUGUGGUGGUUGAAUAACAGGUUUGAGGAAGAAAGAUAACAAAGGAUGAAGAUUUGUUGAGGCAUUAUGAGAGAUUGUCAUGACAAUGCUAAGGAAGAAAACAAUAAUUACCUAGUCAUCAAAAAGAGCAUUCAACAGUUGGCCCCUCUACAUGCAUAUGUAAUGGAAAAUAUCCACCUCAAAAUUAGGGAAAAAGCAAUCAUUGGCGAAAGAAUUUUACCCUAAAGGAGGACCCAAGUAUAAAAGAGAAAGGGGGGAUAGACAGCCAAAAAGAAAGGUCUUCCAUUAAUGAGAGCUGAAGGUACAACUGAUUGCAAAUAUAGAGCUUUAAUAGAGGUCUCUUUGUGAUAAUGAGGGUAAUUUGAGAUACUGGGAGAUUGGGUGAGGAUGCACACCAAACGCCAAGUUGUAGGAAUUCGUGUUCUGAACCCAGAUUUCUUCCUCUACAAUUUUUUCUAAAUCUACUGAUUUAAAUUGUUAUUUUAGGAUGUUGAUGAUAUUAAAAUACUUAGCACACUGGGGAUUACUUUUGAUAAUGUUUUAACUCUAAGGAAUGUUCAUGGAUGAAUAUGAUUUAGUUUACUACUUUACCUAAUGUUUAUUUAUGUUUAUAUGUUUAUUAGGGCAUUGAUAAAUGCUUGAUAAGUCUAAAAGUAGCUUAAUAUCGACAGAGUUAGGUUGCUUGGACCAGAAUUGGUUAAUAUAAGAGAACAUUGGAAGAAAUGCUCGUGUAAACUCUAAACAUAAAGCUUUAUCUUAUACGAUUUAGAGAAUUGUGCUUUAGUCAUGGUUGCUAAUUCUUAGCCUAUAGAUGUAUAGUGUCUUAGUAGUGAGCAGCCUCAGGUCUUGCUUUCGACAAAGGUAGACCACAUUAGUACCCAAUCAAGCAGUAGGUUAUGAUAUUUUUGCCAUGGCAUUAUUCCUGGUUUAUAACUAAUUCAUUAGUAAUCCCAACCUUUUCAAUCAAUAUUCCAAUCUUGCUAGAAUCCUUAGUAGUUAUAUUCAAUUUGUUGAGUUCGCAAUCUACGAUAGUACAUUUUAUUUCUUUCAGUUUUAGUGUAUUAAUUGCUAUUUUAUAUCUCAAAAUAUCAUUUGAUCUAUUUAUCUUUUCUACUCAGUUGUGAUAAUUUAGACAAAGAAUACUAAUCCAAUCCUUGUGGGAACGAUACUCACUCAUCACUUUAUUACUUGAUUCGACAUGUAUACUUGCACAAUUCACACAUCAUAUUAAUACGCGACACUUCUCAAAGACAUAUCGCAAUGAUAAAGAGUUUGUGUUGUUUUCCAUAAUAAAUUACAAUAAUAAAACAUGCUUAUGAGUAAAUUUACCAAGUUUAUUACGAACAUUUAAAAAAAUUAUUAAAAGAUUCUCCUACUAUUUUAUUCAAAAUUAAUAACCCUAAAAUAUUAAUUUUAGAGAAUCCCUUCUCUAAAGUUUUCUAGUGGGUAAAUAUCCAUAUUUCACCUCCUCUUAAGUCAGCUUUGGCUUUUCUCUCAAGAUUAUGAUUAUUUAGGUAAGCAUCAUUUGCUAAUUACAUCCUAUGUAGCUCAUUAUUUGGUGAACAACUCUUGUUCCAAUUAUCUCAUGAUCAUCCAAAUCUCUUGCCUCUAGGUUUCUAAUCCUAUUAGAGUAACCUAGUUAAGUUAUUAACCAAUAUUAUAACCAAAUAAUAUCACAUGCUCAUUCUUCGUGUUUAACCAAGAUAUAUACAAGUACUUCACUUUAGCAUAACCCACUUUGUAUCGAUCGAGGCUUUAACAAGGGUAAAUAUUGGAAGGUAAUCUUAACUUAAUAUUUUGUUGAGUGUUUAAAUAAAAUUCAUCUCACCAUUAAUGUUCAACUUUAAUCCAUUUUAUUUCUUUAUUAAAUUUUAUUGUAUUAAUAUACUAUAACAUACAUGCUAACAUAACAUCCAUUGCAUCACAAACAUGAAUAAUAUAAAGCAGUAAAUAAAUGUAAUAGUUAUAGCCCACAAAACUAAGGUGGUCCUUUCCAAGCCAAUGGGAAGAACUUAGAAGAAUCCGAAGGGUGUAAGUCACUUCACAAGCUUCUUUCUUACUUUAAAUAGCCUAACCUUCAUCUCCUCUAGUCCACAACAGCUCAUCAAUUUACAAUUAUAGAAAUUUGUUUUAUAUACGAGGGAGUGAGAUGAGAAGAGAAAUAUUAGGGAUAACUAGAAAGGCACAACACACAUGUCGUAUUUAUAAAAUUACAACUUUUUUAAAUUAUAAAUUAAAAGGGCUAUUGGGCUGUAACCAUGCAUUUCAAACAUUGUGCAUAUCAACCAUAGCAAACAAUAUAUAAUAUUUAUUUAAUUGAUUGUUAUUGUGAAUUACAAAAUUGUUCCUACAAUUAAUGUCUUCUAUGCGAAGGGGUCAAAGGGCGAAGCCCUUUGCGGGGGUAAGGGGGUGGAUCCCAGUGAAAUGUACUAAACUACACUCAGAUUUCUGUGGAAAAAAAAUCACUAAUUGUAAAAUUUUAUAAAAAAAUGAAUAUUUUCAAAAUAAAAAUAUUUUCAAACUUUUGAUCUAUGAGUGUUCUUAUUGGAACAACUUUUGUUCCUUAUUUUCAAAUAUUAUUAGCAAGUUAAAUAUUAAAUUUGAAUAACGAAAACUCCAUCACCCCAAGAUAGAUUUAUUAACACUUAACAAAUAAUAUAUUAGAUCCAACAAGCAUUAAAAUCAAUGGUGAACACUUAAUAAGUGAAUGAGAGGAACAAGUUAUCACAUAUGUUAAACAAAUUACAUACACUGUUUAUUAAACAUAUUACAUGUAUCAAAUAUACAUAAAUCAUUUUGCAAGUAUCUCAUAAAUUUGCAACAACCAAUAAAUUUACUCCUGGAUCUACUCAUUCUUACAUCUGUACUAAGGUCAUAGAGGGUAUUAAUCUUGAGAUAAAGUAUUCUAAAACGAACGUGCUGGUAACGAAUCCUUUAGGUCAAAGUAUAGUAGUGAAUAAGUUAAUUACGAAUUGCCUUUUUUUUGUUGGCGAGCAUGUAUUUUUGGUGGAUUAUUUAUUGCUAAGCUUUCAUGAGUUUGAUGCUAUCUUAGGAUUAGAUUGGUUGACUCGGCAUGAUGCUAUGGUUGAUUGUUGAUCUAGAAGUGUACGUCUUGCUAGCACUAGGGUAAAGAAAUAUUGUUGUCUGGUAAACAAUUAGAGUUAAUGAAUAGGAUUAAUUUUGCAGUGUUAGAUAGAAAGAUGAUUGUUCAAGGCGCAGAUCCAUAUUUGGCAUAUACCAUAGAUACGCCCGAAUCUAGGAGUGAGAUCAGUCAAGUGCCUGUUGUAAGAGAGUUUUUGGAUGUGUUUCCUAAUGAGCUUCCUGGAAUGUCUCCUUAGAGGGAGAUAGAAUUCUCGAUAGAGUUGGAACUAGGGAUAGCCCCUAUAUCAUGUACGCCUUACAAAAUGGCGCCAUUGGAGAUUAAGGAAUUAAAGGGACAGUUGCAAGACUUGUAGAAUAAAGGUUUAAUUAAGCCCAGUGUGUCACAUUGGGGUGCACCAAUUUUGUUUGUUAAAAAGAAUGAUGGAUCUAUGCGUCUAUGUAUAGAUUAUCGUCAGUUGAAUAAGGUACGAUAAAGAAAAGUAUCCUCUGCCCAGGAUUGAAGACUUGUUUGAUCAAUUAAGUGGGGCUUCCGUUUUCUCCAAGAUUGAUUUAUGGUUAGGAUAUUACCAUGUAACACCUCUAAACCCUCUCUAUCGUCAGAUUAGGGUCACGAGCAUUACUAACCAAUCGGAGCAUUUAAUUAAAUUGUAAGCAGUAGUGUAAGCUAACUAAUCUUGUCAUAACAUACAGGGGUAGACCGUGUCAAUCCAAUUAUUAGCAUAUCGUACCAUGCAAUGCUAAACUUGGUCUUCCACUGUCUACACUCUUAUCACUAUUUAUCCCUUCUUGAAAGCUAGAAGUUGGAUACAUAACAAGACUAUUCCAAUUAUUAGCAUCAAAGUAUUGGUCCAUACUCUGACUAUUACUACCUUCGAUGAUGUUAGUAGAAUUCACUUAAUUUAGGUUUGCUAAUUCAUUCCAAUUUAGAGUAAAAUUUAUUCUUACAGCCUCUAUUUUGAGUCUACGAGACCCUAAAAAUAGUCUAAAAACUGGCAAGGACUAGUAACCAAAUAGUGUACCAUACCAUGCAAUGCUAAACUUGGUUUUCCACUGUCUACACUCUUCUCACUAUUUAUCCCAUCUUGAAAGCUAAAAGUUGGAUGCAUAACAAUACUAUUCCAAUUAUUAGCAUCAGAGUAUUGGUCCAUACUUCGACUAUUACUACCUUCGAUGAUUUUAGUAGAAUUCACUUAAUUCAGGUUUGCUAAUUCAUUCCAAUUCAGAAUAAAAGUUACAAUUAUAGCCUCUAUUUCGAGUCUACAAGACCCUAAAAAUAGUCUAAAAAUAGGCAAGGACUAAUUUGGAGCAAUUAUGAAAGUUUAGGGCCAUUUUUGAAAAUUCCUAAAAAUGGGGACGCACGACCAUACGGCCAGGCCAUGUGGAAUGCCCCAGACAGUGUGACUCUUGAAGUUGGGACACACGGGUGUGUCCCAACCCGUGUCUCCUCCCAUGUAACUCACUGACUUGAGACACAUAGUCGUGUUCCAGCCCGAGUAACUCUUUGACUUGGGCCACACGGUCAUGUCCCAGACCAUGUGUCAGCCCGUGUGGAAACUAAAACUAUACUAUUUUUAAACAUGCUUGUGUGUGGCACACGACUGUGUGACAGACCAUGUCUCAGGCUAUGUGCACCUAAAUAUGCCUUAAAACUCAAGUUUACCAUUUCAUGCUUGCUUGGACACUAAGAAACUCAAUUACUAGCCAUUAACCUAUUCAAAACACAAUUAAACAUGCUCAAAACAUGCCAAAAUAACCAACUUAAGUGCCUAACCAAUGUACCCUCAUCGGUACCACAUUUUAUAUCAUCAAACACAUCAAGCAUUCAAGGAAUUUCAUUCAUGCAAAAUUAGCUAAUAUUGAACUAGGCUUUUGCUACUUAGGCUACCGAGUUUUAAGCUAAAACACAUACCAACACAUUAACUAGACUACAUACUAGAACAUAGUUUAAACCACAACUAUAUAUACAAGUAACCAUGAAUUCACCUUAAACCAAAAUAACAUCAUAUUAACAAACCAAAUAUCAACCAAAGACUUCCUAGGUACAUGCCAUUACGAAAUGAAAUAUCACCACACUUGAGCUCAGGAUUGAGGUUGGAUGCUGAUUCGGUGAUAUUUUGAAAAGUACCUAACCUGCACACGGAAAACAAAAAUUGUACGCUGAGUACAACUCAAUGGUAUUUCUAUAAUCUAAACAAUUCAAAUCUUAAUGUAAAUAUGUAAGAUGUAAUAUAUAAUAGUGAAAUGGUAUUUAUUAUGCUAACUUUAUUCACCAAUAUUCACAUUCAAAAUCUUGCAAUUUCUAAAACUUGGUAAUAACCUUUAAGUAGGCAUUUGAUAAAUAAUUCACAUAAUGGAAAUUUUCAUAUAACAUUUGUUAACUCAACUCAUGCAAUGGCAUGAUCCAACUCUUUAAUCAAUAAUUGAUUUCAUUUCACAAUUCACAUCUCAUUUCAUCAUUUCGUAUUUCAUUUCUCGUCUCACAUUCAUUUCUCAUCUUUGCCAUCUUAAUAUCAAACUCAUAAAUUUAUUAUUUAAUUUCCCCUGUUAACAUGACUCGAACUUGGAUGGAUACACAGACCCAACCAACACACCAGUUUGGCACCUAGUGCCUCAUCGGAUAAAUUUGAAGUAAUAACUACGCCCAGUGCUAUAUAAAUUGACACCCAGUGUCUUAUCGUUUCAACCGAAGCAAACUGGCACCCAAUGCGUCAUCGACUUGAGGUCAAAGAAAUCCUGAACUCUUCCUAUCCUAUGGCAUGCCAUCUAUAUCCGACUCAGCCCGAUACAGUUAAUAAGGUUUCAUUUCACUUUUCAAUACAACCAAUGUCUCAAUUUCACAUAUAUACACAUUAUCACAUAUAGUCAAUUCAAUACUCAUAGAAUAAACAUAUUUCAUAAUACAAAAAAUCAAUCCCUUUCAAAUCCAUUAUGAAUUCAAUUCAAUCCCAAAGUACCAAAGUAGUCACCUCAAAUGCUUACUCUAUGCAAAAAAUUAAAAGUGGAACAAUCUACUAUUUAAUUCGAAUUAUAGGAAUACAAACUGUGAAUUUCGAGCUAUUUGAUGUUGAUUUUGUCCUUCCCUUUUUUACUCGAGGAUUCCGGUACAAUGUUAGAUAUGGAAUAAAACAAUUCAUAUACAUUAAUAUUACACAAUUCAAUUUCACAUUAAAUUUAAAAUUUUACACUAUAUUUGCUUAAACUUCAAUUUAGUCCUUAAACGAGACUAGUUUUAACCUUUACAUUUAACUUUAUAUUUUUAUACUAAUUUUACUCUAAACUAAAUUUAGCUCCCUAUUUUCUAGUUCGAACCCUUAAUUUUAAAUUUUUCUCAAUUUAGUCCCUAUUGCUCAAAAUCAACAAUUUAUUCCACAAUUUAGUCCGUUUUCAUUUCCAACUUAAAAAUCGAUCUAUUUAAUCCCUAAUACAAAACUAUUCAACAAUGUAGACAUAUAAAAUCUUGAAAAAUACUAAAAAUUCAACAUGGGUCGGCUAGCCUCAGGUACCGAGAUUCCAAAAACAUAAAAAUCACAAGAAAAUGGACUAAAUUGACUAACCAGUAGAAGUUUGAACCCCUAAAAUUUCUUAUAGCUGUGCGUAUUCCUCUUUUUUCCUUCCCCAAUUUGUUUUGCAUGUGAAAUAAAGUAAAGGAAUGGAUUUUUGUUUUGUUUUAAUGACUAUCUAUCUAUUAUUAUUAUUAUUAUUAUAACUUAAUUAUAACACACACACACACAUAUAUAUAAUAUACACAUGCACAUUCCUUUAACCCAUGGCCGGCCACCUAUACAUAACCAUUUAUUAAAUGGUAUAAUAUCUACUUUAGCCCCUUUAGUUUAUUUCAAUCUAUAAUUCAAAUUUUAAAUUUAACGCGAUUUAGUCCCUACACCUUAAUAACUCUUAAUUCAUGCAAAAUUACUUUUCCAAAAUUUAAUUAACUACACAACUAACUUCGUAAAUAUUUUUAUGUCUGGUUUACGAGAAUAAAGUCCUAUAAAUACACUUUUCGACACCCUUGACUAUUGGCUCGUUACAUACCAUAUAAAGAUCAAAGAUGAUGAUGUGUCAAAGACAACCUUCCAAUCAAGAUAUGGUCAGUAUGAGUUUCUGAUGAUGCCAUUUGGGUUGACAAAUGCACUUGCAGUAUUCAUGGACUUAAUGAAUAGGGUAUUCCAACCUUACUUUGAUCAAUUUGUUAUAGUCUUCAUUAAUGAUAUACUAAUUUAUUCUAAGGAUGAAGGUGAUCAUGAAAAGCAUUUAAGAAUUAUGUUGAGGACCUUGCGUGAAUAUCAAUAAUAUGAAAAUUUUAGCAAAUGUGAAUUCUGACUGAAAGAUAUGUACUUUUUUGGGCAUGUUAUCUCAGCGGAUGGUAUUAUGGUUGUCCCUACUGUAACAGCCCAAAAAUUUACCCUAGUCGGGAAGUGGUUUCGGAACCACAAAACCGAGUUAUGAAGAUAAUUAAUUGUUAUAUUCUAUGUUUAUUAUGUGUGUGCAUGCAUAUGUGGAAGUUUCAUGCCCUAAUUUUGCCAAUUGCAUGAGAAAUUAUUAAAUAGGGAUCAACAUGAGACAUGGUGAAAGAUGAUAGGCUAAUUCAAAAAGGGGCUUAUUAGUGCAUGUCCACACAAAGGUGGACUUGCAUGUCAAAUUACCCAACAUUCCUUAUAGUGGCCGGCCAAGGUGGGAUGAUGAUGGGCAAAAUAUUUAUUGAAAUUGAUAUUGGGUUAUGGGAGUUAUUAAAUAAAAGAAAAGAAGGGAAAUGUGAUGAAAAAAAAAAGGAAAAAAAAGGGGGGCUUCAUUCUUGUCUUCUUGGCCGAAUUGAAGGAAGGAAUAGGAGCAAGAACUUUCGGCCAUUAGAGUGUUUAAUAAGGUUAGUAUCUUGUGUUUAAUUGUGAAAUUUUAGCUUGUUUUAGGUUAAUCAUCAUGGUUCUUACUUAGACCAUGCAAAAUUUUUAACUUUGAUGGAUGGAUGGAGUAUUCGGCUAUGGCUAUUAAAGAAGGAGGUUUGAAUUCUUCCUUUAAGUUUUGAUGAAGAAUGUGUUGAGGAAAGAAAUUGAUCUUGCUAAAUUAUAAAUAAAAAUGCUUGAUGUCUUGAACAAAUAUUGUUUCGAUGGGUGGAAUGAGUAAUGUCAUGUAUAGGUUUCGGCUAUGGAUUAUCAUGUUCAAUAUUUUUGUGUUGGUGUGCAAAUUGAAAAUGGAUGUUUGUUGUGCUAUAACACUUGCUUAAUGAUGAAAGGAUCUUGAGCUUAGGGCUUGAGAGGCAUUCGGCUUUGGAGUAAAAAUAAUAGAAAUGGUGUUUAGUCAAUGCAAGUGUCCAUACUUGUAGAAUGUAUUGAGUGUUGCAAUCGGCCUUAACAUAGACAUGUGUGUGUUCGGCCACAUAAAUUAGCACCUAAGUUGAUGUGUAUGUUCGGCCAAGUGUUCAUGUGGUGGAAAUUAAGUGUUAAAUGGAAUGAAAAUGAUGUUAAAUUUGAUUAUGUAUAAUGGGCCAUAUAGAGUACACAUGGUAAGUUUUGUUGUUUCAUGUUAAAGUUAGGUGAAUGAUGAUAGAAGAGUGAUUGAACUAUAAAAAGAAUCGGCUACCUUGUUAUGAGCUAGGGCCGAAUGUGAGUUGGUUGUGUUUGAAUAAUACAUGCUUGGUAGAAUGGUGGAUGAAGGUGCCGAAUGUAUGUUGGAUUGAUAGAGUCUCCAAAUUGAUUUUAUGUGUGUAUGCAUGACCGAAUAUAUGUGAUUGCCGAAUGUGAUAAAUAAAUUCAUGUUAUUGGGUUAAAUAUUGAAUACUCUUAUUUGUAUUAUUUAAGCUCAAGAACCUAAAGGAGAGGCAUCCAACAAGGGGAAAUCGAAGGUCAUCGAGUAGCCGACUCGGAAUUAUUUUACCCAACAUAAAGUAAGUCAUUAAGCAUGUAGUGGGUAUUAUUUCAAAUGGUCAUAAUGUGUAUGCAUUGAUGCUGAUUGGAAUGAAUAAAUAUACAUAUAUAUAUAUGCAUGUACGUAUGUGAUGAUGAAAUUGUUGAAUGAAUGAAAAGAGGUAAGAUGUAUUGAGUUGUUGAUCUCAGCACUAAACGUGCGGGAUAACCAUUUAUGACCAUGAGAUUGGCGCUAAGUGCGCGGGAUUAAAUUGUACAGCACUAAGUGUGCGAUUCGAUUAUGUUGCACUAAGUGUGCGAAAGGAAUAUGAUGCACUAAGUGUGCGAAUUGACCAUGCGGCACUAAGUGUGCGAAUCUAACUAUGUAGCACUAAGGGUGCGAUUUGAUUACGUGGCACUAAGUGUGCGAGUUGAGUGAAUAGCACUGAGUGUGCGGGUUCAAUAUACAUUCGUGAAUCAUUAUGGACACUAUGUGUGCGACACUAUUGAGUCGAUCGCGGACAGCGGGUCGGGUAAGUGUCUUGAGCACGUGGUUAAUAGGUGCUAUGCUUAUACUUGGUGUUGAGCUCGGUAAGUUCGAACCUAUGUGACAUAUAUACUUGAAGUCACGAACAUAAAAUUUAUCGUAGGAUGGGUGAAAGGCCGUAUAGUCGUUUGAUUGUAACGAAAAUAAAUUGAUUUAUGAAAUUGCUUCAAUGUCCUAUGGAUGAGUAUAUAGAAUGUGAAUGCAUGAAUUGAUAUGAAAUUGAAUUGAGAGGUUGGAGGAACUACGGUAUGGAUGGAGUAAAUUGUCUCGUUCUAUUUUGUUUCCUCUUGUGAUAAUGUUGUCGAUAGAUGGUAGUGCAUUGCUUAUGACUUACUGAGUUAUAAACUCACUCGAUGUUUCCUUGUCACCCAUUAUAGGUUGCUUGGACUCAUCUAGUUUUGCGGGGUCGGGCCGUCAUCGAAGUCAUCACACCGGAUAGCAAGUUUUGGUACUUUCUUCUUAGUUGGAUUAGAAGAACAUUUUGGCAUGUAUAAGCUAUUACGUUGUGUUGAACUUUGGCAUGUAAACUUUAAGCCAUGCGAAAAUGGCACGAAUGUUUGAUCGAGUUGGAUCAAGAGUAGGCAUGAAAUGGACCUAGUUACUUUCGUAACAGAUGCUGGCAGCAGCAGUGUCAUGAGAUUGAAAAAUCCCUAAAAAUAGUAGGAUCGGAAUUAAUUGAUGAAUAAAUUAUGUAAUCGAAGCUCGAUGAGUCUGCUUUCAUGAGGAAGUAACGAAACAAUCAUAGGAACAGUACAGUAAGAGAUAUUCAGGUUCUUGUGGAACAGGGACAGAACAGUUUCUGGAAUCCCUGUUCCGACUUUGGAAAUUCACUAUAAAUUGACCAGAGAUAAUUAGGGGUCAUACCAUAUAUGUAUGAAUUCCUCUCUGAGUCUAGUUUCCAUAGAAACAAACGGUAUCAGUAUUGAAGCUCUGUGUAGAGAGAUAUCCAAGUCGUAAUGGGAAAAGGUCAGUGUAGUCGACCCCUGCAACAUGGGAGACUUUAACUAUUAAACUGUACUAAUUGGCCCGACCAAAAAUUCUAGAAAAAAAUACAUAGAUGGGCACAUGAGUCUAGUUUCUGGGAAAAAUCACGAAACUGAUUUUUGAGUUACGAAACUCAAGAUAUGAUUUUUAGAACAACUAGUACACAGAUUGGGCAGUGUCUGGAAAAUAAAAUUUUUAUAAGGGGUUAAAGUCAGUUAACACCUCGUGUUCGACUCCGGUGUCGGUUUCGGGUUCGGGGUGUUACACCUACUAAGGUAAAGGCAGUUCUUGAUUGGAACUUGCCCAAGAACAUAUCUAAAGUCAGCAACUUCCUAGGGUUUGUUGGAUACUAUAGAAGAUUUGUGAAGGGUUUCUCAAUAAUAGCAUCGCCUCUCACCAACUUGCUAAAAAGAAGGAGAAGUUUGUAUGGAGUAUUGAUUUCUAGCAGAGUUUCGAGAAAUUGAAGGCAGUUUUGACCGAAGCUCCAGUGUUAGCACAACCAGAACCCGAUAUCAAAUACACAAUUUACAAAAUGCAUCUCUGAAUUGGUUAGGAUGUGUCUUUAUGCAGAAAGGAAAAGUUAUAGCUUAUGCAUCAUGCCAACUGAAACCCCAUGAAAAGAAUUACCUCACACAUGAUUUGGAACUAGCAGCAGUGGUCUUAGCAUUGAAACUUUGGAAACAUUACUUGUAUGGGAAAAGAUGUCACAUAUUCUCUGACCAAAAAAGUCUAAAAUACUUAAUGAUCCAAAAAGAUUUGAGUCUACACCAAAGAAGAUGGGUGGAACCAUUGAAAGACUAUGAUUUGAUCAUUGAGUAUCACCCAUGGAAAGCAAAUGUUAUGACAGAUGCUUUAGUAUAGGAAGGAACUUUAGUAUAGGAAAAGAUGGCGAGCUCAGGUUCAAGAACAUGAUUUUUGUACCUGCAGGAAAUGGAUAAGGAAGGAAUUGUUAAGGGAAACUCACCAGUGACCCUUUUCACUUCACUCUAGUAGCAUCAAAAUGUAUAGAGAUCUAAAGGACUCAUAUUGGUGGCUUGGUAAUGAAAAGGAAAUUUUGAAGUGUGUCUCAACUUGUUUGACUUGCCAAAAAGUUAAGGUUGACCAUCAAGUUCUUUCUAGUAAGCUGUAUCCUUUGGAAAUUCUUGAAUGGAAAUGGGAUAGGAUCACUAUAGCACCCAUAACCCUUAUCCGUCGCCAGAAUAGAGUUAUGGAGCAUUACCGGGAUUUACAGAUAAAAUACUAACAAUUUUAUAUCAUUUCACACUCAUAUCAUAAACCUGUAAUAGUCAAUCAUAUCAUUCCUUAUGUGAGCCCUUGAGACUCAAAACACGCAUUAGAAUCAAGUUAGGACUAAACUGGGUACUCAAAGAAUUUUUCACGAAACUUCAAAAAUUUUCCUGGGUGCAGAGGACACAAGCCCAUGUGGUCAACCCGUGUGGCUUACACGGCCAAGUGACACGCUCGUGUCUUAAGCCACGUGGGCAUUCAAAAUAGGGCACACGGCCAUGUCCCAGCCCGUGUUAUUACCCGUGUAACUCUUUGACUUGGGUCACACGGCCAAGCCACACGCUCAUGUGUUAGGCCGUGUUAACAUAAUAUUUUGCAUUAAAUAGGUACAGGGUUCACACGGCCAAGCCACACGCCUGUUUGCCAUGCAGUACGAUCAAUUUUGAGCAUUCUGUUUUGAAAUUUUUAAGAUACAGAGGACACACGACCAUAUCACACGCCCAUGUGCUAAGCCAUGUGUCACACAAGGCUGAGACACAUUCCCGUGUCUUUGCCCGUGUUGACAAAAUAAGACCAUUUCCUAGCCAUAUUUCUCACACAGACUUGUCUUCCACCUAUAAUUAAACACUUAAACACAUUUCCAAACCAAUAUAAAAGAUUUGAAUCAAGCCAUAACCAAGUCUUAUGCAUAUCAUAUCAUCAUAUAUAACCAACUCAAACCAUGUUAUCAUUUUACCUAUUAAUUAAACAUCAAUCAAUUAUACCAAAACACAUAUCAAUUAUGAUAAGACUAUAUACUUAUAUAUAUAUCAAAAUGUAUUAAACUUAAGAUAUUCAAAUGGCUAUUCACAACAAAACAUUUACAUUCCAUCAAUGGCCAAAUUAACUUAUACAUGCCAUUAUACCAAAGUUGAUUUAAUAAAUAUACCGAAAAAGGAUGAUUGAUAGUGUGAUGUGGCUCCGACCAGCUUCCAACCUUAACAAGUUUCCAAGUUCUAUAAAACAGAGGAAAUAAAAUAGAGUAAGCAUUUAAUGUUUAGUGAGUUCGUAUAACAUGGAAUUUAACUUACCAUUAUUUCACAUAUAAGGUAAGCAUAAAAAUAUUUAUCCCAAGAAAUUUGGUAAUUUUCCUAAACACAUAUAAUCUCAAGAAAAAUGUUAGUCAUGUACUUCAUGUGAAUAUCAAGAAACAAGGAUGAGCUAAUCAUGUAACAAUUUUCAUAUAUAUAUGCUUUCUACAUUAUAUAUAUUCAUAUAACAUGUACAUUUCCAUAAUAAUUCAUCUUAUGUUCAGAUUAUCCCAUGUCAGAACUUUGCCUGUUGAAUUUAUUUGAAAUAUCGAUGGAUACACAGGUAGUACACUCGAAGUGUACAAAUCUGUAAUUCGUCAAUUCAUAUUUAGGAAUGCUCAUGUGAGCACAAAAACAAGAAGUUCUCUCUUGAUCCAUAUAACGGGGAGCUCAUGUGAGCUGUAUAACGGGGAGCUCAUGUGAGCUGUAUAACGGGAAGCUCAUAAGAGCCAUAUCCAGGAAGCUCAUGUGAGCUAAUAACAGGUAGCUUCAAAGAGCCAUUAGUCAGGAAGCUCCAGAUAGCCAUUUAUCGAGAAGUUCAAGUGAGCCAUAUCAGGAAGCUCCGAAGAGCCAUUAAUCAAAAAGCUCACAAAGAGCUUUUAAUCGGGAAGCUCACGAAGAGCCAUAUAUAGGGAAGUUCAUUAGCGUGGCGGUGUGUGCACAACACAUGUAGGAUCACAACCAAUCGAAAUGCUCGCAAGAACAAUAUAACGGGAAGCUCCAAAGGGCUAACAAUGGGACGUUCUUUCGAGCUGUGGUGUGUCCACAACAUUUGUAGGACCACAACCAAUUUGGGAACCCUAUAUCCAUCGAAAUUUCAUCUAUUCAAACAAAACUUAACAUUUAUCGGGCUUUGUUAGAUAUAUAAUUAGUUUCAUAGAAAUAGCAAUUACACAGUUCAAAUAUACAACAUUCAAUUCAAACAUAUAAAUAUACACAAUUUAAUUACACGAACUUACCUUGACAAGUGUUUGUUGAUUUGUUGUCUAUUAAUCCGACACUUAUUUUUCCAAGAUCUAAUUUUGUAUUUUGUCUAUCCAGAUCUAUAUGAGUAAAUUUAACUCAAUAUAAUACAAUUCAUAUUCAAUUGAAUUCAAUUCACAUCUUAGGAAAAAAUACCAUUUUGCCCCUAUACUUUUUUUCAUUAUGAUUGUCCCUAGGCUCGGAAAAUGAAAUUCAUGCACUUUAAUCCUUAUUCCAAGCCUAGCUGAUUUUCACAUGUCACAAUAGCAGCCCAUGUAUUUCAUAAAAUUCAGAAUUUUUCUAUGAAUUUUACAACUUUUCAAUUUAGUCUCUAAAUCAUAAUUUCAUCAAAAUUCCCUUUACAAAAGUUGUUUAUUUAUCAACAACCUUUCAUUUUCUAACAUAAAACUUCAUAAUUCAACUAUAUUCAUCCAUGGAAAAACCCUAGUACUUUGAUAACUUUGCAAAUUAAUCCCCGAGAUAGCUAAAUUAAGCUAUUAUGAUGUCGGAAACAUAAAAAUUACUAAAAACGGGGCUUGAAUACUCACCUAAUUGAGCCAAAGUAAACUUGUCUUUCUUCAAGCUUCAAACUAGGGUUUCCAUGUCUUUUGAUUUUAGGAAAGAUGAUAAAUGAUGAUAUUUUGUUUUAUUUCAUUAUUUAUCAUCUUUCUUUUUUAUCUUUUCAAUUUUAUCCUUUUGUUUUCUUAAUUUUCCAUGGAUGAAUCAUCAUACUUAUCUACUAACUCCUCUUAACGGUCUAUUUACCAUAUAAGGACCUCAAAUUUUGAAUUCUAUAGCUAUUUGUUACUUAUAGCUACUAGAACUCAAUUUUUACAUUUCUGGCAAUUUGGUCAUUUUAUCAAUUAAACAUGUAAUCGGUAAAAUUUUUUAAUGAAAUUUUUAUACGAUAUUCCUAUCAUAAUGCAGAUCAUGAAAUAACAUUAAAAUAAUUUUCCUUCUGGACUUGAAUUUGUGUUCCCGAAACCACUAUUUCGAUUUCACUAAAAAGGGGAUAUUACAACUCUCCCGCCUUAAAAAAUUUUCGUCUUCGAAAAUCUUACCGGUAAAGAGGUUUGGAUACUGCUUUCUCAUUGUUUCCUCAGGUUCCCAAGUAGCUUAUUCUAUUCCAUGUUGUUUCUAGAGGACUUUUACUAAAACUACCUUUUUAUUUCUCAGUCUUUCGUCUCACGUGCUAGAAUUUUGAUCGGUUCCUCACUGUAAGUCAUAUCAGGCUGAAUCUCAACCUCUGUUAAAGAGAUAACAUGUGAAGGGUCUGACCGGUACCAUGCAACAUAGUCACAUGGAAAACAUUGUGAAUUUUUUCAAACUUUGGCGGUAAUGCCAAUCGGUACGCAACAAGUCUGAUUCUUUCAGUGAUCUCAUAUGGCCCGAUAAAUUGUGAACUUAGUUUUCCUUUACAGUCAAACUGAAGAAUUUUCUUCCAAGGUGAAACUUUCAAAAAUACCUUAUCGCCAACUUGAAAUUCUAUUUCUUUACGUUUAAGAUCCGCAUAAGAUUUCUGGAGAUUAGAAGCUGCUUUUAAACUAUGUCAAAUCACUUUCACUUUCUCUUCAGUUUCAUGGAUUAGAUAAGCUCCAUGUAUCUUUUUCUCACUGAGCUCAGUCCAAUACAAUGGAGUUCUACAUUUACGUCCAUAUAAAGCUUCAUACAGUGCCAUCUUAAUGUUUGAUCGAUAGCUGUUAUUAUAUGCGAAUUCAUCUAAUGACAAAUAUUUCUCCUAAUUACUUUCAAAUUCUAAAACACAACACCGAAGCAUAUCUUCAAGAAUCUGUAUUACACGUUUGGACUGGCCAUCAGUCUGAGGAUGAAAUGCAUUACUAAAAUGUAAUUUUUUACCCAAGGCUUCUUGCAACUUGUUCCAGAAUCAGGAUGUAAACCACAGAUCUCUAUCAAAAAUAAUAGAAACUAGCACACCGUGAAAUCUAAAAAUCUUAGAAACAUAUAACUCAGCUAAUCUAUCUAGGGAGAAAUCCGUAUGUACCGGUAUAAAGUGUGCAAAUUUUUUCAAAUGGUUGACGAUUACCCAAAUAACAUCUUUCCUUUUUGGAGAUAGGGGAAAUCCCGACACAAAAUCUCAUUUCUAAUCCGGUAUUGUGACUUGUUGUAAUAAUCCUAAAGGUACCUGAUGUUCAGCUUUAACUUGCUGACAAAUCAAACAUCUAGAUCCAAAUUUAGAAAUAUCACGCUUCAUUCCUGGCCACCAGUACACCUGUUUCAAAUCAUUAUACAUUUUAUUACUCCCCGGAUGAACAGACAUAAUACUACUGUGAGCUUCGUAUAAAAUAUUUUGUACAAGCUUAGGAUUCUUUGGUACACAGAUCUUGCCUCGAAAUAACAAAUAAUCAUAGGGUCUAAUUUGAAACUUUGAAUCGAGAUUUAACUCAAAUUGCACUCGCUUAGCUUAUAACUCCCCAUCAUUUUUUUGGGCUUUGUAAAUCUGCUAUAGAAAUGUCAGCCUAGCUUUUAACUCAGCUAAAAUUGAACAAUCAUCAGGCAAUGUCAAUCGGGAAUUCAUUGCUUGCAAAGCAAACAAAGACUUUUUACUCAGAGCAUCCACAACUACAUUAUCUUUUCCGAGAUGAUAACCAAUUACCAAAUCAUAAUCUUUUAACAGUUCAAGCCAUCUCCGUUGUAUCAGAUUCAAAUCUUUCUGUGAGAUCAAAUACUUUAAGCUUUUAUAAUCGGUGAAUAUGUGGCAUUUUUCACCAAGCAAGUAGUGUUACUAAAUUUUCAAAGCAAAUACAAUAGCUGUUAAUUUAAGACCAUGUAUCGGGUAAUUGUUUUCAUGUGGCUCAAGUUGUCUAGAAUCAUAGGCUAUUACUUUACCUUCUUGCCUCACAAGACAACUUGAGCCAUUCAACGAUGCAUCACAGUAAAUCACAAAUUCCUUACAAGAUUUUGGUUGAACUAGAAUGGUGCUUCAGUCAAUAGGGCUUUCAACCGAUUAAAGCUUUGUUGACAUUUAUCAGUCCAUUCACAUUUCACAUCUUUUUGUAAUAGCCGUGUCAUCGGCUAAGCUAUCAUCGAGAAUCCUUGUCCUAGAAAACUUCUGACUUCAGACAUAUUUUUUGGUGGUUUCCACUUAACAAUUGCUGAAAUUUUAUUCGAAUCUACUCUGAUGCCUUCAACAGACACUAUAUGUCCCACAAAACCAACUUCCCGAAGCCAGAUUUCACAUUUACUAAAUUUGGCUUACAACUGUUUCUCACGCAGUGUUUGCAGAAUAAUUCUCAAAUGAUCAGCAAGUUCAUUUGCAUACAAUUGUAUAUUUCCAAUAAACUACGGUUGCAUAGGGUUCCAUCGUCCAUAGUGUUUAACAUAGAUUUGAGUUUUACUUCAAGGUUCUGGCAUUAGUUAUAAUAAUCAUUGGGAAACAAUGUAACACCCCUCACCUGUAUCCGACACCAGGACAGGGUUCGAGGUGCUACCGGACUUAAGCGAAUACUUCCAUACUAAAAUCAGCCAUGAAAUUUCGUUCGAAUUUAAAACUUUUCAUUUCACAUACAUUAUGUCCCUUAAAAGGGCUCACGAGGCCCAAAACAUGCAUUAGAGAUGGUUUGGGACUAAACCGAGAACUUAAGAAAAACUUCAAAAAAUUUCAUGCUUUAAGGCUCCACAUGCCCCUGUGAGUAUAGAGCACACGCCCGUUGCUAGGGACACACCCGUGUUCCAGACCUAUGUUCAAAAACCUGGACAUUCUGCCAAUUUGGUCAUGAACAAAUUGAAGCCACACAACCAAGGGACACGCUCGUGUCGUAUGGCUGUGUCAUUCAUACGGCUAAGGCACAUGGCCGUGUCUCUUGCCCAUGUGCUUACUAUCAUACAUACUAACUUGAAAAACUUAGGUGCAGGGGACACACAGCUGGACAACACACCCAUGGGGGCGGACCGUGUGUUACACACGGCUUAGACACACGCCCGUGAGUCUACCCGUGUGGACAAAUACAAGGCUAUUUUCCAACCCAUUUUCUCACCCUCACAACACAUGCACGCAUACUUAUACAAUAGCAUACAACAUGGAAAAAUUAGGCACUUAAACAUUCCUAACAUGUCAUGACCAUGGAAAUUUCACAUGCAACCAAUAUCAUAGAUUUUACCUUCAUCUUUACCACAUUAAUGCUAUAGCUAUCAACAUGUCAUCAAACCUCAUUUUCAUCACUAAGCAUUCAUGAUCACAUCCACAUACCAUUCAUACCAAGCCAUUAAAGACUCUUCAUAAAUAAAUAGGUUUACCAACCCUAUUAUCAAAAUAAGCUAAUACAUUUGGCUAAAGCAAUAUCACAUACUCAAAUAUUUAAACUCCUAUACAUUCCAUAGACUCAAAGUACUUGAAAUCACUUACACCAACAGCGAUAGCUUGGCAGUGUGAUAAUAUCUCUGAUGAACUCAAACCCGAGCUAACCUAGCAACACUAGAAAACAUGGGAAAGAAAAGGGGGUAAGCUUUACGCUUAGUAAGUUCAUAUGAAAACAAUAAGCUACUCAUUAACAUGCUUUUAUCAAUGUUCCCAACAUAUUUUCAAGUUCAUAAUAAGUUGUCUUCUUGUACAAUAGUCGAUAAAAUAUUUAUAUCUGGAGCUACGAAACUCUAAAUUAAGUUCUGUUAAUUUUUAUUGGAACUAGACUCAUGCAAAUUUCUACCAUAAAAUUUCCAGAAUUUUUUGUUUAGCCAAAUAGUACAGUUUAUUCCUAAAAGUUACCCCUGAUUCACUGUAUGACAAUUCCGACCCUUCUACACUAAAGUUAAAUUAUCUCACAGCACAGGACUCGAAUAAUGUUCUUGUCUAUUUCUCUUGAAAAUAAACUCAUUAAAGAUUCUAAAAAUAUAAAUUAUAACUUAUAAAUAUUUUUUUUAUAAUUUAUAAUAAUUUUCUCAAAUUAGAACAGGGGAUUUCGAAGUCAUUCUAACUCUGUCUCACACAACUUCAAAUAUCUCAUUAUAGGAAAUUCUUUUGCUUACACGGUUUCUUUUAUAAGAAACUAAACUCAAUAAGAGUUAAUCCAUAUUUUAUUCAACCUAUAACUCAUUUUACACUAUUUUUAGUGUAUUUUCAAAUUUACACCACUACAGUAGCCCAAAACUAUCCAGGCUAAUUUGCUCAUUCACAAUUAUUAUUCACCAAAUUAAUACAACAUCAUAUCAUCUAUCAUGGUAAGAACACAUAGCUAUGCAUCAUAAGCAUGGACCCAUAAUCUCAAUGUCAUCAAGUAUCAAAGACUUAUUCUAAAUCAUGUCAUUUUCCUGGUAUUCACCAAUUACUAUAUACAUCAUGAACAUAGACCCAUAACAAUAAGGUCAUUACACAAUCAUUCUCAUAAACAUGACUUACUUAUUUGCAUCCCUACCAAAGGUGCAUUAUAGACCAAAUUAUUGUCAUGAGUUUUGCGUACAUACCUAUACUACUUCAUGACAUAAUCAUUCCUUACCACAGCUUUGUUAUAAUCUUUGAAUUUCCCGUUGAACUACUUGGAGUACAAAAGGAUACUCAGGGAAAUUCAUACACAUAGUAAGAUGCCAAUGCCAUAUCCCAGAUAUGGUCUUACAUGGAUUCACACAUAUCGAUGCCAAUGCCAUGUCCCAGACAUGGUCUUACAUGGGAUCACACAUAUCGAUUCCAAUGCCAUGUACCAGACAUGGUCUUACAUUAGAUCUCAUAUUGAAACUUUAUCGAAUGUUAUCGAGACAUCAUGAAUCCAUUUCAUAAAGAAAAAUACAUGUACAUAUUUAAACAUUAGACAUAUAAUAAUAACAGCAUGUUGCACUGUUUUCAUACAACUUACCUCGACACGAAAUUAGUAAAAGAGGCCUACAUAUCAAUUUCUCGUUUUUCCUCUUUCUAAGCCUGAAUCUCAUUUUUCAUCAUCUAUAACAUCAUAUUUAACUUAUUAAAACAAUAUACUAAUCAAAUUAGUCCAAUGAAACAUUUUGGCCAAGUUUCUGAUUUUGCCCCUAUACUUUGCCAUAAUUACCAAAUUUCCCUAGGCUCGUAAAAUGAUUUUUAUUCAAUUUCUUUACUCCUUAAGCCUAGAUGAACCAUUUUCAUAACUAAGAAACUCAUAAUUUCAACUAUUUCACACAUUUAUCACUUAUUUUACAAACUUUACAAAAUAGUCCAUUUAUGUGCUUUCAUGCAAAUUUCUUUCAUGUAAGUUGUUUAUAACACUACCAAGACUCAUAUUCUUCCAUAAAAACUCAGCAAACAAUACAUAUGCUUUCACAGCAAAACCCUACACUCUUAAUCAUUUUGCAGAACAGUCCCCUCUUUUGAAAGCUCAUGCUUUAGGGGUUCAAAAAAGUAAAAAUUAUCAAGAAAAAGCAUUAAAAACACUUACUUACUAGGGAAAUAUGUUGCUGCCAUUUUCUGCGAAAGAGAAGAAGAAAAAUGAAAGAAAAUGACAACUUUUUCUUUAUUUUAUUUUAUUACCAAAAAGUCACUUUAAAUCCCAUAAAAUAUGGCUUUUUGACCAAUCUUGUCUCCCUUGGUCUAGCACCUCUAUUAAAAAGGGUAUAAUUUCCCUUCAAAGGCCUUCAAUUUUAUCUAUCUAGCUAUUAGAUACAUUUAGGUACUAAAAUACAACUUUUACCUUUUACGCGAUUUAGUCCUUUUUUUGAAAUUAAGCCCUCAAAUGCUAAAAUUAAUUCACCAAAAUUUUCAUGUACUUAAAUAAUCAUGCUAUAACUCAUAAAAUAACAUCAAAAUAAUUUUCUCUGGCCUUAGAAUAGUGGUUCCAAAACCAUUGUUUCACUAGGCCUAAAAUCGGGCUGUUACAAUUCUUCCCCCCUUUAGGGAUUUUCGUCCCCGAAAAUCUUACCAGAAGAAGUUGCUUUCAAAUUUCACGAGUCAAUUUCACCAUUUUCUCAAAAUUAAAAACUAGCUCUGUCUCAUACUCAGGAUUUCCUGUAGCCUUUCCAUAGCCAUGGUAUAAGCCUCGGCUCAAUUCGAAAAACUGGAGCUGACAUUCUAAGAACUAUAAACUCAGAUACAUAGUUCGGCCAAAUCUACCGAAUAAUACAUCUGCACAUACAAAAAUAAUCAUACGGACUUUCAUCAUCAAUCUACAGUUCGGCCAAAUCUACCGAAUAAUACAUCUGCACAUACAAAAAUAAUCAUACGGACUUUCAUCAUCAAUCUAUCACAAUCCAAUUGGCAUCUUUCUUUUUUCCUGAGGAUGAGAGAUAUCCCGAUAUGAAAUUCAUAAUAGCCCUUUCUCAUUUUCUUUCACUGUCAUCACCGACAAUAAUAGUUUCAAAUACAUUGGAUAUUCGGCUUAACCCUGAAUACAAUUCAACAUCUUUUGGGAGAACAGACAAGACGCUACUGUGAGCUUUCUACACAAUUCACUGCAUAACCCAGAGUUUCUCAGUACUCAAAUCUUACUCUGAAAUAGUAGUAAGAAAAACCAGAAAUCAAAUCUUCAACUAUUUAAAAACUUUACUAACAUGUAUCAAACCAUUCAAACUUUAUCAAUGUUAUCUCUUUAUCAAUCAGAACAACUUUACUUAUAACCACAUCUCUCGAAUAAGAGAAAUCCACUAAUAUGUUCCUGUAUCAUACUUUCAAGAAUAAAAUUUCUUCAUUUUUGACGGCACGUUUACUUACCCGUAAAUGCGCAACAUUAUCCCGGACCAGAGAAUAAAAUUAAAUUCACAUAACUUAAUUUACCUUUUGAUGCUCGUGAAACUAACUAUAAAUUUGUCUAAGGCAAGCGCACCUAUGAAUAGUAGUAUAGUUCUGGUGAUACCGGAAAUAUUGUAUCCACGAAUACUAAAAGUACUAGUAAUUACUAUCUUUUUAUUAUCUAGCCUAAGAAUUAAAGUGUUAAACUAAAACUAUUUAUCUAAUUAACUAAGAUUACGAAAAAGAUGAAAUUUGGAAAAUACUUUAGGAAAAAUCGAUAGAGAAGACAAUACCCAAGGAAGAAUCCACCUAGACUUUACUUAUUACUUCUGAAUUAGAAAAUUUAUUCACUUAACUUAAUCCGUAGAAAUCCCUAAUUUAUGUUAAUAUCUCUCUCAAGACUAAAAGCAACUGACUUUAGGUUGAUUAAUUGAAAUCUUUUUCUAAUUAAAACACCUAUUAUUACAUUAACUCGAUCUAUGGAUUCCCUUAUUAGAUAUGACUCUAAUCUGGCAGAUUUAUAUCAUCCUAUCUCUAGGAUUGCAUUCAACUCCGCUUAAUUAUGGAUGAUCUACUCUUAAACAGGGAUUUUUGCUCCACUGAAUAAGCACAUCAAAUCCCGAAUUAAUACACUAGAAUAUUAAAACAAGAAUUUAGAACUCACAAUUAAGAAUAAGAAUAAGUAUUUAUCAUAUAAUUCAAAUAGUAAUAAGAUUCAUCAUAGGUUUCAUCUCCCUUAGGUAUUUAGGGAGUUUAGUUCAUAAUAAUAAUGGAAAACAUCUCAAAGUUUGGAAAACAACAAAACAUAAAAAAACCCAAAGAACUUCUAGGAAAUUGGAUGGAAAUCUUGAUGUAGAUCCUGGCUCUGAGGUGAUUCUGAUGGCUGUUCAUGAGUAUUUUCUACCUCUAACUCUUUGUCCCCUUCCUAAUCCUCUUCUAGGGUGUUUAUAUAGGCUUUAGAAUGCUUCAAAACUCUCAAAAGUGUCCUUUUCAGAAUAGAACUAGGCUUGGGCUCGACAGGGACACAAUCGUGUGCCACGCCCGUGUGAAGGUGCUCAGCCCGUGUGCAAUACUAAGUUGGUUCUUAGUCGACACGGCCAUGACACAAGGGCGUGUAGUCUACCCGUGUGUCACACAGGGGCGUUUGGAUUACCCGUAUGGAAGUGCCUAGGCCGUGUACAACACUGAUUUAGGCCCAAUUUGUCCUUUUUUGGCCCGUUUCUUACUCUUUUUGCUAUCUUAAGCUCUCCUGAGUAUAAAACAUGAAAUUAAAGGAUUAGAAGCAUCGAAUUCAAUAAAACCAAGGAAAAAUCAACCAUAAAUAUGUCAAGCAUGAGGUAAAAAUAUGUAUAUCUCACGGUUUAUCAAAUUUCCCUACACUUAAGCAUUUGCUUGUCCUCAAGCAAAAUCCUCAACUCACAAUUAAAAUAAGUUCUUCUCAACUUAUAAUUCUUACUAAUAAUGUUUGAAAUAAUCCACAAGUAAUCAUACGUUAAGAGCUUAACUAUAAGAACAUUAAAGUUUCAAACAAUCCAAAUCGAGCAUUUCAAUCAUAAAAUUAUAGGUAUCCCCUUUUAUCUAAGUAAUCACCUUUAAUUCCAAAUCGACAAGGUUGACAUCCUCACUAUUGAUUCACUCAAAUCACUUAAAGUGUUUGGGGUUUAAUAAUUUAGCACUCAAUAGUCAAACAUGGAAAGUUAUUACCAUAUGCUUGCAUGAAAAUCAAAUCUCCACCACUAUAAUAAAAUGCUAUACAAAUCAAAAGGUCUUUAACAGGGUUGUAAUGGGGCUUGGAUUAAAAGUGUGGAUAAAGGCUGAAAAAGAAGGAUAGAAUCUAGAUUAAUUUAACUAAAUUACUAAACUUAGAAGAGUGAGGCUAAGUGCUGAAUUACAAGAAAGUGCCAGAAUUUAGACUAUCUAGAGCAAAAAAUGUGAGCUUCUUUUUCAUAACAUAACAACUUUAACUCAUCCAAGCUCUUUAGAACAAUAUGUAACUAUAUGAAUAUAAGUAUACAUUUUUUUUUAAAAUAUAAGAAUAAUAUUUGAAAAUACAUAAUAAGAAAUAAUUCAGCAACUAGAAUGAACGAAAAAGAAAUGGGUAACUAAUCAAAUUAAAUCUCGAUAAAAAGGGAGUCAAUAAAAAGGUAAAAAUUCUUAAUGAAUAAAAAAAGGUUAAUUAUGGGUUAUUAUUAAGGGAAGGAUUCAAGAAAUAAUAGUUAAGGCUCAAAGGGGUUCACUAGGGGUCAAUUAUGUGGGUAGACUUUUUAUGGGGUAGAUGGGUUAAAACCUAGGUGCCUUUAUCAUUUUCGUAUAUCAAAUCAAAGGUGUGGUCUCGACAUAUAUAAUCAAUGCAAGUUCUAAAAUAAAAAAUCAAUGUUGUCGCACUCAUAACCAAUAAAAUCAGUGAGUAAGAAAGAUAUAUGCUCUAAAAGGCUCAAAAUCUCACAAAAAUUAUGGGUAUUUGAUGCCAAUCCUACAAAUUCAAAACUUCAAGAUAAUACCUCAAUUCAAGGAAGCAACCUAGCAAUUUUAUUUCUCAAAAGUCAACUCAUCAUGCUUGAUUCCCUAAUUUCUUAAAGUUUAAACAAUUAAUGCACAAUUACCUAUGGUUUAAUUCAAAACAUAUCAAUAAAAAUCAUAGAUCAAUCAGAAUUUACUCUAAUAAUGAUAUGAGAAAAUUAUUUAAGAACAAGAUAAAAAUACAGGGAUUCUCUGAUAAUCACAUAAAUAACCUCCCCACACUUAAGGUGUACAUUGCCCUCAAUGUACAGAGAUAGAUAAUAGCAAUAUAAGUAUAAAAUUAGAAGAGAGGGAGAGAAUCGAAACUGUCCUGAAUUUGGAUGUAAUCCUUGAAAGAGCGAAAACAGGUUUAGAAGCAUUGAAAGUGAUGUAUAUGUGACAUGUAGAUAAGUGGUGGUAGAGGUUGGGUUCCACAAUGAUAGUACCCAGUGAAGAGGUUAUCAUGGUGGCUAUGGUCGUGAUCGAGCAGGACGUGGCAGUCGUGGAUGAUUGUAUGUGUAUGCCUUAGUAGUACCCAUCAACUGAACCUUUUGAAACGGCGAUGCCAUCGAUAAUAUUUAAGGGAUUUAUAUGUAUAUGAUUAUUAGGGUUAGUAAUAAUGAAAUAACUAGAUAAAAUAAAACUCAAAUUAUACUAAUAAAAUUCUUGUAAGUAAUUGAUAGUGAAAGUGCAAAAGAAAUGCCAAAAUAAAAAUAAAAUAAAAAGAAAAGCGAUUUAAAAAUUAGAUGGACUUAAUAGUCCUUGUCGAUAGCUGGAUCGUGAGGUGGUGGUAUUGGAGGCGAUAUGUGAAAAUGUUGGCAGAUUUGUUGUAGUGUCGCCUCGAUGCUGUCGAAUCGCUGAGUGCAAUACUGCUCAAAGUGAUAAAGGUGGUCAGAAACUUCAAAUAUUGAAGUAGCUGCAUGAACUGGUCGGUGACUCGGCGGAGGCUGUGAAAGUGGGUCCUCCUGAAAUGCAGGGAUAUCAUCAACAAUAUCCUUGGCGUCAUCCUUAUCGGUAGCUCGUGCAAGUCAGUACUGAGGAGGGUCGAACCCACGACAACACUCAAUCAUUCACAUAUGGAGCAUACUUUGGAUGCCCUGUGGGAAUAUCUAACCAAUAAGAGUGAGUGAUGAAGACUGCGCCACUGUAUUCAGGAGCCCAAAAUAUUGUGCUAAACGAGUCACAUAUGGGCUGAUGCUGAUGACUCCCUUUCGGUGUCCUUCUAUCUGGUGGCAGAAGGCAAGGGCAACAAAGUAUACAAGAUCAAAAGUGUGCCCAUGGCUCAUGCUCCACAGGAAAUAUGCGUCGUGAGUGUUGACGACGCCAGUGCUCUCUCGCCUCCCUGUUAAUGUAUGUGCCAAAAUGGCGUACAAAUAGCACAGAACUGGAGAUAGAGCCGAUGCUUUCGAUCGGCUAGGAUCAUAAAUGCCUGUAGCAGGGUGGAGGUCAACCCAACACAAUACAAGUGAACGAUGAGUCCGGUGGUGGAGGUGGGGGGAGUAGUCGGUCUCCAUAAACUCGUCCGUAUACAACCCCAAGGCCAUGCCAAGUCUGAAUUGAACAGUGCCUGGGUCGUCGAACUCUGUCAUGACGACCUGGAGAUGAAGUGUUGAGCAUAUUUUCAAGGUGAACUCCAAAUAAGUCAGCUUGACGAUGUCAAAGAACCGGUCCCAAGGGGCGGUAGUGAGAAGAGCUCGAAUGAUGUCAGCUAGGUGUAUAUGUUCCAGUGUGGCCCAGUCGAUACAUUAGCCUACACCAUGGGGUUAGGCCCAUAAUAUCUGAAAUAGUUCCUCCUAAGGGCCUGGUGGGAACUGGAGAAAAGGGUGGCGUACUUCAGUGUUUGCGCUCGAGGAGGUCGCACUUGACCCCUUUCUUUUCUUAUUGACUGGGAAGGCAGUCUUUUUCCCAUGAGUAUUUGUCACGGUGUACCUAAAAAAGAUAGAACAGUGAUAUGACUAAAUUUGGAAUACCAAUCAAAUACAUCGUGGGAUAGGAUAUGGGGAUAGGACUAAAUGUGUGAGAAAAUAAAUACUAAUAAGAAAAAUGAUCAAAGUGUAGAAUCGAGUCCUAUAUGUGCUACCUCCUAAGCCAUCAGUAUACUUAAUUAAAUUAGCCAUAAUAAAGGAUUAGUAACUAGACUAAACUAAACUAAAAAUUCAAAGCACCUAAUAGUGAGUAAGGAUGAUCCUAUAAGAAGCAUGGUAGAAUAAAACAUGGCAAUGAAUCCCAAACUAAUAAAAUUAAUAAGAAUAAUUGGCUAAACUAAAUAAGAAUGACAUAAUCAAGUGAAAAUAAAUGUAAAUAAAUAAAGGAUGAAUAAAAGAGAGAUAAAAUUAAAAUAAAAUAAAGAAUAAAAUAAAAUAAAAUAAAAUAAAAAGAAAACAAAGAAAAAAAGAGGAGGAUAUAAGGUGUAACAGAUGAGGGUCAGUAGUAGGUAGGCUGGGGGAUAGAAGUGGAGCGACGGAGGUGGCCUGGGGGCGUUGCUGGCUCAGCUUAGGGGGUGGUCGGAUGGUGGGGGAUUGCAAGGGGCUGGGCUAUUGUGGGAGAUGAGGGGAGAGGGGUUUGAGGGUGGUUGUUUGCAAUGGGAGGUACAUAAAAAGGUGGAGAAGGAAAAUGGUUGUUGCCGGUGGUUCAUCAUAGGUGGUGACUGGAGUAAAGGGGGGUUGUGGCAGUAAGGAGAUGAACAGGGAAAAGAGAUGAUAAAUAGGAGUUUAAAUAGGAAUGGUUUUAAGGUUUAGGGUUUUAAAGGGAAAGAGUGGGGUAUAAAAAAGGGCACAGCCGUGUGAAACUCGUGAUGGGCCACACGGUCGUGUCACACGGCCGUGUAGGUCAAAUUUAGCCUGUGUUUAUCGUAAAAAUUGAAUGCUCAAUCAUCACAUGGCUUAGGGACACCCCCGUGUGUCUUGGUCGUGUGGUUCACAGGGUCGUAUCGCACGACCAUUUGUGAUGUUGUUCAUUUCUCCCACGUCCCUAUUAGGUUUUCCACGCCCGUGUUCCUGGUUUAAGCUUAUGAGUUGAUGUUUCAAGUCAGUGUCGCACAUGGCCUGAGGACACACCCGUGCCCCUAGGCUGUGUGACCCACACGGCCACCUCACAUGGCCAUGUAGUGCUCCCUUCAUUUCUCCCACACCCGUGUCCCAUCCAACACGCCCAUGUCCAUUAGUCAGGAUUGUGCACGGCCCUUAAGCACGGCCGUGGCUUUCACCCUGUUCUAUCUUGACUUCAUUUAUUGUUUCAAUUUUUGGGCAAGUCCUUACAUGGCCACACGCACGCCCGUGUAUCAGGCCGUGUAGCUCCCACAGCCGACUCACACGGCCAUGGUAUUUUAUCGUAGGUUGUGUCUCUGCUGAAUUUUAGGUAACUUAAGGUGCAGUUUCACCACGGUGAGUGGCACGGUCGUGUCCCUCAACCGUGGGAUUCACACAGCCGUAUCGCACGGCCAUAGUUCCUUUGUCGCAGCCCAUGUGCCUCUGUUUUGGUAAAAAUGUGAGUCCUAUUUCAGCACAGCCUUGGCCACGCCCGUGGGUCUAGGCUGUGUUUAAUAGUGUCGAUCGUCUUAUUAAAGUACUCAAGGUUUACACGGUUCCAAGCAUGCCCGUGUCUCCACCCCGUGGAUGUCACAUGGCUUAAGACACGCCCAUGGGUCCAGGCCGUGUUCGCCCCUGUCAAAUGUGAAAAAUACCUUUAGAUGAACUAUGAACAGUUAAAGAAAAAUUAAACCCUAUUUUGUGAGGUUAGUGCUUGGGUUGCCUCUCAAGAAGCACUUAUUUAAAGUCUAAGCUCGACUUUACCCUGUGACAUAUUUAGGCAGGUUCGUGGAGUCGUAGCUCCUCUCUAUUAUCCUUAAAGUCCUCACCUGUUAUAAAUUUUAACACGAUGUCCAUUUACCUUGAAGGUGCCGUGAGUUGGAUGACUUACCUCUACUAUGCCAUAUGGAAAAAUAGUUUGGAUGAUGAAUGGACCUGACCAUUGUGAUUUUAGCUUCCCAGGAAACAAUUUGAGCCUUGAGUUGUAUAGCAAGACAAGAUCUCCAGCUUCAAAUUGCUUAUGUUUCUUUAAACGAGCAUCAUAAUGGUGUUUCAUGGCUUCCUUGUAUAGGCUAGAAUUCUCAUAUACAUUAGUUUGCCACUCAUCUAACUCGUUCAAUUGCAUCAACCUGUUUUCACUUACAAUCUUGAGAUCAAAGUUUAGAAACUUUAUACUUACAAGCUUGAGAUCAAAGUUUAGAAACUUUAUAGCCCAGAAUGCCUUGUAUUCUAACUCAAACGUUAGAUCCAUAAACAAGUCUGUAAGGGGAUGUUCCUAUGGGGGGUUUUAAAAGCAGUUCUAUAAGCCCAUGAAGCAUCAUCUACUUUCAUCACCCAAUCCUUUCUGUUUGAUUCUACUAUCUUUUCUAGGAUAUGUUUAAGUUCUUGGUUUGCUACUUCGACUUGUCCACUAGUUUGAGGAUGGUAAGUGUAGCUGUUCUGUGGUGAACUUCGUAUUUCUUAAAGGUCUUAUCAAAUUAGGCGUUACAAAAAUGAGUGCCCCUGUCAUUGAUAAUUACUCUAGGUGUUCCAAAUUGAGAGAAGAGUUUUUUAAGGAAUCGUACUACCACUCUAACAUCAUUAGUAGGUAAAGCUUGGGCUUCCACCCAUUUGGACAUAUAAUCAACGACUACUAAGAAGUAUUUAUUCCCAAAUGAACUAGGAAAUGGACCCAUAAAGUCGAUACCCCACACGUCAAAGAUUUCACAUGAAAGCAUAUAUGUUUGAGGCAUUUCAUCACAUUUGGAGAUAUUACCUGUCCGUUGGCAUUUGUCAUAGGAAGUAACAUACCUGUUGGCAUCUUUGAAUAGCGUGGGCCAAUAAAAACCUGAUUCAAGCAAUUUAUGUGCGGUCUUAGUUCCACUAUAAUGUCCCCCAGUUGGUCCUGAGUGGCAAUGUUCCAAGAUCUUCAAUGCUUCUGACCCUGUAACGCAUCUCUUAAUGACUUUAUCUGCACAUAUACGAAAAAUAAAGGGGUCUUCCCAAAAGUAUUUUUUCACAUCAGUAAAGAAUCGCUUCUUUUGCUGAUGUGUCAACCCUUUUGGGAUAACGUUAGCGGCUAAAAAAUUUGCAAUGUCUGCAAACCAAGGUACUUCAGAAUCAGUUAUAGCAAAGAAUUGCUCUUCAGGGAAUGAAUCAUUUAUUUCAACUUCAUCUAGCUCUUUGGUACUUGAAUUCAAGCCUGGAAAGAUGAUUAGCCGUGAGAUUUUCAGCUCCUUUCUUAUCCUGAAUCUCCAAGUCAAAUUCCUGCAAUAACAGAAUCCAUUGAAUGAGUCGAGGUUUUACAUCAGUCUUAGUUAAAAGGUAGCGAAGAGCAAAAUGGUUAGUAUAAAUGACAACUCUAGAUAAUAUUAGAUAUGAUCUAAAUUUAUCCAAUGCAAAAACCAUAGCUAGCAGCUCUUUCUUCGUGGUGGUGUAGUUUUCUUGUGCGGCUGUCAAAGUUUUACUAGCAUAAUAGAUAGGUUGAAAAUACUUGUCUCUUCGUUUUCCUAAAACUGCACCUACUGCAAAAUCACUCGCAUCACACAUUAGUUCGAAAGGUAAAUUCCAAUCAGGUGCGAUUAUCAUUGGAGCAUUAAUCAAUUUAUCCUUUAAAGUAUUAAACGCUUCUAAACAUUCCUGAUCGAAAUUAAAGGGCAUAUCUUUUUCUAGUAAUUUAGUCAAAGGCUUAGCUAUUUUAGAAAAGUCUUUAAUAAAUCUUCUAUAAAACCAAACAUGUCCUGAAAAGCUUCAAAUAGCCUUAACCGAACUAGGGGGAGGUAGUUUUUCAAUGGUUUCAAUUUUAGAUUUAUCAACCUCAAUCCUUUUACUAGAAAUUUUAUGUCUUAACACAAGACCUUCUGGAACCAUAAAGUGACAUUUUUCCCAAUUAAACACAAGGUUCAUUUCCUCACAUCUUAUUAAAACUUGUUUUAAAUUUUUAAGGCAAAGAUGGAAAGAGUUACCAAAUACCGAGAAGUCAUCCAUAAAUACCUCCAUGAUGUCUUCUAUGAGUUCGUAAAAAAUGGCCAUCAUACAGCGCUGAAAAGUAGUAGGAGCAUUGCAUAAUCCAAAAGGAAUUCUACGAUAAGCAAACAUACCGUAUGGACAUGUAAAUGUCGUCUUUUCUUUAUCUUCAGGAGCUAUUGGGAUUUGAAAAUAACCAGAGAGUCCGUCUAAAAAGUAGUAGUAUAUGUGCCCAGAUAAUCUUUCCAACAUUUGGUCAAUGAAUGGCAGGGGGAAGUGAUCUUUUCUUGUGGCAUCAUUCAGCUUCCUAUAGUCAAUACAAACUCUCCAAACUAUGAUUGUCCUUGCUGGGAUUAAUUUAUUCUUCUCAUUGGCCACAACAGUCAUGCCUCCUUUCUUAGGAACAACCUACACUGGACUUACCUAAGAACUGUCAGAAAUAGGAUAAAUAAUUCCAGCAUCUAGGAGUUUAAUUACCUUAGCUUUAACAACUUCUUUCAUGUUGGGGUUCGGUCGUCUUUGAGCUGGCACACAUGGCUUAUAUUCAUCUUCCAUUAAAAUUUUGUGGGUGCAAAAAGAAGGGUUGACCCCUUUAAUGUCAGAAAUUUUCCAAGCUAUGGCCCUUUUAUGCUCUCUUAAUACUUGGAGUAAUUCCUCUUUCUCCUUGGGAUGCAAGUUAGAAGUAAUAACCACUGGUAAUGUAGAAUUAUUUCCAAGGAAUGCGUAUUCCAAGUGAUUUGGCAAUUGUUUAAGUUCCAGUUUAGGAGGUUCUUCAAUAGAGGGUUUUUGCCUAAGUUUAUCGUUUGCCUUAAUACCCUCAUAUUCUGCUUGUCUUGGGAAGGGUUUAUUGGAAUUUAGUUCAACUUUUAUCUUACCUGUCUCAGAAUCAUCAUCAUCUACCUCCUCUCCUUAAGCAAGACACAGUUCCAACGUGUCCUUAUAUAUGAUUUCCUGAAAAGAAUCUUGAGUAGCAUGCUUAAUAGAGUCAAUAAAAUAACAUGAGUCAUCUUGUUCCCUAGAAAAUCUCAUGGCAUCAUAAAUUUUAAAAAUAAUCUCUUCGUCACCUACUCUAAGCACAAGUUUACCAUCACCCACAUCAAUAACAGCCCUAGCAGUGCCUAAAAAUGGACGACCUAAGAUUAAAGGCACUUCAACAUCUUCAUCCAUGUCAAGCACAACAAAAUCAAUAGGGAAUAUAAAUUUAUCUACUUUUACAAGUACGUCCUCUAUAAUACCCCUAGGAUAUUUAACAGAUCUAUCAGCUAGUUGAAUACUCAUCCUAGUAGGUUUAGGUUCCCCAAGACCAAGUUGUUUAAACAUUUUAUAUGGCAUCAAAUUACUGCUAGCGCCUAAAUCAACUAGUGCCAUCUCAACAUUCAAACUACUAAUUAAGUAGGGAAUAGUAAAACUUCCUAGAUCUUUCAGUUUGGUUGGCAGUUUAUUUUGGAGUAUGGCCAAGAAUUACUCGUUAAGUUCCACUGUAGAUAAGUCUUCAAACUUCUUUUUAUCCAUUAGAAGCUCCUUUAAAAAUUUUACGUAUGUAGGCAUCUGCGAUAUAGCUUCAACAAAAGGUAAGUUAAUAUGCAGUUGUUUAAAAAGUUCAAGAAAUUUACCAAAUUGUGCAUUCAUGCGGUCUUUCUUCAACUUUGUUGGAUAUGGUAUUGGUGGUUUAUAUUCCUUUGGCAUUGGAUUGUCAUUGUUUUCGGGUUUUACCUCCUCUCCUUUGUUUCUGUCAGCUUCUUGUGGUGGCUUGUUUUCAAAUUCAGCUAACACUUUCCCAUUCCUUAGUGUAACUGCUUUCACAUGCUCUUUUGGAUUGGGUUCAGUGUUACUAGGUAGACUUCCUGGUGGUCUCUCUGAAAUCAUCUUAGCCAACUGGCCAAUUUGAUUCUCGAGCCCUUGGAUCAAUGCUUACUGAUUUUUAAGUGUAGUUCCAGUGUUCUGAAAAUGGGUUUCCGCUACCGAAAUAAAUUUUGUCAUCAUCUCCUCAAGGUUUGGCUUUUUCUCUUGCUGGUAAGGUUGUUGUUGGAAGCCUGGAGGGGCUGGUGGUCUUUGAUUCCCUUGGCCUCCCCAUGAUAAAUUUGGAUGGUUCCUCCAACUUGUAUUGUAAGUGUUACUAUAAGGAUUAUUUUGAGGUCGAGGAUUAUUACCCAUAUAAUUCAUUUGCUCGUUCUCCAUGUUGUGGCCAUAGGGUGAGUAUUCUGAAUUGCUCAUUCUACCUCCACUUGCAUCUCACUGCAUUACUGGGUGAACCUGUGAAGAACCAAAUAACCCAUCAAUUUUUCUAUUCAAAAGUUCUACUUGAUUAGAGAGCAUAGUAACCAAAUCGACGCUAAAAACGUCUCCGCUUUCGUCGGCUUUGUCCUCAUGACUUGCCACUGAUAAUUAUUCAGUGACAUUUCUUCUAUAAACUCAUAAGCCUCUUCAGGUGUUUUAUUGUUUAAAGUUCCACUAGCGGCUGCAUCGAUAAGUUGCCUUGUUGAGGGGUUCACACCGUUGUAAAAAGUCUACAGCCAUAGAGGUAACCCAUGGUGAGGUCACCUUUUUAAUAGGUCCUUGUAUCUCUCCCAUGCAUCAUACAGGGUUUUUAGAUCCUUGUAUCUCUCCCAUGCAUCAUACAUCAUUCCUCUGAUUAUUUCUGUUAUCACUUAUCCCGUGAUACUCCAUUAUUGCACUCUUUAGUUUCCCAUUUGUAAGCUUAUACAACAUUUCUCUCAUGAAUUUCCUCAUAUAACUCUGUUCUGGUAAGGGGGUGAAGAUUGUAAAGCCUCUAAACUUUCAACUCUCAUACAAAUACACACACUUAACAGUAACACAGUAUCAUGCACAUCGGUUCAAACAUUUCAAUUUUCCAACUUGUUAUGAACACACUUUCACAUACCUUAGUAACACAUGGAACUUUAUUUCAUAUAAAUUCUAGCCAAACAACAGUGAACUUAUCACAAUACAAUUUUUCAUUUCUUUUACUCGAAUCAUCAUUAAUGUCUAAUCAAGUUUCAACACUUAGCCUUAUUUUACUUACCAACCUUUAUCAAAUUAGAGAACAUCUUACGGUCUUGAGUACAUCAUUCACUUGAUGCCAUAGUCCAACUAUGGCCUUGUAUUAGACGUCAUCCAUUUGUGUCGAUGUUGUGUCCCAGACAGGUCUUACACUGACAGAUAUUAAGCCGAUGCCAUGUCCCAGACAUGGUCUUACACUAGCUUUCACGAUGUGACUGAUGCAUGUCCCAGACCUGUCUUACACUAGCACACAUAUCUCGAGGCCGAUGCAUGUCCCAGACAUGUCUUACACUGGCUCUCGUCUCAAAGUCGAUGCAUGUCCAGACAUUCUUACAUUGGCGCACAUAUCACCUGCACUGCCAUGGUCCAACCAUGGUCUUAUCCGUCAAUUCAUAAUCGAACGAUCGUACUCAAUUCCAGCAUUCUACUCUUUGAUCUUUCAUUUCAGUUUUCAUGCUAUCAUAACAUUUAUAACAUCUUUAAUUCAGAAAUUUAAACAUAAAUGUCAAUCACAUGUACAUACUGAUUACACAUCAUUCAAUAGAAGCACUUAUACACACAUUCUGUCAUUUCGAGUAAAUUUUUCUUUUCAUAAUCACUUGGCCAAAAGAGUUAGGCACAUAAAAUCGUAUGAAUACUAACAUGCAUGGUAAAGCUUAUCACGAUUUAUCUUUCAUCUCAUUCCACGUUUCCACAUUCUUUAACUUAUGAUUAUCACAUAUUGAGUAUUAUUUCAUGUAAAAAUCAUGAAUUUCCUUUCAUACCUUUCCUAAAUUCAACAUAUCACAAGCAUGAUUCAAUCAUCUCAAUAUUACUUUUAUCGUUAACAAGAUUUGUUCGGUUGGAAGUCUUUUCUGUCUUAGCAAACAGUUUCGUUAGCGCCGGGAGAUAUCACACUAUCACGAGUAGUACUAUGGCAUGUAUAGCUAGACUCACUUACGCUAUGUUAGUUCGAGAACCAACUAAACAAUGCUCUGAUACCACUAAAUGUAACACCCCUCGUCCGUAUCUGACACCGGGACAGGGUUUGAGGUGCUACCAGACUUAAGCGAAUACUUCCAUACUAAAAUCAAUAAUGAAAUUUUGUUCGAAUUUAAAACUUUUCAUUUCACAUACAUUAUGUCCUUUAAACGAGAUCACGAGGCCCAAAACAUGCAUUAGAGACGGUUCGAGACUAAACCGAGAACUUAAGAAAAACUUGGAAAGAAAUUCAUGCUUUAAGGCUACACACGCCCAUGUGAAUAUAGAUCACACGCCCGUGUGCUAGGGACGCGCCCGUGUCCUGAACCCGUGUUCAAAAACCUGGACAUUCUGCCAAUUUGGUCAUGAACAAAUUGAAGCCACACAGCUAAGGUACACGCACGUGUCCUAUGGCCGUGUCCUUCCCACGGCUGAGACACAUGGCCGUGUCUCUUGCCCGUGUGCUUACAAUCAUACAUACUGACUUGAAAAACUUAGGUGCAGGGGGCACACGGCUGGACAACACGCCCAUGGGGGCGAACCGUGUGUCACACAUGGCCUAGACACAUGCCCGUGUGUCUACCCGUGUGGACAAAUACAAGGCUAUUUUCCAAGCCAUUUUAUCACCCUCACAACACAUGCACGCAUACUUAUACAAUAGCAUACAACAUGGUAAAAUUAGGCACUUAAACAUUCCUAACAUGUCAUGACCAUGGCAAUUUCACAUGCAACCAAUAUCAUAGAUUUUACCUUCAUCUUUACCACAUUAAUGCUAUAGCUAUCAACAUGUCAUCAAACCUUAUUUUCAUCACUAAGCAUUCAUGAUCACAUCCACAUACCAUUCAUACCAAGCCAUUAAAGACUCUUCAUAAAUAAAUAGGUUUACCAACCCCAUAAUCAAAAUAAGCUAAUACAUUUGGCUAAAGCAAUAUCACAUACUCAAAUAUUUAAACUCCUAUACAUGCCAUAGACUCAAAGUACUUGAAAUCACUUACACCAAUAGUGGUAGCUUGACUGUGUGACAAUAUCUCCGAUAAAUUCCAACCCGAGCUAACCUGGAAACACUAGAGAACAUGGGAAAGAAAAAGAGGGUAAGCUUUACGCUUAGUAAGUUCGUAUGAAAACAAUAAGCAACUCAUUAACAUGCUUUUAUCAAUGUUCCCAACAUAUUUUCAAGUUCAUAAUAAGCUGUCUUCUUGUAUAACAGUCAAUAAAAUAUUUAUAUCUAGUGCUAAGACACUCUAAAUUAUGUUCCGUUAAUUUUCCUUUAAACUAGACUCAUGUAAAUUUCUACCAUAAAAUUUCCAGAAUUUUUUGUUUAGCCAAAUAGUACAGUUUAUUCCUAAAAGUUACCCCUAAUUCACUAUCUGACAGUUCCGACCCUUCUACACUAAAGUUCAAUUAUCUCAUAGCACAGGACUUGAAUAAUGUUCUCGUCUAUUUCUCUUGAAAAUAGACUCAUUAAAUAUUCUAAAAAUAUAAAUUAUAACUCAUAACUAUUUUUUAUAAUUUAUAUGAUUUUCUCAAAUUAGAACAGGGGAUUUCGAAGUCAUUUUGACUUUGUCUCACACAACUUCAAAUAUCUCAUUAUAGGAAUUUUUUUUUCUUCCGUGGUUUCUUUUAUAAGAAAUUAGACUAAAUAAUAUUUAAUCCCAUAUUCUAUUUAGCCUCUAACUCAUUUUCCACUAUUUUUAGUGUAUUUUCAAAUUUACACUACUGCAGUAGCCCAAAACGGUCCAGACUAAUUUGCUCAUUCACAAUUAUUGUUCACCAAAUUAAUACAACAUCAUAUCAUCUAUCAUGGUAAGAACACAUAACUAUGCAUAAUAAGCAUGGACCCUUAAUCUCAAUGUCAUCAAGUAUCAAAAACUUAUUCCAAAUCAUGCCAUUUUCCUAAUAUUCACCAAUUACUAUAUACAUCAUGAACAUAGACCCAUAACAAUAAAGUCAUUACACAAUCAUUCUCAUAAACAUGACUUACUUAUUUGCAUCCUUCUCAAAGGUGCAUUAUAGACCGAAUCAUUCUCACGAGUUUUGCGUACAUACCUUUACUACUUCAUGACAUAAUCAUUCCUUAUCACAGCUUUGUUAUAAUCUUUUAAUUUCCUGUUGAGCUACUUGGAGUACUAAAAGAUACUCGGGGAAAUUCGUACACAUAGAAAGAUGCCAAUGCCAUGUCCCAGACGUGGUCUUACAUGGGAUCUCAUAUUGAAACUUUAUCGAAUGUCAUCGACACAUCGUGAAUCCAUUUCAUAAAGAAAAAUACAUGUACUUAUUUAAACAUUAGACAUAUAAUAAUAACAGCAUGUUGCAUUGUUUUCAUACAACUUACCUCAACACCAAAUUGGUAAAAGAGGCCUAAGCAUCAAUUUCUUGUUUUUCCUCGUUCUAAGCCCGAAUCUCAUUUUUAAUCAUCUAUAACAUCACAUUUAACUUGUUAAAACAAUAUACUAAUCAAAUUAGUCCAAUGACACAUUUUGGAAAAGUUUUUUAUUUUUCCCCUAUACUUUGCCAUAAUUACCAAAUUGCCCCUAGGCUCGUAAAAUGAUUUUUAUUCAAUUUAUUUACUCAUUAAUCCUAGAUGAACCAUUUCAUAACUAUAGAAACUCAUAAUUUCAACUAUUUCACACAUUUAUCACUUAUUUUACAAACUUUACAAAAUAGUCCAUUCAGGUGCUUUCAUGCAAAUUUCUUUCAUGAAAGUUGUUUAUAACACUACCAAGACUCAUAUUCUUCCAUAAAAACUAAGAAAACAAUACAUAUGCUUUCAUGGCAAAACCUUACACUCUUAAUCAUUUUGCAAGAUAGUCCCCUCUUUUGAAAGCUCAUGCUUUAAGGGUUCCAAAAAUGUAAAAAUUAUCAAGAAAAAACAUUAAAAACACUUACUUACUAGGGAAAUAUGUUGCUGAAAUUUUCUAGCUCUCAAACCUCCCAUGUUGCUGCCAUUUUUGGUUAAAGAGAAGAAGAAAAAUGAAAGAAAAUGACAACUUUUUCUUUAUUCUAUUUUAUUACCAAAAAGUCACUUUAAAUCCCAUAAAAUAUGACUUUUUGACCAAUCUUGUGUCCCUUGGCCGGCCACCUCUAUUAAAAAGGGUAUAAUUUCCCUUUAAAGGCCUUCAAUUUUAGCUAUCUAGCUAUUAGACACAUUUAGGUACUAAAAUACAACUUUUACCUUUUACACGAUUUAGUCCUUUUUUCGAAAUUAAGCCCUCAAACGCUAAAAUUAAUUCACCAAAAUUUGCAUGUACUUAAAUAAUCAUGCUAUAACUCAUAAAAUAACAUCAAAAUAAUUUUCUCCGACCUCAGAAUAGUGGUUCUGAAACCACUAUUCCGCUAUGCCCAAAAUCGGGCUGUUACAAACAAGAUAACAUUUAGCAUUUCAUUUCACCCUCAGGCUGAUGGCCAAUCAAAAAGAGUUAUUCAGGUUUUAGAAGAUAUGAUGGGUUGUUGUGUGACUGAUUUUAGAAUAAUCUGGGAGAAUUAUGUUCCUCUCAUAGAAUUAUCUUACAAUAACAAUUACCACGCCAUCUUGAAGAUGUCUCCCUUCGAGGCCUUGUAUGGUAGAAGGUGUAAAACACCUCCAUGUUGGAUGGAACUUAGGGAAAGAAAGAUUUAUUUAUUAUGUUUAUGUUUAUGUUUAUGUUUAUGUUUUAUAUUGAUUUUAUAUUGUUUAUGAAAACUAUGGGGAACUAAUACCUCUAUGGGGGAUUAGCGAGUGCUGGUAUGAUGGAUUAAUUGUUUUGUACAGUUACUCAACGGAUCAGUUGUCCGGGAAUGGAAGAACCUAAACCCUAGGCUUAACGAUCCUAGAAAGUUAUUAAGGUGAGAAUUAACCUAAACUCGGUAUGGCUUAUCCGUGAACACCUUAACCCCGAGUUAGUCUAGACUGUGAGGUCGAAAGAUAAGUAGCAUUUGCUGACUCAUUAUUCUAGUGGAUGUAUCGAAAGAUCUUGUUAGGGUAUCAACUAGUUGAUUGACAAGGAGCCCGAAACGGCUAUUGAUAAUGAUUACUGAAGUGAGAUAAUCACCCAUAAUAAAGUUUGAUCAAUUUUACUCUUAGAAUUCCCAAUAUUAUUUGCUUUUAUUAUUAUUAUUACUAUUAUUAUAAAACCCCAAAAAUCCCUAUUAUUUAUAUUUUUGUAAUAUAACCUACUUCGAGUACUAAUUAGAUCUUGUGGUGCUUAGUUUAAAAUUAGCCUAGUGGUAGCCUCCUUUGGGUACAAUCCUCAGAAUACUUACCAGGUGUUUCGUUGUAAAUGAAACUAUAUUACAACUUGACCCAUACUUACAGACAUUGCCUCAAUUCCUUAUAUUUUGUAGCAGUAUUCACACUCUAAAUGGUAGUACGUCUGAAGGCGAUCAAGUUGUUGGCCCUGUUGCCGGGGAGACAAUACCAUUAGUUUGAUUUUAAUUUUUGCAUUUAAUUAAGAAUAAUUAUGAAAUUUUUAGGUUGUAGAUAUGAUUUUAUUUUUAUAAUUAUUGCUAAUUUUAUCUUUUUGGGCUAGUGUAUGACUCGUGGUAGGGGGCACACCUAUAGAGCAAGUCACAUAUCCAGAAAGAAUAAUAUGCAGAAAUCGUCAACAACAACAACUGUAGCAGCAAAUGUAGAAUAAACUGUCGGUUGUAAGAAACAUACCACGUGAGAAUCCGCUGUUUGAAAAAGCUAACAAAAAUGAUUUAGAAGAUAUACCACUACCACCACAGCUACCCGAAAACCUACCAAUGGCAUAUAACGAGAUAACCCUGAGAGAUUACGCCUUACCAAAUUUGGACAUGGUUCAAGGAAGCAUAACGAGCCUGGCUAUCACAGCUAACAAUUUUGAGAUCAAACUGGUAAUGAUUUAGAUGAUCCAGAAUAAUCUACAACUUAGGGGCACAAUGACCGAUAAUCCAAAUCAACAUUUAAAAUGGCUCAUUCAACUUUAUGAUACUUUCAAAUACAACGGGGCCACUAAUGACACUAUUCGUCUUUGGUUUUUCCCCGUUUCCUUGAUCAAUAACGUCUUUUCUUGGUUAGAUUCACAUGCACCAUGAUCUAUUACAACAUGGGACGAGCUAGCAGGAAAAUUCCUCCAAACGUUUUUCCCUAUUAGCAAAACAUUUCAAUUAAGAAGAGAGAUUUCCAUGUUUAGGCAAUUGGAAGGGGAAUGUCUUUACAAGCUUGGGAAUGUUUCAAGACAUUAAUCCAAAAAUGCAUGCACCACAGAUUACCUAAGUUUUUGUGAUUGCAGAUGUUUUAAAAUAGGUUGGAUACACUUGGGAGGUCCAGAUUAGAUGGAGCAAUAGGAGGAGCUCUUAUGAACAGAACGUACUGGGAUGUGUAUGAAUUAAUAGAGAACAUGGAAAUGAACUCUUGUCAAUGGCCUACUGAGCGAUUCACAUAUGGACAAAAACCAUAUACGGUAAAGGUUGUCCAGGAAGAUGAAAAAUAACAGUAGUUAGUAAAUAGACUCAAUCGUAUUAAAUUCGCAAAUAGUGCACUGUCUAUGUAUGGAGGACACAAACCGCUCUUCCAUUAUAAUAAUCCUACCGAUGAUGUAAAUUUUAUGUAACACCCCAAACCCGGCCCAGACGUUAUGGCCGAAUCCGACGUGCCACAUUGAAGUUAAGAAUCCACGUUUCGCUUUAGUGUUUUAAUAAACCGUCUUUUGUUAAGGCUUAACUAAGUGAAUGGAAGCUGUGCACCAGGUAAGUAUCCAAAAACAGAGGAGGUGAGCCAUGAAGGCUGCUUAAGUACCAAGCUCUUUGAUUGGAUGCAAUCCUAAACAUGCCCACCACCAUUACCACACUUUGAUAACCGAGUUGAAAUUUAUUUGAGUAGAUAUCUUUGAUAAACCGAUUAAUCGUGUUGUUACGUUAUUUUGAAAAUGAGUAUCAUUUUGAAAACGCGCCCUAAGUCUAGCCCAUUUGAAGUAUUAUCAAAAAUAUUUAGAGUUAUUAAAAAUAAAAUAAUUCCAGGAAGAAAAUAAAGUUAAAAUGGCCUUAUUACAAUCCCAAAGAAAAAAAAUAGUAAUUAAGAUAAACUAAAGAAAACCAGUUACUUAUUUUAAAGUCCAAAAGCGAUCACCUUGGCCACUCUGAAUCCCCUCCGGCUCUAAGUUCCCACAUCAAGGCUCACCUACAAGGUUAAGGAAGGGGGGUGAGUUUGGAAACUCAGUGUGCAACAAGCCCCUUUCAGAGCCCAAACCAAUAUCAGCAUACUGGGCCUAAGCCCAAAUUCGGUCUCAACAUAUACUGGGCCGAAGCCUUUUCAUUAUUCAUAUCACUAGGUCGAAGCCUUUACUGUAAACAGUAUGGCCCAUAGGCCCAUUUCAAAACCAUAUGCAAUGUUAAUGAAAAUAUGCAAGCCCAUUUGGGGAGACUACUUAACCCACCAUCCGCUACUCUCCACCCGUACCAACCAAGCUCUCCAUGUGGGGAAUAACUCAACCUACCCAACCAAACUCUCCAUUGGCAGCAUAGCUGCUUUAUCAUAUAACUGGAGGCCUAGCCUCUUUUAAUAACUGGGGCAAAGCCCUUUUUGAUAAAUUUGGGCAAAGCCCUUUUCGGUAAACUGGGGCAAAGCCCUUUUGCACUUCCUCCAAUCAUAACAAAACCCAACCCAUGCAUAUAUGAACAUAUCAUGGCAUAUUAGGUGCAUAUCAUGGCAUAUCAUGUACAAAACUGUAUCACAUGCAUCUUAAUUAUCACAUAUCCCUAGGGGUAUAAUGGUCAUUUUCACCUAGGGGCAAAAUGGUCAUUUUCGCAUUAUGAGGUUAAUUUCAUUAUUUUAUCAAUUAUUAGGGUUUUCCAUGCUCAUUACCAAUUAUCAACAAUUUCAAGUGUUUAACAGCGAUUCUAGCCCAUUCUUAGCAAAAUCGAGUUAUUGGGCCAAAAACCCCUAAUGGGCCCUACUUAGCCAACCUAGUCAUGUAGGCCCAUUUAGCCUAUAUUCCAUAACGAUAUUAACUGUCUUAAUGUGCAAUUUAUCAGGAUUCUAUUUUCUACCAACUUACCCAAAUGGGCCCGAAAGCCCAUUGGGCCCGAUUUCAGCCCCUCGAGGCCCAACUUACCGUGAUGCAGAAAAUCGUGCCCUUACCUGUUCCAACGAUCCCAAUCAUCAAACUUAGCGUAUCUACUAACCUAUGAGCUAUCGCAUGCUUACAAGUCCUCGAAAUGCCGAAAUUUUGGCAUUUCAGCUUUUCGGCAUAUAUCGAUUUUUAGCUACGGAAGACGGUUCGUUACACACCUAUUUUGUGAUGUUCGUCAAUAAAGUCUCCCACGGCAACCUACAAUUAUUUACCACCACUGUUAGUCUAUGCAACAUGCUAAUCAAACCCAAAUCUUACCUUACCAAAAUCGGCCAAUGAAUCCCUAACAACCAUAAGUCACUUACCUUCACCGAGUCCGCCGCUCAAUCCAAGUUUUCCAAAUCGAUACCCAAGCCUUGCUGCUCCUCCAAAGUAUCUACCCCACUAUACAAACCAUAAAAAUCAAAUGAAAAAGCCCAAUAAGGCCUAUAUCUCUAAUUGGAAACCUCCCUAAACUACAGGGGUUUCGACUUUUGUCAACAGUUAUACUACUGAAUCGAUUGGAGUAUGAAUACUUACCACAGUCUUCCUCUUUGAACCGAUUAAACCUUAGCAGAUGAAGGAAUUGACCACCAAACAGUGAAGGAAAAAGAAGGUUGCUAGUCAACAAGAAAUCAGCACCACCAAGUUUCACAAGUUUCGACUUUUGUGACUUUUCGACAAAAGUGAAUAUAAGAAAGAAGUAGUAGAGGAACGGAAGGGAAUAGUGGACUGGUUUCGAAAAAAGAAAAGGAAGGAAAGAUAGAUGGAAGGGUGGUAGUUUCGACUAGAGAAGAAGAAAGAAAAGAAAAGAAAAACAAAAGAAAAAGAAAAGAAUAAUCCUAUGGUUUACAGAAGAAAACGGCACAACUAAGCUCCUAAAUGCCGAAAUACUAACCUAAUAUUCCUCUGACGAAAUCCCCUCUCUAAUCCCCAUUAUUCGGCCAACUCUAAGCCUCCCUUCCAAUCCCUAAAAUCUCUCCCCUUAUCACUCCUUAAUCCAUGCGUUUGACUGAUUUAAACACUCUCCAACAGAGUUCCAUUCGGCUUUAAACUUCUGCAUGCACAAGGCAUAAAAAUAACAUCACAUUUGCCAUCACAGAGAAUCAAACCGAGGUUUCCCCCAACCACUUACAUGACACCUUUUUAGCUCCUUAAUGGUGUCACUUAGCCACUUUGCUAGGGGCUCCUUUGUGAUACAUAUUACCCACAACUUUUAAUAAAGCCAUCUACCCAAAGCCCCUAACUUCUUAAGUCCAAAGUUUAAAAAUUCUUCCGAGUUUUGGUCAUCACAUGGGCCUUCCAUAAGGCCAUUUACUUAUUCCAACUAUGAAUUUUCACUACCAAAUACCAAAUUUUAAAAACUUUACCAAAGUCUCAAAAAUUACGAAAAACCCAAAAAUUAAGAUCUUACAACUCUACCCUCCUUAAAGAAAUUUCGGCCUCGAAAUUUACCUGAUCCAAAUAGUUGAGGAUAUUGUUGACGCAUUGCCUCCUCGGACUCCCAAGUAGCUUCUUCUUUGCCAUGGUUUCUCCAAAGUACCUUCACCAGUGGGACUGACUUCCUUCUCAGCACCUUGACGCCGUGAUCAAGUAUCUGAACAGGUUCCUCUUCGAAGGUCAAAUCCUACUGUACUUCAAUUUCUGCAACUGGCACGAUAUGAGUUGGGUCAGAACGAUAUCGCCUUAGCAUGGACACAUGAAAGACGUCGUGAAUACGAUCCAAUUUCAGAGGUAACUCCAGCUGAUAAGCCACCGGCCCUAUCCGUUUAAGUAUUCGAUAAGACCCAAUAAACCGUGGACUCAACUUGCCCUUCUUGCCAAACCUCAAUAUCUUCUUCCAAGGCGCUACCUUCAAAAAGACCAUGUCCCCUACAGCAUAUUCAAUAUCCUUACGCUUCAGAUCAGCAUAAGACUUUUUUCAAUCCACUGCCUCCUUUAACCGAUUCCUGAUCACCUUAACCUUGUCUUCAGUAUCUGCUACCAAUUCUGGACCAAGUACUUGCCUUUCCCCCAACUCUGCCCAACAAGUAGGCGAACGACACCUUCACCCAUACAGUGCCUCGUAAGGAGCCAUCUGAAUACUUGCUUGGUAACUGUUGUUAUACGUGAACUCCGCCAAUGGCAAGUAAUCCUCCCAACUGCCCCUAAAGUCGAUAACACAACCCCUCAACAUAUCUUCGAGAAUCUGAAUGACCUUCUCUGACUGCCCAUCCGACUGAGGGUGAAAAGCCGUACUAAAAUCCAAUCGUGUUCCCAACGCCUCGUGCAACUUCUGCCAAAACUGAGAUGUAAACCUUGGAUCUCGAUCAGAAAUUAUUGAUACUGGCACUCCAUGCAACCGCACUAUCUCUGCCACAUACAACUUGGCCAACUUCUGAAGUGAAUAAUCGGUUCAGACAGGUAUGAAAUGGGCAGAUUUAGUCAACCUAUCCACAAUCACCCAAACUGAAUCCUUCUUGGAAGGUGUCAAUGGCAAACCACUUACAAAAUCCAUAGUUACCCUUUCCCACUUCCAAAGUGGUAUAUUUACUGGUUGUAACAAUCCUGAAGGUAGUUGAUGCUCGGUCUUUACUUGUUGACACGUCAAACAUUUUCCCACAAAUUCAGUCACUUCUCACUUAAGCCCAGGCCACUAAUAUAGCUCUCGCAAGUCUCGAUACAACUUACUCCCUCCUGGAUGCAUUGCACAAGGUCCACUAUGUGCCUCCCUUAAAAUCAUCAAUCUCAAGUCAAAGUCCUUCGACAUACAAAUUCUUCCUCGAAAACAAAGAACCCCAUCAUUAUUUACUCCAAAGUCUGGAUUCUCCCCCUUCUCAACUUGCUGAAACCGAGAAAUCGACGACUCAUCCAUCAACUACUGCUUCUUAAUCUGCUCCACCUAAGUGGGUCUCACUUGUAAUUCUGCCAAUAAGCUUCCAUCGUCAUACAAACUUAAACGAGCAAACAUUGCCUUCAAUUUCACCACAGCCCUUCGACUUAACGCAUCAGCCACGACAUUUGCCAUACCUGGAUGGUACUCAAUCGAACAGUCAUAGUCCUUUAACAACUCUAUCCACCUUCGUUGUCUAAGAUUCAGCUCCUUUUGAGUCAGCAAGUACUUAAGACUCUUAUGAUCUGUAUAGAUAAUGAAUCUCUCCCCAUACAAGUGGUGCCUCCAUAUCUUAAGCGCAAAAAUCACCGCUGCCAACUCCAAGUCAUGAGUAGGAUAGUUUACCUCAUGAGGCUUAAGCUGUCGUAAAGCAUAAACGACCACUUUACCCUCUUGCAUCAACAUGCAGCCCAAACCUAUAUGUGACGCGUCACUGUACACUGUGAAAUCCUUACCAGACUCUAGCUGAAUCAACACUAGUGCCUCAGUCAGGACCUUAUUUAACUUCUCAAAGGCCUCUUGUUGCUUACUUGUCCAAACAAACGGUGCUCCCUUCCUUAUAAGUUUCGUUAACGGCGCUGCCAACACCGAAAAUCCUUCUACAAACCUCCGAUAAUAGCCUGCCAACCCCAAAACACUCUAGAUUUCUGUUAUUGACCUCGGUGGCUUCCACUCUAGAAUCGCCUCAAUCUUUCGAGGGUCUACCUUGAUCCCUUCAGCAAACAGAACAUGCCCCAAGAAAGUUACUUCCUUCAGCCAAAACUCACACUUACUAAACUUUGCAUAAAGUUGUUUUUCCCUUAGCACUUGUAGCACAAUACAAAGAUGUUCAUCAUGUUUCUCUUCCGUUUCCGAGUACACUAAGAUAUCAUCGAUAAAAACGACUAUGAACUGAUCCAAGUAUGGCUGAAACACCCGAUUCAUUAAAUCCAUGAAUGUUGUCGGUGCAUUAGUCAAACCAAAGGGCAUAACCAGAAACUCGUAAUGACCAUAUUGAGUUCUGAAUGCCGUCUUAUGAAUAUCCACUUCUUUGACUCUCAACUGAUGGUAUCCUAGCCGAAGGUCAAUCUUAGUAAAUACCGAAGCUCCUUUCAGUUGGUCGAACAGAUCGUCGAUUCUGGGCAAAGGAUAUUUGUUCUUGAUCGUCAGCUUGUUCAACUGUCGAUAAUCAAUACACAUCUACAUGGUCCUAUCUUUCUUCUUUACGAACAGUACUGGUGCACCCCACGGAGGAAUACUUGGUCGUAUAAACCCUCUAUCCAACAGUUCCUGAAUCUGAGCUUUCAGUUCCACCAACUCCUUCAGUGCCAUCCUAUAAGGCGCAAUGGACUCUGGAGUUGUUCCAGGUAACAAGUCGAUUCUGAACUCGACUUCUCUGUUCAGAGGUAAUCUAGGAAGUUCCUUCGGAAAUAUAUCUUGAAACUCUUUGAUGGUCCUAACUGACUCCACAGUUAUCCCCUCGGGUUCAGCUUGACUCACAAAUGCUAAAAACGCCUCACAACCUUUCUGGAUCAACUUCUCAGCACUUAAAGCUUAGACAACAUUGGACAGAUAGUUCCUUCGCUCCCCUAUGACCAUUAUCUCCUCAUCCUUGGCAGUUCUUAGCACCAUUCUCUUAGCAGCACAAUCCAACAUCGCCCUAUACUUAGUUAGCCAGUUCAUUCCUAAAAUAAGAUCAAAAUCCCCAAAUGGCAGCUCCAUCAAAUCUCCUACAAAUAUCCUAUCUUGUGUCUCUAAGGGCACCUCCCUAAAGAGUUUAUCUACCUUAACCGAGUGUCCUAAAGGGCUUAUCACUGAUACCUCACUCACAGUCUCCUCGGGAAGCACACCCAAUGCCCCAGAUACAUCAUAAGCAACAUACGAGUGAGUGGAACCCACAUCAAUCAAAGUAGUGUAAGGCAUGCUAUGAAUGAAGAACGUACUGGUUAUAACAUCAAGAGCGUCACCCUCAUCACGAUGUCGUGCAGCAUAAACCAAUGCCAGUUGUCGAACUUCAACAUGUCCAGCAUCCCUACCAGGUGCCCCACGACCAUGUCCAUUACCAUUACCACCCCUACCUUACCCACGGCCUCUCUGUGGUGGUGGUCCUCCUCGUGGCUGUUGGACCCCUCUUUGCUCCACAGCUUGACCCUGAGCUGCUCUCCGAGGACACUCUCUAAACUUAUGUUCCUUUGACCCACAUCGAAAGCAUGCCCCAGUUCGUUUCCAGCACUCCCCCAUAUGCACUCUGCCACAUUCCUUGCAAGCUUGCGGUCUAAAAGUGUUCACCGGAACUACUCGAACCGGUUCCUCCAUUCUAGCUCUUUUAGCAUUCCUAUUUGCAACACCUGGGGUCCAGAAUCCCUCCCAAAUCUGGGUCGAUCCUUCUCACGAUUCUGCCUUUCAGUCCAUUUUACUUUCUCAGCUAUCUUAGCCUUCUCUACUAACGCAGUGAAAUCACGCUCCCUCUGUGGAGCUAUCAGCACCCUAAGCUCAUCGCGAAGGCCAUCCUCGAAUAGAACACUACGCUCAUAUUCGGUCAGCAUACCGACUCAACCUCAAAAAUUCUGCCUCAUACUCCGCAAUAGUCUUAUUUCCCUGUGCCAGAUUCAAAAAUUCCUCUCGACGGGCUUCCACAUAACUAGCUCCAACAUACCUCCCCUUAAAAGCAGUCUUGAACAGCUCCUAGGUUACUCGUUCUAUCGGGGUACUCUCCCUUAUGGUGAUCCACCACCGGUAUGCCUCAUCUCGUAGCAACGACACAGCCCGCUUUAACUUUUGCCCCACAGAACAAUCUAGGUCAUCCAUAAUCCGGUCUGUUGCUUCUAGCCAAUAUUCAGUCAUAUUUGGGGCUACUCCAGAUACGCCCCUAAAAACCUCUACUCCGUUAGCCCGGAGUAGCUCAGAGAUGGAUCCCCUAUUUACUGUCCCAUUGCUAGCUCCAGCAACCCUUUCUAAAACCCUUAACAUUGCUUGGGACAAAGCAUCAUCCCCCGCAGCCCGAUCAUAUGACCCAGUCUCAGUCACCUGUGGCACGAAUGCCUCAUCAGCUCGCCUAUGCCCUGAGGAUGAAGAUUCAGCUUGCACCCUUCCGCGACCAUGUCCACGGCCUCGUCCACAAGUUCCUCUUGUACUCAUAUCGAAUUAUCUGAUUACGAAUUUUAUGACAUUAGUUUAAUAUUCCAAUUGUUUAUUACGAGAUGUCUUAUGGAAAUAUAGCAGUUCAAGGAUUAUUUUUGCAACGUCGUAGCCUAGCUACAGUCUCAUUCCUACUUUUUUACAGUUCUACCCUAUCUAAAGUAUCAUAGUAGGGUCUUAGUUCUAUCCAUAGCAUCAUACCAAUAUCACAUAACAGAAAAAAAGAGAGUAUACUUACAGACUUGGUGCCGGGGAUUCAGUGUGCCACUUCUUUCUUCAAACCAUUUAAAACAAAAACCUUGUAUUUGGUCACAGAAAAUAGAAAUUUCCUAAAAAUUGAUUUAAAAUACCUUUGUUUUGAAAUUCUUGAUUUAAAACCCGUUUAGAAACCCACAGCCGAGUUGUUGCAACCUGGCUCUGAUACCACUAAACGUAACACCCCAAACCUGGCCCAAACGUUAUGGCCGAAUCCGACGUGCCACAUUGAAGUUAAGAAUCCACGUUUCGCUUUAGUGUUUUAAUAAACCGUCUUUUAUUAAGGCUUAACCAAGUGAAUGAAAGCUGUGCACCAGGUAGGUAUCCAAAAACAGAGGAGGUGAGCCAUAAAGGCUGCUUAAGUACCAAGCUCUUCGAUUGGAUCCAAUCCUAGACAAGCCCACAACCAUUGCCACACUUUGAUAACCGAGUUGAAAUUUAUUUGAGUAGAUAUCUUUCAUAAAUUGAUUAAUCGUGUCGUUAUGUUAUUUUGAAAACGAGUAUUAUUUUGAAAACGCGCCCUAAGUCUAGCCCAUUUGAAGUAUUAUCAGAAAUAUUUAGUUUACGCAACAUGCUAAUCAAACCCAAAUCUUACCUUACCAAAAUCGGCCAAUGAAUCCAUAACAACCAUAAGUCACUUACCUUCACCGAGUCCGCUGCUUGAUCCAAGUUUUCUAAAUCGAUACCCCAAGCCUUGCUGCUCCUCCAAAUUAUCUACCCCACUAUACAAAGCAUAAAAAUCAUAUGAGAAAGCCUAGUAAGGCCUAUAUCUCUAAUCGAAAACCUCCCAAAACUAUAGGGGUUUCGGCUUUUGUCAACAGUUAUACUACUGAAUCGAUUGGAGUAUGAAUGCUUACCACAGUCUUCCUCUAUGAACCGAUUGAAGCUUAGCAGAUGAAGGAAUUGACCACCAAAUAGUGAAGGAAAAAGAAGGCUGCUGGUCAACAAGAAAUUGACACCACCAAGUUUCACAAGUUUCGGCUUUUGUGACUUUUCGGCAAAAGUGAAGAUAAGGAAAGAAGUAGUAGAUAAACGGAAGGGAAUAGUGGACUGGUUUCGGAAAAAGGAAAGGAAGGAAAGAUGGAUGGAAGGGUGGUAGUUUCGGCUAGAGAAGAAGAAAGAAAAGAAAAGAAAAGAAAAAGAAAAGAAUAAUCCUAUGGUUUACAGAAGAAAACGGCACAACUAAGCUCCUAAAUGCCGAAAUACUAACCUAAUAUUCCUCUGCCAAAAUCCCCUCUCUAAUCCCCAUUAUUCGGCCAACUCUAAGCCUCCCUUCCAGUCCCUAAAAUCUCUCCCCUUAUCACUCCUUAAUCCAUGCGUUUGACUGAUUUAAACACUCUCCAACAGAGUUCCAUUCGGCUUUAAACUUCUACAUGCACAAGGCAUAAAAGUAACAUCACAUAUUUCAUCACAGAUAAUCGAACCUAGGUUUCCCCCAACCACUUACACGCCACCUUUUUAGCUCCUUAGUGGUGUCACUUAGCCACUUUGCCAGGGGCUCCUUUGUGAUACAUUUUACCCACAACUUUUAAUAAAGCCAUCUACCCAAAGCCCCUAACUCCUUAAGUCCAAAGUUCAAAAAUUCUUUCGAGUUUUGGUCAUUACAUGGGCCUUCCAUAAGCCUAUUUACUUAUUCCAACUAUGAAUUUUCACUACCAAAUACCAAAUUUUAAAAACUUUGCCAAAUUCUUAGAAAUUACGAAAAACCCAAAAAUCAGGAUGUUACAAAUUACAUCGGGAAUAAGGGUGGAAACCCUUAUUCAAAUACUUACAAUCCUUAUUAGAGAAAUCACCCAAACUUAAGAUGGGGAGAAAAUGAAUGAGGAGGUAACGAUUCAAAUCAAGUUAAAAAUACUAAUUACCAGCCUUCUUAUUUACAGAAACCUCAAGACAGGGCCAACCUAAACGACAUACUGUAUGUGGUCAACAUUUAGAUUGAAUUGAAGGGGAAAUGCAGUCAAUGAGAAUAAAUGUAAAGCAUGUGCAAUCUGAGUGCACUAAUUCGACAAGAAUAUUAACUAAGCUAAAUGAUCAAAUGAGCCAAUUAAUGAGCAUGAUGGGAGAUAUUAAAAGGCAAAUUAGCACUGGCAUACCAACCAAUGCUGAGAAUAAUCUUUGGAAAGAAGGGAAUGAGCAAGUACAAGCAAUCAAGCUUCGUUUGGGUAAAAUCUUGAGUUGUCUGACACCCUAAAACAAGAGGAAGUAAAAGAGAAUGCAGAAGGCCCUCCAAAAAACCCCAUAAAGCUUAUGAGGAACCAGGAUCAGAGGAGGUCAUUGGAUGUUCUACUGAACUAGAAAAGAAGGCAAAAGACAAGGCCACUAACACACAGGUAUCGUUCCCUUCCAAAUUAGAAGAGAAACAUGGACGAGUUUAGGACGAGUUCGUAAGUUUUUUAAACUUCUUCAAAACAUUGAAUAACAACCUACCAUUAAUUGAAUUAAUUGAGAAAGUUCCUAAACACACCAAUUUUUUAAAAGAAAUUAUGUCGAGGCGUAGGAAAUUUAAUGUAGGAGAGUAAGUUAACAAAAAUAUGUCAUGUGGUACUAUUAUUUCUAGACAAGUACCCUAGAAACUGAAAGACCCAAGAAGUUUUACAAUUCCAAUAGAGAUAGGGAGCAUUCAUUUUAAGAAAUCUCUAUACGAUUUAAGAGCUAGUAUAAAUCUAAUGCACUUAUCUAUUUACGAAAAACACUGGACAUGGGACUUCAAAAACACUCAAAUUACAUUACAGUUAGCUGAAAAAUCUGUAGUCCAACCUAAGGGACUGCUAGAAGAUGUGUUAGUUAAGGUGCACAGUUUUAUUAUCUUGAUAGAUUUUGUAAUUUUAGAUUUUGAAGAGGAUCCAGGGAUAUCCAUCUUGUUGGUAUGACCUUUUUUAGCCAUAUCCGGAUCCAUCAUUGAUCUAGAGAAAAAUGAAUUAAUGAUGAAAAUCAAUGGUGAAACUAAAACUUUUAAAUGUGGACCUCACCAAAGUGAGGAAAGCCGAAAGAAAUUAGGGGAACAGUGUCAUUACAUAUUUACCUUCGAAUCUAACUACCCUGAAUCCAAUCAUACGCUUAAUGUGAUUAAUGUAAGGUUAAGAAGUAGGUAUAAGGAAAGAGACAAGUGAAAAAAGAUGAAGGGACAUGACGACCGGUGGACAAAUGCUGAAAGAGACCCAAGUGGGAAUGCGUUGGUGGAACUCUUGGAUGAAUUCGACAGUAAAACAUGACGAAACUUUAAAUAAAUUUUCCUUGUCUAUUAUUGUACAUUGAACUAACCAUGUAGUUUAUAUUCUAACUUAUAUUAGAUGUAUGUUUACUAUAGACCAAGACAUCUUAAAAAUGGAAAAAUUAGGCUGAAAUAGAAUCGGUGCUGCAACAUGGCAACCCCAUGUCACAACAUCGCGUGCAGAAUGCAAGAAUCAGAGAAAGCACCUCGAUGUCAUGAUAUGGCACCUUUGUAUCACAACAUAGAAGACAAUUUCCCCAAGUUUUCCAAAUUGUAGGGUGUAUCGCAACAUAGCACCUCGGUGUCCCAACAUGGUACCCCUAUGCCAUGACAUCAGUGUAAUUGCAGGGUUGACUUGACUCGUUAGCCUAACCCGGCAGCUUUAAACCAAUUUUAGUUGAUUUUAACCCUUUAAACUCUUAAUUUAUAACCCUAAAACACUAUUUAAACAUGUUUUAACCCCUUUAAUCUCAAAAACCUUUCAAACCUCUUAAACUCUAAAACCCCAUUCCUUUUGAUUUGUAUGUAAAAGCUUCAUGUUUCAAUCAUACUUGGUGAAGCAAAUAAUGGCAACACCUAAGGGAAUAAUAAAUCAUCGCAUGAAACAAGGAAUUCAAUGACUUCUACGAGGUUAAGGGUUCCUAACUUAAACUUUUACAGUUCCAUUAAAUUUAUUUACUUGAUAUUUUGCUUUAGUCCUUAAUUUAACCAUAAUGCCUCCUAGAAAGGUUAGACGAACUAAUAAACCAAAGCCAUUAACUGUUCCAAAUCCUUCUAGUUUUUUGAACCAGAAUGUUGAAAAAUAUUUUAAUGAAUUUCAAGAGAAAAUUUUAAUAAAUUUCAAGAGAAAACAUUCAUUCAAGAGAGGGGAUUUGAUCUGUCAAUGAUUGUUUGUAAAGAGAUAUAGCCUAUAGUUAGGUACCAUAGGUGGGAAAGUUUUUGGGCAAUCCCAAAAGCUGUUGCUGCGGUCCUGAUAGUCUAAGAAUUUUAUGCAUAUUUGUAGGACCACGAGUCUAGAAAUACUGAUGGCCAUAUAUCCCAACCUCCUUCAAUUAAGCUAUCAUGUUUCUAGAGGCUAAAAUGUGGAUUCAAUUUGUGUACACAUGAAUACCACCUACUUUAAAUGUAUCUAAUGUUAAUACCUUUCGAGCAGUUUUACUCUAUGCUAUUUUUUAGAAAAAAAUAUGUAUGUAUUGGGAAGUGGAUCCACUAGAGCAUGAAGAGAUGUAUUUGUGACCAGAAAGUGGGAUUUUUCUUUCCUCACUUAGUGACAACCUUAUACAAAAGAACAGGCAUGCCUAUGGCGUCCACCAAGCAGUCGCUGAAACAAUCACAAAGUAUUAUCAGUGACACAUUGUUCCAACAAUACACUGAGCUAUGAGCCAAACAAAUAAAAUAUUGGAACAAACGACAACAAGAAGAUACAGCUACACCAGCUUCAUCACAAGGGUUGCCACGAGCUCAACAGGAAGUUUACGAGAGUAAUCAUCCAAAAUUGGAUUGAAUGAUACAGUGGAUGCAAGAGUUAGGGCUACUAUUUCAAGAAUUUGCAAGGAAAAAUAAUAACAAGGUCUCCAAUUAUACGCCAAACAUGUUUAAGCUUACAGCAUCCGGGCAGGAAGAAAGAGAGCCUGAAAGUAAAGAUAAAAGAGAGGGAGAAAGAAAUAAUUAGAUGGAUUAUAAGGAGGAGGAUUAACUUUAAUGUAAUGCCCCAAAUUUUUAAUUUUUGUUUUUGUGUAUGUGUGACACACAACUGUGUAUCUGCUACAAUGGUUAAGUGUUCUGGGUAUGUGUGUGAGGUCCCAAGUUCAAGCCUUAACUUGCAUAAAUUUUGAUAUUUUUAUGAAUUAAGCCCUAUCCCUGGUUAGUAGGCUUAUAAGUAAAAGUGUGUAAGUAAUUAACAGAAUGGGUCUGCUAGUCCGGUGGUUAAGUGGAGUGUUAAUUGGUUGGAGAUCUUGAGUUUGAAUCUCUGUCUAACAGCCCGAUUAAAGGCCUAGUCAGAGUAGUGGUCUCGAGAGCACAAAUCUAGAGUCGAAUAAAUUAUUUUAUAAUUAUUUAGAUGUCAUAGCAUGUUUUUAAGCGUGCAUGAAAAAUUUGGUGAGUUAAUUGUGACGUUUGUGAGCCCAAUUGUGAAAAAGGACUAUAUCGCAUAAAAUGCAAAAGUCCUAUUUUGAUAGCUAAAAGUGUCAAAUAGCUAGAGAAUAAAAAAUUGGGGGUCUUUAAAGGGAAAUUAGACCAUAUUGUGAUAGCUUGGCUGUCCAUGAGAGAUGAAAAGUGUGGUAAACUCAAUAUUAGGUAAUGUUGAUGUCAUAAGGUGUAUUAUUAUAAUGCCAAAAAGCCUAGCUAUCAUUUUCUUUUCCCCAUCCUUUCUUUUGACCAAAAUUUUUAGCAAAGAAAUGGGGCUUUAAGAGCUUUAAAUUUCAGCAACUUUAGGCCUUCACAAGUAAGUGAUUUUAAUGGCUUUUCUUGAAUAUUUUUGUACUUUUGAGAUCCUUGAAGCAUAAGCUUUCAGAUGAGAGUGGUAUUUUGCAAAAUGAUCAAGAGUGUAGGGUUUUACCAUGAAAGGGUUUUUAAUUUUUUCUGAGUUUUUAUGGAAGAAAAUAAGUCUUAGGAGUGUUAUGAACAACUUUUGUGAAAGGUGUUAGCAUGAAAACACCUAAAAGGACUAUAUUGCAUAAGUUGUAAAAUAGAUGUUAAGUAUGUGAAAUGGUGGGAAUUUGGAGUUUCUAUAAGAGUAAAAAGGGUUCAGCUAGGCUUAAGAUAUGAAGAAAUUCGAUAAAAAUCAAUUUUCGGGCCUAGGGGUAAAAUGGUCAUUUUGUUAAAGUCUAGGGCCAAAAUGGUCAUUUUACCAAAGAUAUGAAUUUUCGAUUUCUUAAUUUUAUUUAAUGACUAAAUAAGUGCAUUUUUCUAUUAUAUAUCAAGAAAUACUGAAUCCAAACCUAGACGGGGAGAAAGCCAAGCAAAUCGACUAGUCGUCACAUUUUGUAAUCCGAGGUAAGUUGUAUAUAAAUAAUACAACUACAUUGGGAAUAUAUGUGUUUGAAUUAUGUUGGGAUUAUUAUAGUAUAAAUUGCUUGAUUGUAGAAAUGAGAAAAUGUGAUAAGAAUAGAGAUAGUAGAAUUCCCGAUUGAACCUUAGGAAAUAAAACAGAUAUUCAUGCCAUAACGUUUGGGUCACUUGUGUUAGCUAGUGUAAGACAUGUCUAGGACAUGCAUCGGCCAUAUUAUGAGAACCAAUGUAAAAUGUCUGGAGCAUGGCAUCGGCAUUGAGACUAGUACUAGUGUAAGACAUGUUUGGGACAUGCAUCGGCCUCGAGACGUAAGUCAGUGUAAGACAUGUCUGGGACAUGCAUCGGCUAUGAGAUGUGCAAGUGUAAGAUCAUGUAUGGGACAUGACAUCGGCACAGAUAUGCUAGAACUCGUGUAAGACCAUGUCUGGGACAUGGCUUCGACACCUGACCCCAGUUUGAGGCUAAAUGAGUAUCCGACAAUGCUCCAAAUCUUCAACGGUGAAAGUAUGAUUUCAAGUUAACAAAGAAAGUAUAACCAUGUUGUGAGUGGUACAGGUACCUAUAUGAUAUGUAUGAAAUGUGAGCUCAAUAUAUGUUAUAUGAGGUGUAUUGAAUAUUGAUGAGUAAGUUUUGCUUAUGCCGCUUGUGUAUUAUGAUACUUGUUGAUGAAUGGUAAAGUUAUGUUGUAUAUUUAUUUAUGUGCAACUUACUAAGCUUUAUGUUUACUCCUUCUCUUUUUUCAUUUUCUUAUAUUGCCCCCUAUCUAGUUCAAGACCAAAAGAAGUCAGAGAUAUCGAUCACACUAUCGAUCGAAGCAUUCGGUAUAGUUUGAUUUAUAUUUUUGAAUAUGGCAUGUAUGAGGCUUAGACUUUUCUAUUUUUAUGUCAUUGAGAACUGGCCAAAUGUGUUGGCUUGGGUUGGAAACCCUUCAUUUUGUAUUAAGCCUUGAAUGAUGGUAAAUAUUCAUUUUGAUGUAUACAAAUGAAGUUACUCUCAUGAAUGAGUAAUUGCUUAAUUGAUAUGUAGUCUAUUGUGGCUGAUUGGUUUAAAUAAGUUAUUCAUGUAUUGGUUUGGUUGAUUUUGUGUAGGUUGUAUAAGUAAGGGUGGCAAGGACGCUUGGUAAAUAACCUUAUAUCGUCCACACGGGCAGACAAAUGGGCGUGUGUCUAGGCCGUGUAUGACACACGGUCUGCCUCGUAGGCGUGUAGUCCAGCCGUGUGUCCCCUGCACGUAAAAAUUUCAAGUCAGUAUACAUGGUAGUAAACACACGGGCAGAGACACGAUCGUGUGUCUCAGCCGUGUGAUGGACACGGCCUAGCACACAGGAGUGUGCCUUGGCCGUGUGACAUUUUAGGGAUACUGAUGUCAGAAGCAGAAUGUCUAUGUUUUUGUACACGGGCUAGGACACGGGCGUGUCAUGGCUAUGUGAAGGACAUAGGCCAAGGACACGGGCGUGUGCCUGGCCGUGUAAAAACCCCUAUAGGUGUGCAUUUAGAAUUAAUUCCACAUGAGUGGAGGACAUGGGCGUGUCCUUGUAUUGCUUAUGUCGUGUGAGCCACACAGGCCAUCAACACGACCACAUUGGAAUGGCCACACAAUCGUAUGCCUUGUUUCAAAGUCAAAUUUUCUAUAGAUGGUUUAAGGACCCGGGUUGAUCCUGAAUAGUUUUCAAAUGUCUAUUUAGGGCUAGUAGGCCCAUAAUAAGAAGUCCAAAGUAGAAAUUGAAAAAUAUCUAAAUUGGACCAAGUCUUGGUGACCGGGAAACAUUUGUGUCCAUGAGAUCGAGUUAGAUAAUGCCUCGUAUUUCGCUCCAGUGUGGGUUACGGGUAUGGGUUGUUACACUCUGCAUGGGCAAGUGAGAUUAUUUUUGCUCGGUUUGGUGACGAAGAGUUUGAGUUAUAUUGGAUAACUGAGAAGUGGGUGGUUGAAAGGAUUGAGUGAAUCAGUUUUCCCCAAAAAUCCUCUCUGUAACCGAUGCCUAUUCCCCUCCUCUAUCAGUUUUAUUUUCUUUUUCAUCCAUCUUUUGCUCUAUAGCCAAAAAGUUCCUCUCUUUUCCCUACUUUUUCUUGUUUCUGUAUUUUUACAAAUCAUCAUUGUGGGAGCCAUCUUUGAGUUUAUCUACUUUAGCAAGUUGGGGUAGGCAUGUUUUAGUUUUAGAAUUCUUGAAUCAGUGAUUAAUAGAGUGGUUUCGUGUUUAGGAGACUCUUAGACUACUAUGGAGUUUCAAUCGGUAUCGAGGAGGAGCGAUUUAUUAUUGUAUUUUCAAAGUAAAGAGUUGUUGGAAAUUUUUGGGAAUACAUAUUCUUGAUAAAUUGGUUUAGUAUCGGUUUAAGUGAUUGAGAUUGGGCUUUGGUUAGUCGAAUGUAGGUUCUGGAGUGCUCGGGAGUGUUUUUGCAGUGAAUCGAUACCAGGUGUGUACUCGAAACGCAAAAAAAAGGGUUUGACAAAAAGAUGAAAAAGCUUAGUGUCGACUCCACAUGGGCAUGUGGUCACCCGUGUGGUAGGCUGUGUAAUGGUACACAGGUGUGUGAUCGACGAGCCAGGCUUUGCGCACAUGACACAGUAGUGUGGUGGCUGGGUGAGGCCAUGUGCGACACACGUGCUCGACCAUUUUGGGCCAUUUGGGCCACACGGGCGUGUGGGAUUUUGGGCCAGGCCGUGUGAUCCACACACGUAGACAACAUGGGCGUGUGAGCCCAUUUUCUCUGAUUUGUUGCUAAGGUUGCACGGGUCGCCCGAAACAUUUGCGAACCUACUAUAGGGUCAGUAAGUUUACUUAGACCCCUAAUUGUAUGAGAUGACUGAAUGACUGUUACACGUUUACAAGUGUUUGAGCAUGAUAACAUUUCACUGAACUGAUAUUAUAUGAACUGUAUUAUGAGAUAGCAUGACAUAAUUGUAUGCUGCACUGCAUCAGGUUGGGGUUUGAUAUUGAUCGGAGGGAAAGUGUCUGAAAGGCUUUGAGCCUAACUUACUGGCAGUUCAGCUGCAAAUCACUGUCUAGUGCCGCAUUCGGUGCUAUUUGGAGUGUAGGGAUGGGUGGGUUGAUUAUAUCCCCAUAUGGAGUGUAGGGUUGGACGAAGAUGGAGUGUAGAGGCUGGUUGGGUAGGAUUUUUGUAUCUUCAUAUAUGUUACUGAGAUGGGCUAAGGCACUAAUGGUUACUAUUACUAAAAUAGGCAAAGGCGAAACUGAAACUGAUACUGAUAUUGAAAAGGGCUUAGGCCCAGGCUGUGAAUAUUUGUUUACUGUCUGUUUGUUUGUAUGGGGAUUACACACUGAAUUUACGUAAACUCAUCCCUUCUGUUUAAUCUGUACUGGUAAUCUUCAGACUUGACGGAUCGGUACAGCGGAGACUUGACGGUGGCCACACGUAAUUAAACUAUUUUGACUUCAACUUUGGGUAUUUAAUUCUUAAUUAUUUUUUGGGUUAUUUCUUGAUGUAAAUUGCAGACUUUCUGGUACUUUUACUUAAUUUGGGUUAUUAUUUAUUUUUAUGGAUUUAUAACUGCUAAGACGUUUAAAAUCCUGAUUUUCAAAAAAAUAAGUUUUCUCUAAACACGCGAUUACUCAAAACGACUUUUAAAAGCUUCCACAACGAAAUGUCUUAAAACGUUUGACUAGAUAAAUAAUCAUUUUAGGUUCAAUAAGUGGAAAGAAAUGAAAAUUCUUUUAUCUUAACAACUUAGUUUCAAACGCUAUUAUGUGACAUCGCCAAAUUCAACCAUAAUGUCUAGGCCAGGUUCGAGAUGUUACAUUUAAUGGUAUUAGAGUCAGGUUGCAAGACUAGACUGUGGAUGUGGGUUUUUAAGACAUGAUUUUUUUGAGAAUUAAUUUCUAAAUGUUUUACUGAAAGUAUGGUACACCGAGUCUCCAGCGCCGAUUUAGUAAGUUUUCUGAAACUGUGAAUUGUUCUGAAACUGUUUUUGAUAGUAUAUCUUGAAACUGCUAUAGGUAGUAUAUGCUUAGACUACUAUAGAUAGACUGUACUGAAAACACUUAAAAUAGUGUAUACCGAGACUGUAGUAAAACUGAUAGGCAUUGAUUAACACUGCGUUGUAAGAAACAACUUUACAUUUUUUAUACUAUUUUUAUAAAAUAUCUGUUAAUAAACGUUGGAACUGUAAACUGUCACAUAAAACUGUUAAUACAGAUAAAAUGCGAUUAGAAAAUGAGCACCAGAGGUACUCACAGACGGGAUAUAAUAGGCCAUGGUAGAGGCUAUGGAAGUGCUCGAGCUGGGUUUUCGUCAUCUGGCAAUCCCCUAAUUUGGAUACUAGUGAGACACUGACUUCACCUGUGAAUGAGACUGGGUCUUAUGAUCGAGCGGCUGGGGACAACAAACUGUCCCAGGCCAUGUUAAGGAUUUUAGAGAGGGUCGAUGGGCCCAAUAGUGGAGCUGGAGGCAGAGGGUCAGUUAAGAAACGACUUUAGUCUAACGGAGCUGAGUUUUUCAGGGGUAUUGCUAGAGUUGCCCCUAAUCUGGCUGAGUAUUAGAUAGAGGCCACAGAGAGGAUUAUGGAUGAUCUGGACUACAACCCCGAGCAAAAAUUAAAGGGUGUUGUAUCGUUGCUUUAUGUGAGGCAUAUCAGUGGUGGCUCACGGUUAAUGAAGGCACUCAACCCGAUCGACUAUCCUGGGAGUUCUUCAAGACUACCUUCUAGGGGAAGUAUGUGGGUGCCAGUUAUAUGGACGCUCGUAGGAGAGAGUUCUUGAAUUUGACUCAAUGAGAUAGAACAGUGGCCAAGUAUGAGGCCGAAUUUUUGAGACUGGGCUGCUAUGCGCGAGGUAUGGUGGCGAUUGAGUAUGAGUGAUGUGUUCACUUCAAGGAUGGCCUCAGGGAUAAUUUGAGGGUUCUGACAGCUCCAUAGAGGGAAUGAGCCUUUGCUGCACUAGUUGAUAAGACAAAGAUUGUCGAAGAGGUAAAGCGCCCUGAGCGCCAGAAUCGAGAGAGAGGUAGGAGCAAGAGGAAUUCGGGGCCCUCGAGUACCAUUCAAAGGCCUAAUAAAAAGGCCAGAGUGGAUGGGCCAAUCAGAUCUGGGGCUCCUAUUACUGCUAGUGGACAGCCACCUUGUACUGACUGUGGUAGACAUCAUUUGGACGACUGUUGGAAAAGGACUAGGGCAUGCUUGAGGUGUAGUUCUUUGGAGCACCAUAUUAGGAAUUGUCUGCGGAGGUCCGAUCAGAUGCAAGCUUCGGGUAUUGGUACUACAGCACCAUUGAGAGUGAUUCAGCAACCACCAAGAGGCCGUGGUCAGGCCAGAUGUGGUAAUGGGUUAGGUCGUGGUCAGAGAGCACCGGGCAAAGGUGCUGGUCAUAUUGAAGCGAGGCAGCAAGCUCUAGUUUUUGCUGCACGUCACCGAGAGGAUAGAGAUGCUCUAGAUGCUAUCACAGGUACAUUCUUUAUUUAUAAUUUACCUUAUACUGCACUCAUAGAUAUAGGAUCUACUCACUCCUAUAUAGCUUGUACCGUAUUUGGAAACUUGGGUAUACUGGUUGAGAGCACUACGAGUGAGGUCACUGUACUGAGUCCAUUGGGGUAAUUGAUAAGGGCAAAUAAGUUGUUUAGAGACGUCCCUUUAGAGGUUCAAGGGGCUAUCUUUCUGGCGAAUUUGAUGGAACUUCCUUUCAGAGAGUUUGAUCUGAUACUGGGGAUAGAUUGGUUGGUCAAGCACCAAGUGAGCUUAGAUUUUGCCACAAAAAGGGUUGUACUGAGAACGGAGGAAGACUGCGGGUAAUCGUAAUUGGGGAAUGUUGGAACUACUUAUCGAAUGUGAUUUCUGUACUAAGGGCAGCAAAGUUGGUUCGUAAGGGAUGUGAGGUGUAUUUGGCGUACAUCAGUGUUUCAGAUUCUAGGGAUUCCUCGAUUAAGGAUAUCAGGAUGUUUAAAGACUUUCCAGACGUAUUUCCUGGAGAGCUACCUGGGUUACCUCCAAAUUGUGAAGUAAAGUUUGGGAUUCAGCUCCUUCCUAGUACAGCUCCUUCCUGGUACAGCUCCAGUGUCCACCGCUCCAUAUAGAAUGGCACUAAAAGAGCUCAUAGAGCUUAAGGCUCAGAUUCAAGAGUUAUAGGAUUGUGGGUUUAUUCGCCCUAGUGUGUUUCCGUGGGGAGCACCAGUUCAGUUUAUGAAAAAGAAAAACGGAUCCAUACGUAUGUGUAUCGACUAUUGGCAACUGAAUAAGCUGACCAUCAAGAAUAAGUACCCCCUACCAAGGAUAGAUGAUCUAUUUGAGCAAUUCAGAGGUGCUUCAAUUUUCUCUAAGAUUGAUCUCCAUCAGAGUAUCACCAAUUGAGAGUUAAGGAGGCUGAUAUGCAUAAGACAGCAUUUAGGACUCGAUACGGUCAUUAUGAGUUCCUAGUGAUGCCAUUUGGACUGACGAAUGCACCAGCGGCUUUUAUGGAUCUGAUGAACUGAGUGUUCCAACCCUAUUUGGAUCGGUUCAUAGUGGUAUUUAUUGAUGACAUACUGGUAUAUUCGAGGACUGAGGAUGAACAUGAUAAACAUCUCAGAGUGGUCUUACAGAUUCUGGGAGAGAAACAACUAUACACCAAGUUUAGUAAAUGUGAGUUAUGGUUACGUGAAGUAACAUUUCUGGGAUAUGUGGUUUCUACUGAGGGGAUUAGAGUUAAUCCUUAAAUGAUUGAGGCUAUCUUGGAUUAGAAGCAACCUAAGACUGUAUUUGAGGUCGGCAGUUUUCUGGGACUGGCUGGGUAUUACUGACGAUUUUUAGAGGGGUUUUCACUAAUUGCAUCACCCUUGACUAAGUUUCUAUGUAAGGAUGUGUUGUUUAACUAGACUGAUACGCAGCAAGAGAGCAUUGAGAAGCUCAAGACCGUACUGACUGAGGCUCCUAUCUUGAUAGAGCCAGAGUCUGGAAAAGAGUUCACUGUUUACAGCGAUGCAUCAAAUGUUGGUUUGGGAUGUGUGUUGAUGCAAGAGGGUAGGGUGGUGCACAUGCGUCUCUUCAGCUUAAGACUCAUGAGGAAAAUUAUCUGAUGCACGACUUGGAGUUGGCCGCAGUGGUAUUUGCACUAAAAAUCUGGAAGCACUACUUGUAUGGUGAGAAGUGUAUCAUCUACACUAAUCACAAGAGCCUCAAAUAUCUCCUCACUCAGAAGGAGCAGAAUCUUAGGUAGCGUAGAUGGAUUGAGCUACUUAUGGACUACGACUGUAUGAUCGAGUACCACCCUAGUAAGGCUAAUGUGGUGGCCGAUGCACUGGGCUGAAGGUUUUGACUGAUAUUAGGGUGAUGUUUGCUCGCCUCAGUUUAUUUAAUGAUGGUAGUCUAUUGGCUGAACUUCAGGUUAAAUCAACGUGGAUUAAGCAGAUUAAGGUAAACAGUUGGAGGAUGAAUCACUAAGCCUUCGAAUCCAACAGGUUGAGAGUGGUGAUACUAUGGAUUUUGGACUGAAUAGCGAAGGGGUGCUAUGUUUCCGUGAGAGAAUUUAUGUUCCAAAGGGUAUUGAUUUGAGGCAGUCCAUACUGGGAGAGGCGCAUAUUAGCCCAUAUGCUAUGCAUCUUGGGGGAAACAAGAUGUGCCAAGACCUUCGUGAGUUAUACUGGUGGCCAGGACUUAAAUGAGAGGUUAUCGAUUUUGUGGGUAAGUGUCAGACUUGCCAGCAAGUUAAGGCUGAGCAUAAGUUACCUUCGGGGUUGCUGCAGCCAGUUAAUAUUCCACUUUAAAAGUAGGAGCGAGUGACUAUGGACUUCGUUAGUGGGUUACCCCUCACACCCACUAAAAAGGAUUUUGUAUGGGUCGUCAUGGAUCAGUUGACCAAGUCCACCCAUUUCAUAUCGGUUCGUACUGACUACUCGCUGCAAAAGCUGGCUAAGCUAUAUGUGUUUGAGAUAGAGAGAUUGCAUGGGGUACCGGUUUCGAUCAUCUCUAAUAGGGAUCCUCAUUUCACGUCUCAGUUCUGGAAAAAGUUACAUGAGGCUCUGGGUUCAAGGAAGGACUUCAGUACUACUUUCCAUUCUGAGACAGAUGGUCAAUCUGAGAGGGUGAUUCAAAUAUUAGAGGAUAUGUUAAGGAGCUGUAUGAUUGACUUUCGAGGUAGUUGGGAGGAGAAUUUUCCAUUGGCAGAGUUCGCUUACAAUAAUAGUUACCAAUCUAGUAUAAGAUGGCACCUUACGAGACACUUUAUGGUCGUAAGUGUUGCACUCCGUUAUGUUGGACUGAAUUGGUUGAGCGACGGGUUCUGCGUCCUGAACUAGUUUCUGAUACUGAGGAUAAAGUUAGGUUGAUUCGAGUCUGAUUGAAAACGGCAACCGAUAGAUAGAAAUCUUACGCAGACCUGAAGCGUCGAGAGAUUGAGUUUUCUAUGAGAGACUUCAUUUUUCUUAAGGUCUCACCAUGGAAGAAGGUACUGAUAUUUGGUCGUAAGGGCAAGUUGAGCCCUAGGUUUAUUGAACCCUAUCGCAUACCAAAACGAGUGAGACUAGUUGCCUACCAGUUAGAGCUACCUCCAGAGUUGGAUUAGAUUCAUAAUGUUUUCCAUGUCUCGAUGUUGAGGUGUUACCGCUCUGACCCCAUGCAUAUUGUUCCAGUUGAGGAGAUCGAAGUUAGGCCAGAUCUGACUUUCGAGGAGGAGCCAGCUCAGAUAUUAGAUUGCAACGUAAAGAUUCUGAGGAGAAAAUCCAUCCUAUUGGUUAAGGUUCUAUGGCGUAAUCAUAGCUCUGAGGAGGCCACGUGGGAACCUGAGGAUGCGAUGCGUCAGUAAUAUCCUUAUCUAUUCUGAUCAAGUAAAUUUCAAGGACGAAAUUUUCUUUUAGGGGGUAGAGUUGUAACGCCUCAAAUUUUUAAUUUUAGUUUCUGUGUAUGUGUGACACAUAAUUGUGUAUUUACUACAAUGGUUAAGUGUUCUGGGUGUGUCUGAGAGGUCCCAAGUUCAAGCCUUGACUUGCGUAAAUUUUGGUAUUUUUAUGAAUUAAGCCCUAUCCCUGAUUAGUAGGCUUAUAAGUAAAAGUGUGUAAGUAAUUAACAGAAUGGGCUUGCUAGUCCGGUAGUUAAGUGGAGUGUUAAUUGGUUGGAGAUCUUGAGUUCAAAUCUCUGCAUGGGCAAGGGAGAUUAUUUUUGCUCGGUUUGGUGAUAAAGAGUUUGAGUUAUAUUGGAUAACUGAGUGGUGGGUGGUUGAAUGGAUUGAGUGAAUCAGUUUUCCCCAAAAAUUCUCUCUGUAACCGACGUUUAUUCCCCUCUUCUGUCAGUUUUCUUUUCUUUUUCAUCCAUCUUUUGCUCUAUAGCCGAAAAUUCUCCUCUUUUCCCUACUUUCUAUUGUUUCUGUAUUUUUGCAAAUCAUCAUUGUGGGAACCAUCUUUGAGUUCAUCUACUUCAGUAAGUUGGGGUAGGUGUGUUUUAGUUUCAGAAUUCUUGAAUCAGUGAUUAAUAGAGUGGUUUCGUGUUUAGGAGACUCUUAGACGGUUGUGGAGUUUCAAUUGGUAUCGAGGAGGUGUGAUUUCAUUAUUGUGUGUUCAGGGUAAGACUUGUUGGAAUAUUUGGGAAUACCUGCUCUUGAUAAAUUGGUUUAGUAUCGGUUUAAGUGAUUGAAAUUGGGCUUUGGUUGGUCGAAUGUAGGUUCUGGAGUGCUCAGGAGUGUUUUUGCAGCGAAUCAAUACCAGGUGUGUACCCAAAAAGCAAAAAAGGGGUUCGGCGAAAAGCCAAAAAAGCUUACUUUCGACGCCACACAAGCGUGUGGUCGCCCGUGUGGUAGGCCGUGUGACGAUACACAGGCGUGUAAUCAACGAGCCAGGGCGUGUGAUCAAUGAGCCAGGCCGUGCGAGCAUGACAUAGCCGUGUGAUGGCUAGACGAGGCCAUGUGUGACACACGAGCUCGGCCAUUUUAGGCCAUGUGGGCCACACAAGUGUGUGGGCCCACACGGGCAGACAACAUGGGCGUGUGAGCCCAUUUUCACUGAUUUGUAUCUAAGGUUGCACGAGUUGCCCGAGACAUCUGUGAACCUACUGUAAGGUCAGUAAGUUUACUUAGACUCCUAAUUGUAUGAAACGACUGAAUGACUGUUACACGUUUAUAAGUGUUUGAGCAUGAUAAUAGUUCACUGAAUUGAUAUUAUAUGAACUAUAUUAUGAGAUAGCAUGACAUAAUUGUAUGCUACACUGCAUCGGGUUGGGGUUUGAUAUUGAUCAGAAGAAGUGUACUGAAAGGCUUCGAGCCUAACUUACUAGCAAUUCAACUGCAAAUCACUGUCUAGUGCCGCAUUCGGUGCUAUUUUGAGUGCAGGGAUGGGUGGGUUGAUUAUAUCCCCACAUGGAGUGUAGGGUUGGACGGAGAUGGAGUGUAGAGGCUGGUUGGGUAGGAUUUUUGUAUCUGCAUAUCUGUUACUAGAUAGGCUAAGCCCCUAAUGCUUACUGUUACUGAAAUGGGCUAAGGCCAAAUUGAAACUGAUACUGAUAUUGAAAAGGGCUUAGGCCCAUACUAUGAAUAUUUGUUUAUUGUCUGUUUGUUUGCAUGGGGAUUACACACUGAGUUUAAUUCUUGACGGUGGCCACACAUAAUUAAACUAUUUUGACUUCAACUUUGGGUAUUUAAUUCUUAAUUAUUUUCUAGGUUAAUUCUUGAUGUAAAUUGCGGACAUUCUGGGACUUUUACUUAAUUUGGGUUAUUAUUUAUUUUUAUGGAUUUAUAACUACUAAGACGUUUAAAAUCCCGAUUUUCAAAAAAAAACAAAGUUUUCUCUAAAAUCGCGAUUACUCAAAACGAAUUUUAAAAGAUUCCACAACGAAAUGUGUUAAAACGUUUUACUCGAUAAAUGACGAUUUUGGGGUCAAUAAGUGGAAACAAAUGAAAAUUCUUUUAUCGUAACAACUUAGUUUCAAACGCUAUCAUGUGACAUCGCUAGAUUCAGGAUAAUGUUUAGGCCGAGUUUGGGAUGUUACAUUUAGUUUUUGGAUCAUAUUAAAAUUUUUGGAUGAGUUUAAUUUGUUUUUAAAGUACGAUAAUAGUAGAUUUUUGGUUAUUUUGUGUUUGGUUUUGAUUUUCUAUAUAAGAACCCCAAAUGAAGAAGACACAACAAUUUGAAUUAAUUUAUAUUUGCCUUCUUUCUUUAGUCCUAAACUGCAUGACUAUGGACGUCUGGCCAUACGUAUUGAGGGUUAAGUAGAUACAUCAUGGCGAAUUUUGUAAAAACAGAGUGAAAUAGGAAAGAUCAGGUGAUAUAGGAAUUAUAGGUUAGCUUAAAGUGCAAAACAAAAGAAAAAUUAAAAAAGAAAUCAAAACAAGUAGAAAAAGUACUUAAAAAGAAAAAGCAUUUGUGAAUGAGACGUAUUGAAAAAGAAAAAGGUGACGAAGUCAAAAAAGUAGAAAAACUCAUUCAUUAGUGCAUAGAAACUUGUAAGCUAGUCGUAAUUGAUAUAUUAAGUUGUUAUUUCCUAUGUGGAGAAAUAAGAAAGGUGAAAGAAAGGGAAAUAAGACGGUGAGUGGGUAAAGGUCACUAAGGGGGGAGAACUAGGAACAAUAUGAUGUGCCAAACUAUUUUCGUGCUUGAAACCUUUGUGAUGCUUAUUAUGCUUAAUUUCCAUAUUUGUCUUAGCUUCUGAAUACUACAAGCCAAAAAGUCCUAUGCAGUCUAGGUAUCCUUAUGCAUAAGUGGACAUUAUAUUAAACAAUCACAUAAGCAACUAUUUGUAUUCUGCUAGGAUAAUCAAACUACUUGUAUGAUUUGUUGAUGGAUUCCUACAUGUGAGGCCUUUAAUGUUUGUAUACUUUGUAAUGUAAUGAACUUAGAAGUCUGAAAUCAAAAGUGGUAAGUCAAUUAUUCAUCAUGUCAAAAUUAUUUGUAAAGAUAAAAUGCCUAGUCAUGUGCUCCAAAGUCAAUACUUGUAUUAUAUUUGCUCAAGGGUCAUCUUUUUCAUUUCUUGUUUUUAUUUGUAUUUCUUGAGAAUAAGAAAUGACUUAAGUGUGGGGAAGUUUGAUCUAUCUUAAUUCAAUGUAGUAGAUUAAAUUAGUUUUUGCACUUUAAGAGCUUGAAAAUAAGCAUUAUUAUUAGGUUUUAAUUAUGUAUUAGUAAGUUUAGUUGAAUUCAAUAAAAUGUGCAAUUUGAGUCUUUUAUUGACCUUAGGGGCUGAAUGAGGCCUAAUGUACUUUGUAAGUGUGCAGAAGACCAUUAGAGGGUGUGCUAAACUGAUACUAGUCACUAUGUCGAACCAUAGAGGAUUCAAUGUGGCAACAUAAGGAGCAAAAUGGAGGAAUUCUGAGAUUGCCUUCGAUGUCGUAACACAGCAUAAGAGUGUUGCGACAUACCUCUGAAGACUCUCUGUAGAAAAGUGUACUGACUUUUAUGUCAUGAUACAGGUCUUGAUGUGUAGUGACAUCGACUCUGGAUAGAAAGUAAUUAUGAUCCAAGGGUGUUUUGGUCUGUACAAUCCAACUUUAAGCUGGAGAAUGUCAGCUAAACCUAAGGUUAAGGACGACGACCACCUCAAGUCUAUAAAUAGACUCAUUUGACAUAUGUUAUAGACACCAAUUACUUAGUUUAGAAUUUCUCUUUUCAUUUUAGUUUGAGUUUUUCUCUUUUCUUAUGUUUUAGAUUUAUUUCCAUUUGUUCUUUGUUUUAUCACAGGAAAUCUAGUUUGUGGAUGCAAUCAAACUUUGUGGAUUCACUCUCAUUCUUAAUACAAAUAAGGUUUUUUCCUAAACUUUCUACUUUCGAUUUAUUUAUUAUGUUUACGAUUUAUAUUGAUUUUAUAUUGUUUAUGAAAACUAUGAGGAACUAAUCCCUCAGUGGGGGAUUAACGAGUGGAGGUAUGACAAAUUAAUUACUUUGUAGAGUUAUUCAACAGAUCAACUAUUCAGGAAAGCAAGAACCUAAACCCUAGGCUUGACGACCAUAGAAAGUUAUCAAGGUGGGAGUUAACCCAAAUUUGGUAUGGCCUAUCCAUGAACGCCUUAACCCUGAGCUGGUCUGUACUGCGAGUUCGAAAGAUAAGUAGUCUUUACUGACUCGUUCUUCUAGUGGACGUAUCGAAAGAUCCUGCUAGGGUAUCGACUAGUUGAUUGACGAGGAGGCCGAAGCGAAAGUUGAUAAAGAUUACCGAAGCGAGCUAAUUACCCAUAAUCAGAUUUGAUCAACUUUACUCUUAGAAUUCCCAAUACUAUUUGUUUUUCUUAUUAUUAUUACUAUUAUUAUAAAAACCCCAAAAAUCGCUAUUAUAUAUAUUUUCGUAAUAUAACCUAAUGCUAAAAAUCUUGUGGUUCUUAGGUUGAAAUUGGCCUAAUGCUAGCAUCCUUUGGGUAGGAUCCUUGGAAUACUUACCAGGUGUUUUAUUAUAAACAAAACUAUAUUACAACCUGACCCAUAUGCCUACGAACAUCGCCUCAAUUCCUUAUAUAUUGUAGCAGUAUUCACACUCUGGAUGUUAGUACGUUCAGAGGCAAUCAAUAACAUAGACAACCACAUAACUCUCUUAGGUACAUGCCAAAACAUGCCAAAUAUUAUAUACCUCACUUUCAAACCAACUAAUCUAUAUCAUGACAUCAUAUUGCUUAUAUAAUUGCAUACUCAAAAUGUCAUCUCAAAUACCAAAUACAAAAUUCAAACCAUAUCACUAUAUAAGUAAACCAAAACAACUUAGAAGUACAUGCUAGACAUAACCAAGCCUUAAUAUGGUCAAAGGACUACGGAAUCAAUACCAGGAUAGUGUGAACUUCUCGAUGAUUCACCUAACAUGUUCUACAAGUUGACACUACAGGGAAGAAGGAAAAAAGGGAGUAAGCAUUACAAUUGCUUAGCAAGUCCAUAGGUAUUAAAACCAAAUAACUAUACACUACAUGUUACUUUGCUUGAUAAAGUUUGCCUAUCAUGACAAAUAGAAUAUCCAAAAAGGUAAGUUCAACAUUUAUCAUACUAUAUAUUAAUUCAAUCAUAUAACAUUUCAAUUCAAUUAAUUCAACUUUUCAUUAUGAUUCAUAAAACAAACAAUCAUUUAAUCAUUUCACUAUCUUAAUCAUAUCAGACAAUUUAUUUAGUCGUAAUACAUCCCAUUUCAAAAUAAUGUCAAACAUUAAUUUUCAUUUCAUAAUUUGAAUUCUCAAUCAAAUUCAUAUUAAAUCGUAUAAACUUCAUUCCCGUUUCAUAUCAAUUCAUCUUUACACCAAAUAUAUAUAUCAAUUACCAAUUUAGUGUCAAUUACUACUUCAUUUCAUAAUACGAAUUACAAAUCACAUUCCAUCUCAAUUUCCAAAUUCAUGGAUUCAUUGAACAUAAUCAGUCAAUGUUCCCAACUCAUUCCACAAUUUCAUAUUCCAUUUCACAUUCGACUUCAUUUCACAUCAUCUAUCAUUUCAAAUAUCAUAUAUUUCGUUUUUACCAUUUAUUUCCCUAUUAACAUGACUUGGACUCGGACGGAUACACGGAUCCAACCAACACACCAGUUUGGCACCAAAUAUCUCAUUGGAUAAAUUCGAAGCAAAUAGUUGUGCCCAGUGCUAUCAAUAAGUUUAACACCCAGUGUCUCAUCAAUAUAACCAAAACAAAUUGGCACCCAGUGCCUCAUCAACUUGUAGUCAAAGUAACUCUCAACUCUUCCUAUCCUAUGGCAUGCCAACUAUAUUUGGCUUUGCCCGAACAAUUAGUAGGGAAUUCAUUUCAUAUUUCAUUAUCAACCAAUACCUCAAUUCAUAUUAUUUUCAUCAUGAGUACAUUUAUCCAACAUAUGGUAGAAAUAAAUCAUCUCAAUAUAAGCUCAAUUUCACAUUAUAACAUUAUAUUAUAUUUUUACAUAUAUUUAAUUUAGUCCUUAUCAUUAUCAACCAAUCUAAGUCAAAUCAAGUUAGCUCAUCUCAUCAAAAUAUCACUUUAUCACAUAAUGUAUCCUAAUUCAAUCAAUUUAAGGUCAAUUACAUAAUUAUUUCAAUUUUCAAUUCAUUGCAUUAAAUUUAAUCCUCUCACUUAGCUUUUUGUACCAAAUUGUAAAUAAUUAAAAUUUCAAUUAAAUAUAAUUCCAAUUAUAAUCCUAAAUGCAUAACCAUUUAACACAAACAUACUGUGUGAACUUACCUGGUCAAGACAGCAAACAAACAACUCUCUAAGGACUAAUCAAAAAAAUUUGCCAUUUCCCCGAUUUUAUUCAAUUUGGUCCAAUUUCUUAUCUAUUCUAUAAUUUAAUUCAAUUUAUCAAUUCUAAACAUCUUAUAUCAUCCUAUUAUAAGUAUUUAUAAUUUUAAUUUUAUUAUUCAAACUCUCCUAAACUUUACAUUUUAUUCAAUUUAGUCCCUAAAAUCGAACUUAUAAUAUCCUUCGAAUUUGAAGUCCAAAUUUUAAACCCACUUCAAUUCUGUCCAUAAACAUCCUCCUAUAAUCAUAAUUUAUAAAAAUUCAAUACCAAUUUCAAGAUAUUCACAAUUUAGCCCCUAAACUCAAAACUAACAAAAUUUACUUAACAAAUUAAUCCUAUUUCAUUUCUAAGCUUCAAAAUCUACUAUAAAUAUUCAAAAACUUCAAAUAACGUCAAUCGAAAAUUAUUACAUCUUUGAAAAUUUUAAAAAUAGAGGUACGAGUUAACUAGAACUAGUUGCAACAAUCUCAAAAAUAUAAAAUUUACAAGAAACGGGAUUAAAAAGCUUACCAUACAAAAAUUUAAGUUUGGCUAAACCUUGAGUGUUGAACAAUGGUGUUUCUAUUUUUUUUUUCUUUUCAGAUGGAAGACAAAAUAAGGUGACGAUUUUAUGUUUUCGUGCUUUUAACCAUUAUUAAUGUUAUUUAAACUAAUUUAACAUAAAAUAAUCAAAAGAAAUAAGCACUAACCGUACAUGCUUUUCCAUUUUUGUCUAUUUGCCAUAUAAGUCUUGACAUAAUUACCAUUUAAACCUUUUAAUUUAUAGAAAUCAAUAAUAAUUAACUUUUACUAUUUUUUUACAAUUUAGCUCUUUCCUUAAUUAAUCAUCCAAACUUUAAAAUUUUUGGAUCAAACUUAAAUUCAUUAAAAUAAUAAAUACAUAAAUAUUUAAUAAAAAUAUUCACAGGCUCGGUUUACAAAAAUGAGGUCUCGAUACCUCAUUUUCAAAAAUCACUUGACUUUCGUUAUGCACCACUUAUACCUUGACUAUUUGACCAAUUAAUAGAAUAUUUUAAAUCAAGAUUCACUAUUUCACUAUAUUUAACUCAUAAAUAUUAAUUAAAUAUAUCAAUGGACUCUCUCGUUAGAAUUGUGGUCCCAAAACUGUUAUUUUCGAUACCACUGAAAAGUGGGUUGUUACAAGAUAAUAUGUUUAUGUAUGAGUAGUGAAAGUUUGUGGUUUUAAGUCUGAGUUAGUCAUCUAUGAAAAUGGUGUAAGGACCUACCUUUGUGUUUAAGCCACCUCCCAUUAAUUCUGGAAUGAACAAUAUAGAUUGAGAUAUUGUAACAUCCCGAUUUUGGGCCUAAUCGAAAUAAUGGUUUUGAAAUCAUUAUUCUAAGGCCAGAUAAAUUAUUUUUAAUAUUAUUUUAUGUGUUAUAGCAUGAUUAUAUGAGUGCAUGAAAAAUUUGGUGAAUUAAUUUUAGCAUUUAUAAGCUUAAUUUCGAAAAAAGGACUAAAUCGCAUAAAGGACAAAAGUUUUGUUUUACUAGCCAAAGGUGUUAAAUUGCUAGAGAACCAAAAUUGGAGGUGUUUAAAGUGCAAAUAGGCCCUUAAAAGAAGCUUGGUCUGCCAUAGGGACAAGAUUUGACCAAGUUGUCAAUGUUAGGUGGGUUGGUGACUUAAAAUUGAAUAAAAUAUAAAUAAAAGAGAGAGAAAAAGAUAUCAUCUUUUUCCUCAUCUUCUCCCCACAGAAAUUACCAGAAAAGAAGAGGUUUUGAAGAAUCAAAAAUAUCAGCCAUUAUUAUCCCUUGCAAGUAAGUGAUUUAAAUGCUUAUUUUUGAUAAUUUUUGUAUUUUUGGAACCCUUGUAGCUUAAUUUAGCUAAUGGACGGAUUAUUUUACAAAAUGGUUGAAAUUAUAGGGUUUUAACAUAAGAAUAUUCAUUUUUUUGCUGCAUUUUUAUGGAAGAAAAUGAAUCUUAGUUGUGAAAUAAACAACUUUUGUGAAAGGUGUUAGCAUGAAAACACCUAAAAGUACCAUUUUAUAAAGGUUGUAAAAUAGAGAGUAAAUGUGUGUAAUAAUUGAAAUUAUGAGUUGCUAUAGUUACAAAAAUAAUUUUUCUAGGCUUGGUAAAGGAGGAAAUUCGAUAAAAAUCGAUUUACGAGCCUAAGGGCAAAAUCAUAAUUUUUGUAAAGUCUAAGGGCAAAACAGUCAUUUUUCCAAAUUGUGAAUUUUAGAAUUUUUUAAUUAAUUUAAUGAUUAAAUGAGUGAAUUUCAUCAUGAUAGAUCAAGAAAAUCGAGAUUUGGGCUUAAAUCAGAACGUACAAGGUUAUGGACUAAAAUGGCGUAAUUAGCCGAAAUUGUAUUUGAGGUAAGCCCGUGUGACAAAUUUAAGCAUGUUAUCCAUAUUAUUGUUAAUGUAUUUGAAACUUAUCUUUCUAAGAUUAAAUUGAGUUAUAUGUUGACGAUAUUGUGCAUGAGAAAGUGAUGCCGAAUGUUAAUGUUUUGAUAAUAUGAGUAUUGAGAUGUUUUAUUGUUAUCAAAAGUAUACAUAUAUGCUUGUUUGAUUAUUAUGAAAGUAUGAAAUGUAUGUUAGUAAUGUAAAUGACAUUAUGAGUAAGUGCGACGACAAUGUGUUAAGUAAGAAAUCCCGUUUGAACCUUAGGAAUAGUCUAGGAUACAGGUGAUAUGUCAUGUGAAACAAUGUGAUCUGAACUCAUGAGUUGUAGUCUGAGUUCAUGAGAUAAGUGUAUGUAAUGUGGGUUCGGGUACUGAUUUUGUGAUUAGACCCGUGAGUAAUUCAAUGAGAAGGCAUUGCAUGAUAAUGCUUUGGGGUCUGGGUGCUGACUCUGUGUACAGACCCGUGAGUAGCUCAAAUGCAGGUAUUACAUAAUAUGUGGUAGCUUUGGCUACAUAUUUGGCGUGCUAUGAGUUGAUUCUAGCUGCAUAUAUGACACUUAUGUAUAAUGUUUCCAUGUAUUCAAUAGUAUUCUGAGUGUUCAACGGGUAAUUCAAGGUAUGAUUUGACUAUGGUCCCAUUGAGGUAAGUCAAUGGUAAGAAUAGUUGUAAGUUACGUUUCAUGUCGUACAGGUAUGUACACUAAACUCAUGUGUAAUCGCCUUGAUACAUGCUUUUGGCAAGAAUGAGAAUAUGUGAUGAGUAAGUUAAGGAGGUUUGAAUGAUAUGUAAAUUCAUAUUUAUUAUGUCAUGUUAUGAUGACCUUGAGAUUAUGGAUUCAUGCUUAUGUAUAAAUAUGUAUUUUUACCAUGAUGGUAGAAAUGAUUUGUAAAGGCGUUAUUAACUUAGUGGUCAUUAUAUUGAAUUAAAACAGUUUUGGACAGUAACAAUAGUCCAAAUUUGAAAAUCCACCAAAAAUAGUAAAAAGUGAGUUAGAGAUUGAAUUAAAUAUGGAAUUUAAUCUAUUUGAGUCUAGUUUCUUAUAAAGGAAACAAUGUGAGCAAAAGAAUUUCAUACUACGAGAUAUUUAAAUUGUUGUGAGACAGAGUCAGAAUGAAUUUAGAAAUCCCCUGUUCUGAUUUGAGAAAAUCAUUGAAAAUUAUAAAAAAGUAGUUAUGGGUUAUAAUUUAUAUUCUUAGAAUUCAAAAAUGAGUCUAAUUUCAAGAUAAAUAGAUGGGAACAUCAUCCAAGUUCUGUAUUAUGAUAAAAUUAAUUUAUAGUGAGGAAGGGUCGGAACUGUCAAACAGCGAAAAAGGGGUGAUUUUAAGAAUAAACUAUACGAAUUGGCUAAACGAAAAAUUCUGAAAAUUUUAUGGUAAGAAGUUAUGUGAGUUUAGUUUCUGGAAAAAUUAGUGAAUCUUAAUUUGGAGUUUUGUAACUCCAUAUAUAAAUAAUCUAGUGACUGUGACUCAAGAAAAUAGCUUGACCUGAACAUAGGUAAAAAGGCAAUUAUGAUGGUAUUACCUUAAGAACAUGUUGUAAGAAUUUGUGAAAGCAUAUUGAUAAAUUGCUUAUUAUUUUUCAUAUGGACUUACUAAGCGUGAAGCUUACUCCCUUCCUUUCCUUUUCUUUAGUGUUGCUAGGUGAGCUCGGGGUUAGAGAUCGUCGGAGGCAGUAUCACACUAUCAAGUCCAUAUCCUUAGAAUAAUGAAGCAUAUAUUAGAAAUUUCAAGUGAGUGGCAUGUAUAGGGAUAUAGUUUAUUGACAUGUGUUAUUAUGCUUUAGUCAUAUGUAUUGGUUUAUAUGAGUUAUAUGUAUAUGGCCAUAGGAUGUGGCUCAGAUUGAUUAAGGCUUGUAAACCUAGCUAUUCAUGUCAUGUCUAAUGUUUAUGAUAUGGUUAUGUUUGUUUGUCAUGCUUGGUGGGUAAUAUGACAUGUGUGUUGGAUGUAUGCUAUAUGACCAAUUGAGGUGGUCAUAGCCAUGUAGAAAUUGCACGAUAAGUCGGUAACCAUAGCAUAAUGGUAAAAGUGAUCAUAAAAAUCACAAGUCUUAUGAAUGUGAAUUAAGGAAUCUAGACUUGGUAUUGCAUGAGUAGAUGCAUUAAGAGGACAUGUUAAUGUGGUGAAUAUGUCUUAAUAAAGAGUGUUUAAUCAUUAAAAUGAUGCUAUGAUAUGUGUCUUUAAAGUGGCUAAGUUUGUGAUAGAUUAAGGCAACAAAAAGGCUUGGAAAAUAGCCUAAGUGCUAGUCACAUGGGCAGAGACACGACCAUGUGUUUCAGCCAUAUGGAGGACACGGCCUAGCACACGAGCAUGUGGCCUGGUCGCAUGGUUUAAAUUGUUUUGCUGAUGUCAUAAAUAGAGAGUUACACGGCCUAAGGACACGAGCGUGUUGAAAACACACGGGCGAGUGACCCUAAUUCCUGAAAAUUUUUCUAAGUUUUUUUGAAACUUUCCAAAGUUCUCAGUUUAGUUCCAAACUGCCUUUAAUGCAUGUUUAGAGCCUCGGUAGCUCAUGUAAGGGACAUUAUGCAUGUGUAUGAAAAGUUUUGAUACGAAUGAAAUUUUAUGGCCCGAUUUUAUGGAAUGAUGUACGUUUAAGUCCGGUAAUGCCUCGAACCUUGUCUCGGCAUCGGAUACAAGUAAAAGGCUGUUACAGAUAUGGAAAUGAAUUUGUGGCGGUGCCUUCAAUCAAAUGAGCAUUGAAUGGGCAAAUUUCAAUAUAUGGAAAGGGAUCAUGUUGGCAGAUCACGAUACAUUGAAUUGGCAAAUUGCAAUACAUGCAAAUCAGGUUGGCAAAUCAUGAUGAACGAAUAAAAUGAAUGCUAAGGCUUGACCAUGGACUUGGGCAUGGCUAACAUGAAAAAGGUUGUUUAUAUGGUUACAUGGGUGUAGUGUAUGCACCAGAGGGAUAUUGUCUGGCGUGAAGUUUGUUUGUUUUUAGUAUUUGUCAACUGAUGAACUGUAUGGCUUGAUGAGUUGGAAGGUUUACUUGAAUUAAAUACGUUCAUUGAGAUGUUUGCUCUAGAACUCACUAAAUUCUUUGAACUUACUUAGUUACCUUUCAUUUUCAAGACUGCUAACGAGGUAAAGGAAUUUAAAAGACUACACCAGUGGGAAAUUACCGUCGUGAGAUUUCUAAGUAUUUUGUAUUAUGCAUAACAUGGGGUUGGUGUUAAGAUGGCGUCAUUUGAAGAAUGAAUUUUUGUAUCUUUAAGAUAUUGCUUUUGAAACUGUGAAUUCGAUGAAACCUUAGUAAAGUUAUUAUGUUUUUGCAAAGCACCGAAUUAUUUACUUCGAAUGAUUAAUGCUUGUCUGAUUAUAUAUAUACACGAUGUUGUAGUUAAAUUGUAGUUUACGAUCAAUUAGAGUUCUAAGGACUUUUAGCGAAGCUUCUAUGUUUUCUUUGGAAGUGAAUAACCUUAUUUAUCUUUAGUAUCCCAAAUGUUUUACAAUUCAUAUUCAUUUUAAUUUUAUUUUUAUGUGGUCCACGUUUGUACAAUUUUAAAAGAAAAAGAUUUUAAUGCGGUAAUGCGCCAAUCUUGGGAUAUCCUUAAGGAUCAAAUUUGGGGCGUUACAUUUUCAUAAAUUCUUAUAUGAGUAUUUUAACAAUUUAACCAUCAUAUUUCAUGAUCCAUUCCUAUGGAUAAUGCAUAUCAAGUUUGGCAUAAAUUAAAAAUGGGAUGAGAAAUUACCCUAUACUUUACCAAAUCUUCCAAUAUGGUAUUUACAGUUUUAGUUUGUCCAAUUUGGUCCCUGUACUUCUAUCUCGUUAAUCAUAAUGGUACUUGACCCUAACGCCAUUAAAAAAUUAAUGAAAUAACAUGAUGACCAAUUAGGUGGUGCCAUGCGACAAAUGUUGACUUGUUGAUUAAUAGUUCAAGGGCUUCUUUACAAUAAAUCCUAAAAUUAUUUUCUUUCCCAAUUUAUAUUAUUUUCACAUGAUUCUCAAAAUAAAACAUUUUUUUUCACAUUUUUACCUGAAAGCUUAUUAUUUUACUUUUUCAUUUCUUUUGUUUCCUUUCUUUUUCAACCCUAGUUGCUACUACUACUGCCCUUGGCACCUUCCAACUCGAAAAUGGCACGAAGUGUUACUCUUCGUUCUCUCUUUCAUUUUUUCCAAUACAAAAUGAACGCUCUCAACCCAACCUGAUUCACCGGGUUUGGAUCUCGUUGUUACUACAUGCGAUGCUUGAAAAAAAAUCAAAAUAAUUGACAAACACUCCUUACUUAAAACAUUUUUCUUAUUAUUUUAACUAUAAAUAAUUAUUUAAAAAAUCUUAUUACAACUCAUUCUAGUAUAAAAGUUUGUUAAAUACAAACUCUUAGGACAUAACUCUACAAUAUGCCACAUUUCCAUUGUAUGCAUAAUAACCCAUUUUGUCGCUUCCUUGGUGCAUUCCUAGCGUCGUCCCACCUAAAAUAGAAACAUAAAAUUUAUAAGUUUAAAAGAACUUAGUGAAAGUUAACACAAAAAUACCUUAGUGAAUACUUCAGAAGAUUUGAUAUACAUUGGUGCAUCAACUAUCCUUCUGCACUUUUUACUUCUGUAUCGGGCAGAUACUAAUAUAGUUUUAGCAUAUACUUACAUGCCAUAAAUUACAAUCUUAACUUUCCGAAUUCUCUCUAACUAAUGGACUUAGGAACCUUCCAAAUAUUUCAUUAAUCUCUUCUUAUAAACACUUAUUUUAGAAUGAUCGAUUACAAAUACUAUUCAUUAGUAGAUUCUUACACGAUUGACUUCCAUUAGUUUAACAACCAAAUCAUAUCCUUGGCUGAUACCUUGUAAGCUCGUACUAAUGUUGAACUAUACAGAACAUUCAGAUGAAUUCCAUAGUUAUAUUACCGAACCCCAAAUGCCCAAAAUAACAAUGACUCAUACUCCAAAUGUUUCAGAAGAAGAUGUGACAUUAAUUGAUCUUGGUAGAUAAUAAAACUCAAAUUGACUAUUCCUUAUGUCUUUCAUCACUAUGAAUAUACCCAUUUUCACAUUAGAAGAAUAUCAUGGCAAAUAUUCAUAUCUACCACAUGUAUAUACACUUCUUUCCAAAAACUUUUCUUUAAACUUAUUCAGUCACUAUCCAGAUCAAAUUCAACAAAAUAAACUUCAACGUAUCAUAACCUUAUCAUAGCAGUACUUAUCACAGAAUAAUCGAUAUUUAUCCAAAACUUACCAUACAAACAAUGUUCACAUCAUAAUAUGCAUACUUAGCAUAGUAUGUUUUAAGAGCUAAACAGAUUGCGCCGCAAGAGCAACAAACAGAACAUGCCACAAAGGUGUUAUAUAUAGUGACGUGUUUACUGUCCUAGCAAACUUUAUAGAAGGAGCCAUGAGUUUCUGUUUCAUGGACUUAUACAUAGAUUCAUGUAUUGUGAUCUGCUAAUUUGAUUUACACAUUUUGAAGGCUACACCAUGAACAUUCAAAUAGACAUAUUUUGCCAUGGGUCUUAACCACAUGAUCUUACACACAUUCAUGUAUCGUGAUCUGUCAAUUUGAUUAACAAAUUUCGAAGGCUACACCAUGAACAUUCAUAUAGACAUAUCUUUCCAUGGGUCGUAACUACAUGGUCUUACACACAUUCAUGUAUUAUGAUCUGCCAAUCCAACCUUCAUCUUACUGGAGGUUUCACCAUGAGUGGUUCCAUAUCAUUUUAAGAUGUCAUGGGUCUUAACCUUAUGGUCUUACACUUUUUUCAUAACAUGAUCUACCAGUUUGGUUAGUAAUAUAACUACCCUACCAGAGGCAUCACAAAAUAACAUUUUCUCAGCAUUCACUUACCUAGAUCUCUUCAUAUCUUUGACAAAUUCAUACCUUUGCUGCACCAACUAUACAUGCACACUUAUCCAUUAACGUAAUUUUCCAAACCAACUCCCUAUGUCAUCAUGAAACAUAUGUCAUUUUUAUUCUGCUACUUACCUUUUUCCGAUCAUGAGAGGCAUCAUUUUUAGUUAGAUAAAUUUUUUAUUUGAAUAGUACACAUGCAAGAGUCAGGGCAAAGACUCAUCAGUCACUUAUCCACUGUAGUUCAAAGCUCCAAAUUCAUCCAUCCUUCUCGAGCCAACAACAACAACUGCUUAAAGAACAUAAAUUCAUUAUUACAACCCUUAUACAUACACUUUACUUAUUAUCCCAAUCUUUGACAAUAUCAUAAAAAACCUUGUUCUUACAAAGUUAUCGUUCACAUACUCUUACAGACUUAUUCAAAACAACUAACAUGCAAACUGAAAUACUUACCCUGAGGUGGAAUAACCACUGAUUAGACCAAGAACCUUAGCUUCCAACUUAAUAAGGAAGAAAUACCAUUGAUUUACAGAAGAAGAAUCAAAUAAUAACAUACUUCAAGAAGAAAAAAAAUCCCUAUAGAACUCUUUUCUCACACACAUAUAUAUGACCUAUCUUACUUAGUGGAACUUAACAAGUGUCACACAUUUUCAGAGUUGUCCUUCUUAAUGGUCUACAAUUUUUGAAAAAAACAUAAAUGAGAAUCAUAUAUAAUAAAUACCAGACUAGUCUAUCAAAUUGGUUUCUAACCAGAUUACUUUACAAUCUAGCUAACACAGUACUUCCGAUUAACAGGGCAUGGUAUACCUUUGGCAUUAUCUUAUACCAUAAUUACUUUUUUACUUAACAAUAUUAUUUCUCUUCAAAUAGUAGAAUAAUUUGAAAUAGAACUUUCACCUAUAUAUACAACAGUUACUAUACGCCAAAAAUAACACUUAGGCCGAUAACACGUCCACAAAUAGAUUAUUUCUCUACUAUACACCAGAAUCUUUGACUUGCCAACUUUGGGGUGUGACAAACAAACAUUCCAAAAGCUAUUAAAUACCUUUAAAAUUUUAAAAUUUUCUAAUCCCGAUCUAAAGAUUCGACAGUUGGAAAACCAUGUAACCUCGACCAUGGUCUCUCUUUGUCAUGAUGAACCUUUCACCUCUCAGAUCUUUCAAAUGACCCCCUGAAACUCGAGUUUGAAAGUGGGUUUUUUUUUUACUUUUUAAAAAAAAAAAAGCCCUCCUCUCUAUCUAGUUCAAUCCUUUCCCCAAGUAGAGUAUAUAUCAUAUUGUAAUUGCAUGUUUAAGCUUCUUCAUUGAAUCUUCCAAACAAUUUUUGUAUCUUCAAUGAAUUAGGUUCUUCAUUUUGUUCGUUUAUUUUUUUACCUAAAAUUAAAUCUAUAGAAACAAAAGAAAAAGAAAAACUUUUUUUUUCAAUUUUCCUUUGAUUUUUUCUAGUUGUUCAUAUUCUAAUAUAAAUGAGGAUUAUGUUAUGUCUCAAAUUUUUAGAUAUUUGGGUGAGAUUUAUUUUAGUAAGAAUGAUUUGGAAAUAUCUAUGGUUAUUCCCCUGUAACAUCUUGUUUGAUUCUUGAGAAAAAUAUGAAAUUUAAAAAAAAUUAACACAUAAGAGGAAAAAUUGAAAAAUAAAACAAAGUAACAUUGGAAAAAAAACGUGAAAGUAAUUUUUAAAAAUAAAAUAUGUUAAAACAUUUUAUAUUUUAAAAUAUUUUUAUAUAAUUUUUAUUUUGAAGAAAAAUAUACUUUUUAACAAAUUUAUAAAAAAUAAUUUAUUAAAUUUAUAAAAAUUUAAUUUUUAUAAAAAAUAUUUCUAUAAGCAAUAAAAAAAUAGAAAAAUUGCCCAUAAGGGUCCGAGUUAGAGGUCAAAAGUCAAUAAACAUACAUGUGGUGCCCAUUUAUUGGUUAGUGUGCCACAUCAUCUAUUUGUUUAUAGGCCCACUGCAUCACUAAACUAAAAUUUAACUACAACUCUCAACACUCCAAAAUAAGAAAACAAUGGAGGAAUUUAAAAGACCAAAUAGAAGAUUGAAUAUUUGCUUUGGUGCAAUUAAUAUUUAUAACAUAAGUUUUUAUAUAGACCCAAGGUCCUAUUACCCUUAUUUUUCUAAGCAAUGUGGGAUAUGGGUUUUAGAUAGACUCAUAAUCCUUUUGUCUUUUGUUUCUAGGCAAUGUGGGAUUUAUUCACUACUAACAAAACACUUAACAUUUAUUUUCCAACAAAAAGUGGUGUUGAUAUUCAACAUUCCCCCCUCAACACCAACUUUCACCAUGCAAGACUAACGACAGAAGCUUUCGAACUUAUUGCCACAAAAGCCUUUUAUGAAUAGGUUUACAACUUUGAAACCAUCAUUUACCUUCUUUUUGUCUCUUUACUUCAUCAUUAUUUCUCUACAUUAAACUAUUAUUAAUACAUCAGUCACAUGAUGAGAUAAUUUUGACAUACCUGAGGACCCUACCAAGCUCUACGUAUUAUGCAUAAAGGGCUUUUUCAGCUUCAUGGUCCAAUAACCGGCUAAGCUGGCUCUAAUACCACCUUGUAACACCCUCAACUCGAUCUGACUUUUCGAAUUCUGAUAUCGGGUAUUACCAAACAAAUACAGUCAAAAACUUAUUCUACUUUUACAAUUUAUCAACUAAACCUAUUACAAAAUCAAUCUAAAAAUUUCAUAUGUAUACUUUAAAUGAUUACACUAGGGGCAUAAGAUAAUUUAAAUACAAAUAUUUCUAAUCUACCUUUAAUACAAACUCCCUUUAUUCACAAUAUAAAUGCUAAGUAAAACUACAAAUGUGACGUGUCGUCAAACUUGAUCUGUAUGCAUAACAGCCUGAUACGUCGCACCUUGGAGUAGUCCUGGCAUUGUCCUUCAGAGUGUAGGCUUACUUCGUCUCUCUUGGAACACAAUGCACAAGAUAAGUUCAUGGGAACUUAGUGAGAGAAACAUCAUUUACCUGAGUAACACUUACACAUUACAACUGAUGUAUCAUAAUAACGACCUUAUCGUUCUUAACCUUUAAUCUUGUCUUAGGCAAUACAUCUUCGAAUUCUAUUCUCUUAUACACAUUAGAUACCAUACCUUAUUUUGAAACCAUUUCUUUCCAUCAGUGUCUUCGCUACAUCAUUUACAACCUUCAAUCUCGGAGCCAUCAUAUAAUCACCAUUCAUGAAUGAACACGUACAUUGAUAACGGAUACCUCCUUUGACCAUGCAAGUUUAAAGCCUUAUUCAGUACACACUUUCAAUACAAACUCAUUACCACUCUAUAUCUCUUCAAUUUCUUAAUUGAAUCAUGGUCUUAUAUAGUACUUUACUGAUUACACGUAUGAGCCAUAUUGAAUGCACCAAAUCAACUUGAUAUUGAGCUCGCCUCAAAGAAUAGUCUUUACGGUACGACACAAGAACCUUGUUUUGAUGCUCCACAAGGGCAUUUCUUUCAGAGUUUUCCAUAACAGUCGUUCUUUCAGAGUACACCACAAAGGCAUUUCUUUCAAAUUAUCGCCACGAGGGCUAUUCUUUCAGAGAUUGCCACGAAGGCUAUUCUUUCAUAAUUCGCCACAAAGGUUAUUCUUUUAUGUCGUGUUUACGAUAUGGAUUUGCCUAGACUCACAUUACGUGAGGUUUGCCCAUUAUUGUCCUUGGAUACACAAAGAACCCCAUUGGAUAAUCACCAUCCUUUAGUUCCUUUUCAAAGGGUGACAUUUUCUUGGCUUAAUAUAAAUGUAAGGUUAUCAAUCCAAGCCAAACCUUUAAAGCGAUAAUAGAUUACCAGUCCAGGCUAAAUCUGCGUCACAUGUAUCUUCAAGUCCGCAAAAAAUGCUAGAGCUUAUAUUCAACCAGAUUCACUUCACAAACAAUUCAUGCAAUGAAAUAAACUAAGCACAAUCACCCAAAUUCACUAAUCUGCAAUCAACAUAACACACAUCUCAUAACAUACAUUCUAGACAUCCAAAUACAACUAUACUUCACAUUACAUUACUCAUACCUUAUUCAACUCAUGCAUGAACUCAUCAGACUGUGUACUAGCUAUAUUUACAAUAAUCAGCUAACAUUCAGACAAUUAUAGAUAUCCCUAGAAAUUAUUCAUAUGAUCUCUUACCUUGCCUAUUAUACCUUUUAGGAUUUCGACACCACCUGUAACAACCCGGUUUAGACCCUAGUUGGAACAGUGAUUUUGGGACCACAAAUCGAGUCAAAAAAUAUUUUAAUACUAUUUUUAGUGUUUAUAGUAUAUGAAUUAAUAUGUAUGAAAGUUUCGUGUGAAAAUUUUAUCGUUUGUGUGGGCGAUUUUAUAAAAGGACUUAAUUGCGUAAAAUGCAAAAGUGGCUAGCUAUUUGUUAAAGUGCUACAUUGUUAUGGAUUUUAUUAUGUGGAGUCCUUAUGUUGUAGAUUGACCAUUAAAUAUUUGAGUGGACAAAUAUGGACAACCAUUAUAUAGUUUCUAAUUAAAUACUUAAGGUUAAAAUAGUAAAAAGUAAAAUAAUAUGAAAUAAAAUAAAACAAAAAAUAAAAUGGCCAUGCAUUCAUAUUUCUUGGCCGAAACAUAAGAAGAAAAUAAAGCUUUGAAGGCUUUGAAUAUUUGGCACCUUUGGAAGCUUGAUUUGGGUAUAUGUUUUGCUCGAUUUUUGAUAAUUUUUACGUUUUUGAUAUCGUUGAUUCAGAUACUAGCUAGCGCAUGUUUGAAUUUUUUAAUUUGUUAAUGUAUUCAUGAAUUUCCAUUGAUGAUAUCUUGUGGUUUUUGUUGUUUGAUGAUGAAAAAUAAAUAUAUGUUGUUAGAUUAUCAUGUUUAAUUAAGUGAUUUUUGGUAAAAAUGUGUAUUAAGGAUUAAAUUGUGAAAUUUGAAAAUUUAGGGUUUAAAAUGUGAAAUAAAUGAAAGAAUUGGCUGCUAGGAACCUUAUUAAAAUUUUACUAUUCUUGGGCGUGAUGAAAUUUUGAAUAUUUUGUGUUUUGUGAAAUAAUGACUAAAUUGUGAAAAAUGUGAAAUGUUAGGGGCAAAAGUGUAAUUUUUCCAUUUAUGUGUUUAUGGAUGAAUUUGAAUGAAUAUAUGAUUAAACAAGUCAAAUUUUUAUUAAUUUAGAUCAAGAAAAGAGGAAAUCGGAUUUGGAUCGGUGGAAAUCAAAAGUUAUCGAUUAGUCAUUCUGGUUCGUUCGUCUCCGUAUGAGGUAAGUUCAUAAGUGAAUAAAUAAUGUUAAAUUGAAUGUAUUUAUUAUGUACAUAGCCAAAUUGAAUUGUGUGUAUGUAUAACUACAUUGCCGAAUUGAAUUUAGCAUGGAAUGAUUUAUUACGAGCAUGAAUCAAUCGAAUUACGACGUCUGAAAGCCCUGUACGAAUCUUAGGAAUAGUUAGGAUACAUAUGUCAUGACAUAGGACUCCGAUAUGUGAUUUCAUGUAAGACCACGUCUGGGACGUUGGCAUAGAUACUUGAUUACAUGUAAGACCACGUCUGGGACAUUGGCUUCGAUAGUUGAUUACAUGUAAGACUACGUCUGGGACGUUGGCAUUGUACGAGUUUUUCGAGCAAUUUGAGUAUCCUUAUUGAUUUCAAAUGGUUCAACGGGCAAUUUUGAGAUAAGAUUGAAUGUGAAAUCGAGCUAAAUGGUUCAGGUACGUGCAAAGUUAUAUGAUCAUGAAAAUAAGGUAAGUAUAGUACUUGAAAUGAUGAUAUAAACUAUGCAUGUUAAAAGACUGAUUUAUAUGUAUAUGAGAUUGUUCAUAUUCUGCCUCGUUGAAAUUAUAUACUAAUGUUCAUUUACUUACUAAGCUAUUUAAGCUUACUAUGUGUGUGCUCGUUAAUUAUUUUAUAGAUCUUGGAAGCUAGUUACGAGCUCGAGGAUCAUCAAGGAACUUCGUCACACUAUCAAUCGUUUUUUUGGUAUUUUAUAAGUUUAAACUUUGAACCUAUGGAAUGUAUAGGCUAGAUAAUAUGUUUGAUCUUGAAGUAUGCAUAUAUUAAGCCAUGCAAAAAUGGCUUGAUUAUAAUGCUAAUGGUUGUGUAAAUUUGGUCAUGUGUUUUGGCAAUGAGGUAGAUGAUGGAUGCUUGUUGAGUUAUAUUAUGUAAUAUAUUAGUUAAGUAAUAUGCAUGUCAUAUAUGUGUAGUGUGCUUGGUAUAUGCUUACGGUUUAAAGUAAUGAUAUGUAUGACUUAUGAUUGUUCAUUAUGGUAAGUUUAACAUAUUGGUAUGCUUUUCAUUUGUUGAUUUUUAUGAUUAGGCUCAAAUGAAAUAAACAUGGUUGAUGGAUAUAUAUUUCGAUUGUGGCUUAAUAUUGGCUUAUUUGGAAUGUAUGAUUUGCAUUAUGAAUUAGUUCAAGUUAGUAAGCUUAAUAUAGAGUAUAUAUGUUUGUGAUAUUUGUUAUAUGAUUCGGUAAAGGGGUAAUGAUGCAUAAUGUAUAUUCGGACAUGAUACUAAUUUAGUUUAGAAGUGUAUUUAUGGCAUAUUUUAUGCGAUGGAAUGGUAUGAUUAUUAUGUAUAUAUUUGAUGAUUGAAAUUAUGACCGUUUGGAUAGUUAAAAAUGUUAAGUUACUGUUUAUAAUUGGCUAGUCAUAAGUAAAUUAAGUGUACAUGCAAACGAUAUGGUCAUGUUUAGUUGGUUAUUUAGAUUCGGCUUGUGAUGGCUAAUAAUGAUCCUAAUUUGUAAUGGUAAAGUUAGUUUAAUAUUGAAUGGUAUUUUUUUGUGCUACUUUUUAACCUAAAUUUGAUAGCCUGUGAUAGCCCUAAUUUGACCUUAAACGGAAUGUGGUUUCGGGACCACAAAACCGAGUCAAAAGUGAUUUUAAAAAAAUUAAAUUAAAUUUGCAUAUCUUUAUGUGUGGAAGUGCAUGUGUGAAAAUUUGAGAUUGUUAAUUUAGUCUCAUGAAUGUGAAUUUCAUUUGAUUGACUUAGUUGAGAACUUAAGAAAAUAUGAUAGGUGAAUAUGUAAGGACCAAAUAGUAUUAAAAUAGGAAAGUUUGGGUUUGCAUGUCAAAAUGCCAAGUUUAUACAAAGUGGCCGGCCAAGUAAGGAUUCUCUCCACUAAGUUUAUAUUAUUUAUAAUUAAAUAUUGGUAAGUAAUUUAAAAUAGAUGAAAAAUAAAGAUUAAUAAAAGAGAAAAUAGAAGAGGGGUGUUCAUCUUCUUCUUCACCUUGCCAAAACUGAAACAAAAAGGAAGGAAAUAGGGAAGUUUUCAUUAAGGCAAUUCGGCAACCCUUUUUCUAGUUGGAGGUAAGUUUUGAAAUGUUGGUUUUAACUUCCUUUGUAUGUUGAGCUAAUUGUUAAAAUACAUUUCGGCAAUGUCAUGAAAAAUCAAACUUUUAUGGUGGUUUGGGCAUUAAGCCGUAUAUCAAGAGGUUAGGAGUAGAGGUUGUUUCAUGUUGUAUUGAAUAAGUAGAGAUUAUUAUGAGGUUGAAAUUUGUGAAAUUUUAGUUAAGUAAUGCUUGGUACAUUCGGCCAUAUGGGUUAAUGGAAUGUUUAUUUUAUUUGUUAAUUUCUUUUAUGAGAAAUGGGUAAUUGUUAAAGCCAAAUGAGUUAGGAUGGAUAGGAGAGUACAAAAUUUAUGUUAUGUGAUAAUUUAAGUAGUUGACAGAGACAUGGAAGAAGGAAUAAAUUGAUAUUCUUAUGUUUUGAGAGUGAAAGGUAUAAUGAAGAUAUAGUAAAUUUAAAUGCAUAUUUAGUUUAAAUGUUAAGUAGAAUUUGGUUAAAAUAGCUUGAUAUAUGUGUGUUUGCCGAUUAUUUUGUUUAUCAAGAUAAUUGAGUGACCAAAUUUUUUAUUUGAAUUUUGUUUGAUUAAUUAAAAUGGGCAUUAAGAUGUCGAAUUCAUGAAAUUAGAAGUUUAUGAGCUUGAUAGAUUUUAAAUGAUUGCUAACCGAAAAUGAACUUAGCUACUAAAAUAUGAAAACGUGAGUUAUCGAAGUUGAUAUUGUAAUGUGUCGAAUUAUUAGAAUAGAUGAAAAGUAUGUUUGGAUAUGCAUUAAGUUUAAAAGUUAAAUUUUAAAUUAUGUAUGGGCAAAUACCGAAUCUCUGUGUGUGUGACUAUGAGAAAGAAGUAUAAAUUAGGGUUAUGAUGAUUGAGUUAUUUUAUUUGCUUAGCUGGAGUUGAAGUUCAAGAUCAGGGGGAGCCAAGUUCUUUCAAAGGGAAAGCGAAAGCGGUGGAGUAGCCGAUCGGAGUUGUUCAUCCGAUUAAAAAGGUAAGUCCUUAGGCAAAUUAAGUUAGAUAAGAUAUCAUAGUAUGUAUGAGUUAUUGGGAAUAGAAGGUGAAAUUUUUGAUCAAUCUAUGUCAAGGGGAUGAUUAAAGGUAAGAAAAUACAGCACUAUGUGUGCUAGAUUAUGUGGCACUAUGUGUGCGAGAAAACAUUGCACUAUGUGUGCGAAUAAGUAAGAGCACUAUGUGUGCGGGCUUUCAAAUCGAGCACUAAGUGUGCAAUGUUGAUUAUGGAGUAUUAUUUGUGGAAAUCUAAAAUGCACUUGAAAAUUUAAUUGGAAAUUUGAUUGAUAGAUGGAGCGACUUGGCUUACGCUUUAAUUUUUUUUGGUUUGUAUAUUAUAUAUAUAUACAUAUAUAUAUCAAUGGUAGUAUAUGACAAUUGCCAUGGUAUUUUAAUUAUGUAUAUUUAGAUUAGGAGUACAUGGUGAAUUCGGGUAGGUAUGUACCAAAUGCAUAAGGUACGUUUGUGACCUAAUAUUUCCUUAUGAUAUCAUGGUUAAAUUCGGUUAAUAUUGAGUUGAUUAUUUAGUUUAUAGAUGAUUGAAUUAUUAUAGUAUUAAAUUUUCUUAGGACUUACUGAGUUAACAACUCACUCGGUGUGUUUUUUUUUUUUGUUUUUACAUAGAUCAUCUUAUCAAGGAGAGCUUGGGAACCAUCACGAAGUCAUCACAACUUUUGUCAACCUUUUUGGUACUUUUGUUUUAAACCUUAGUAGACAUUAUGGCAUGUAUAGGAUAAAAAUUUUUGGGAGGUUUGCUAUUUUGGUAUAAUUGUAUAUAAAGCCAUACGAAUAUGGCUAAAGUUCUAUGUAUGAAAUUAAAAAUGUUUGGUUACAAAUCUCAAAACGUAAAUUAACUUGAUUUAGAACUUCAUAAUUGUGAUAGGAUUGAAUCAUAUAUUUUUACAUUAUGUAUGUGUAUUUGGUCAAUAGGGGAUAAAUCAUUAAACGAACAGAAGGGUUUUAAUCUGGUAAUAUUAUUCAUUAGAUUUAAGGUUUCACUAUUAAAUAUUUUUUUAUUUUUAUUUUUAUCUCAAGUGUUCUAUUGAAGAGUUGAACAGGUUAUGUUAUAUGACCCUAUUUUAGUAAUCGACUCAGAUGUUGGGGUGUUACAUUUUAUUGGUAUCAGAGCUACGGUUUAGUCGGUUCUAGGACUACCGCAGCACGUAUGAGUCUAGCUAUACAUGCCUUAAUGUUAGUAUAUGAUAGUGUGAUGACUUCUGACGGUUGAAAUUGUUGUUUUGAUUAAUAAAUGGAACCCAAUUUAGAGAGAGCCUUAGUGGAUGACGUUGAGAGUGUAGCGGCUGCUCCUGCGCAAGGGACACCGCCUAUGGAACCUCAAUCAUCUGCGAAUAAUCAAGAUGAUGUGGCAAAACAAGCUUUCUUUACUAUGAUGAACGAGUGGGUCGGACAAUAUGCCCAAACUAACCCGGCUACUCAACCAUUCCCGAAUUUAAAUAAUCCACCUCAGGUGCCUAUAGUACCAGCAACUACUGAUCCUUUGAGACCGAGCAAACCUCCUGUGGAUUUGAUUAGGAAGCGCGGGGUCGAGGAAUUUCGAGCCACAACUAAUGAUGAUGCUGAAAGGGCCGAGUUUUGGCUUGAUAACACUAUCCGUGUCUUUGAAGAGUUUUCUUGCACGCCUGAUGAGUGUUUAAAGUGUGGCGUAUCCUUGUUACGGGACUCGGCCUACUAUUGGUGGAGAACACUGAUUUCUAUUGUUCCGAAGGAACGAGUUACUUGGGAUUUCUUUCAGGUGGAGUUUCGUAAGAAGUAUAUUAGUCAACGAUUUAUGGAUCAAAAGCGUAAAAAAUUUUUAGAGCUCAAACAAGGUCAUUUGACAGUAUCUGAAUACGAACGUGAGUUUGUAAGACUCAGUAGAUAUGCUCGAGAGUGUGUAGCUGAUGAAAUUGCCAUGUGUAAAAGAUUCAAAGAAGGAUUGAAUGAAGAUUUAAAGCUACUGGUGGGUAUUUUAGAAAUAAAAGAAUUUGUAACACUAGUCGAACGGGCUUGCAAGGCUGAAGAGCUGGGAAAGGAGAAAAAGAAAGCUGAAUCGGAAGCCAGAGACUUUCGUAAAAGAUCGGCGGGUAAAACUUCUUUCUCAGCUGGAAAGAAAUUCAGAGACGAUACUAAUAAAUCGAAGACGACUGUAGGAAUUUCUAUUAGGGAGCAACCAUCACCGGAAUCUCGAGCUACUUCGGUUGCUAGUGUUGCUAACAAUCGACAAGACAAACCUGAAUGUUCACAAUGUGGAAGGCGACAUGUAGGUGAAUGUUGGGGUAAAUCUAUUAAUAGAGCCUGUUAUAGAUGCGGUUCGAGGGAUCAUUUCAUUCAAGAUUGCACGGAAUCUGACGAGAAAAAUAAGAUGCAAGGUGUGAGAUCGAGUGGUACAGCGACUAGAGGUAGACCACCGAGAAACACAGGAGGUAGGGGCGGUAGUCAGAGAGGGAUUUUUGAUACGGCUGUUCGAUCUAAAACUCGUGCUCCUGCCAGAGCUUAUGCCAUCCGCGCGCGAGAGGAGGCUUCCUCCCCUGACGUUAUCACUGGUACUUUCACUCUUUUUGAUACUGAUGUGAUUGCAUUGAUUGACCCUGGCUCUACUCAUUCUUAUAUAUGUGAGACUUUAGCAUCCAGUAAGACUCUACCUGUUGAGUCUACUGAGUUUGUAAUUCGAGUGUCGAAUCCCCUAGGUCGAUAUGUACUUGUCGACAGAGUGUGUAAGAAAUGCCCCUUGAUAAUCCGAGAUUCCUAUUUUCCAGCAGAUUUGAUGCUUUUACCGUUUGAUGAAUUUGAUGUUAUACUUGGUAUGGAUUGGUUAACCGUACAUAAUGCAGUUGUGAAUUGCAAAAGAAAGACCAUUGAUUUGAGGGGUGCAAAUAAUGAGAUAGUACGAGUUGAGUCUACUGACUUGAACAGAAUGACAGCAAUAAUAUCCUCGAUGACCGCUCAGAAAUAUGUGAAAAAGGGGUGUGAAGCAUAUCUUGCGUACGUACUUGAUAACAAGGAGUCAGAAAAGAAAAUUGGAUCAGUACCAAUAGUUUGUGAGUAUUCAGAUGUUUUUCCUGAUGAGUUACCGGGAUUACCACCCGUUCGAGAGGUAGAAUUCGGCAUUGAACUGGCACCUGGUACCACACUAAUUUUGAUAGCUUUGUAUCGUAUGGCACCAACGGAAUUGAAAGAAUUGAAAACUCAAUUGCAAGAGUUUGUGAAAAAGAAAGACGGAACCAUGAGAAUGUGCAUCGGCUAUCGUCAAUUGAACAAAGUGACAAUAAAGAAUAAAUAUCCGUUACCACGUAUUGAUGAUUUGUUUGAUUAGCUAAAGGGAGCCUCAGUGUUUUCAAAGAUAGAUUUAAGAUCGGGCUACUAUCAGUUGCAUGUUCGAGGAUCAAAUAUACCUAAGACUGCCUUCAGAACGAGAUAUGGUCACUAUGAGUUCUUAGUAAUGCCGUUUGGGCUCACUAAUGCCCCUGCGGUAUUUAUGGACUUGAUGAAUCGAAUCUUUAGACAGUAACUGGAUCGGUUUGUAGUGGUGUUUAUAGACGACAUCUUGAUUUAUUCACGCAAUGAAUCUGAACAUACUGAGCAUUUGAAAUUGGUAUUACAGAUUUUACGAGACAAGCAGUUAUACGUGAAAUUCAGUAAAUGUGAAUUCUGGUUGAGAGAAGUUAGCUUUUUGGGACAUGUUGUAUCCGCAUCGGGUAUUCGAGUUGAUUCGAACAAAAUUUCGGCCAUAAUUGAUUGAAAGCCUCCGAGAAAUGUUACUGAAGUCAGGAGCUUUUUGGGACUUGCUGGCUACUACAGACGUUUUGUAAAGGGUUUCUCGAUGAUAGCCACACCGAUGACGAAACUACUUCAAAAAGAUGUUAAGUUUGAAUGGUCAGAACAAUGUCAGAAAAGUUUCGACCGAUUGAAAACUUGUUUAACUGAAGCUCCAGUGCUAGUACAGCCAGAAUCCAGUAAAGAGUUUGUUAUUUACAGUGAUACAUCCUUACUUGGGUUGGGUUGUGUGUUGAUGCAAGAAAGACGAGUUGUGGCUUACGCAUCGAGGCAAUUAAAAUCGCAUGAGAAAAACUAUCCGACUCAUGAUCUUGAAUUAGCAGCCAUUGUUUUCGCUUUGAAAAUAUGGAGACACUACUUGUUUGGAGAGAGGUGUCAUGUUUAUUCUGACCACAAAAGCCUCAAAUAUUUGAUGACUCAAAGAGAUUUGAAUCUACGACAAAGACGUUGGCUUGAGUUGUUGAAAGAUUAUGAGCUCGUCAUUGAUUAUCACCAGUGAAAGGCUAACGUGGUUGCCGAUGCUUUAAGUCGUAAAUCACUGUUUGCUUUGAGAGCGAUGAAUGUUCACCUAUCCAUUUCAUCCGAUAAUGUGUUAGUAGCUGAAUUAAAGGCCAAACCAUUAUUAAUUCAUCAAAUACUUGAAUCCCAAAAAGUCGACGAUGAAUUGGUCGCUAAACGAGUUGAAUGUGAAUCAAAUGAAGAAUCAGAGUUUCGGAUUGACGACAAUGAUUGCUUGACGUUUAAGAGUCGAUUAUGUGUUCCAAGAAAUUCAAAACUUAUUUCGAUGAUUUUGAGCGAGGCUCAUAGUAGUCGAAUGUCAGUUCACCCAGGAAGUACGAAAAUGUACCAUGAUCUAAAACGUCAAUUUUGGUGGCCUGGUAUGAAACGAGACAUUUCUAACUUUGUUUCGAAGUGUUUGAUAUGUCAACAAGUGAAAGCAGAACAUCAAGUGCCUUCGAGAUUACUUCAGCCGAUCAUGAUACCCGAAUGGAAAUGGGAUCGAGUUGCGAUGGAUUUUGUAUCUGGUUUGUCGUUGACGCAGAGUAAGAAAGACUCAAUUUUGGGUUAUUGUUGAUAGAUUGACGAAGUCUGCUCAUUUUAUCCCUGUCCAUACAGAUUUCUCACUCGAUAAAUUAGCAGAAUUAUAUGUCUCCCAAAUUGUUCGAUUACAUGGAAUACCUAUUUCUAUUAUGUCGGAUAGAGACCCGAGAUUCACAUCACGAUUUUGGAAGAAAUUACAAGAAGCAUUGGGUACCAAGUUGCACUUUAGCACCGCUUUUCUUCCCAAGACUGAUGGUCAAUCCGAGCGGAUAAUUCAGAUACUCGAGGACAUGUUGGGAUGUUGUAUCCUAGAGUUUUAUGGUUCAUGGGAAAGAUAUUUGUCUUUGGUUGAAUUCGCUUACAACAAUAGUUUUCAAUCAAGCAUUAAGAUGGCACCUUAUGAGGCUUUGUACGGUCGUAAAUGCAGUACACCGUUGUUUUGGACCGAACUUAGUGAAAGUAAAAUCUUCGGGGUUGAUUUGAUUAAGGAUGCUGAGUAAAAAGUUCAAGUGAUUUGUAGCACCCUGGACCCGAGACCGUCACCGGAGUCGAACACGAGGUGUUAACAGACUUUAAAAAAAUUUCCCAGACACUGCCAAUCUGUGUACUAGUCGCUUUAAAAAUCAUAUAUUCAGUUCAGAAACUCAGAAUCCAGUUCUGUAAAUUUUCCCUAAAACUAAACUCAUAUGCCCAUCUACAUAUUUUUUUUCUAAAAUUUUUGGUUGGGAAAAUUAGUACAGUUUAUUAGUCAAAGUCUCCCAUGUUACAGGGAUCGACUACACUGACCUUUUUGCAUUUCGACUUGGAUAUUUCCCUGUACAGGGCUUCAAUACUGAUUCUGUUUGUUUCUAUAGAAACUAGACUCAGAGAGGAAUCUAUACAUAUAUGGCUUGACUCCUAAUUGUCUCUGGUUAAUUUAUAAUGAAUUUCCAAAGUCGGAACAGGAAAUCCAGAAACUGCUCUGGCUAUGUCUCACGAGAACCUGAAUAUCUCUUAACAUACUGUCCGUAUGAUUGUUUCGUUACUUUCCUAUGAAAAUAGAUUCAUCAAGGUUCGUUUACAUAAUUUAUUCACUAUUUAAUUCCAUUCCUAAUAUUUUUAGUGAUUUUCUAAAUCUACAUCACUGCUGCUGUCAGCAUCUGCCUUUAAGGUAGACUUUACCUAUUUCAUAGUUUCCAUGAUUCAACUAGCCCUUUUUGCAUAAAUAGCACAAUUUAUGAUAGUGAUUAACCAUUCCCAUGGCCAAUCCUUGUCAAGCAUAUCCACACCUCUCAAUAACCAUAUCCAUACCAAAUGAUUAUAACAUUAUACUCAAACAUAUAUAAGCCAUUUUCGCAUGGCUAUCCAAAAUUAUACAAGUCCAAAGGGUCCAUGACCCACAACAAACGGGUAGUCCUAUACAUGCCAUUUCGAAGUUCAACCAAAAUUGUACCAAAAGGGGGGGGCUUUGAUAGUGUGGGCGACUUCGACUUCAAAAUCCCGAGUCCGAUAGCUGGAGAACCAAAAUCUAUAAAACAGAGGAUCAAAGAAACGGAGUAAGCAAUUUAUGCUUAGUAAGUUUUGAGCAAGGAAUUUCAGCACAGCAAAAGUAUAGCAUUCAUAUAGCUAAACGGAUAAUUUCAUAUGCACAAAUUUUCGAUAUCAUACUUGCUUCACAUUACCAACCCUUAUGUACAUACACAAAAGAUCAACUUAGCCAAAGGUCGGUAGCUCGUUUAUCAACUGAGCGAAUACUUAUUUGUAAGGGCUCAACUAAAUUUAAGCACAUACGAAACAUACCUCAAUGUUGGGAUGUUUCUGGAGUAUUUACUGAAAUUUUUACAGCAAGAUCAUUCAUUCCCAAAUCACAUACCUUCGGAAUUUAACCGGAUAUAGCUACUCGUUCAAAUGCCUUCGGGACAUAGCCCGGUUAUAGUAACUCGCACAAUUGCCUUCGGGACUUAACCCGGAUUUAGUAACUCGCACAAAUGCCUUCAGGCUUAGCCCGGAAUUAGUAUCUCGCACAAAUGCCUUCGGAUCUUAGUCCGGAUAUAGUAACUUAGCACAAAGCCUUCGGGACUUAGCCCGGACAUCAUUCAAAUAACCAAGCACAUUUAACAGUAAAUCAUGGCACAUUCGUAUUUCAUUUUCGUUAACAAAACUCAAACACAAGACACUUAUCAUUCUUGCAAUUUCGGCUCAAUAGCCACACACAAAGAGCAUGAUUUUGAUUUGCUUAAAACACGAUCUAAUCAAAUCAUAAUUUAAGCUCUUUUACUCAAGAACUUACCUCGGGUGUUGUCGAACGAUUCCGAUAGCUAUUCGACCACUUUUUCCUUCCCUUUAUCGGAUUUAGUUCCCCUUUGCUCUUGAGCUUAAUUAAACAAAUAAAUUGAUUUAAUCAUUUGAGCAUCGAAAAGAGGAACACAAGGCACUUAGCCCAUAUUUAUACAUUAUACAAGUAUGGUCACUUGUAUUGACUAAACACCCUUUUGUUUCAAGUUCAAAACUUGGCUAAUACACACAUAUAUACACUAGUAAAGCAUCAUCUCCCUUUCCAUCAAUUUAACACAUGCAUUACUCAUUAAUAUACAAAAAUUAUAUUCGGCCUUAGCACACAACUUGCUAGCCGAUUCUUCUCCAUCUAGCAACCAAUGCACAUAUGUGCUCACUCAAAAAUGCUAAAAAGAAGAUUCAAGAAUCAUCAAUCCACCAUCACAUGCAUCAUUAACAAGCUUCAUAUUUAGCAUGCAAUGGCAUUAACACAAAAUCUACCUAGGCCGAAUAUCAUCCCCAUGACAUAGCAAAGAUUUGAACCAUGGGAUAAUUAGAACUCAAGCUAGAAACUAAAAACAUGCAUGAAUCUCAUGGCACAACCUCAAACAUACCUUGAUCUAGAUACAAGUAUGGUCAAACCUCCUCCUAAUCCUCUUCCAAACCAAACAUAAAGCAAGAACUCCUUCCUCCUUCCUUAGAAUUUUCGGCCAAAUGAAGAUGAAAAAGGAUGAACAAAAUUUUCUCUUUUCUUUUCUUUAACUCACGGCAAUGGGGGGGGAAACAACCACACAUUUUUUUUUUGUUUUCAUCAUAUUCCCUUUCAUUAUUUUAUGCCCAUGCUCCUUAUUUUAUUUUUUUCCACCCAUGAUGCACCAACACAACAUGUCUAUGACAUGUCUUGCCCAUCACACUUGAUCUACCAUGCUUGUCAUGGCCGGCCACUACUAAUUAGUAGGGGAAUUUGACAUGCAAGUCCCCCCUUUUUAUUUCAUGCACUAAUAGGUCCUUAUGCUUCGACCUAUCACAUUUCAAAAAUGUCGCACAUAAGUCCUAUUGACUAAAUUCACAUGCAAUCGACUAAAUCGAAGCUUGAAAUUUUCACACAUUCAUAAUUACAUAUUCUAGACAAUAAAUAUCACAUUCAAACAUUUUGGUGACUCGGUUUAGCGGUCCCGAAACCACUUCCCGACUAGGGUCAAUUUUGGGCUAUCACAACUCUCCCCCACUUAAGAAAUUUUCGUCCCCGAAAAUCUUACCGGUAAAUAGGUUUGGGUAUCGUUCUUUCAUCGAGCUCUCGGUUUCCCAAGUAGCUUCCUCGAUCCCGUGUUUGAGCCAUAACACCUUAACUAACGGAACCUUUUUGUUUCGCAACUCUUUCACUUCACGAGCUAGGAUACGAAUCGGUUCUUCUUCAUAACUCAAGUCAGAUUGAAUUUCAACUUCUGAGGGAUUAAUCACAUGUGACGGAUCGGAUCUAUAACGUCGAAGCAUCGAAACAUGAAAGACAUCGUGAAUCUUUUCAAGUUCAGGGGGCAAAAUCAAUCUAUACGCAACCGGACCAACUCGUUCGGAGAUUUCGUACGGCCCAAUGAAUCUCGGGCUCAACUUGCCCUUACGGCCAAAUCUGAGUACCUUUUUCCAAGGCGAAACUUUAAGAAACACUUUAUCUCCUACCUGAUAUUCAAUGUCUUUUCGUUUCAAAUCCACAUACGAUUUUUGACGAUCUGUGGCUGCUUUCAGACUUUCACGGAUUACCUUUACUUUCUGUUCGGCAUCUUUAAUCAAAUCAACUCCGAAAAUUUUACUUUCACCAAGCUCGGUCCAAAACAAUGGUGUAUGGCAUUUACGACCGUACAAAGCCUCGUAAGGUGCCAUCUUAAUACUUGAUUGAAAACUAUUGUUGUAAGCGAAUUCAAUCAAAGGUAAAUACCGUUCCCAUGAACUACUGAACUCGAGGAUGCAACAUCUCAACAUAUCCUCAAGUAUCUGAAUUAUCCGCUCAGAUUGACCAUCGGUUUGGGGGUGAAAAGCAGUGCUAAAAUGCAGCUUGGUACCCAAAGCUUCUUGCAAUUUCCUCCAAAAUCGCGAGGUGAAUCUCGGAUCUCUAUCCGACACGAUAGAAAUAGGUACCCCGUGUAAUCUCACAAUCUGAGAAACAUACAAUUCGGCUAGUUUAUCCAAUGAAAAAUCCGUACGCACGGGGAUAAAGUGAGCCGACUUAGUCAGUCUAUCAACAACAACCCAAAUCGCAUCCUUCUUACUUGCUGACAAUGGCAGUCCGGACACAAAGUCCAUUGUGACUCGAUCCCAUUUCCACUCGGGUAUCAUGAUCGGCUGAAGUAAUCCUGAAGGCACUUGAUGUUCCGCUUUCACUUGUUGACAUAUUAAACAUCUCGAAACAAAGUCGGAGAUGUCUCGUUUCAUACCAUGCCACCAAAACCAAUGUUUCAAAUCGUUGUACAUUUUCGUACUCCCCGGGUGAAUUGACAUUCGGCUACAAUGGGCUUCGUUCAGAAUCAUCGAAAUGAGUUCCGAAUUCCUUGGAACACACAAACGACUUCUGAACCUCAAACAAUCAUCAUCAUCAAUUUGAAACUCCGAUUCCUUGUUCGGAACACACUCAGCCCGUUUUGCAACCAAUUCAUCAUCAACUUUCUGGGCUUCACGAAUUUGAUGAAUCAAUAAUGGUUUGGCUUUUAAUUCAGCUACUAACACAUUGUCGGGUAGAACAGACAAGUGCACAUUCAUCACUCGUAAAGUAAACAAUGAUUUCCGGCUUAAGGCAUCCGCAACCACAUUAGCCUUUCCCGGGUGGUAAUCAAUGACAAGCUCGUAAUCUUUCAACAACUCAAGCCAACGUCUUUGUCGCAGAUUUAAGUCUCUUUGAGUCAUCAAAUAUUUGAGACUUUUGUGAUCCGAAAAUACAUGGCACUUUUCACCAAAUAAGUAAUGUCGCCAUAUUUUUAAAGCAAAUACGAUGGCAGCCAGUUCAAGAUCAUGGGUCGGAUAAUUUUUCUCAUGUGGCUUUAAUUGUCUCGACGCAUAGGCCACCACUCGACCUUCUUGCAUCAAUACGCAACCCAAACCAAGUAGGGAUGCAUCACUAUAAAUGACAAACUCUUUGCCUGAUUCGGGUUGCACUAAAAUUGGAGCUUCAGUCAAAUAAGUUUUCAGUUGAUCGAAACUUUUCUGACAUUUCUCCGUCCAUUCGAACUUAACAUCCUUUUGAAGUAGCUUCGUCAUUGGUGUGGCUAUCAUCGAGAAACCUUUUACAAAUCGUCGGUAAUAACCGGUGAGCCCCAGGAAGCUCCGAACUUCAGUAAUAUUUCUUGGAGGCUUCCAGUUAAGUAUGGCUGAAAUUUUGCUCGGGUCAACUCGAAUACCCGAUGCGGAUACCACGUGACCCAAGAAGAUAACCUCUCUUAACCAGAACUCACACUUACUGAACUUAGCAUAUAACUGCUUAUCCCGCAAAAUUUGCAACACUAAUCUCAGGUGCUCAGCAUGUUCGGUCUCAUCUCUUGAAUAGACCAAGAUGUCAUCAAUGAACACAACUACGAACCGAUCCAAAUAUGGUCUGAAGAUCCGAUUCAUCAAAUCCAUAAAUACCGCAGGGGCAUUAGUGAGCCCAAACGGCAUCACUAAGAAUUCGUAGUGACCAUAUCUCGUUCUGAAGGCAGUUUUGGGUAUGUCCGAAUCUCAAAUUCGCAACUGAUAAUAGCCCGAUCUCAAAUCUAUUUUUUAGAACACUGAGGCUCCCUUCAGUUGGUCGAACAAAUCAUCGAUACGCGGUAACGGAUAUUUAUUCUUUAUCGUCACUUUAUUCAGUUGACGAUAGUCAAUGCACAACCUCAUGGUUCCGUCCUUCUUUUUCACGAACAAUAUUGGUGCACCCCAAGGUGAGAAACUUGGUCGAGCAAAACCUCUAUCCAUCAAUUCUUGCAACUGAGCUUUCAACUCUUUUAACUCGGUUGGUGCCAUACGAUACGGAGCCAUCGAAAUCGGCGUAGUCCUAGGUACAAGCUCAAUACCAAACUCUAUCUCCCGAACAGGUGGUAAACCCGGUAAUUCUUCAGGAAAAACAUCCGGGUAUUCACAAACCACCGGCACAGAUUCGGGUUUCUUUUCUAAUUCUUUGUCAUCAGAACAUACGCAAGGUAUGCUUCGCACCCUUUUCUUACAUAUUUCUGGGCCAACAUUGAGGAUAUUACAGCUGGCAACCCCUUUAAGUCCGUAGACUCAACUCAGAUUAUCUCGUUAUUUGCGCACCUCAAAUCAAUAGUCUUGCUUUUGCAGUUCACAACUGCAUCAUGCGCGGUCAGCCAAUCUAAACCAAAAAUAACAUCAAAUUCAUCAAAUGGCAAAAGCAUCAAGUCCGCCGGAAAACAGGAACCUCGAAUUACUAGGGGACAUUCCUUACACACUUUGUCGACAAGCACGUAACGACCCAAGGGAUUUGACACCCGAAUUACGAACUCAGUAGACUCAAUAGGUAAAGUCUUACUGGAUGCUAAGGUUUCACAUAUGUAAGAAUGAGUAGAACCGGGGUCAAUCAAAGCAAUUACAUUAGUAUCAAAGAGAGUAAAAGUACCGGUAAUAACAUCAGGCGAAGAAGCAUCCUUGCGGGCACGUAUAGCAUAAGCUCUAGCAGGCGCGCGAGCCUCGGAUCUGGUCGUAGCAUCUCUAGAUCCUCUCUGACCACCACUAGCAUUGCCCGUAUUUCCAGAUGGUCUACCUUGAGCAGUGGUAGCACCCGGUUUCCCACUCUGAUUUACAUUCUGUUCAGAAAACCUCGGGCAAUCUUUAAUGAAGUGGUCAACUGAUCCGCACUUGUAACAGGAGCGGUCAGGGAAUCUACAACUCCCCGAAUGCCAUUUACCGUAAUAUCGACAUUUCGUUCUGUCUCGACGUUCAUUCCCAACACUGGCGACCGAAGUGCCUUGUGUACCCACAGGGGGUCGAUCACGAUCUCGUCUAAAAAGGCCCGAAGUGCCUCUCGACCAGCCCACAUCAUCUCGGAAUUUCUUCGAUGCCUGUUGAAGAGACUUUCCCGAAGAUCUUUUACGAAACUCUCCAGUUCCCACAUCAACUUUUUGUUUUUCUUUUCUAAGCUCUUCGGCUUUACAAGCUCGCUCGACAAGUACUACGAACUCUCGUAUUUCAAGAAUGCCAACGAACAUUUUUAUAUCUUCAUUCAGCCCAUCCUCAAAGCAUCUACACAUGAUAGCCUCGGACGAAACACAUUCCCGAGCGUAUCUACUAAGUCUAACAAAUUUUCGCUCGUAAUCAGUAACUGACAUAGAACCUUUCUUAAGCUCAAGAAAUUCCUUCCGUUUUUUAUCAACAAAUCUCUGACUGAUAUACUUUUUCCGAAACCCAGUUUGGAAAAACUCCCAAGUUACUUGCUCUCGGGGCACAACAGAAGUCAGAGUACUCCACCAAUAGUAGGCAGAAUCACGUAGCAAGGAGAUAGUACACUUUAGGCAUUCAUCGGGUGUACAAGAUAGUUCAUUGAGUACCCGGAUAGUGUUGUCCAACCAAAAUUCAGCUUGCUCGGCAUCAUCGCUGUCCGUAGCUUUAAAUUCAAUAGCCCCAUGUUUUUGGAUUCUGUCAACUGGGGGCUUAUUUGACCUUAUUUGGUCAGUUUCCGGAGGUAUUGUAGGUGCGGGGGUUAUAUUUGUCGGGAAUGGAGGUUGUGGAACAGCCGUAUUAGUUCGAAUGUAUUGGUUGAACCAAUCAUUCAUCACGCUAUAGAAAGCUUGUCUAGCUUCAUCAUUCGGGUUACUAGCAUUAGGUUGAGAGUCCGCCGGCGCUGUCCCUUGUGCGGGAGCAGGCGCUACACUCUCAAGAUCAUCAGCUACCGCUCGGUCGGGAUCGGGAUCCAUUACUAUAAAUAAACACAUUUGCAAAUGUCAGAAAUCACCACACUAUCAAAUAAUCACAUAAAAUGGCAUGUAUAGCUAGACCCAACGCAUUACGGUAGUCCUAGAAUCGACUAAACCGUAGCUCUGAUACCAAUCAAAUGUAGCACCCCGGACCCGAGACCAUCACCGGAGUCGAACACGAGGUGUUAACAGACUUUAAAAAAAAUUUCCCAGACACUACCAAUCUGUGUACUAGUCGUUUUAAAAAUCAUAUCUUGAGUUCAGAAACUCGGAAUCCAGUUUCGUAAAUUUUCCCUGAAACUAAACUCAUAUGCCCAUCUACAUAUUUUUCUCUAGAAUUUUUGGUUGGGCCAAUUAGUACAGUUUAUUAGUAAAAGUCUCCCAUGUUACAGGGAUUGACUACACUGACCUUUUCGCAUUACGACUUGGAUAUUUCCCUGUACAGGGAUUCAAUACUGAUUCCGUUUGUUUCUAUAGAAACUAGACUCAGAGAGGAAUCUAUACAUAUAUGGCUUGACUCCUAAUUGUCUCUGGUUAAUUUAUAAUGAAUUACCAAAGUCGGAACAGGAAAUCCAGAAACUGUUCUGGCCCUGUCUGACGAGAACCUGAAUAUCUCUUAACAUACAAUCCGUAUGAUUGUUUCGUUACUUUCCUAUGAAAAUAGAUUCAUCAAGGUUCGUUUACAUAAUUUAUUCACUAUUUAAUUCCAUUCCUACUAUUUUUAGUGAUUUUCCAAAUCUACAUCACUGCUGCUGUCAGCAUCUGCCUUUAAGGUAGACUUUACCUAUUUCAUAGUUUCCUUGAUUCAACUAGCCCUUUUUGCAUAAAUAGCACAAUUUAUGAUAGUGAUUAACCAUUCCCAUGGCCAAUCCUUGUCAAGCAUAUCCACACCUCUCAAUAACCAUAUCCAUACCAAAUGAUUAUAACAUUAUACUCAAACAUAUAUAAGCCAUUUUCGCAUGGCUAUCCAAAAUUAUACAAGUCCAAAGGGUCCAUGACCCACAACAAACGGGUAGUCCUAUACAUGCCAUUUCGAAGUUCAACCAAAAUUGUACCAAAAGGGGGGGGCUUUGAUAGUGUGGGCGACUUCGACUUCAAAAUCCCGAGUCCGAUAGCUGGAGAACCAAAAUCUAUAAAACAGAGGAUCAAAGAAACGGAGUAAGCAAUUUAUGCUUAGUAAGUUUUGAGCAAGGAAUUUCAGCACAGCAAAAGUAUAGCAUUCAUAUAGCUAAACGGAUAAUUUCAUAUGCACAAAUUUUCGAUAUCAUACUUGCUUCACAUUACCAACCCUUAUGUACAUACACAAAAGAUCAACUUAGCCAAAGGCCGGUAGCUCGUUUAUCAACUGAGCGAAUACUUAUUUGUAAGGGCUCAACUAAAUUCAAGCACAUACGAAACAUACCUCAAUGUUGGGAUGUUUCUGGAGUAUUUACUGAAAUUUUUACAGCAAGAUCAUUCAUUCCCAAAUCACGUACCUUCGGAAUUUAACCGGAUAUAGCUACUCGUUCAAAUGCCUUCGGGACAUAGCCCGGUUAUAGUAACUCGCACAAUUGCCUUCGGGACUUAACCCAAAUUUAGUAACUCGCACAAAUGCCUUCGGGCUUAGCCCGGAAUUAGUAUCUCGCACAAAUGCCUUCGGAUCUUAGUCCGGAUAUAGUAACUUAGCACAAAGCCUUCGGGACUUAGCCCGGACAUCAUUCAAAUAACCAAGCACAUUUAACAGUAAAUCAUGGCACAUUCGUAUUUCAUUUUCGUUAACAAAACUCAAACACAAGACACUUAUCAUUGUUGCAAUUUCGGCUCAAUAGCCACACACAAAGAGCAUGAUUUUGAUUUGCUUAAAACAUGAUCUAAUCAAAUCAUAAUUUAAGCUCUUUUACUCAAGAACCUACCUCGGGUGUUGUCGAACGAUUCCGAUAGCUAUUCGACCACUUUUUCCUUCCCUUUAUCGGAUUUAGUUCCCCUUUGCCUUUGAGCUUAAUUAAACAAAUAAAUUGAUUUAAUCAUUUGAGCAUCGAAAAGAGGAACACAAGGCACUUAGCCCAUAUUUAUACAUUCUACAAGUAUGGUCACUUGUAUUGAUUAAACACCCUUUUGUUUCAAGUUCAAAACUUGGCUAAUACACACAUAUAUACACUAGUAAAGCAUCCUCUCCCUUUCCAUCAAUUUAACACAUGCAUUACUCAUUAAUAUACAAAAAUUAUAUUUGGCCUUAGCACACAACUUGCUAGCCGAUUCUUUUCCAUCUAGCAACCAAUGCACAUAUGUGCUCACUCAAAAAUGCUAAAAAGAAGAUUCAAAAAUCAUCAAUCCACCAUCACAUGCAUCAUUAACAAGCUUCAUAUUUAGCAUGCAAUGGCAUUAACACAAAAUCUACCUAGGCCGAAUAUCAUUCCCAUGACAUAGCAAAGAUUUGAACCAUGGGAUAAUUAGAACUCAAGCUAGCAACUAAAAACUUGCAUAAAUCUCAUGGCACAACCUCAAACAUACCUUGAUCUAGAUACAAGUAUGGCCAAACCUCCUCCUAAUCCUCUUCCAAACCAAACAUGAAGCAAGAACUCCUUCCUCCUUCCUUAGAAUUUUCGGCCAAAUGAAGAUGAAAAAGGAUGAACAAAAUUUUCUCUUUUCUUUUCUUUAACUCACGGCAAUGGGGGGAAACAACCACACAUUUUUUUUUUGUUUUCAUCAUAUUCCCUUUCAUUAUUUUAUGCCCAUGCUCCUUAUUUUAUUUUUUUCCACCCAUGAUGCACCAACACAACAUGUCUAUGACAUGUCUUGCCCAUCACACUUGGUCUACCAUGCUUGUCAUGGCCGGCCACUACUAAUUAGGGGGGAAUUUGACAUGCAAGUCCCCCCUUUUUAUUUCAUGCACUAAUAGGUCCUUAUGCUUCGACCUAUCACAUUUCAAAAAUGUCGCACAUAAGUCCUAUUGACUAAAUUCACAUGCAAUCGACUAAAUCAAAGCUUGAAAUUUUCACACAUUCAUAAUUACAUAUUCUAGACAAUAAAUAUCACAUUCAAACAUUUCGGUGACUCGGUUUAGCGGUCCCGAAACCACUUCCCGACUAGGGUCAAUUUUGGGCUGUCACAUGAUUCGUGAAAGUUUGAAAGCUGCUUCGGAUCGUCAGAAGUCGUAUGCAGAUUUAAAAAGAAUAGACAUUGAAUAUCAGGUUGGAGACAAAGUGUUUCUUAAAGUCUCACCUUGGAAAAAGGUGCUGAGAUUUGGCCGCAAGGGCAAAUUGAGUCCGAGGUUCAUCGGGCCGUAUGAAAUAUCUGAACGAAUUGGGCCAGUUGCAUACCGAUUAAUUUUACCCCCUGAACUUGAAAAGAUUCAUAACGUUUUUCAUGUCUCGAUGCUUCGACGUUAUAGAUCUGAUCCAUCGCAUAUAAUUAAUUUAUCUGAGGUGGAGAUUCAAUCUGAUUUGAGUUAUGAAGAAGAACCGGUUCGUAUUUUAGCACGUGAAGUAAAGGAACUGUGAAACAAGAAAAUCCCAUUAGUGAAAGUACUAUGGCUUAAGCACGGGGUCGAAGAAGCUACUUGGGAACUUGAAGACACUAUAAAGGAUCGAUAUCCUAACUUAUUUGCGGGUAAGAUUUUCGGGGACGAAAAUUCCUUAUGUGAGGGAAAGUUGUGACAGCCCUAAUUUGACCUUAGACGGAAUGUGGUUUCGGGACCACAAAACCGAGUCAAAAGUGAUUUUAAAAAAAUUAAAUUAAAUUUGCAUAUCUUUAUGUGUGGAAGUGCAUGUGUGAAAAUUUGAGAUUGUUAAUUUAGUCUCAUGAAUGUGAAUUUCAUUUGAUUGACUUAGUUGAGAACUUAAGAAAAUAUGAUAGGUGAAUAUGUAAGGACCAAAUUGUAUUAAAAUAGGAAAGUUUGGGUUUGCAUGUCAAAAUGCCAAGUUUAUACAAAGUGGCCGGCCAAGUAAGGAUUCUCUCCACGAAGUUUAUAUUAUUUAUAAUUAAAUAUUGGUAAGUAAUUUAAAAUAGAUGAAAAAUAAAGAUUAAUAAAAGAGAAAAUAGAAGAGGGGUGUUCAUCUUCUUCUCCACCUUGCCAAAACCGAAACAAAAAGGAAGGAAAUAGGGAAGUUUUCAUUAAGGCAAUUCGGCAACCCUUUUUCUAGUUGGAGGUAAGUUUUGAAAUGUUGGUUUUAACUUCCUUUGUAUGUUGAGCUAAUUGUUAAAAUGCAUUUCGGCAAUGUCAUGAAAAAUCAAACUUUUAUGGUGGUUUGGGCAUUAAGCCGUAUAUCAAGAGGUUAGGAGUAGAGGUUGUUUCAUGUUGUAUUGAAUAAGUAGAGAUUAUUAUGAGGUUGAAAUUUGUGGAAUUUUAGUUCAGUAAUGCUUGGUACAUUCGGCCAUAUGGGUUAAUGGAAUGUUUAUUUUAUUUGUUAAUUUCUUUUAUGAGAAAUGGGUAAUUGUUAAAGCCGAAUGAGCUAGGAUGGAUAGGAGAGUACAAAAUUUAUGUUAUGUGAUAAUUUAAGUAGUUGACAGAGACAUGGAAGAAGGAAUAAAUUGAUAUUCUUAUGUUUUGAGAGUGAAAGGUCUAAUGAAGAUAUAGUAAAUUUAAAUGCAUAUUUUAGUUUAAAUGUUAAGUAGAAUUUGGUUAAAAUAGCUUGAUAUAUGUGUGUUUGCCGAUUAUUUUGUUUAUCAAGAUAAUUGAGUGACCAAAUUUUUUAUUUGAAAUUUUGUUUGAUUAAUUAAAAUGGGCAUUAAGAUGUCGAAUUCAUGAAAUUAGAAGUUUAUGAGUUUGAUAGAUUUUAAAUGAUUGCUAACCGGAAAUGAACUUAGCUACUAAAAUAUGGAAACGUGAGUUACCGAAGUUGAUCUUGUAAUGUGUCGAAUUAUUAGAAUAGAUGAAAAGUAUGUUUGAAUAUGCAUUAAGUUUAAAAGUUAAAUUUUAAAUUAUGUAUGGGCAAAUACCGAAUCUCUGUGUGUGUGACUAUGAGAAAGAAGUAUAAAUUAGGGUUAUGAUGAUUGAGUUAUUUUAUUUGCUUAGCUGGAGUUGAAGUUCAAGAUCAGGGGGAGCCAAGUUCUUUCAAAGGGAAAGCGAAAGCGGUGGAGUAGCCAAUCGGAGUUGUUCAUCUGAUUAAAAAGGUAAGUCCUUAGGCAAAUUAAGUUAGAUAAGAUAUCAUGGUAUGUAUGAGUUAUUGGGAAUAGAAUGUGAAAUUUUUUAUCAAUCUAUGUCAAGGGGAUGAUUAAAGGUAAGAAAAUACAGCACUAUGUGUGCUAGAUUAUGUGGCACUAUGUGUGCGAGAAAACAUUGCACUAUGUGUGCGGGCUUUCAAAUCGAGCACUAAGUGUGCAAUGUUGAUUAUGGAGUAUUAUUUGUGGAAAUCUAAAAUGCACUUGGAAAUUUAAUUGGAAAUUUGAUUGAUAGAUGGAGCGACUUGGCUUACGCUUUAAAUUUUUUUGGUUUGUAUAUUAUAUAUAUACAUAUAUAUAUACGUCAAUGGUAGUAUAUGACAAUUGCCAUGGUAUUUUAAUUAUGUAUAUUUAGAUUAGGAGUACAUGGUGAAUUCGGGUAGGUAUGUACCAAAUGCAUAAGGUACGUUUGUGACCUAAUAUUUCCUUGUGAUAUCAUGGUUAAAUUCGGUUAAUAUUGAGUUGAUUAUUUAGUUUAUAGAUGAUUGAAUUAUUAUAGUAUUAAAUUUUCUUAGGACUUACUGAGUUAACAACUCACUCGGUGUGUUUUUUUUGUUUUUACAUAGACCAUCUUAUCAAGGAGAGCUUGGGAACCAUCACGAAGUCAUCACAACUUUUGUCAACCUUUUUGGUACUUUUGUUUUAAACCUUAGUAGACAUUAUGGCAUGUAUAGGAUAAAAAAUUUUGGGAGGUUUGCUAUUUUGGUAUAAUUGUAUAUAAAGCCAUACGAAUAUGGCUAAAGUUCUAUGUAUGAAAUUAAAAAUGUUUGGUUACAAAUCUCAAAACGUAAAUUAACUUGAUUUAGAACUUCAUAAUUGUGAUAGGAUUGAAUCAUAUAUUUUUACAUUAUGUAUGUGUAUUUGGUCAAUAGGGGAUAAAUCAUUAAACGAACAGAAGGGUUUUAAUCUGGUAAUAUUAUUCAUUAGAUUUAAGGUUUCACUAUUAAAUAUUUUUUUAUUAUUUUUUUAUCUCAAGUGUUCUAUUGAAGAUUUGAGCAGGUUAUGUUAUAUGACCCUAUUUUAGUAAUCGACUCGGAUGUUGGGGUGUUACAUAGCCGAAAUAGGUGAGAAGGGAAUUGGUUAUGUGAGUGCAAUUUAUGCAUGAUAAUUAGCAUGCGAAUGGGUUGUACUAUGGUUUGUAUUUUGUGCUCAUAUAAUGGUUCAUAGUGAUAGGCGAAAAUGCACGUUAUAUAUAUGUUGCAUUAAAGUUAUGUUCGGCCAUAUGAUAAUGAUACUAAGGUUGCAUAUGUGUUUGACAAUAAUUGGUGUGUAAUAGUUUGUUUGGUUUUUAACAUGUGCACAUGCAGAGUUAAGGAAAUGAUAUGUUUGAUAUUUGCCAAAUUAAAUAGAUAUAUUGGCAUGUAUUCGAUAUAUGUUUGAAUGUCUUAAUGUAUGCAAAUGGAAUUUUUCAUGUAUUAAGUUAUGUUAUAAUUUGAUUAUUUAAAUGCUAUAAAGAAGAUGUACAUAUGAUUCGUAUAAUUGAGUUUAUAUUACCUUAAACAUGAAUAGUAAUGAAUGACUCUUCUAAGCUGUGUAUUGUUCAGUAAUGCCUCGUAACCUUAAUCCGACGAUAGAUAUGGGUUAGGACACCACCUUUCAUUCUGUUUCCACAGAUAUCAUGGUGAUAACAGUACUCAUGUAAGAGUCAGGUUAAAGACUAACUUAACAACUAUGAAUAGCAGCUUGAACUCCAAAUUCAUCAUCCAACAAGAAACCGUAGUAAUCACUACUUAUAAAACAUAGGAACACCAUUAAAACUCAUUUGUAUAACCUUUACCAUCAUCUCAAACCUAAAUAACCCUCAUUCAAAGCCUUAUUUCUUCAUUUUACUAUUUAUGCACUCUUACAGACUUAAUCUUUCAUAACAUAACAUGUAGAGUCAUAAAUCUUACCUUAACAUGGAGUAAUCACUAAUAAAGAUCUAGAUCUACAACUCCAGCUUAAAGAGAAAGAAAUACUUUAGGUUCCUUAAUAUUCAGAUUGCAAUACUUUAAAAGAAAGAAGAAAAAUUCCCCCUUUCUCUAACCUAAAUAUCUAUAUAUAUAACCUAAGCCCUUAUUGGAAAUUGACACAUGUCACAAACAUUCAAAACUGCCUUUAUAAAUGGUUUACAACUAUGAAAAUCCAAUAUUUUUUAUAUUUUUCUGGCUCAUAUGUUCAAUUAGUUUCCAACCAAAUCAUUUAUAACAUAAUUAGCAUAAUAACUCAAUGAAUUUGGCAUACAAUACCUUUGGCGAUAACCCCAACUUACAAAAUUCUUAAUACUCUUACCAAACUCUUCUUCUUUACAACUCAACACAUUCUGAGGUAAAUCCUUACUUAAUAUCCUUGCAUCUACUAUGCGCCCAAUCUGUACACCAAAACAACAAUUGGGUAGAUAUAACUACGUCUCACAGAUUACUCUUAGUCUACUAGCCAAAACUUAGGACUCGCCAAAACUGGGUGUUACAUACAUUCUUCUAACAUAAAUGCUAUAACUAUGUAAUUUAUUUUGAUGGAAUCAUAUACUUAAUUAUAUAUUUACCUAUUAACCUUGCAAUCUAAUGAAAUCUCAUGUUUGAAUUUAAAAGCUAUGAAUAUUUUACAUAUCAUGUUAGAGUUAUAAGUUUUAGCAAGCCUUCCUAGUUUUUAUGUUUCCAAAAUAACCAUUUGUAUGAAGCAUGUUCAAGGGACGUCUUUUUGUUUGCAUGUGAUUAUUUUGUUUACUUGAGGAUAAGCAAUGAGUUAAGUGUGAGGGAAUUUGAUCUGUCACAAUUCAUUGUGGCAAGUUAAACUUUUUUUCAUCACUUAAUGAGCUUGUGUUCAAGUGAUUAUAUCUUUUUAUUCCAUUUUUAGAAUUAGUUAGUUUUGAAUUUAAGUUUAAUAAAAUGAGUUUUUAGUGUUGUUUUAUGACCUGUUAGGCCAAUUCGAGCCUAAGGAGAAACCAACAUGUUGAUUAAGUGUGCAGGACAAUAUUUUGGUCGAUGAGUCAAUGGACCACCCUGGAUUUCGUAACAUUCAAAAGGGAUGUCAGGACAACGAAGCAAGCCUCAACACUUAACAGAAUUUUGAAUAAAACUUUAAGAGGUGAGCUACUGGAGACGAUAUCGCGACAUCCAACUUUGAAUCCAAUAAGUGAGCUACUGGAGAUGAUGUUACGACAUUCACAAACCAAAGUCGCGACAUCCAACUUCGAGUCCAAAAGGGGAGCAUGCUGCCAUCAAAGUCACGACACUAGCUAGAGUGUCACGAUACCAAUCCGACGAGGCCCAUUUGACUACUAGAGGUGUUUUUUAUUUGCACAAUCAUAAUUAACAUGUUACACAGGUUGUAAUUGACCUAAUUUGGUCAUCUAACACAAACAUUAUAAAUAUUAACUUUUAAACUUGAUUAGGGGGUUCAAUUCAACAUUAGAAGUUUAGAUUUUUGUUUUUAGUUAGGGUUUAGUUUUGUUUUAAAUUUAAGGCUUCGUUUGUUUGCCAAUAAAAUAUUUUCCAGAAAAUAAUUUCUGAAAAAUGAUUUACUUUUCUAGAAAUGAUUUACUUUUCUGGUGUUUGGAUGAAUCUACGUAAAAUAUUUUUUGUUGUUUGGCAGAUUUCCUAAAAAUAUUUCAUAAAAUCUAUUUUAAAUUAAACAAAUAUAUAUUUAAGAAUUUAUUAUCUUUUCAUUGUUUAAUUGAGUUUAUUAUAUAUAUUAAUAAAUUUAUAUUUUAAAUUAUUUUUACAUAUAUUGUAAUGAUUUAUUAGAUGUAUAUAAUAAGACUAUUUUGUUUGUUUCACUUGAAGACACAAAUACGAUAUAACACACUCAUUUGAUAUGAAUAUAUUUAGAUCAUACAGGAAUUUUGUAUAGACUAUCAAUCAAUUAAUUACAACUUGUUUAACAUCCAUCCAUAAAAUGUUCGGAAAUUUCUUUUCUUGAUUACAUAUAAUAAGCUUAAACUUCUUUAAAAUGGAUGUGAACUCAAAAGGUCAAAAUUGAAUAUUAUGGGGGACGCAAAGCACACUGACUACAAAAACCAACCAAAUAGCUUUAACCAUUGAUUUUCUAACACACUUGGACAAGGUUUUGUUACCCAGGGACGUAAGGUUCAAAGAGUGUUAUCCAAGGAUUUGGAUCAUACUGCAUUACAUCAAUCGCUCGUUCAAACUCUUCUCUUAGAAAUUUAAUGAUGAACUUGUCCACCACUCGACCAAGGUCAUGAGAUACCACAAACGGAUCCUCUAUGCAGAUUAAGUGACGAUCAUUGCCAAUUCUUCUUGUCCAGUCUUUUUCUCCCUUACUGCACAAAUGGAGUCAUCAAAUUGAAAACAUUUUUGUUUUGUAGAAUUCAUUUAUUUUAUCCCCACCUACAACUAUUUAGUCCUCGAUUUAUGCAAAACCAAACAUAGCAUCUAUUGAUCAUUUACAAAUUGCAAGCCAUUCUCGGGUAAGUGUAUGUUAUAAUUUGCAAAAACCACAGAGUUGUGGCAAACAAAAUGAGAAAGAAAGAAUGAUUGUGGCCCUUCUCAAGUAUGUGUAUGUUAUAAUUCCGGCAUGGUAAAUAUCAAAAACCAUUUUUGUAUUAAGUAUUUAAAAGCAUGGUAACGUUUAUCGAUAAGGGAAGAAUCAAAAUAAAGCAUAAGGACAACUAUUGUCAAGUAGCCAGAGGUGUCAAAAGCAAAAAAUGUAAAUAGUUCGAGAUUUAGGUCACGCUUAGGUUAGAACUAACCUCGGUAUGGAGCUUCUCCAUGGCCAUCCAUUCUCUAAGACCACAAAGAUCGGAAAGCACAGUUGCCACAGAUGUCACAACAUCCUUUUCUUCCAACUGUAUAAGUUGUUGAUUAUUGGAUUCACGGUUAACACUUGACCUUCCUUCUCCUUUCUUCUCUACUGGAACUACAGACAUUAUAAUACCAAAUAGGACAGAACUUAUCAUCCACUACGUAAACAAAAAAGACUACACUUUUCUUUACAUCAGGUAAAAUAUAGAGAGAAAAUGUUGACAGAAUUGAAAGUUCAUGCCGCAGUGUAAAAAGGGUGAGAAAGAAUAUCAGAAAGCAAUAAAAUUGUUUUAUGAGAUCCUACAAAUCAUUUUACGGCUAUAAAAUCCAAAGGAACAUAUUGAAACCAACAUAAAUUAUAUGCUUAAAACCUCAUAGACUACAUGAUAACCAUAUUGUAUGUUCUACAGCACAAAUAAUGGCAAUGUCGAGGAGUGUCUUUAACAACCACCAUAGAAUGAAAUGACUCGGGACCGUGUUAAACCAAUGGAUACUGUAAAUUCUCAAAAAUCAGAUCACUCAAAAGAUAAAAAAGGAUACCCACCGGCAGAAUAAAGCAUGACUUUAGUUAGAUAUAACCAAAUAAUGUCAAUAUAAGAAUUUUCCAUACGUGAUAUACAUUUUCUACUUUUAUCUACGGUAUUAAAAAACCUAAAGAUUUCAGUAUGGCUCAGCUAAUUGUGUAACAAGAAGCAACUCCCGAAUAAGAAAAAAAGUAUAAACCAGAAAAUGAUAUGACAUUAACAACAAAACGUAACGGCAGAGAUUGAAAUCCUAGAGACAUUUGUAAUAAUGUAUAGAACACAACGGGACACUCCUACAAGAUGAUGACUGAUUAAACCAUUAAAUCGACAAUGGCAACACCUAGCAAUAGAUUUUGAAUGUUGCAAAUCACAAAAUUCAACAAUGCCGGCAACUAUAAUACUGAAAAACUGAGAAUGAAAAAUUUUCUUCCUAUAAUGCCAAAAUAAUCCCAAAAAACAACAGUAGAUAUCCAAUUCACAAUGUAUAGCUAAUCAGUAAAUGCUUAACAAUCAUUAACUUUACAAAGCAAUUAUAAAAGAAUGGCAAAUUUUCUUCAUAUAUUUCUAUAAUCAUAACUACUGAAAACAUAAAAAGAAAGGGCAAAAUUGAUCAAAAAAUUUCAUAAAUGUUGCUAACCUAAUACUCUCGCCAAAGCUGUAUUUCCUCCAGCGCCGGCCUCUACGUUGUUAUACCAUUCUUCCUUUCUAACAUUCUUCCUUUCUAACCUUCUUCCCGCCACUUCCAACAUCCUUUUCCUCGCCGUAAUCUUCAUAAUAUUCUCUUCCCUUCUUAGAAAAAAAUUAAAAAUAAAGAAACAAAGAAAGGCAUAAAAUUUCAGUCAUAUGAACCGAAAGAAAUUUGUAUAACCAAUGCUACUUCACUUUCAGAUAAAACCCACCACUAAUUCAGCACAAAGAACAAAAGGGUAUUCAACAGUAUAAAAAUUAAACUUCCCUCGGAUUGAAAAAAAAAAAGACAAGAAGAAAGAAAGGUAAGGCAGAAUAAAAGAAGGGAGAGGGAAGGAAAAAGGUCUCCGCUACCCCUACACGUGUCCAGUGCAAGGGGAAAAAAGAGAAGCUUUAAGCGCGAGACAAACAGAUUUUAAUAAAGCAUAAAAAAAAGCUAAAUGAUGCAAAACCCAGAAUCAAAUAGAGCAUAAAAAAAGCAUAAAAAAGGAAGAAGAAGAAGAUUCUUCAACAGAUAGAUGAAAUAUAGAAAAUAAAAAACCAUAAAAAACUUACCUUGAUUGAGAUUCAAGAAGGGAACUGGAUAAAAAAGGAGAAGAGAGAUGAAGAAUGAAAGAACGAGAAAGAAUAUGGUGAGAAUGGAAGAAGAUUUUCCAGAAAAUGUCUAACAGAAAUAAAAUCGGUAAGACAUUUUCCCUAAAAACCCAUCUCAUUUACCUUGUUUUGGAAAAUAUUUUCCCCAUGUAAUUUAUUUUCAAGCAAACAAAUACCGUAAAACUAAGAAAAUACAAACGGACUCUAAAUCAAGAUCUUUGAAUUCUAAGUAGUCUUUUCUCUUUUCUCUUUAUCUUUGCAUCUAUUCGCAUGUUUAGUAAAUUGAUAAGAGAGUUCGCAUCUAAAAUGACCCAAAACGAAACCCUAGGAAGGUUGAUGAUAAGAAACUGGGAUUGAUUAGCUUGGUUUAGGGGUUCCACAUCUAGUAGCUAAAUUAGGUUAAGUGGAUUAAACCAUAAAUUUGAUGAUUUUAGGAAGUCACUAAGGUAGAUGAGGCCAAAAGGAUAGUCUGCUUGGCACCAACAUAAUCUAACUUGGUUUAAUUUAUCAUGUCGAAAGAUAAGUAAAUUAAAUCGAUCAAUUAAUCUAGUUAUAGGCCGAAAGGUAUUAAUUAGGUUAGUUGUUAAUUAAUUAGUGAAAAACCUUAGAUAUAAGUUAAUCGUGAACAUGGAAGUGAGUCACCUUUCUGUUUACUUUAAUUGAUUAUGAUUUUGAUUGCUAUUACUUUAUUCUGCAAACCAUCUUAUUUUUAUUUUGCCCUAAUAUGAUCUAGACGUGAGUAGUAUUUAAACCUAAUUAGUGUGUUAAUUAUUGCUGUCAGAUUAGUUUAAACAAACCUCUAUUAAGGGUAAUUUCAGGUGGGAUAUAGAUUGGAAGGAUUGGGUUUUAAUUGGUGUUUCAGUUUAGUGUUUGUUUCUCGAGAAAUUACUGGUAAUGAAUAAGGUGUGAGUGAGAGAGUUCACAUUAGGAAGACAAACAUAUAUACCGAUAAAGAAACAAUACACGUGGGAAUAAAAGAACACACACGUUGAUAAUAGGGGUGAGCAUCUGAUCGAAUUGAAUUGAAUGAAAAAUUUUCGAGUUAAUUGAGUUAACGAGUCCUAUUUUAUCAUCCUAACUUGAUUUGAAAAUUUCUCGAAUCUAAUCGAGUCGAAUCGAAUAUAUUUGUUCGAGUUAAAUUAAAAAAAAUGACUUUGGGUUCUUAUAGCCACUGCCACCUACCUUAAUCAAAUUUGUUAUAAACUUUCAUCCCCUCAUAAUUUAUUUAUUAAUCUUUUAUAUACGGGUUAACUUCUUUGCUUGCUUAGUUAUUUCAAUUAUUUUCUGAUUCCUGCCACCAUGCAUUUUGAAAUUAAAAAAUAUAUUAAAUGAAAAACAUGUGAUUUUUUUAAAAAAAAGUUAUUUUAAGGAUAAAAUGUGAAAUUGAUAUCGACAAAAAAUUUUAACAUAUUUUAUGAUAUUGUAAAUAAUUCAAUUUUAACAGAAAUUGAUAAAUAUUCAACAUGAAUAACAAUUCAAUAAUCCAAAUAACUUAGAAUGUUAUAUUUAAUUUAAUAAUAUAAAUAGUAGACAUAAAUUAGAAAAAAAAAAUUUAAGGGUUUGAGAGUAAGUAAAAUUUUUGAGGGAAAGCAAAAUGAAAAAUAAAAUCAAGGCUUAGAGGAAGUAAAUAUUUUGGAGAGAAAAUAAAUGGAAAAAAAGUUUCGAGGAUUUUAGAGUAAGUAAAAUAUUUGAGAGAGAAAUAAAAGUUUGGUAGGGAAAGCAAAAUGGAAAAAGUUUUGGUAGUUUAGAGGAUGUAAUUUAUUUUGGAAAGUAAAAAGUUUGAAUGGAUGUGAGGGAGGGGAAGUAUAAAUAUUUUGUACUUGAUUUAUUUAAAUUAUUCGAAUUUAAAAAUUUAAUUUGAUUUAAAUUUAAAAUUUUAAAAAAAAUGAGUUAACACAAUUAACUUGAUUAAUUCAAUUCGAAUAAUUUGAAAUUUAAUCUUUUCUGGAGUUGAAUCAAUGUUGCUUAAUAGAUAUCUUAUUAUUCUCUCAAAAGGCUAGGGGUAUUAUUGGUUUUCCAACAUGAAUAGAAACUCAAAUUUACCUCUAAUAUGAGAUGUCAGUCGUGAACCGUUGGAUUAAUUGCAAUCCGACGGAUAAGAAAGAAACCCUAGUUGAGCCAAAGCUGAGAGUGUGGCUGGCUACUUAAGUUAAAAGCAGCCCGCUGCUGUCGCCCUCUCUUCCUCUCACUCAACGCUCUCUUCUUCUGCUUCUAGUCAAGCCAAUCUCAAAAGACUCCCCUUUUAGCUCACAGGUAUUAAUCUAUUUACAACUUAUGAUUAUCUCUCAAAUGUUAUUGCUUUGAUUCGAAGAAAAAUGUAGUCUGAUUUGUUGGCAGCUGAAAUAUUAUAUCUGAUUCGCUGAAAUAGUUCUCAUACGAUUCAUAUUUUGUGUAUAGGUUCGGAUCUGAUUCUUUGUUUUUUUGGUUGUGUUUUUAGAUUUCAUUCAUGCAUGUACGUUUUGAACUCUGAAAUUUAUUUUUCUGAGCAAAUAAUUCCUGUGAUAACUGGUUUAUUGAAGCAAAUGCUGCCUAAGGGAAAUUUUUUAACGAAAAUAAUUAAAAUUGUUGGGGAUUAUUUUCUUAGGCUCGUUUGUCUUCGAUGGACAUGUUUGACUGGCUUCAUGGGAAAUGAUAAGUUAAGAUCUAGUGGCUGUAGUUCAUUGGAAUGAACUCCAUAUCUAUGGAGGAACUGGGCUCGAAUCCCAGCGGCCACGUUUUAUCAAUGUUGGAUCUGUUGAAUUUAAAUGCGGCUUGAUUUUCUUUUUCGAAAUUAACUUGAACUGUUCUUAGUAAACAAUAAAAGUGGGUCUCAGAUUCGUUGUUUCUUGUUCGCAAGAUGUUGGUCUUCUUUUGUGAUUUUGACUUGGAAUUAUGUUUUCAGCUUAUUUUAUGAAUAUGUUUCUUCUUGAUUUUUAGCUCCUCUCUUGAGUACUAUAAUGGGUAAAGGAGAAGGUUCACAUCAACAUUGUGGUCAUCGGCCAUGUCGACUCUGGGAAGUCUACAACCACUGGUCAUUUGAUCUACAAGCUUGGUGGUAUUGACAAGCGUGUGAUUGAGAGGUUUGAGAAGGAGGCUGCUGAGAUGAACAAAAGGUCAUUUAAGUAUGCAUGGGUGCUUGACAAGCUUAAGGCCGAACGUGAACGUGGUAUUACCAUCGAUAUUGCCCUCUGGAAGUUUGAGACUACCAAAUACUACUGCACAGUCAUUGAUGCCCCUGGACACCGUGACUUCAUCAAGAACAUGAUUACUGGUACCUCACAGGCUGACUGUGCUGUUCUCAUUAUCGACUCGACCACUGGUGGUUUCGAAGCUGGUAUCUCAAAGGAUGGUCAGACACGUGAGCAUGCUUUGCUUGCGUUUACCCUUGGUGUCAAGCAGAUGAUUUGCUGCUGCAACAAGGUAAGGUUUAGAACGUGUUGGAGUUUAUUGUUAGAUUGUAUUGAUGUUCUUUUUAUUAAUAAUUGAAUUUCAAUUAUCAUCUUGUACAGAUGGAUGCAACAACUCCAAAAUACUCCAAGGCAAGGUAUGAUGAAAUUGUGAAGGAAGUCUCCUCAUAUCUUAAGAAAGUUGGUUACAACCCUGACAAGAUCCCAUUUGUCCCAAUCUCUGGAUUUGAGGGUGAUAACAUGAUUGAGAGGUCUACCAACCUUGACUGGUACAAGGGUCCCACUCUCCUUGAGGCUCUUGACCAGAUCAAUGAGCCCAAGAGGCCUUCAGACAAGCCACUUUGGCUCCCACUUCAGGAUGUCUACAAGAUUGGUGGCAUUGGAACUGUACCUGUUGGUCGUGUUGAGACUGGUGUCCUUAAGCCUGGUAUGGUUGUGACCUUUGGCCCCUCUGGUCUGACCACUGAAGUUAAGUCUGUUGAGAUGCACCAUGAAGCCCUCUCUGAGGCUCUCCCCGGUGACAAUGUUGGAUUCAACGUCAAGAACGUUGCUGUUAAGGAUCUCAAGCGUGGUUUCGUUGCUUCAAACUCUUAAGGAUGAUCCUGCAAAGGAGGCUGCCAGCUUCACCUCUCAGGUCAUCAUCAUGAACCACCCUGGGCAGAUUGGAAACGGAUAUGCCCCAGUCCUUGACUGCCAUACCUCCCACAUUGCUGUGAAAUUUUCUGAAUUGCUGACCAAGAUCGACAGGCGAUCUGGAAAGGAGCUUGAGAAGGAGCCCAAGUUCUUGAAGAAUGGUGAUGCAGGGAUGAUAAAGAUGGUUCCCACCAAGCCGAUGGUUGUGGAGACUUUCUCUGAGUACCCACCUCUUGGACGGUUUGCGGUCAGGGACAUGCGUCAGACUGUGGCUGUUGGUGUCAUCAAGAGCGUUGAGAAGAAGGAUCCAACCGGUGCUAAGGUCACCAAAUCUGCUGCCAAGAAGAAAUGAGAUUGCAUUUGAUAGUAUCAGAGCCUUUUGAUUUUGGUUUUCUAUGUAGUCUGGUACUUUACAGUUUUUUAGACCAAUUUUGAUAUGUGUUCAUUUGGUUGAGACUGGCAUCUGCCUACGGAUUGUGUGUUUGCUUUUUCCGUGUCAAUUGUAGUUGAAUUCCUUCAAAGAAUUCUAGUUUGAUAUUUCCUUGUUUUCUUAAUGUUAUGAUGGUCCUAAGCCUUCGAUUUUCAACUAAUUUCCUGGCCAAUUCAGGUUUUUAAUGAUAAAUUAGUGAAAUACUAUUUUGGUAAUUAUAAAAUCAUCUUUCAAUUUACGUAAAGAAAAGAAAUUUUUUAAUGAUGUGUGAUUUGUAUCAAGAAAUAUAUGGACGAAUAGCAUAUUAAAGUUCAUAAAUUAGAAUUUCUAAAUUCGUAAAAUACAAUAUUUUAACUGGAAGCCAAAAAUGGUCUUAAUUUAGAUCAUCGUUGGUUUGAAAAUUUUAAGAUUUGUUAUAUUUAAAUUGUAAGAUUUGUUAUAUUUGUUUUUCAAUAUCAUGCUUUCAUUAAAGAAAGAGAAAGGUACAUAGAAGGUCCACCAAUCCAAAAGCCCAAAAAUUUACAAAAGUCCGAAGCUCAAUUACCAAUCAAGAAAACCUAGUAACAAACAUCAAAGUCACUGUUGUUGGAGAAGAAUGCUUGGGAAGGUCGGAAGUCACCAGCAAAGACGGAUGUAUCUUUCAACGGCAUGUGACGCCUCCAGAGGAAGGUCAUCAAGGACUUUCAUCAAUGAAACUUUCCGUACCUUUUUUACUAUCUUAUAUUAUAGGGUAUUCUAGGGGACUUCAUCAAGGACUUCCACCUUUUAAAGUUUUCUUUAUAUUGAAGAGAAGUUUCUAAUAUAUGUAUAUAUGUGUGUGGGGAGGGGUCCAUUUAUACUAGUGUAAAACUUAAGUGAUUUUGCUUUUUUGUAACUUUUUACAUUAGUAAUAUUUUAACAAUUCAACCAUCAUAUUUCAUGAUCCAUUCAUAUAGAUAAUGCAUGUUAAGUUUGGUAUAAAUUAAAAAUGAGAUGAGAAAUUGCCCUUAUACUUUACCAAAUCUUCCAAUAUGGUACCUGCACUUUUAAUUUGUCCAAUUUGGUACAUGUACUUCAGUCUCCUUAAUCAUAGUGGUACUUGACCCUAACACUAUUAAAAAAUGAUGAAAUGAUAUCUUGACCAAUUAUGUGGUGCCACGUGGCUCAUGUUGAUUCAUUGACUAACAGUUCAAGGGCUUCUGUGCAAUAAAUCCUAAAAUUAUUCUCUUUCCCAAAUUACAUUUUCACAAUACUUUAUAUAUGUGUAUAUAUGUAUAUAUAUGUGUGAGGGGAGGGGUCCAUUUAUACUAGUGUAAAACUUAAGUGAUUUUGCUACCAGUCAAGAAAACCUAGCAACAAACGUCAAAGUCACUGUUGCUGGAGAAGAAUGCUUGGGAAGGUCAAAAGUCACCAGCAAAGACGGAUGUAUCUUUCAACGGCAUGUGACACAUCCAGAGGAAGGUCAUCAAGGACUUGCAUUGUAAUAUCCUGAAUUAGGGCUUAAUCGGAAUAGUAGUUUCGUGACCACAAAUUUGAGAUAGAAAUAAUAAUUUUAUAAUUAUUUUAAUGAUUAUGAUAUGAUUGCAUGAUUGUGUGAAAUUUUCGUGAUGAAAUUCUAUGCCUAAAGUGCUUAAAUUGAAAGUAGGGACUAAAUCGAAUAAGUUGCAAAACUUGCAUUCUAGAAGUUUGUAGUAUGAAAUUGUUUUGGAAUAUUAAUGAGGAGGUAUUAAAUAGCAAUUUGACCAAUUUUAAGUUCAUGGACAAAAUUAGGACAUGGAAGGAAUUUUUAGAAAGUUUAGUAGUAAGGGUAUUUUGGUCAUUUAGUUAUUAAAAUGAAUUAAAAACAAAAUUAAAAGCCAAUUUUUGUCCAUCUUCUUCAUUAGGCCGAAAUUUCAAGGGUUCUCCAUAGCUAGGGUUUGUUUCAAGCUUCCAAGCUCCAUAGUAAGUGAUUCCAAGCCCCGUUUUUAAUGUUCUUUACGUUUUUGGAAUCCCGGUAGCUCGAUUAAGCUUAUGUUAGCAAUAAUUCAACCUAGGGUUUAUAUUUGGAAAAAUACCCAUAGGUGAAAUUUUUGUAUUUUGAUGUUUUAUGAUAGAAUAUGGGGUUUUAAAUUAUGUUAGACAACUUGUACUACUCGAUUUUAAGCAAAAACGAGUAAAAGGGCUUAAUCGGUAAAAAUACCUAAUAGUCACAAGUACAUGUUAGAGUGAGAAUUUGAUGUUGCCAUAGAAGAGAAAAGUGAUCAGCAUGUUGUAAAACAUAAGAAUAAGGAAUAAAGUUUAAUCCCAAGCCUAGGGGCAAAAGUGUAAAUAUGCAAAAGUUUAGGGGCAAAAUUGUAAUUUUGCCAAAAUUUGAGUUAAGGAUUAAUUUGAUAAUGUGAGUAUUAAAUGAGCUAAAUGUGUUAUUUUAGAUCAAGAAAGACGUGGAAUCGACCUCAAUUGAGGAAAAGAAAAAAUUGUGGACUAAAUUGCAAAAUCUUUGUAUUUUGGUACCAAGGUAAGUUCAUGUGUAAAUAAUAGCAUAAUUGUUAUUUUUAAGUUAUUGAUAUUAAUUAUGUGUUAUGCUGAAUUUCAUUAUGAAAUGUAUGCUUUGUGGUUAAUUUCAAAUAAUAUGUAAAUUAUGUGAGCUACUUGUUAAAUAUAAUUGUUACCGAGUAUUGAUUUCGGCAUUCUACGGAAGACGGCAAGGAUAAGUGUUCAAGAAAAAUCCCGUUUGAACCUUAGGAAUAGAUUAGGAUACAAGUGACAUGUCACUAGGAUGGUUGAGCAUCCGAACUCGUUGAGUUGAGUCCGAGUUCACUUAUGGAUGCGAAUGUCCGAACUCGUUGAGUUGAGUCCGAGUUCGUGAGAUGUAACUAGGCAUCCGAACUCAUUGAGUUGAGUCCGAGUUCACUUAUGGAUGCGAACGCCCGAGCUCGUUGAGUUGAGUCCGAGUUCGCUUAUGGGCGGGUUACAUGAUUGCUUGAUUGAAUAUGUGGCACUUAUAUGCAAAUUAUCCAUGUAUCCGAAUUAUAUUCCGAUGUGUUCAACGGGUAACGUUUUACUCACAUGGAGGAAUACUCGAGAUGAAAAGAGACGUAUUGGUAAGUAAUGAGAAAUGGAUAUUUUGGACAGGUAUGUAUUUAACCCUCGGGUUGAGUGUUGAUUACAACCACGAUAAGGUAAUAAGAUGAUGAAAAAUGAUUAAAAAAAUGUGAUAAGUGUGUUGAUGAUAUAUGCUAAUGUUGAUUAGUUUGAUUGUUUGUUAUGUUAUUUAUUAUUUACAUAUGAACUUACUAAGCAAUUAUGCUUAUUCCCUCCUUCUUACUCAUUGUAGUUUUGGACAAGCCAGUUCAGGAGUCGGGAUAGGUCGAAGGCUCAGUCACACUAUCAGGAAGAUUUUUGGUAAAUGGCUUGUAAAUUUAAGUAUGGCAUGUAUAGCAAUAUACUUAUUUUGUGUAAAUGAUUUUAUGAUAUGGUGACAGAAUGGUUGAGAAUAUAUUUGAUAAUGAUAAAUUAUGAAAAUGGUAAGUUUAGAUUAUGUUUGAUGUUAAGGAAAAUUAUUAAGAUACUUAGUGCAUAAAAACUCAUAAGAGGGAUGAAAUUUGCCAUAAACAGAAUACUGCAGCAACACUGACGCGAGUUUGAAAAUUUACUAAAAAGCAUAGAAAUUGAAUUUGGUGAUGGACUACAUAUCAAAUUGAAGCUAUUAUGUCUAGUUUCACAUGAAAUAAAUGAAACAGGUAAAGGAAUUAUAUGUUAGAAGAUAUUUGAAUUUUAGUGAAACAGGGUCAUAGCAGUUUCUGAAUCCCCUGUUCCUACUUUAGAAAUUCACCAUAAAUUGUAAAGAUAUAAUUAGGUGGUGUAUUUUAUAUCCUCAGAAUCCUUAUUGAGUCUAGUUUUAGGAGAAACAAAUCUCAUAGUCAUAUGAAUUUUUUACAGAGAGAAAAGUGGUUCGUAGUAAACAGAGGUCAGACCAGUCAAGUCCUGAAACAGGGGUAACUUUAACUAAUAAACUGUACUAAUUGGCCCAACCAAAAAUUUUAUAAAAAAAUUAGUAGAUAGGUAUAUGAGUCUAGAUUCAGGGAAAAUUUACGGAUCUUGAUUUUGAGUUUCGUAACUCGAGAUAUGAUUUUUCUUGUGACUGUGACGCAAGUAGCUUAAAAGCUGUGAAUGUAGAAACAAAUAAUCCAAAGUUCUAAAAAUGUUAAAUUAAGCUUAGUAACACCUCAAACUCGACUCCGGCGACGGUCUCGGGCGUGGGGGCGUUACAUUUAGUGGUUUCAGAGCAGGUUUAGUCGAUUCUCGGACUACGUGUUGUAUGUACGGAUUUUGCUAUACAUGCCAUAUGUAUAAAUUUUGAUAGUGUGACGACUUCUGACCUUUUUAAAUGAUUUUUUUAUAGUAAAUGGAUCCCGAUCCAGCUGUGGCAGAUGAAGUAGAGAGUAAUGCGCCAGCUCUGGCUGAAGGGGCAGCGCCGACUGAAAACCCACCUCCUACUGUUGGUCAGGGAAGAGGAGAAAGGGAUCGGGAAGCCUUUCUCCAAAUGAUGAGUGCAUGGUACACUGAGUUCGUUCGAACGAACCCAAAUGUACGACCUCCCCCACCUCCCCCAAUUCCUCAACCUGUACCCCCGAUGCCUCAAGGUAUGGAUCUGAUGAAAUUUCACAGAACUCCAGUUGAUAGAAUUCGCAAGCAAGGGGCCGAAGAAUUUAAAGCAAAUAUUGAUGAUGAUGCCGAGAGAGCAGAGUUCUGGCUUGAAAAUUCAAUCCGGGUAUUUGACGAAUUAUCUUGUACACCUGAAGAAUGUUUGAAAUGUGCUACAUCUUUGUUAAGAGAUUCAGCCUAUAAUUGGUGGAAGACUUUGAUUUCGGUGGUACCGAACGAGAGGGUAACCUGGGAAUUCUUUCAAGAAGAGUUUCGGAAGAAAUAUAUUAGUGAAAGAUUUAUUGAUCAGAAAUGUAAAGAGUUUCUUGAGCUGAAGCAAGGUAAUAUGACAGUCUCAGAAUAUGAAAGAGAGUUUGUUCGAUUGGGUAAGUAUGCCAGGGAAUAUGUUCCUACAGAAGCCAAGAUGUGCCAACGAUUUGAAGACGGGCUCAACGAAGACAUUAAGGUAUUUGUUGGGAUCCUUGAACUGAAAGAAAUGGUAGUACUGGUUGAUCGAGCUUGUAAGGCUGAAGAACUACUGAAGGAAAAGAAAGAGGUAGAAUCUGAAACACGAAAUUGGAAGAAAAGACCAAUGAGUAAUGCACCUUCACAGCAACCCGGAAAGUCAAGAAAUAUGAAUCCUCAUUCCCAAGUUUCAGCUGGGCAAUCAUAUGGAAAUUUUAAGAAGCAGAAUGUGGGUCCUAAAUCUCAGACUACUUCUGCGGCUAGUGUGGGAAAUACGAGAUUUGUUAAACCCGAGUGCCAGCGGUGUGGUAGAAAUCAUUUUGGUCCAUGCAGAGCAAAUGAAUGUUUUCGAUGUGGUUCUCCGGAUCAUUUUAUUAGAGACUGCCCAGAGAGAGAGAUGAGAAAGAAAAAUUUUAGAAUGUAAAAUCUAGUGGUGCAGACUCGAGGGGAAGGUAUCCGAGAAAAGCUGAAAGUGAAACAAGCAGUAAGAAUGUAGCCAGAGAUACAACAGUUAGAUCUGAAGGAAGAGCUCCAGCUACAACUUAUGCUAUUAAAGCGCGUGAAGAUGCUUCCUCACCCGAUGUGAUUACCGGUACAUUUUCUCUUUAUGAUACUAAUGUUAUUGCUUUGAUUGAUCCCGGUUCUACUCAUUCAUAUGUAUGCAUAAAAUUGGUGUCUAGUAUGAAUAUACCUGUUGAGAACACAGAAUUUAUGAUUAGAGUGUCGAAUCCACUAGGCAAAUGCGUGAUAGCUGAUAAAGUAAGUAAGAAAUGCCCUUUAAUGAUUCGGGGUCAUUACUUUUCGGCCAACUUGAUGUUGUUGCCGUUUGAUGAAUUUGAUGUUAUUUUGGGUAUGGAUUGAUUGACAUUGCAUGAUGCUAUAAUAAAUUGCAAAGAAAAGGUUAUAGAAUUAAAGUGUGAAAGUGGUGAAAUUCUGCGGGUUGAGCCAGACAAAUCAGAGGCAUUAUCUAGUAUGAUUUCUUCGAUGUCGGCUCAGAGAUAUUUGAGAAAGGGUUAUGAAGCUUAUUUGGCGUAUGUAAUUAAUACAAAAGAAGUUGAAAAAAAAGUUGAAUCAGUGCCGGUUGUGUGUGAAUUUGCAGACGUAUUUCCAGAAGAAUUACCAGGUUUGCCUCCAGUCAGGGAAGUAGAAUUUGGUAUAGAUUUGAUACCGGGAACAGCUCCGAUCUCGAUUGCUCCAUAUAGAAUGGCACCAACAGAGUUGAAAGAAUUAAAGUCGCAGUUGCAAGAGUUGACUGAUAAAGGCUUUGUGAGAUCGAGUUUUUCACCUUGGGGUGCUCCCGUGUUAUUUGUGAAAAAGAAGGAUGGUUCUAUGAGAUUAUGUGUUGAUUAUCGGCAGUUAAACAAGGUGACAAUCAAAAACAAGUAUCCGUUGCCGAGAAUUGAUGAUUUGUUUGAUCAGCUAAAAGGAGCAACAUGGUUUUCAAAGAUUGACUUGAGAUCUGGGUAUUAUCAGCUGCGAGUAAAAGAGUCAGAUGUGCCUAAAACUGCUUUUAGAACAAGGUACGGUCAUUAUGAAUUUUUAGUUAUGCCGUUCGGGUUGACAAAUGCUCCUGCUGUGUUUAUGGACUUAAUGAAUCGCAUAUUUCGGCCAUACCUGGACAGAUUUGUUGUGGUGUUUAUAGAUGAUAUUUUAAUUUAUUCAAAAGAUGAGACAGAGCAUGCUGAGCAUUUGAGGAUAGUUUUGCAAACUUUGAGAGAUAAGCAGCUGUAUGCUAAGUUUAGUAAAAGUGAAUUUUGGCUCCGGAAAGUUGGAUUUUUGGGUCAUAUUGUUUCAGGUGAUGGUAUACGGGUUGAUCCUAGUAAAAUUUCAGCCAUUGUUGAUUGGAAACCACUGAAAAACGUAACUGAAGUUAGAAGUUUCUUGGGGCUAGCUGGGUAUUAUCGGCGGUUCGUAAAUGGAUUUUCUAUAAUUGCUGCUCCUAUGGCUAGACUACUCCGAAAGGAUGUUAAAUUUGAAUGGACGGAAGAAUGUCAACAGAGUUUCGAAGAAUUGAAAAAGUUAUUAACUGAAGCACCAGUGUUGAUACAACCCGACUCAGGUAAAGAAUUUGUGGAGUAUAGUGAUGCUUCUCUAAAUGGUUUGGGGUGUGUACUAAUGCAAGAAGGAAAAGUGGUGGCUUAUGCUUCGAGACAGUUAAAACCUCAUGAGAACAAUUAUCCUACUCACGAUUUGGAAUUGGCUACGGUGGUGUUUGCUUUGAAGAUUUGGCGACAUUAUUUGUAUGGUGAAAAGUGCCGAGUAUAUACCGAUCACAAAAGUCUUAAAUACUUGAUGUCACAAAAAGACUUGAAUUUGAGACAGCGAAGAUGGUUAGAGUUAUUGAAAGAUUACGAGCUUGUUAUUGAUUAUCAUCCGGGGAAAGCGAAUGUGGUUGCCGAUGCUUUAAGCAGAAAGUUGUUGUUUUCUUUGAGAGUUAUGAACACUCAGUUGAAAAUUUCAGAUGACGGUUCGAUUCUAGCAGAGUUAAGAGCAAGACCGAUGUUUUUACAAGAGAUUUUUGAAGCUCAUAAAAAUGAUCAAGAUUUGCUAGCCAAAAGAAAACAGUGUGAAGCUGAUACGGGAUCAGAUUUCAGAAUCGGUUCUGAUGGUUGUUUGAUGUUUAAAAAUCAGAUUUGUGUACCGAAAAAUGAUGAGUUGAUUCAAAAGAUUUUGCAUGAAGCACAUAAUAGUUGUUUAGCAGUUCAUCCGGGCAGUACGAAGAUGUAUAAUGACUCGAAGAAAAUGUACUGGUGGAGUGGAAUGAAAAGAGAUAUUUCCGAGUUUGUAUCAAAGUGCUUAGUUUGUCAACAAGUGAAAGCUGAACACCAGGUACCUUCGGGAUUACUUCAGCCUAUUAUGGUUCCUGAAUGGAAAUGGGAUUGGAUUACUAUGGAUUUUAUAUCAGGGUUGCCGUUAACUCUAGGGAAGAAAAAUGCCAUUGGGCAAUAGUUGACAGACUGACUAAAUCGGCUCAUUUUAUUCCGAUACGUACAAAUUAUUCUCUUAAUAAGUUAGCUGAAUUGUAUAUCCGAGAGAUUGUUAGACUUCAUGGGAUACCUCUGUCAAUCAUUUCGGAUAGAGAUCCGAGGUUUACCUCACGGUUUUGCAAAAAGUUGCAAGAAGCAUUAGGUACAAAGUUAAAUUUCAGCACUGCCUUUCAUCCACAAACUGAUGGACAAUCAGAGAGAGUAAUUCAGAUUCUUGAAGACAUGCUCAGAUGUUGCGUAUUGAAAUUUCAAGAUAGUUGGGAAAGGUACUUACCAUUGGUAGAAUUUGCUUAUAAUAAUAGUUAUCAGACAAGUUUGAAGAUGGCACCUUAUGAAGCAUUAUAUGGUCGUAAAUGUCGGACGCCAUUGUAUUGGACUGAACUCAAGGAAAGUCAGAUUUAUGGAGUUGAUUUAAUAAAAGAAACCGAAGAAAAGGUGAAAGUGAUUCGAUAUUGUUUGAAAGCUGCUUCAGAUAGACAGAAAUCUUAUGCGGAUUUGAAACGAAAAGAAAUGGAGUUUCAAGUUGGUGAUAAGGUAUUUUUGAAAGUGUCUCCAUGGAAGAAAGUCCUUAGAUUUGGACGAAAGGGCAAGUUAAGUCCGCGUUUUAUUGGACCGUAUGAAAUAAUUGAAAAAGUUGGACCGGUAGCAUAUCGGCUAGCGUUACCACCCGAAUUAGAGAAGAUUCAUGGUGUGUUUCACGUAUCUAUGUUACGCCGGUAUCGUUUGGAUCCUUCACAUAUAAUUUCACUGACAGAAGUUAAACUACGACCGGAUAUGACUUAUGAAGAAGAACCGAUUAAGAUUUUAGCUCUAGAAGUCAAACAACUAAGAAAUAAAAGUGUUGCACUUGUGAAAGUGUUGUGGCAAAAGCAUGGGGUAGAAGAGACUACAUGGGAACCUGAAGAAACUAUGAGAAACCAAUAUCCACACCUGUUUACCGGUAAGAUUUUCGAGGACGAAAAUCCUUAAAAGGGGGGGAGAGUUGUAAUAUCCUGAAUUAGGGCUUACUCGAAAUAGUGGUUUCGUGACCACAAAUCUGUGAUAAAAAUAAUAAUUUUAUAAUUAUUUUAAUGAUUAUGAUAUGAUUGCAUGAUUGUGUGAAAUUUUCGUGAUGAAAUUCUAUGCCAAAAGUGCUUAAAUUGAAAGUAGGGACUAAAUCGAAUAAGUUGCAAAACUUGCAUUCUAGAAGUUUGUAGUAUGAAAUUGUUUUGGAAUAUUAAUGAGGAGGUAUUAAAUAGCAAUUUGACCAAUUUUAAGUUCAUGGACAAAAUUAGGACAUGGAAGGAAUUUUUGGAAAGUUUAGUAGUAAGGGUAUUUUGGUCAUUUAGUUAUUAAAAUGAAUUAAAAACAAAAUUAAAAGCCAAUUUUUGUCCAUCUUCUUCAUUAGGCCGAAAUUUCAAGGGUUCUCCAUAGCUAGGGUUUGUUUCAAGCUUCCAAGCUCUAUAGUAAGUGAUUCCAAGCCCCGUUUUUAAUGUUCUUUACGUUUUUGGAAUCCCGGUAGCUCGAUUAAGCUUAUGUUAGCAAUAAUUCAACCUAGGGUUUAUAUUUGGAAAAAUACCCAUAGGUGAAAUUUUUGUAUUUUGAUGUUUUAUGAUAGAAUAUGGGGUUUUAAAUUAUGUUAGACAACUUGUACUACUCGAUUUUAAGCAAAAACGAGUAAAAGGGCUUAAUCGGUAAAAAUACCUAAUAGUCACAAGUACAUGUUAGAGUGAGAAUUUGAUGUUGCCAUAGAAGAGAAAAGUGAUCAGCAUGUUGUAAAACAUAAGAAUAAGGAAUAAAGUUUAAUCCCAAGCCUAGGGGCAAAAGUGUAAAUAUGCAAAAGUUUAGGGGCAAAAUUGUAAUUUUGCCAAAAUUUGAGUUAAGGAUUAAUUUGAUAAUGUGAGUAUUAAAUGAGCUAAAUUUGUUAUUUUAGAUCAAGAAAGACGUGGAAUCAACCUCAAUCGAGGAAAAGAAAAAAUUAUGGACUAAAUUGCAAAAUCUUUGUAUUUUGGUACCAAGGUAAGUUCAUGUGUAAAUAAUAGCAUAAUUGUUAUUUUUAAGUUAUUGAUAUUAAUUAUGUGUUAUGCUGAAUUUCAUUAUGAAAUGUAUGCUUUGUGGUUAAUUUCAAAUAAUAUGUAAAUUAUGUGAGCUACUUGUUAAAUAUAAUUGUUACCGAGUAUUGAUUUCGGCAUUCUACGGAAGACGGCAAGGAUAAGUGUUCGAGAAAAAUCCCGUUUGAACCUUAGGAAUAGAUUAGGAUACAAGUGACAUGUCACUAGGAUGGUUGAGCAUCCGAACUCGUUGAGUUGAGUCCGAGUUCACUUAUGGAUGCGAAUGUCCGAACUCGUUGAGUUGAGUCCGAGUUCGUGAGAUGUAACUAGGCAUCCGAACUCAUUGAGUUGAGUCCGAGUUCACUUAUGGAUGCGAACGCCCGAGCUCGUUGAGUUGAGUCCGAGUUCGCUUAUGGGCGGGUUACAUGAUUGCUUGAUUGAAUAUGUGGCACUUAUAUGCAAAUUAUCCAUGUAUCCGAAUUAUAUUCCGAUGUGUUCAACGGGUAAAGUUUUACUCACAUGGAGGAAUACUCGAGAUGAAAAGAGACGUAUUGGUAAGUGAUGAGAAAUGGAUAUUUUGGACAGGUAUGUAUUUAACCCUCGGGUUGAGUGUUGAUUACAACCACGAUAAGGUAAUAAGAUGAUGAAAAAUGAUUAAAAAAAUGUGAUAAGUGUGUUGAUGAUAUAUGCUAAUGUUGAUUAGUUUGAUUGUUUGUUAUGUUAUUUAUUAUUUACAUAUGAACUUACUAAGCAAUUAUGCUUAUUCCCUCCUUCUUACUCAUUGUAGUUUUGGACAAGCCAGUUCAGGAGUCGGGAUAGGUCGAAGGCUCAGUCACACUAUCAGGAAGAUUUUUGGUAAAUGGCUUGUAAAUUUAAGUAUGGCAUGUAUAGCAAUAUACUUAUUUUGUGUAAAUGAUUUUAUGAUAUGGUGACAGAAUGGUUGAGAAUAUAUUUGAUAAUGAUAAAUUAUGAAAAUGGUAAGUUUAGAUUAUGUUUGAUGUUAAGGAAAAUUAUUAAGAUACUUAGUGCAUAAAAACUCAUAAGAGGGAUGAAAUUUGCCAUAAACAGAAUACUGCAGCAACACUGACGCGAGUUUGAAAAUUUACUAAAAAGCAUAGAAAUUGAAUUUGGUGAUGGACUACAUAUCAAAUUGAAGCUAUUAUGUCUAGUUUCACAUGAAAUAAAUGAAACAGGUAAAGGAAUUAUAUGUUAGAAGAUAUUUGAAUUUUAGUGAAACAGGGUCAUAGCAGUUUCUGAAUCCCCUGUUCCUAAUUUAGAAAUUCACCAUAAAUUGUAAAGAUAUAAUUAGGUGGUGUAUUUUAUAUCCUCAGAAUCCUUAUUGAAUUUAGUUUUAGGAGAAACAAACCUCAUAGUCAUAUGAAUUUUUUACAGAGAGAAAAGUGGUUCGUAGUAAACAGAGGUCAGACCAGUCAAGUCCUGAAACAGAGGUAACUUUAACUAAUAAACUGUACUAAUUGGCCCAACCAAAAAUUUUACAAAAAAAUUAGUAGAUAGGUAUAUGAGUCUAGAUUCAGGGAAAAUUUACGGAUCUUGAUUUUGAGUUUCGUAACUCGAGAUAUGAUUUUUCUUGUGACUGUGACGCAAGUAGCUUAAAAGCUGUGAAUGUAGAAACAAAUAAUCCAAAGUUCUAAAAAUGUUAAAUUAAGCUUAGUAACACCUCAUACGCGACUCCGGUGACGGUCUCGGGCGUGGGGGCGUUACAUGCAUAAAUGAAACUUUUCUUACCUUUUUUACUAUAUUAUAUAAUAGGGUAUUCUAGGGGACUUCGUCAAGGACUUCCAACUUUUAAAGCUUUCUUUAUAUUGAAGAGAAGUUUCCAAUAUAUGUAUAUAUGAGUGUGGGGAGGGAUCCAUUUAUACUAGUGUAAAACUUAAGUGAUUUUACUUUUUUGUAACUUUUUACAUUAGUAAUAUUUUAACAAUUCAACCAUCAUAUUUCAUGAUCCAUUCAUAUAGAUAAUGCAUGUUAAGUUUGGCAUAAAUUAAAAAUGAGAUGAGAAAUUACCCUAUACUUUACCAAAUCUUCCAAUAUGGUACCUACACUUUUAAUUUGUCCAAUCUGGUACAUGUACUUCAAUCUCCUUAAUCAUAGUGGUACUUGACCCUAACGCCAUUAAAAAAAUGAUGAAAUGAUAUGUUGACCAAUUAUGUGGUGCCACGUGGCUCAUGUUGGCUCAUUGACUAAUAGUUCAAGGGCUUCUUUGCAAUAAAUCCUAAAAUUAUUCUCUUUCCCAAAUUACAUUUUUCACAAUACUUUAUUUUUCACGUUUUUACUUGAAAACUUAUUGUUUUCUUUUUUUUAUUUCUUUUGUUCCUUUCUUCUUCAACCCUAGUUGCUACCACAGCUGCCCUCGGCCUCCUUCCAACUCAAAAUGGCACAGAGUGUUGCUCUUCGUUCUCUCUUUCGUUUCCCAAUUUGAAAAAAUUUCUAAAAGCUAUGAAAUGCCUUUAAAUUUUUGGAAUUUUCUAAUCUCAAUCUAAAGAUCCAACCGUUGGACAACCGUGUAACUUUGACGACGUUCUUUUCUUAGCAUGAUGAACCUUUUCAUCACUCAGAUCCUUCAAACGAUCCCCUAAAACCCAAGUUUGAAAGGGGGGGUUACUUAAGCCCUCCUCUCUUUCUAGUUCCAUCAUAUUGAAAUUAUAUGUUUAAGUUUCUUCAUUGAAUCUUCCAAACAAUUUUUGUAUCUUCAAUGAAUUAGGUUCUUCAUUUUGGUCAUUUCUUUUUAUUUUUAUUUACCUAAAAUUACAUCUACAGAAACAAAAAGAAAAAGAUAAACUUUUAUAUUUUUCAAUUUUCCUUUGAUUUUUUUGUUGUUGUUUAUGUUCUAUUCUAAAUGAGGAUUAUGUUAUAUCUCAAAUUUUUAGAUAUUUGGGUGAGAUUUAUUUUAGUAAGAAUGAUUUAGAAAUAUCUAUCAUUAGUUUUUAAUUAUUCCUUUGUAGUAUCUUGUUUGAUUCUUGAGAAAAAUAUGGAAGUGAAAAAAUUUUAGUAGAUUAGAAGAAAAAUUGAAAAACAAAACAAAGUAACAUUUCAAAAAAAGCGUGAAAGUAAUUUUUAAAAGUAAAAUAUAUUAAAACAUUUUAUAUAAUUUUUGAUUUUGAAGAAAAAUAUACUUUUUAAUAUAAAUAUCUAAUUUUGAUAAAAAAAAUAUUUCUUUCAACAAUAAAAAAAAUGGAAAAAUUGCCCACAAGGGUCUGAGCUAGAAGUCAAAGGUCAAUAAACAUAUAUUCGGUGCCCAUUGAUUGGUUAAUGUAUCACGUCAUCUAUUUUUUAAAACGGUGUUAGGGUCAAGUAUAGAACAUCUAGGUCCACAAAAUCACUAAACUAAAAUUUAGUUACACCUUCUAACACUCCAAAAUAUGAAAAUAAAGGAGGAAUUUAAAAAACCAAAUAGAAGAUUGAAUAUUUGGUUUGAUGCAAUUAAUACUUAUAACAUAGGUGGUAAUUCUUAGUGAAGAUGAGACUGGAAGGGUAUUUUUAGCUAAGGGUGAUAAAUAACUCAAUCAAGGAUAAAUAAUUAUUUAAUUAGAUAGUUAGGGAUUUAAUCAAUCAUAAGUUAGAGGCUCGCAUUGUCAACACUAGGAAUAAGAAAUUCCAUUAGGUAAAUUUAGGUUUAUUUAAUUUAAUUAAUUUAAUUAAUAUUUUAAUUUGGAUUAACACUACUAAUUUGUGACUCGAUUAUAUUAGUAAUUAUUUUCUGUAAUUAAUUUGAUAAUAGUUUCUCCAAUCUGCAAUCCAUUUGGUACAAUCCUCGGAAUACUUACCGGUGUUUCGUUGUAAAUUUUACUAUAUUACAAUUUAACCCGUACGCUUGCGGAUACUGCCGAUUUAAUUUUAUAUAUUUUUGAUGUGAUAUUUUUACUAUAAAUGAUAACACGUUUAUAGGCGGUCAUCGUAACACAACUCAUUGACUAGAUCUCGUCAUGACGAUAAGAGUCCGACGUUGCAACGUGACCAUCUGUUUGCAAAUGGCCCAAAAUGGUACCAAAUUGCACUUACCUAAACAAAAAUUCAAUUUUCCAAUAUACUUUUCCAACUAGACACAUAUGUUCCAAAAGUUCAAUUCUAUACAAUACUACCUUAUCCAUAAAUGUAUAAAUGCCAUACAACCAAUUCAUCAUUACCAUUCAACAUAUAAGCUAAUUUCAUGGCACAAACCAUUCAAAACAUUUGACAUAUAUAUAUACUCAAAUAAAGCAUAACAUAACAACUAAUUAUGCAUUUCAAACCUUGUGACAUACUCCAAUUCAUAAUCCAACUAUUUGACCAUUUCCAAAAUAUCAAUUCUAGCUUCAAUUAUGAACGUGAUAACAUAUUAUGCCAAAAUGGACUCAACCUAAAUACAUACCGAAUAUUAAACAAAAUGAGACUAUACAAACAUUAUUGAGUUGAGGACAACUGACUAGAUAUUGGAUCACACUUCGAAACUUCAGAAUUUACCUACAUCUAUGCACGAAGAAAACAAACCGUACGUUGAACGAUAAAGCUCGGUGUUAUUUUUAUGAUUCAAGUCAAUACAAUACAAGUAAAAAUCAAUGCAAACAUUCUACUCUAGUUGUCAACUCACAUACAUACUCAUGUAAAAACUUCCAUUACCAUAUGACUUGCAUAUAUCCAUUUAUGCACUUCAGUUCAUUGCAUAAGUACCUUAACAUAACAUUCAUGCUAUUCAACAAUAAGAUAUCAUUUCUUUCUUUUGUAACAUAUCAACUAAUAACAUAAACUUAAUGAUUAAUUCAUAUAAUUGAACCAUACUAUAUUACCUAAUCAUUUCACACUAUCAUCUAUAAACAUAUACUUGUUCAUACACCAUUAUCAACUUAUAUAUAUACACAUAUAUUCAAUUUUGUCUAAUCAUUUCAAUCAUUUCCAAGCCUAUUGGUUCAUUCAUAUUUAAUCACCCCUCAGGUCUCGAUUUAAUUCAUUUGUAUGGUCUGUCAAAUGUUAUCGAACAUCACAUUUCAUAUGUUUACAAUUAUACCAAAUCAUAUCACAUUUCAUUUCAAAUUACCAUAUAGUCAAAUCAUAUUUAUAUAACCCUAUUAACUGGACACAAACUCAAAAUGGAUACGUAGAUCCGUCACCCCAGGUUGCCUGACAACAAUGACUCUGAACAUGUACAUACUAUCAUCCUGGGUUGCACGAUAAGGAUGGUUUCCAUAAUCAGAUUAUUUUGUCACCUCAGGUUGCUUGACAACGAUAACUCAACAUGUACAUUCUACCACCCCAGAUUUCCUGACAACGAUGAUUUCAAAUCAAUAUCCUGACCCUAUAACAUGCCAAUAAUAUUUGACCCUAUCCGAACAGCUAAUAGGGUAACCAAUUUUCCAAUUUCAUUAUAUGAUUUAAUUCAUAUUCCAAAAUUCUCUAUUUAUUAUCAUUUCAAAAUUUCAUCACAUUUUAUAAUAUGUUUCAAUUCUUUUCCAUACCACAUAUAGCAUUUAAAUCAAAUCAUGCUACUUUCUAUUUAUUCAAUUCAGUCCACUAUUUCAAUUUUCAAUCUCAAUCAUAGCAAUUCAAUUUAAAUAACCAUUAUCAAAUCACUUCAAUACCAUAAUAUGCAAAAUAUCAUGAAUAUGCAAUAACUAAUUUGAUCUCGAAUCAUAGAAAUACAAAUUGAAAUCUUGUAUCACUCGUCGUUAACUAUCAUUUUUUCCUUUCACUAUCAACGACCCGAUGUCAUCUUUAGCUAUGAGUAAUUAUUCAAUAAAUAUACAAUAUCAAUUUUCAUCUGAUUCACAUUCAAAUACAAAGCCAAGCAUAUUUUGUAUUUUAUUCAAUUUAGUCCCUAAACUCGGGAUAAGCAUAAGUUUCAAUAUAUAACAUCAAAUUAAAAUCUGAUUUCACAUUUACUCACUAAGGACCCAAUUUCUAUUCUUGACAUAAUUUCAUAAUAUGUUUCAUUUUAUUCAAUUUUGUCCCUAAUGUAACAAAAUUAACAACUAAGCUUAUUAAGAUUUACAAUUUAGUCCUUUUCAUAAUCUAAGCUAAAUUUCUAUCAAUUUCAAGCCUAAUUCCUCACAUUCUUAACAAUGGAAACUUAUCAAAAUUUCAAAAAUUGAACAAAUUGAUACAUGAGCUAGCUAAAUCAAUCUCUCAUGAUCAUAAAUCUAUAAAAAUCAAAGAAAAAUGUCCAAGGAUUUACUUGUAAACGAUGGUCGAAUGUGCAAAGGUUAAAAAAAUGGCAUUUUCUUGUUGUUGUUUCGAUGGACGAUGAGGAAGAUGAUAUUUGCUUUUAUACUAAGUUUAACCAAUAAAUAACCUUAACUAAUUAAUUAGUUUAAGCAUGUUUUACUUUUAAUUAAUCUUAAUUUAAUAAUAAAUUAACCCUUAAUGGAAGUCAUUAACGAAUCCCACUAACUCCUAUUCUAAAUUAGUUUAUUAACCAUUUUAGUCCCUUGGAUAAUUGCUAUCCAAGUCCCCAAGCCUUUUCUUGAUUAAAAAUCUAUAGCAAUUGGACUUUUACAAUUUAGUACUUGGGUCUUAAUUAACCAUAUUUUCUGCUAAAUUACUUAACUAAAUUAAAUCCGUAAAGUAUUCCUAUUUAAUAUUUACGAGCUUGAUUUACAAAAAUAGGAUUCUGAAACCGCAUUUUUUGACACCACUGAAAAGCAGAUCAUUACAUUUGUAACACCCCUAACCCUUAUCCAUAGCCGAAACAAAGUUACAGAGCAUUACUGGACUUUUUAGAUCAAAUACAAACAUUUCAUAUCAUUUAACAUACAUAUCAGAAACUAAUCAUAAAUCACUCAUAUUGUCCCUUACAUGAGCUCUCGGGGCCCAAAAUACACAUUAGAAAUGAAUCAGGACUAAACCGGAACCUUAGAGAAUUUUUUGCAAAACUUCAGAAUUUUUCUUAGAUGUAGGGGACACACGCUUGUAUGGCUCACACGGCUGAGACACACGCCCAUUUGGACAAAAAUAGGCCAUUUUAAGGCUACAUUUCUCACCCAUAUUUGAUUUCAACCUAAACACUUCAAAUUUCUUACUCAUAGGCCAUAACAAGACCUUCAAUACACUCAACUCAAGCUCUAAGCAUGUCAUAUUAUCUCAUAUAUCAUAGCAUAUCAAAUUUACCAUAUUGAUCAAAACAAAUAUUUGCAUAUUUAUACCAUUUAUUCAAAAAAAUGCCUAUAAACUAUCCAUCAAUUAAUCAUACCUAAACAUAUAUCAAGCAUGAUAAGACUACACACACAUAUAUAAGUUGAUUGGAAAUAUAAACAAAAUAUAAAUUAUAAUAUUUACACGAAAUAACUUUACUCAAAACCAUUCCAACACUAUACAUGCCAUAUAAACCGUAGUGUACAUUUCAAAAGCUACCAGAAUAAGCUAGAUAGUGUGGCUUGAUGUGCUGAUCCAAUCUUUUGAUGUAACAUCCUGAAUUAAGGCUUAGUCAGAAUAGUGGUUUUAGGACCACAAAUCUGACGCUAAAAUAAUUAUGUCAUGAUCAUUAUGAGGUCUAGGAUAAGAAAAUGAUCAUGUGUUAAAGUUUUAAGAAGAAAUUCCAUGUGAAAGGUGUCCAAUUGGAAAUUAGGGACCAAAUUGAAUAAAUUGCAAAACUUGGGUUCUAGAAGCAAUUUGUAUGAAAUUGCUUUGGAAUGUUAAUUAUAGGUCCUAAAAGAGUAAUUUUCCCAAUUUUUAAGUUUUUGCACAAAAAUGGGCAUGCAUGGAAAAUUUUAGAAGUUUAGUAAGGAAGGGUAUUUUGGUCAUUUGGUAAUAAACAAAAUAAAAAGGGAAAAAUAAAGCUAAAAUCAGCUCAUUUCCUUCUCCAUGCUGCCAAAUUCUAAGGGUCUACAUAGCUAGGGUUUUCAACAUUUUCAAGCUUAAUAGUAAGUGCUCCCUAGCCCUGUUUUUAACGUUCUUCAUAUUUUUGAGAUCCUCGUAACAUGCUCUCUCUAUUUCUACCUAAAUUUCAAGCUAGGGUUCAUGUUCAAAAAUUUACCCAUGCAUGAUAUGUUUGUGUUUUGAUGAUUUAUGGAGGGAUAUGAGAGUUUAAAGGAUGGUAAAAAACUUUUACUAAGUGGUUUUUCAUGGAAAUGGCUUAAAGGACUGAAUUGUAGAAGUUGUGGAAAUGGGUAAGAAAAUAUAGAAUGAAGGAAAAACAUGGGCUGCUAUGAGUGUGAAUAGAAUUCGGCUAGGCUUGGGUAGCCAAGGAAUUUUAUGCAUUUCAUUAUACGAGUCUUAGGACUAAAUUGUAAAUAUUGUGAAAGGUUAGGGGCAAAAUGAUCAUUUUGCCCGGGGGUGAGUUUUAGGCCUAAAACAAAUAAUGUGAUGUAUUAAUAAUCUAAUUUUAUUGAUAUAGACCUCGAGGAACCAAUUUCGGAGGUCGAUUGUGGAAAAUGAAAAGUUUCAGAAUAGCCGAGACACGAAACCGAAGCAAUUACCAGGUAAGUUCAUAUAACCCGAAGUAAAAUCUUAAUAUACUUAAACAUGCAUGUUCUUGAAUGUAUAAAAAUUUAGAUAUUCAUUGCAUAAUAAUUCAUGAAAUGUGCUUGUGUAAAAGAAAGAUGAUAAAUUUCCCGGUUGAAAUAGAAAAGGGAAAUCCGAUAGGUAAACUAUGGCUUACAUGACAUGAGAUCCUGCAUGUGUUGUAAAAAAGGAUUUAACCCAGACGAGUAAUCCAAUGAUCUCAAAUAGAAAGGAUCUAGCCCGAACAGGUAUUCCUUGAGUGAUCGAGCCUCCCGAAGAAUAUGAUGCAUUAAGCCCAGACGGGUAAUCUGAUUGAGGACUGAAUUUAGCCUGGAUUGGCAAUUCAAAUUCGAGCUUAUGAGAGCAAUUGUCGUUAAAAAGGGAUUUAGCCUGGACUGGCAAUCCCGACAUUACUCUAUUAGUUACUACUACGGGGGAUUUAGCCUGAACUGGUAAUCCCGACAAUGCUCUAUAAGUUACUACUACGGGAAUUUAGCCUGGACUAGUAAUCCCGUUGUAAGAUAUAAGUUUCACGGGAGCGCGUACUCGAGAUGAUCACUUGUAUGACUUGACGGUAAAUGCCUAUCCAUCAAGAUUUUCUGAGAAAUUCAACGGGAUUAACAUGCUGAAAUAAAGAAUGGGAAUAUUGAAUUGAUGAGCUCAUCUAAGACCAAUGACAUGAUGUAUUGUUAUGAGACUAACUUGAUGAUUGAGUGCAUCUGAUAGGGAAACUAUUUCAUACUUGUUGGAAUUAUUAUUUAAUAUGGUUGUAUGUUAAUUAACUGAUAAGUUUACUUUCCAGUUAUCCAGACUUACUAAGCAUAUAAAUGCUUAGCCCCCUUUUCUCCUUUUCCUAUCUUACAGAGCUUGUGGACUCGUGAAGAUUGGAAGACUGUUGGAGAGUCAACACACUAUCGACUGGUCCUGCUUUGGUAUAUAAAUACUUUCAUUUUGUUUAAUGGCAUGUAUAGGGUUUUUGGUUAUUUUUUUAUAUGUGUCAUUUGGCUAGCCAAUGUAAGGGCCUAAAUGAUAUACUUAUUCUUUUGUAUAUGGCCAUGAGAUAUGGCUCAUAUUGAUUUAGGUUGUAAACCUAAUAAUAAUGUAUGUUUAUGUUUAAAUGUUUCAUGAGAUAUGAUGAUGAGGUUUAUCAUGAAUGGAUGCUUGAAAUGGAACCUAAAAUUUGAGAGUGGACAUAGUAUACAGUGGUAUAUGGUUAUAAUAUGGCCUAAGUAUAAAAUGUGCUAUGUUAAUCCCUAAUGUGAAAAGGAUAAUUUAGCAUGUACUAAACCGAUGAGAUGAGGUUAGCAUGCAAUGAGUUACGUCAAGGUUGUUCAAGAGUGUAAUUAGGCCAUGUUACAUACCACUGAAAUCUAUAAGUGUAUAUGGAUGAUAGAGGGUGACCAAAGGCUUGGAAAAUAGCCCUGAAAAAGUCCACAUGGGUAGACACACGAGCAUGUGUCUAGGCCGUGAGUGACACACGAUUAGCCCCCAUGGGCGUGUUGCUUGGAAAAUAGCCCUGAAAAAGUCCACAUGGGCAUGUGUUGCAGAAAAGGAUUUAGCCCGGGUAGGUAAUCCAAUGAUCUAAAAUAGAAAGGAUCUAGCCCGAACGUGUGUUCCUUGAGUGAUCGAGCCUUCUGAAGAAUAUGGUGCAUUAAAGAUUUAGCCCAGACGAGUAAUCCGAUUGAUGACUGAAUUUAGCCUGGACUGGCAAUUCAGAUCCGAGCUUAUGAGAGCAAUUAUUGUUAAAAAGGGAUUUAGCCUGGACUGGUAAUCCCGACAUUGCUCUAUGAGUUACUAUUACGGGGGAUUUAGCCUGGACUGGUAAUCUCGUCGUAAGAUAUAGGUUUCACGGGAGUGCAUACUCGAGAUGAUCACUUGUAUGACUUGACGGUAAAUGGCUAUCCAUCAAGAUUUUCUAAAAAAUUCAACGGGAUUAACAUGCUCAAAAAAAUAAUGGGAAUAUUGAAUUGAUGAGCUCAUCUAAUACUAAUGACAUGAUGUAUUGUUAUGAUAUUAACUUGAUGAUUGAGUGCAUGUGAUAGGGAAACUAUUUCAUGCUUGUUGGAAUUAUUGCUUAAUAUGGUUAUAUGCUAAUUAACCGGUAAGUUUACUUUUUAGUUAUCUGGACUUACUAAGCAUAUAAAUGCUUACCCCCCUUUUCUCCUUUCCUUGUCUUACAGAGCUCGUGAACUCGUGAAGAUUGGAAAACGGUUGGAGAAUCAACAUACUAUCGACUGGUCCUACUUUGGUAUAUAGAUAAUUUCAUUUUGUUUAAUGCCAUGUAUAGGGCUUUUUGUUAUUUUAUUAUAUAUGUCAUUUGGCUAGCCAAUGUAAGGGUCUAAAUGGUAUACUUAUUCUUUUGUAUAUGGCCAUGAGAUAUGGCUCAUAUUGAUGUAGGUUGUAAACCUACUAAUGAUGCAUGUUUAUGUUUAAAUGUUUCAUGAGAUAUGAUGAUGAGGUUUAUCAUGAAUGGAUGCUUGAAAUGGAACCUAAUAAUUUGAGAGUGGACAUAGUAUACAAUGGUAUAUGGUUAUAAUAUGGCCUAAGUAUAAAAUGUGCUAUGUUAAUCCCUAAUGCGAAAAAGAUAAUUUAGCAUGUACUAAACCGAUAAGAUGAGAUUAGCAUGCAAUGAGUUACGUCAAGGUUGUUUAAGAGUAUAAUUAUGCCAUGUUACAUACCAUUGAAAUCUCUAAGUGUGUAUGGAUUAUAAAGGGUGACCAAAGGCUUGGAAAAUAGCCCUGAAAAGGUCCACAUGGGUAGACACACGGGCAAGUGUCUAGGCUAUAUGUGAUACACGGUCAGCCCCCAUAGGCAUGUUGCUUGGUCGUGUGUUCCCUACACCUAAAAAUUUAGGUCAGCUUGCAUGGUAGUAAACACACGGGCAGAGACACGGUUGUGUGUCUCAAUCAUGUGGAGGAGACGGCCUAGCACACGGGUGUGUGCCUAAAAAUGAAUGAUGACGUCAUAAACAGAAUGUUCACGUUUUUGGACACAUGAGAAGACACAUGCGUGUCUAGGCCAUGUGAGGCACACGGGCCAAGGACAUGGGCGUGUGCUUGGCCGUGUGAAAACCCAUGUAGGUUUGAAGUGAAAAAUAAAUCCAAAUAAUUCAAUGCGGGUGGGACACACGGGCGUGUCCCUAAGCACACGGGCGUGUGUUUUGCCUCCACACGAGCGUGUGAGGCAUAACCCUAGUAAUUUUACUAAAAUUUUCUAUAGUUCUCUGUUUAGUCCCGGAUCUCUUUUAAUAUAUGUUUUGGGCCUCGUAGGCCUAUAAUAGGGACAUUAUGAUGUUGCUUGAUUGGUUUUAAAUUAAAAUGAAAUUUUAUAACACGUAUUUUCUGAAAGUGUUCAAGUAUAUGUCUGGUAACACCUCGUACCUUGUCCCGGUCUUGGGUACGGGUAAGGGGUGUUACAUCCGACCUCUCAAAAAUCUACAAAGACAUUAAAUAACACAAAUAAGCUAUAAGUUCGAUGGGUUAAACUUAAAUUUUACCGAACCUACUAUAAUAAAUCAAUUAGAUAAAUUCAUUUAAUGUAAACUCCUUGCCAAUCACAGCUUCAAACGAUGAAUAUACUUAUUUUAGAUCAAUACCAAUAACAAACAAUAUGUUUUUCAAUUUCAAUUACAUAAUCACUUACCAAAUCUUCCCAAAUUAGAGAACAGCUUACGGAUAAGAGUACAUCGUUUUCAGAAGCCCUAAAGCUGAAUAGAAGCUCAUGAAAGCUAAAUAGAAACCCAUAAGGGUUGAACAUAAGCUCGUAAGAACUGAACGGAAACCCAUAAGGGUUAAACAGAAGCUCAAAAGAGUUGAAUGGAAACCCGUAAGGGUCAAACAGAAGCUUAAAAGAGCUGAAUGGAAACUCAUAUGAGUUAAACAGAAGCUCGUGAGAGCUAAAAGGAAAGUAAACACAAAAUUUCUCAACAAUACUGAACCUCGAUUUACUUGGGUAAUUUUUUGUCAAUUCCUCUAAUGUCGUCUUGCGCGACAAAACGAUUGUACUCAAAUCUUGCGUUCUAUUUUAUCCGGAUAUUCAAUUCAAAAGCAUAACUCCAUCAAUAAUUCAUUUAUAAAAAUAGAAUAAAUAAAAAAAAUCAUUCACCACAAAUCAAUGUAAAUAUUAAAUUUUAACCGUAUGAACUUACCUAGUUUAAAUUGUAAGAUUUGCAGAAGUUCAGGGACUAUUUCGCUAAUUUUCCUUUUUCACGAGUAUCUACAGGAUCUUGAUCUAAAAUAUAAAAUUACUCAUCCAUUAGCAUAUAUUUCAGUUCCCCAUUCACUUCACAAUUAAUACCCCUCAAUUUUUUGAAAUUACACAAUUAUCUCAACUUUUACAACUUUUGCAAUUUAAUCCCUUAACUAGUUGGUCCAUUAAAUGAACUAAUUUUUCUCAAUUGAUAAUUUAUCUAAAUAUUCUAGGCUAUUAUACAGCCCUUGAUAAAUAGAAAUUUAAUACAAAACCCUAAUAUUUAACAUUUUCACAAUUUGGUCCUAAAAUCAAUAUCUAACAAAAAUCACUUUAUAAAAUCAUCAUACAACAAAAUCAAAGCUUUAAAUCCAUGUUAUUUUAUCAAAAACAUCCAGUAUUCAUCAAUGGUAAUUUUCAAAAUUCUCAAUAAAAUAAAAAACUAAGGUAAUAACUAGUUAGACCUAAUUGUAAAAGUCUUAAAAACAUAAAAAUUACAAGAAAAUGGUAAGAAUUAAACUCACUUGAAGUAAAAAUAUAAAAAAUAGCUUAAGGAGCUCUCCUAUGGCUGCUUUUGGCUGAAAAUUGAAGAAGAAUUUGUCUAGAAACCUUUAAAGUUUCAAUUUGUAGUUUUAAUUUUGUUUUAUUUACUAUUUUGCCAUUAAAUGGCUAUUUUUUUAUUUUCACUACUCAUGCCGCCUCAACCAUUUCAUUUUGGCUUAUUUCCUCUUUAAGUCCUCUCUGUUUACCAUUUAAGAUAUUUAUGGCUCAGUUUAUAGAAUCGAGGUCUCGAUACCUCAUUUUCUAAACCACUUGACCUAAUAAAUCCUUAUAAAAUACAAAUUACUAAUUUAAAAAUCUUUCUAAAACCACAUUUGACUCAUAAAUACUAAAUAUUAAAAUUUACUAGCUUACUUGUCGGAUUUGGUGGUCUCGAACCACUAUUUCUGACACCAUUGAAAAUCGGGCUGUUACAACAUUGGUAGUUGGACUAAUAUGAAAAUCAUUGAAGUAAUAACACUUGAUGAUUAUGACUUUGUGGUUGGUAUAAUUUUCCUUGACCGGAUUAAUAUAUUUCUUAUCCCUUUUACUAAUUACAUGUGCAUUUUGGAUUAGUGCCACUAAUGUGUGGUACCGAUUAAAUGUGAGGUAGGUGCGGAAGCUCAUGUCUUAUUCGUAAUACAAUUUGCUAAUGGGGUGUGUAGAGAUGAAGUUUCUUACUUAGAAACUUUGAAGGUUAAUGGGUCUCAUAAGCCUAUUGAGGAGAUCCCAAAAGUGGUGGUUCUUUUGUUAUAGUUUUUUCGAGAUGUGAUGUCUGUCGAGUUGCCCAGAAAAUUACCUCAUAAGAGGGAGGAUCACAGGACUGAGUUAAUGCCCAAUGCCAAAUCACCAACCAAGUCCUCAUAUUGAAUUUCACCGCCAAAAUUGGAGGAAACUAGAAACAAUUGAAGGAUAUCUUAGAUGCUGGGUUCAUUAGACCAUCUAAAACUCCAUAUGGUGCACCGAUUUUGUUUCAGAAAAAGCUUGAUGAGUUUUUGAGAUUGUGCAUCAACUAUCAAGCAUUGAACAAGAUCAUUGUGAAGAACAUGUGCCAAAUUCCACUCAUUGCAGAUUUGUUUGAUCAACUUAGUAGUGUAAGGUGGUUUACCAAGUUGGAUUUGAGGUCGAGGUACCAUCAAGUCAAAGUAGUCGAAGAGGAUGAACCAAAGACAACUUGUGCGACGCAUUAUGAUUCGUAUAAGUUCUUUGUUAUGCAUUUUGGAUUAACAAUGUUCCAAGGACAUUUUUUUACCCUGAUGAAUAAGGUACUACAACCUUUUUCAGAGUAUUUUGUGAUUUUUUAUCUUGAUGAUAUUGUAGUGUACAAUAAGUAAAUCACUUGAGAAGCAUGUGAUGCAUUUAAGGGAAGUGUUUCAAAUCUUGUAACAGAAUAAGCGUUAUGUUAAAGAGGAAAAAUGCUCAUUCACAUAGCACGAGGCAUCUUUCUUAUGUAACAUUGAGGGAAGUGGUAGAAUUUGGAUGGAUAGGAGCUAAAUUCAGGCUAUUGUUGAUUAACAACUUUCUACUGAAGUAGAAAUGAGAAACAAAGCCACCAAGGAAAAUGAAAACAGGGACUAACGAAACCCAAGCUAAGAAAUGGCCAUGUUGAUCACCUCUUUGAUACCUGACAUGGGUUAAAGUCACGACUUUUAAUGGAUGAUCAACUCUCAUGGUGAAAUUUCAAGUCAAUCUAAGAAGCUAAAAUUAAAAUCAAUUUCAAGUGGGAUGUAGUUUGGGAGGAUUGAGUUUUAACUGGUGUUUCAAUUCAAUGUUUAUUUCUGGAGAAACUGCUGGUAAUGAAAAAGGUGUGAGUGGGAAAAUUCAGGUUAGGGAGAGAGAUGUAUACACCGACGAAGAAACAACCACGGUGUUGCCUUACAUGUGGGAAUAAAGGAAGACACACGUUGAUAGAUCCUACCUUGUUAUUUUCUUAAAAGGUCAGGGGUAUUAUUGGUUUUCCAACAUGAAGAGAAUGUCAAAUUAACGUCUAAUCUGAGAUGUCGGUCGUGAGCCGUUAAUGCAAUCCGACGGAUGAGAAAGAAACCCUAGUUGAGCCAAAGCUGAGAGUGUGGCUGGCUACUUAAGAUAAAGCAGCCUGCUCUCGCCUUCUCUUGUUCUCGCUCAACGCUCUUUUCUUCUGCUUCUGGUCAAGCCAAUAUCAAAAGACUUCCCUUUUAGCUCACAGGUAUGAAUCCAUUUACAACUUAUGAUUAUCUUUCAAAUGUUAUUGCUUUGAUUCGAAAGAAAAGGUAGUCUGAUUUGUUGGUAGCUGAAAUAUUAUAUCUGAUUUGCUGAAAUGGUUCUCAUACGAUUCAUAUUUUGUGUGUAGUUUCGAUCUGAUUCUUUGUUUUUUUGGUUGUGUUUUUAGAUUUCAUUCAUGAAAGUAAGUUUUGAACUCUGGAAUUUAUUUUUCUGAGAAAAUAAUUCCUGUGAUAACUGGUUUAUAGAAGCAAAUGCUGCCUAAGGGAAAUUUUUUAACGAAUAAUUAAAAUUGUCGAGUAUUAUUUUCUUAGUUUAGUUUGGCUUCGAUGGAAAUGUUUGACUAGCUUCAUGGGAAAGGAUAAGUUAAGAUCUAGUGGCUGUAGUUCAUUGGAAUGAACUCCAUAUCUAUGGAGGAACUGGGCUCGAAUCCCAGCGGCCACGUUUUAUCAAUGUUGGAUCUGUUGAAUUUAAAUGGGGCUUGAUUUUCUUUUUCGAAAUUGACUUGAACUGUUCUUAGUAAACAAUAAAAGUGGGUCACAGAUUCAUUGUUUCUUGUCCGCAAGAUGUUGGUCUUCUUGUGUGAUUUUGACUUGAAAUUAUGUUUUGAGCUUAUUUAAUUAAUUAUUACAUAUAUUUAAUGAUUUUCAAAUUUAAUAUCAGCUAAAUGACACUGUAGUUAAAUGUAAUAUAAAAAAUAUUAAUAAUUAAAAUAUAUAACAUUUUAAAUAAAAAAUAAAUAAAUAUUAAAACUAUAAUUAACUUUGAUUUAAUGUGCAAUUGUUUAUAUUAAUUUUAAUUUGAUAUAAUUAUACAUGUACAACUUUAAUUGUGAUUUAAAUGUAUACUUAAAACUUUAAUUUUAAUUUAAUCAUCCUCAUUUAAAGAAAUAAAUACAUUAAUUUAUUUUUAUACCGGAUAAAUAUAAUUAUUUAUAUAUGUAACAUAUAAACAUAAAAUAAUAUUAUAUUAAUAAUUGUGUUAAUAAUUUAUAAUAAUUGUAUCAAAUUAACAUUUAACUUACAUACUCUUGUAUUAGUGACAAUAUUAAUACCAAUCGAAUUAAGACUCAAUCCAAAUAUUGCUAGGUUACUUCUUUAAAAGAGAAUAUUAGUUUAAUACUUUUAAAAUUCUCAUAACAGCAAUUCCUAAAAAUAUUCGUGGCACACAGUAAAUCACACGCAACUUCAAUGAACUAAUUUUUAGAUAUGAUAGGAAAAAAUAAAAUAAACCCAAGAUAACAGGUGUAAACACACGAUUGAGGCAUACAUGGAUUAUAUUCACUAUGGAGCUCUCAAAGAUACUGUGAUUUAUUAGUAGAUGAAAGUACCAAAAAAUAUUAUAAGCUGACACCGAACAAGAUUGUAAAAGGAAAGCAAAAAAAAGUAAACUCUCCUGUCAGUUGCAUGAUGAAGAAAUAGAAUUAAGAAACAGUUCCUGAGGUUUGCACAAAGCAAAUACUCAUAACAAUUAAACUCAGAUGAAGCAUCCAUCAUCAAUCACACUUCAACUCCUCUCAUUUGUCCUUUGAAUCUCAUAACCUGUGAUUAAAAAAAUUUUAAUAAAGUGAGCUCAAUGCAAAUGUUAUUUCCAAAUAAACUAGCGGUUGCGGUUAAAUUUUGUCAUAUUUGCUAUUACUUCUUUAGAUUAUGUUGCAGGAUUUUGUCGAAGACAAGAACAUACACUGCGCUUUCAAUAAUUUUCAAAUAUGAAAUGCCAAGAUCAAACAUCAUAGGUUGAGUAGAAAAACUGACCAUAUCAUGAGCACCACUCUCUGGCAUUUUGGAACAUUCUUAACCAUGGACUAGGGCCUUUCUUGUCCACAUUCCAGUCCUUUGGAUACCAAGGGAACUGCCACAUCAGGAAACACCGCUCUGGAUGAGGCAUCAUGGCAAGAUGUCGACCAUCAGGAGAACAAAUUGCAGCCACUCCUAAUGGAGAACCAUUCAAGUUGAAGGGGUAUGCCUCUGUUGGGUUCCCAUCAUCGUCGCAAUAUCUUAAUGGAGCCAAAUCUGAAUGUAAUACACGAUCCAGAACACCAUCAUCAGGAAAAUAUGCUCUUCCCUCACCAUGGGCAGCCCAUACACCUAAUGUACUGCCUUCCAUUCCUUUAAACAUCAUGGCAGGAGAGUCCUUUAUAGUCACACUUGUGAACCGGCAUUCAAAUCGGCCAGACUCAUUGUGCACAAACCUGGGUUGUGAUGGGUCCCCACCAGCACCAAAAACACCCCCCACUUGUGGCCCUGGAAUCCACCCUAACAGAGCCAUUAACUGACAUCCAUUGCAAACGCCAAGACUGAAAGUAUCAGGGCGCUUGUAGAAUUCCUGAAACUGAUUGAGAAGAGGCUGAUUGAAGCGUAUGGACGCAGCCCAACCUUUUGCAGAAUCAAGCACAUCGGCAUAACUAAAACCUCCAACAAAUGCAACUCCACGGAAUUCAUUCAAAGAAAUAACUCUGUUAAGAAGGUCCGACAUUGCAACAUCCCAAGGCUCAAAACCAGCAGCAUAAAAUGCUGCUGACAUUUCUCUGUCUCCAUUGCUCCCUUCCUCACGAACGAUGGCUACUUUCGGUUUUAAAGUUGUAGUAAAACAUUUCUCAUCCGUAACUGAAGGAGUGAAAGACAAGGGCCAAGAAGGCUCAUGCCGGAACUUCAAACCUUCUUUCUCCAGUUCCACACAAGAUGCCAAUCUCUGCAACUUUUCGAGCUGGAAACUUGUAUCCUCCCACAUAUCUCUCAGCAGAGAAGUUUUCUCAUUUAAAUGAGUAAUUCCAUCAACCUUGAGCUCUAUCACAGGUGAGGUGGUUACUCGUCCUAUUAUCUCAGCAGAAACAUCCACACUGCUAAGCUUCUCCAUCACACUACCCAAGUUAUUCUUGCUUACCUCAAGAAUGACACCAAGCUCUUCAGCAAAAAGUGAUUGGAAAACACUAUUUCCUAGAGAAGCCAAGUCCAAUGCAAUGCCACAAUUUCCAGCAAAUGCCAUCUCCAACGCGCAAACUAGUAAUCCACCAUCACUGAUAUCAUGACCUGCAGAGAUCAGACCAUCUCCAAGAAGAUCCUGCACCCCCUCAAAAACUCUCUUCAGGUAGGAAACAUCAUCAAUAUCAGGGCAGUCAUUCCCAAUCUGAUCAAAAACCUGAGCCAAAGCGGAUCCACCCAGACGCCGCUUUCCCUUUGCCAAAUCAAUAUGAAGCAAAAUACCAUCAUCACCUUGCUUCAAAUCUGGGGUUACCGUUUUUGUUAUGUCAGGACAAGUGACAUAAGCACUAAUUACAAGAUUUCCUGGAGCCUUAACAACCUCCCCACCUGCAUGGGCAGCCAUUGACAGACUGUCCUUCCCACCAUCAAUAGCGAUACCAAGUUCAAUCAUUGCUUCUGAAAGAGCAAUAGCAGCGUCAUACAUGGCUGCUCCUUCACCCUCAAGCUUGGCAGCAUACAUCCAAUUUCCACUUGCUUUGACAUCAGACAAAGAAGUAACCUUUGCCCAAACAAGAUUUGUGAGAGCUUCUCCAACAGCAAGUCUAGCCAUUGCUUUUGGAUCAAGCAGCCCCUUGAUAGGCUGCUCUCCAAUGGCACAGGCACCCCCAGUUAAGUCAACAUAACUUUGAGCAAUGACUGCAACAUCGGCUAGAGGUAACUGCAAGGGACCAACCGUUUGCUGCUGUGCUACAAGACCUGUUACACAUCUAUCAACUUUUGUUGUCAAAAACCGUUUGGAACAUACAGAUGGAAGUCUUAAUACUCUCUUCAAUGAGUCCAUGACUGUGAUUGCAGGAGCAACAUCAAGCGGUUCUCGUGCAUAAGACACUCGCUUGAAUUCAAAGGAUUUUUGAGGCAUGUCACCAAGCACUUUCUCAAGCUCAAGAUCAACAGCUGGAGGAGGGGGAGGGAGUCCACUUGCACGACUUUUUUCAACAGCUACGCUAUCAACUAGAACAACACGUCCCUCACCAUUAAUAGUCCCAAUAACAGCCAUUGAAAGUCUUUCCCUUGCACAUAUUGAUUCCAACAGCUUGCGGCUUUCAGGUUUUACCAAGAUUGCGUCUUGUUCUUGAUACUCUGCACCCCAUAUCUCCAAAACAGACAUAGUGUGAUCUCCAACAACAAUGGCUCUAAUAUCAAUCUCAGCACCCUUUGGGUAUAUGAUUUCCUUGACAACAUUGCAAUUCCCACCAGCUCCCUGAUCAUGAAUGCUAAUAAUCGGGUUAUCCUCCCCCAUCUCAAUGCAGGCACGAACUACACGGUAUAGUUUUUGUGCCAUUUCUGCAUCUCCACGCUGUACAGCAUUAAAAUCAAGUUCUGCAUCGUUCUGGCCACUAACCAUACUAGACGCAGCUCCACCACCCAUUCCAAUACGAUAUGCAGGGCCACCAAUCUUUACAACUAACAUUCCAAUUUCUGGGUCCCCUUUCGAUAUAUAAGUGUGAUCAAUCUGUCCAAUGCCUCCACUAAACAUGAUGGGCUUCAACCAUUCACGACGUUCACCACUAGGGAGUCUUAUUCCAAAUGUUCUAGUAAAACCCUGGAUUAAUGGCUCACCAAAUUUGUUACCAUAGUCAGAUGCACCAUUGCUAGCCUCGAUGAGAAUUUCCAAAGGAGAAGCCAAAUUUGAUGGAUAAGUGAAAGACGAGUCUUCCCAUGGGGCAUAUGAUCCCUCUAUAUUAAGAUUCCCAGUUGUGUAACCAGCUGUGGAUGCAACAACAAAUGAUCCUCUUCCAGUGGCAUGUGUAUCCCUAAUGCGGCCACCUGCACCUGUCUCUGCACCAGGGUAGGGUGCCACUGCACAUGGGAAGUUAUGUGUUUCAGCUGUAAACAAGACAUCAAUUUCACGAGUUGUUUCAUUUAGUAGGCAGGCAGUUCCAGGCUUAACUGGUAGUAAUCGGUAUGCAAGAAACCCUUUUAUUGCACUCGAAUUAUCCUUAAAACCAAUGACAGAAUUAUUUGGGUUUGCUUUCAAAGUGCUCUUGACAAUUUGCAUGAGGGUCCUAUCCAUGGGCUGUCCAUCAAUAACAAUCUUCCCUGUGAAAAACCAAUGCCUGCUAUGCUCACUGUUAGAUUGGGCGAUAUCAAAUAACUCUACAUUCGUCGGAUUCCGCUUUAUGUCCUCCACAAACAGCCUGGUAUAGUACUGCAAGUCUUGUUCAUCAAAUGCUAAACCCAUUUCGUGAUUUAUUUCCUCCAACGCUUUCCUUCCCCUCUCAAUGAUAGGCACAAAACGAACCUCCUCCAGAGCCACACUAGUUUCAAAUGAAGCGAGCCUCUGCCAAUAAACACACUCCGUCAUCCGAUCAUGAACCAUUGCAGCAAACUCAUUAAUUUGAUUUUCCUGCAAUGCUCCCUUACUAUACAACAAGUAUCUUCUGGACCUCUCCAUUCGAGUCACCUCAGUCAAGCCACAUGAUUGACAAAUUGAAACAGCAUUCGAGGACCAUGCUGUUGUAAAAGACAACCUUGGCCCAACUUCAACUAUCACUGGAUUCAACCCUUCUUGCCUCUUCUUCACAAGAAAACUCUCAGUUGCCAAAUUUUCAGGUUCGUAUGUUUCCCCAAGAAUCCAUUUAAGUGUUGAGAACUUCUCAGAUGAAAUCUUUGAAGCAAGGCCUAUAUUAAAACACUGCUCGGUUUUCAACCCAACAAUCUGAUUGGAAACUUUGGUUUGUACCGAUUUGAGAAGCUCGUCGUUUGCACUUUCUUGUAUCAAAGGGAUGCGGUAAAAAUGGACGACCUCUUGAGCAGGCUUUUCAAUCAAUCCAGGUUGCUCAUCAACCGAACUAGUAGGGACAUUUCCAGAAGCCAUUGCUUUAGGCUUUGACCGAGAAGAGCACCUCAAAGAAGCACCUUUUGUGUUAGACAGGUAUCCCAUCCGGCUUGGAUUACAUAGCUUGCCCCAUAAUAGAUUCCUUGGCUUAAUCGAAGAAUUUCUCUGCAAAAACAGAGUUUGCCUUGUUGUACCCUGAAAUAAGGCAAAGUGCACCAAAAAACGAAGAAGAAAGUUAUGAACCUGAAUCAGUUUGCAAGAGCUCAAUGCAGUUUUUAUUUGUUAAAUAAGAAAAAUUAAAGGAAAACAACAGUCCUAUAUCUUAGCUAAAACAAGGAAAACCCGUACGUGGAAAAUUUCUUUAACACACUUUCUCGGAGUCCAAACAGAGUGUAGACCAUAAAGGAAAACUUACUUGCAGGAACUCUGCCGCAGUUAUCUCUCUUACCCCAGCCAUUUUCAAGUAGCUGCAAGAAUACAAACCCAGAGGACAAAAUAAGUUGUAUUCAGAUAAUAAAGUUUAGGGUUUAGGCCUUAAACCCUAUUCAGAUAAUAAAGUAAAGAAAUGGAACCAAAAUCACAGCAGAAAGAGAUGAAAGGAAGAACAGUUUGUAUAAAAGUGAAAUAAGAGGCAGUAAGUAGUGGGAACGUAGGGAACUAACCAGAUUUUUAAGUCUUCAGUUUGGAGUGAUGACCAAAAACCCUACUCUCUUUAUUCUUUUUCUUUUUUUUUUUCAUUUUUUUUUCUAAUAUUCGUUUGUAUUUUUUUGCGCCGAAUCCUUUGAUUGUGGGGACUAAAUAGUCCCCCACGAAUCCACUAGUCUAAUUUUAUACCUAUUAUCGGCACUCAGUUACAAAAUUAUAAAUAUUUUUUAUUAUAAUUAAUAUUUGUUUUUUAAAGAAUAAACAAUAUUAUUAUUGUAAUUAUCGGAUUUUAACUUUUGUCAGAAAGUAGAAUUUUGGAAUUCGAUUUCAUAAAUCGAGAUUGUGAAAUUAUAAGUAGAAGGAUUAAUAUGAAAUAUAUCAAAUAAUGGUUAAAAAAUUAAAUCGAAAAAAUUAUUAAUUAAAAUUUAUGAAUUAAAUUGUAAAAUUCAAUUGUUACUAAAUUUUAAAUUUAAAAAAUAUAGAGAACUUAAUUAAUACUAAACCUAAAGACAUUGGAAUAAAUUGAUGAUUAUUAAAAAUAUUAAAAGAUGAAAAUAUAUCACAAUUUUUACACUUCCAUCAAUUUCUUCAUUUAACAAAAAAAUCAAAUUGAGAAAGUUAAAAAUUAAGAUGAAAAUAAUAAGAAAGUGAGAAAAUUGAAGUGAAUCCACUAAAAGUGAGAAAAUUGAAGUGAAUCCACUAAUUGAUUAUUAAACAUAUAUUAUAUUAAAUGAUAGAGAUAUUAUUCAGUACAAAUAAUAUGAAAAUAUAAAAUAAAAUUUUAAAAUUUAGAAGAAAACUAUUUUAAUUAAUUUCAAUAUUAUAGUAACAAAUCGAUUAAAGAAAGAAAUUCAAAAUUCAGAUUUUUAUGUUUUGAAGUUUACAAUUAAUGUUAAAAAAUCAAAUUUUAAUUAAAAAUAUUAUUUUGAGUGAAACUAAUAGAUUAAUCCAAAUAUAUUUUAAGAAAAAAAAUAUGCAUUUUUAACUUGUACGCAUCUUUUCAUUUUUAAAAAUUUAAAUAUUGUUAAAAAAAUUUUGGGGGAAAAUAUUGUUAAAAUUUUAAUUAUAUAUUCAAAUUUUUAACCAAAAAUAAUACAUUUAAAUUUGAAUAUAUAAAUUAUAUAUUAAAAUUAAAUCUAAUUUUCUAAUGAAUAAAUAUAAUACACUUAAAUUAAUACAAACAAUAACUCGUAGAUCAAUAUAUCUCUGAUUCUUAAUAUUAUUUAAAAAAAAUGUAUGAUCUAAAUAAAAGAAAAAAAAUACUAAAUUUAGGCCUAGGUCUGGGAAACACUGAGCUCAAGAAGAAAAGAAACGAGUAGAAUCGGACAAAGUAAAUCCAAUUAAGAUAUUGCAAGUUAUCACAUGUUGAAGUUUUAACCAGGUAAUAGUAAUUAAAGGGUAGUAAAAUACAGGGACGUAUUUGUAAAAUAUGACCUAUGUUCUGUAUAACACACACAAAAAACAAAACAGCAGUAUGAUCUUAACCAACACACAGCAUCCUCAACAUCAAUGUUCCAAUCUGGUUUCUCAUGCAGUAGUAGAUCUGUUGAAUAUUGGCAAUAUCCCACAUUAGGAAAAGAUAGAAAGGGAGGGGGUUUGGUUUGUUAUAUAUAGAACCCCUCCCCCUUUGGUUGUAUUAUCCCAAAAUCUUCUCCUUUGUAAUAUUUCUAGAAGAAAUAUUAAUUUGGUAGUGUCCGAGGACGUAAGCUAAAUUGGCCGAACCUCGUUAAAUCUCUGGUAUUUUAUUUCUUAUUUGUUUGCUUAUAUUUAAUAGCUUUAUGUUGGUUAUAUUUAUUUAGUUAUUAUUGCUAUAAAUAUCUAAGUGAGUUCUGUCUAGUUGUUGGGUUUUAAGCGGGACCAUUUGUGACCCCUCCAAUUUAACUGGGAAUUUUCUUAGUAUAAUUGUUGGCACAACUACCAAAAGGGAAGAAGGCGAUUGGUUGCAAAUUUGAAGACACUAUUGAAAUUAGUGUUAUGAGAAGAUGUUCGAAGAUGUGGAAUAUCGCCAAGGUGGAGAUUUGUUGAAUAUUGGCAAUAUCCCACAUUAGGAAAAGAUAGAAAGGGAGGGGGUUUGGUUUGUUAUAUAUAGAACCCCUCCCCCUUUGGUUGUAUUAUCCCAAAAUCUUCUCCUUUGUAAUAUUUCUAAUAUUCAACAAAUCUCCACCUUGGCGAUAUUCCACAUCUUCGAACAUCUUCUCAUAACACUAAUUUCAAUAGUGUCUUCAAAUUCAGAAACCAGCUCGUUUCACUGACAUGGUAGCUUAUGCACUUCCAGUUGUUGAUAAUAUUCCAUCCACUUACACCGAAGCCAUUCAGAGUUUAGAGAAUAAUAGAUGGUUAGGUGCAAUGGAAGAGGAAAUGCAAUCUCUAGAGAAAAACAAGACGUGGAAGCUGGCACAACUACUAAAAGGGAAGAAGGCGAUUGGUUGCAAAUUUGAAGACACUAUUGAAAUUAGUGUUAUGAGAAGAUGUUCGAAGAUGUGGAAUAUCGCCAAGGUGGAGAUUUGUUGAAUAUUAGAAAUAUUACAAAGGAGAAGAUUUUGGGAUAAUACAACCAAAGGGGGAGGGGUUCUAUAUAUAACAAACCAAACCCCCUCCCUUUCUAUCUUUUCCUAAUGUGGGAUAUUGCCAAUAUUCAACAAAUCUCCACCUUGGCGAUAUUCCACAUCUUCGAACAUCUUCUCAUAACACUAAUUUCAAUAGUGUCUUCAAAUUUGCAACCAAUCGCCUUCUUCCCUUUUGGUAGUUGUGCCAGCUUCCACGUCUUGUUUUUCUCUAGAGAUUGCAUUUCCUCUUCCAUUGCACCUAACCAUCUAUUAUUCUCUAAACUCUGAAUGGCUUCGGUGUAAGUGGAUGGAAUAUUAUCAACAACUGGAAGUGCAUAAGCUACCAUGUCAGUGAAACGAGCUGGUUUCUGAAUUUCUCGUCUCUGCCUUCUGACUGCAAUUGGCUCUGAUUGCUGUUGAGGUUCUUGGGUAGAAACCUCUUCCUCAUCUGACUCUGCAUCUGCCAAUGAAGAAUCACUAGUGGUACCUUCUGCUGGAAUUACCACACUCUGCUCAAACUCCACCUGCUGCGGAGUACACUCCACCUGCUGCGAAGUACUACUCACUCCUUCUGGAUUUACCUUAUUCAACAUGGCAGAUUCAUGAAAGGUAACAUCCCUACUGAUUAUCGUCUUCUUUGCCUCUAGACACCACAAACGAUAUCCCUUAACACCAGCAUUGAAGCCCAUGAAUAGAGCCUUCUUUGCUCUUGGAUCUAACUUUGAUUCUUUCACAUGAUAAUAUGCAAUAGAACCAAAAAUGCGCAAGGUGUCAUAAUCAGUAGCAGGUUUUCCAUACCAUUUCUCCAAAGGAGUCUUGCUAUUUAUAGCAGAUGAUGGCAAAUGAUUGAUGAGAUGUUGAGCGUACGUCACAGCCUCAGUCCAAAACUUUCUAUCUAAUCCAGCAUUAGAUAACAUACAUCAAACUUUCUCCACAAGCGUUCGAUUCAUACGCUCUGCCACCCCAUUCUGUUGCGGUGUUCCACCUACGGUGAAGUGCCUUACUAUGCCACAAUCUUGGCAUAUCUUCAGGAAAGGAUCGCUUUUAUAUUCUCCACCGUUGUCUGAUCGGAGAACCUUAAUCUUCCUUCCUGUCUGAUUUUCAACUUUAGUUUUCCACUUAAGGAAAACUUCAAGCACCUCAUCUUUGUUCUUCAUAGGAAACACCCAAACUCGUCUGAAAAAAUCAUCAAUAAAGGUGACAAAAUAACGUCUUCCUCCAAGUGAUGGAGUCUUGGACGGUCCCCAUACAUCAGAAUGCACAUAAUCCAGAAUACCUUUAGUAUUGUGAAUCCCAGUGCCAAAUUUCACCCUUCGUUGUUUUCCCAGAACACAAUGCUCGCAAAAUUCAAGUUUGCAAGUCUUUGUACCUUUCAAUAAUCCUUGCUUGGCUAGAGUUUGCAAGGAUUUUUCACCAGUAUGGCCCAAACGCAUAUGCCACAGCUGUGUUGCCUCAGCGUCCUUCUUGGUACUCGAAAUUGCUGCUGCUGUUGUCCCAACCACUAUACUACCUUGGUAGUAAUACAGAUUGUUCUUUCUUAUGCCUUUCAACAUCACCAAUGCUCCUGAAGUUGCUUUAAGAACUCCAUCUCGUAUUGUCACAACUAGGCCUUCAGAUUCUAACGACCCCAAAGAGAUGAGAUUCUUCUUCAACUUUGGGACAUAUCGUACAUCCCGCAAAAUUCUAGUAGAUCCAUCAUGACUCCUCAGUUUAAUUGAACCUAUCCCGGCUAUUUUACAUGUGUUAUCAUUACCCAUGUAAACAACCCCUUCAUCUAGUUUUUGAAAUUCAAAGAACCAUUCCCGAAUGGGACACAUAUGGUAGGAACAACCAGAAUCCAUGAUCCACUCAUCUGCAUAUAAUGUUGAAGAUGUCAUACUAAGAGAAAAGUCUGACUCUGCUUCACUAUUGCAUUCUGCAACAUUUGCAUCUUGCGGAGUCUUCCAUUUUUUCUUCAAUUUUGGACAAUCUUUCUUCCAAUGUCCUUUUUCUUUGCAAAAAGAACAUUCAUCUUUGGCAACAGCUCGACCUUUGGACUUUCUUCUCUUCCCCUUAGACUGACUUUGCUGACGACCUCUUGUUACCAAUGCUUCCACUGCUGCUUCACCUGAACCUUUCAACUUAUCCUUUCGGCGUAGUUCAUAGCUAUACAAUGCAGCAGUUACUUCAUUGAAAGUUACUUCCGAUUUUCCAUGAAGUAGAGUAGUUUCAAGGUACUCAAACUCCUCAGGAAGCGAUCCCAACAACAUUAACGCCAAGUCUUCGUCUUCAAAAGUCACAUCCAAAUUCAACAAAUCAGCCACCAGCUGAUUAAAAUUGGUAAUGUGCUCGUUCAUCGUGGUACCAGGAACAUAAUUGAAACGAAACAGUCUUUUCUUCAUAUGCAACUUAUUUUGACUGUUCUUCUUCAAGAAUUUCUCCUCCAAUGCUUUCCACAAUUUACUUGCAGAAGUCUCUUUACUGAAUGUAUACUUCUGCUCUCUGGAAAGACAUGAUCGAAUUGUACCACAUGCCAAUCGGUUGAUGGUCUUCCAUUCUUUAUCAUCAACCCCUUCUGGUUUUUCUUCCUCAAUAGCAAUAUCUAGACCCUGUUGAAAGAGGGCAUCUAGAAGCUCACUUUGCCACAUGCCGAAAUGACCUGUUCCAUCAAAAAUUUCCACUACAAAUCUCGUAUUUGCAGUUCCAAUCCUUGGCAAAAUGUACGAAGUGGAAGUUGUUGAUAUGGAAGGUUUUUCUUCUGUCAUUUUUGCCAUAGCUUCUACUUAAUAGCCACCAAAUGCAGAAUACCCACAAGCUUUAGGAAAUGUUUCUGAUGUGUAAGAUCAGACUAAGCUGCAAACACAGAGCAUACUACAAAACCUUGGCUCUGAUACCAAUUGUUGCGGAAGCGACGAUAAUAUUAAUAACAAUAUUAUCAGAAAUAUUUAGAUAAUUAUUAUGCCAACAAUUAUACUAAGAAAAUUCCCAGUUAAAUUGGAGGGGUCACAAAUGGUCCCGCUUAAAACCCAACAACUAGACAGAACUCACUUAGAUAUUUAUAGCAAUAAUAACUAAAUAUUUCUGAUAAUAUUGUUAUUAAUAUUAUCGUCGCUUCCGCAACAAGAUCAGCAUUCACUAAAUCCUAGAAUUAUAUCAUCCAUGGGCUCUGAAGCAGAAUCUCAAAGCACUAAGGCGAAGACACUAACCUGCAAAACCAAAGGGAUCGGCUCCUUGUUACAUUAUUUCGGGAAUCAUGAUUGAAGAUGGCAUUUGAAACUCCAUGACAGCAAAGUUACAGUGUCCAACUCCAAACCACCAGAACCAACUACAGAAGCCAUUUUUGAUACCAUGCCACAAUGUCCUACUUCUGCAUCAAAUUACAACCUCAAAUACUUCUCACAACCUUAGUCCAUUAUUCUGCCACAGUGUUUAAAAAGUGCAUCUUUCCUAAAGGUUACUGAGUUAUUAAACAAACUGAAACUAAUCGGUAGAUCACAAAUGGUUUCUUAUCCGGCUAACCAUGACCCAUCAGGUCAUCUCAAUAAGCAUAAUCAUUUCACACUGUCCUCAGUGCUCCACAGCUCAUCUUUAUGUUAUUUUGACUCUUCAUUUUUCUUUAAAUACCAUGUGUAUAAGGAUAUGAUCCUCCAAGCACCCUCUAGCUACAUGGAGAAACUUACAUACCCAUGUUGGAUGUGUACUUGUGUCAGACAUUGACACGAGUCUGAGUUAGCAUAGAUUCAUCCUUCUAAAGAUCGAACUCCUCAUAUAAGCAAACUACUGAAUCCUGAUAACUUCAAGUUAUUAAGAAAAAACAUACAAAGACAUUCUAAAAGCUUUCCUGUAGUUUAAUUAGAUUAAAAUAUUAUCCCAAUUGUUAGAAACAACUAACAUGAUUGUUUAUAUACCAUUUAUCCACUUAUAAAAUGUAAGAUACCAAAGCAAUUUUGAAGCACCACACCUCCUUUAGUUUAAAAGAACAUUUUGGUGGCUGGUCCUUUCUUUCAGAUUUCCAUGAAUUGAAUGAACACUUCAUUAGAAGCAAGGGGUCAUCUAGCAUCUAAUGGGACAUGAACUUACCUUUGACAAUCUAUGAUGACAUGAAGUUUUUAGUUUUUACAAUAGGGACAGCCUGAAAACCACCAAAGGGGGUUUUAUUGCAGUUUAUACUCUUAUGAUUUAUGAAGAACGGAUUUUCCUAAAUGUUCUUUUUUACACAGAAGAGUUGACCAUUCUAAAGCAAAGCAUAAUUUGAAUGCUUUCUUGUCUAAGAUGGAAAAAGCACAGCCAUGAAUGGGUCCAUUGCUUCAAUUCACUUCCGUUACUGCAGGAUUAACAAAACAAAGUAGCAAAGCCUGGACCCAAGUUAUAAUUGAAUGCGUAAAAUACUCAAGGAAAGUUUCCACCGAUAGCCAAAUAAGCUUUUAUAUGGAUUCAGAAUUGCCUCCACAAAAAUAGAAAGCAUGUUUUGGUAUCACGUUAACAUGAAAAGUAGGAGAUGCAAUGCAAGAUUAAUUGUGAAGUUGUAUCCCUGGUUCCCCUACUUCACUAAAAUGUGCUAAAAACAGCCUAAAUUGUAUCAUUUAUGGAAUAAGUUACCAAACUUGCAUAAGCACAACAUCAAAGAAGCUUUCAAUUCUCCAGAUAUGAUAAAAAGAGCACACAUAAACUGAAAAGAAGAAUAAAAUUAUCCCAUACCCGAUGAGUUCCUAAUAAUCAACUGUUCUUUGAAGCCAUGACUUUUCUGGCAGCCAUACCCUUCCUAGCAGCCCUGGCAUUAUCAUAUUCAAACUUCAACACAUCUGAUAUAUGAGAAGUAUCCUUGACAUAAAAAAAACCUCCCAAGGGCACUCUCUUCAAUCAAAGGAAAAUAACAGAAAAGCUUAGAGUCACCAGCCAAAACGAAACCCCACCAAGAAAAGUCCCCAAAGCAGCUCCAGCGAAAAACAGGGCCACAGUAUGGUAACCGAAAUAAACCCUGGAAUACAUAGUCAAAACAGCCGAAGACCAAGGCAAAAACAAAGCAGCCCACUUGGUUGUGACUUUCCAAAUCCCACCAAUCCCCUUACAAGUCAAAAGGGUAAAAUAAACCGUACAAAAGAACAUGUAUUGACAGUGACUUGAAGGCCAACCAUGAGAAUCACACAUUUCUAAUAGCGCACAGGUUUCAGGCCUGGCUUGUUGAACGGAUUUCUUGAUCAGUUCAUUAAUGAAGUGAGAUAUUAAAAGCCCUAAUCCAAAGAACAUUCCUUGAAGCUCUCUACGGAAGUAGAAAUGAGAAACAAAGCCACCAAGGGAAAUGAAAACAGGGACUAACGAAACCCAGGCUAAGAAAUGGCCGAGUUGAUCACGUCUUUGAUACCUGACAUGGGUUAAAGUCACGGCUUUUAAUGGAUGAUCAGCUCUCAUGGUGAAAAUUCAAGUCAAUCGGAGAAACUAAAAAUAAGGUCAGUUUCAGGUGGGAUGUAGUUUGGGAGGAUUGGGUUUUAACUGUUGUUUCAGUUCAGUGUUUGUUCCUCGAGAAACUGCCGGUAAUGAAAAAGGUGUGAGUGAGCCGUUGAUAGACGCAUACACCGACGAAGAAACAAUACACGCGGGAAUAAAGGAACACACACGUUGAAAGAUCCCAUCUUGUUUUUUUCUCAAAAGGUUAGGGGUAUUAUUGGUUUUCCAACAUGAAGAGAACGUCAAAUUAACGUCUAGUCUGAGAUGUCUGUCGUGAGCCGUUGGAUUAACUGCAAUCCGACGGAUGAGAAAGAAACCCUAGUUGAGCCAAAGCUGAGACUGUCGCUGGCUACUUAAGUUAAAGCAGCCUGUUGCUCUCGCCUUCUCUUGCUCUCACUCAACGCUCUCUCAUCCUGCUUCUGGUCAAGCCAAUCUCAAAAGACUCCCCUUUUAGCUCACAGGUAGUAACCCAUUUACAACUUAUAAUUAUCUCUCAAAUGUUAUUGCUUUGAUUCGAAGAAAAACGUGGUCUGAUUUGUUGGUAGCUGAAAUAUUAUAUCUGAUUUGCUGAAAUAGUUCUCAUACGAUUAAUUUUUUUGCGUGUAGUUUCGGAUCUGAUUCUUUGUUUUUUUGGUUGUGUUUUUAGAUUUCAUUCAUGCAUGUACGUUUUGAACUCUGAAAUUUAUUUUUCUGAGCAAAUAAUUCCUGUGAUAACUGGUUUAUUGAAGCAAAUGCUGCCUAAGGGAAAUUUUUUAACGAAAAUAUUUAAAAUUGUCGGGGAUUAUUUUCUUAGGCUCGUUUGUCUUCGAUGGCCAUGUUUGACUGGCUUCAUGGGAACUUCAUGGGAAAGGAUAAGUUAAGAUCUAGUGGCUGUAGUUCAUUGGAAUGAACUCCAUAUCUAUGGAGGAACUGGGCUCGAAUCCCAGCGGCCACGUUUUGUCAAUGUUGGAUCUGUUGAAUUUAAAUGUGGCUUGAUUUUCUUUUUCGAAAUUGACUUGAACUAUUCUUCAUAAACAAUAAAAGUGGGUCUCGGAUUCAUUGUUUAUUGUUCACAAGAUGUUGGUCUUCUUGUGUGAUUUUGACUUGGAAUUAUGUAUUGAGCUUAUUUUAUGAAUAUGUUUCUUCUUGAUUUUUAGCUCUCUCGAGUUCUGUAAUGGGUAAGGAGAAGGUUCACAUCAACAUUGUGGUCAUCGGCCAUGUCGACUCUGGGAAGUCUACAACCACUGGUCAUUUGAUCUACAAGCUUGGUGGUAUUGACAAGCGUGUGAUUGAGAGGUUUGAGAAGGAGGCUGCUGAGAUGAACAAAAGGUCAUUUAAGUAUGCAUGGGUGCUUGACAAGCUUAAGGCCGAACGUGAACGUGGUAUUACCAUCGAUAUUGCCCUCUGGAAGUUUGAAACUACCAAAUACUACUGCACUGUCAUUGAUGCCCCUGGACACCGUGACUUCAUCAAGAACAUGAUUACUGGUACCUCACAGGCUGACUGUGCUGUUCUCAUUAUCGACUCGACCACUGGUGGUUUCGAAGCUGGUAUCUCAAAGGAUGGUCAGACACGUGAGCAUGCUUUGCUUGCGUUUACCCUUGGUGUCAAGCAGAUGAUUUGCUGCUGCAACAAGGUAAGGUUUAGAACGUGUUGGAGUUUAUUGUUAGAUUGUAUUGAUGUUCUUUUUAUUAAUAAUUGAAUUUCAAUUAUCAUCUUGUACAGAUGGAUGCAACAACUCCAAAAUACUCCAAGGCAAGGUAUGAUGAAAUUGUGAAGGAAGUCUCCUCAUAUCUUAAGAAAGUUGGUUACAACCCUGACAAGAUCCCAUUUGUCCCAAUCUCUGGAUUUGAGGGUGAUAACAUGAUUGAGAGGUCUACCAACCUUGACUGGUACAAGGGUCCCACUCUCCUUGAGGCUCUUGACCAGAUCAAUGAGCCCAAGAGGCCUUCAGACAAGCCACUUCGGCUCCCACUUCAGGAUGUCUACAAGAUUGGUGGCAUUGGAACUGUCCCUGUUGGUCGUGUUGAGACUGGUGUCCUUAAGCCUGGAAUGGUUGUGAC